rnacentral:lncRNA from 1 species
GUGGAUGCUUUAACACUUAGAGAUAUGAUAACACGUUACAUAAUGGUAAAAAUAUAUACAUAGCAUAAUGUACAACGUUUUCACGCUUUUAUCCGACAAAACUUCGUAUAAUUAUACAGGAUUAUAUUGCACCGUACGCGUAUAAUCAUAAAGGUAAAAAAAGUAAUUCAUAAUCACGUCAAGAUGGCCAUCCCCGACAACUUUUAAGCAAACGAGUUCCCCAGGACAUGAAAUGAAAGCCCCCACGAAGGAUCCAGACACGCUCUCAAUUAUUCCAGCUAUGGUGAAACAUCAGAAAUGCAUCAUACGCAGCAGUCCGCGCGUGCGUGUUACCAGCAAUUUGCGCACAAAAGUUCUACUCCAGAGAGGAGUCGAUCUUGUUAACGGACCGAGAGAAGGCGAGCACAUCAUUGGGGCGGCGAUCUUCUCCGGCGCCAUCCGAUGCCUCGACGAUGGACUCUCGAAUCACGGCCUUCGUGAUCGGAUCGAUCGGCGGCCCAGCCCUCACGCCAUCGGAACCAACCGCGCCCUUGAUCUCUCCGCGGCGAUGGUCGUCUUCUCUAGAUUCAUCAAUUUCCUCCUUGUCCGUUCGUAGCUGCUCUCUCCUUUCCUUGUGAGCUUCCAUGGCGCGUCUUGCUUUUUCCUGGCACUGAUUGUUGCCGGUGGGAGGCGAAUUGUUGGGCUGUAGUAGCAGCUGCGUUUGGAGGGCAGCGGACAGGUGUGGGAUGAUGGAGGGGCUUGAGGGACUGUCUCCCUCACACGCAGGCCUUUUUGGCGUGCCACGCGUGGAAAGCUCCUGUCUUUUUGCCUUACAAUAUACAUCGUCGAUCUUAUAUUUGCAAUUACGGUCAAUCCCACCGAAAACAUUUUAAAAAAAAAAAUACCCACGGUAGUGUCAAUAACAUUAAAAAAAAAAAUAGCACAAAAAAUUCGAAAAUAUGCCCAUUAUAAUACCGAUAUUCCAAAUUAUUUGUUGGCCCUUUUGCCUUGUAAGAUACAUUGUCGUUCUUAUAACUAUAAUUACUGUUCACGCCACGAAAAAUUUUAAACAAUGAAACCAAUACACAAAACUCUUUUUAUAUCACUAAAAACUUGUAAAUAUUCCUACCAUAACACCAAAUAUUCCAAACUUUUUUUUUGUAUUACCAAGGCCUUUAAAUUAUGCCCACUGCAAUAUCGAUACCGAAACUAUUUUAUCAUAUCGAAACAAGUUUGGGUAUUGGUGAUUGGAAAAUAAAGUUUGGGGAUCUUAGUGACACAAAAAAAAAUAACUAGGAUAUUAGUAUUCAAUGUACAUACUUAAGGUUUUUAGGUGGUAGGUGACACAAUGAGCAUAGUUUAAGAUUUUCAAAGGCGUUUUUCUUUAUAAUUAUAGAGUGCAGUUGGGUAUAUUAUUAAAACCUUUACCGAGUUUUCAACGGCUUAGGUCCAAGACGCUUUUUCUUCAACUCGAAAACUCACAUUCUUGAUAUGGAAAGUAACUCCUAUUUGUUUGAUAGAAGGAUGGAAUAACUUAUUUCUCUUCAAAGUUGUUAAACAUUGCAAAUGCUUUAAUAAUAAAUAAAAAUCUUACAUUGGAAUUUCUUCACAGAAAGUAGACUUGCUUUUUCUUCUAAAAAAUGUGGUCUCAAGGGGUAUAUAACAAAGUCAUCUAUUCAUAUUAAAAAUUCAAAUGUUGAGUCCCUCCCGUGUCUAAUCGUUGUUUUUCUUAUCUCAUUUAUGUACAUAUAUAUACAUAUAUCUCAUUUAUGUACAAAAGCCCUCUUUCAUAUAUCAGACAUCCAAAAUAAAAUGUUACUUGUUUGUUUCGCAAAACAUCACAAUUCGAAAUAUUUUUAUUCAAUGUUAAUCGUUUUUUUAUUUAGAAAAUUGAGACAAUAAAAUAUUAUAUUAUUAACAAAAAUCUACAACUAUUAAUAAUGAAGACAUUUUUUGUUCAAUCGCCUUCCUAAAAGAUAUAGACGGUCUCAUUCAACAAUCUAACAUGAGUUUCGAUAUUAUAAAAAAUUAAAACAAAAAUUUUGAGCACUUGAAUGACUUUUGAUAGGAUAUUAUCUUGGAAAUUAAGAGAGUAAUAACCCUGAUGGACGUUCAAAAGUUAAACUAGCAAUUAGAUUAUUUGUCUGACUUUCACAGCGUAUUCUUUUUUUAUGAGGAUAAGAAUCUGCUCAUGGUUUAUUUUUCCACCAUAACGUUCUUGCCGAUUGCUUCUCCGUAUCAGUCUUUGGGAAAAGUGCACCGAAAAUCGUAAACUUUGUAUAAAAUCUUUCAACUAAUUUAAUUAAGUUUAGCAACCAUAUUUAAAAAGUGUAAUAAAGUUCUCUCAAUGAAAAGUACCUAAAAAGAUAAAAUGCCUAUGUGCCAUUAAACAGUUUCAUUCAUGGCAUUCUUAAAUUGCAUUUAAUACAUAUUAUAGGACUUAAUUGCCUUUUUCAUUAAAGAUUUAGGACCUUUUUUUUUUUUUUUGGUCAGUCCUUUAGGACUUUGUUUGACCAGUUGAUAUAUUAGGACUUAAUUGUGUAAUUACAAGAAUUAAGACUCCAUUGCAUUCCAUACAUAACUUCUAGAACCUAUGCCAUCGGUUUUUCCUCGCAUAGUUUUUUCUAAAAUUAAAUUUCACAAUUAUUGCGACUCUCUCAGACGUGAGGUCGGGGAAAAGGACAAGUUUAGUGGUGAUGUCGAGUUGAAGACCAACGAUCCUCAAUCGACGUGAGUUCUGCAAUGUUGAAUUUUCACCUAAAUUCGAUGAACUCUAAGAAUUCUAUAUGAAGAGCCAACACUAACUUAUUGAACUCGACUAGAAAGUAUGGGAAUAUACCUCAUUUCCUACACAGCUAGAGAUUUAAGGUCGUGAACUUAAUUAUACUAGCAAUCUAACUAGUGCCUUUUCGUUAUCUAAAUAUGAUUAUUUGUCAACUAAGGUGUCCACAGUCUUCUUAUUCAAUGAGUCCUAAGGUUCUUGUCCACUAUGUGUCCUUUCAAUGCUUUUUGUCUUUGUCAUGGUCCUAAAGUGUAAACUAACCAUUUAACUAACAUAAGCAAAAAGAACACUGAAAAAGCAAUAUAAUCAAUUCAUAAAAAAUAGUAAUGAUAGAAAAAGUAAAGGGUAAAGUAUAGUAAAGUAACCCGAUACAAAGUUGGGCAAAAAAAUACAAUACAACCUUGGCUCCAAGACAACAACCCUAUGAGCUUAGUUCACUCCAAACUCAAUUAUCUAAAGAAACUAAUCUAACUAGAGAAAAGCAUGAAUUUUCUUAAAUCAUAUGUAUACUAUCAAAAUGAAACUAAAUUAAUUCUUGUGCUAAAAUCUAGCAACCUAAAGACUUAGGCUAGGCCCCUGGGCCGAGUCCCGAAUCUGGACCUAGCUUGGAUCUCGUGGGUCUAGGUCAAAAAAACGUGAAAGGCUUUAUAAAUGAAAUGGGCUUAGUUGUUCAAGUCCAAUUCGAUUCUAACCAGAGUCAAGCCCGAAUGUUCUAAAGCCGAAGCCAAUCCAAAUAUAUCAAGCCUAUUCAAGCCCAAAGCUCAUUAAGCGUACAUAGUGCCCAGAUUGUUACGCCUUUCAUGCGGUUAAUCCAAAACUUACUGUUCCGACCAGAACUAAACAAGCCCAUCUUAAACGCAUUUGUCAUUCUUAUACCCAUUUUCUUCUCCUUUAUUAACUUUUAAUUCUAUACCCACACCAGAUUAUGCUCCCUAACCCAAGAACUUCCAGACUUCCAAUCUAACAUCAACACAGCAAAAAUCUCAAGCCACCAAUAUGACAUAUGUAUUAUUCACUGUUAACCAUCUAUAUUCAUCACUCGAUAAUCACAGUCAACCAUCAACAAUCCACAACCUUAAAGCACCAGGUGACUAUCUCCAUUCAAUUUAGCGAGAGUAAGAACUUCAAGUGAGUAACUUCACUCGAUAUUUUGAUUACUAGGAGGGGAUGGAACUUCGAUUGGUGGUGAAAUUGAUCAUAAGAGCUACAUUAAUUGUCUUUAAACGAAAUUGACAUUGAAGGAGCUUUAAGCAAGAUUUAGCCACUUCAUGCUUCAUGAUCAUGUGACAAAAUUAAAUAGGGGACGGCCUAGCACAAUGAUGGAAAAACUUGGCAAGAAAGAAUUCUUAACAAUGAUUUCUAAUAGAAAUGACAAAAGAAAAUGUUAGACUAAUAAGAAUAAGAUUUUUCAAUCACAUGAACAUGAGAUCAAUUUGACAAAUAUAGCAUACUUGAAUCAAAAGAAGCCGUUAUUAAUCCAAUGAAAGAAAAUAUAUAUCCUUGUGGGUAUAAAUUUUCGCCACCAUCCUCUAUAAUAAUUGUGAUGGGCGUGUAUAUUUCUCUCGAUAAUUUUGUAGAAAAUAGGGGAAGCGUGGUUAUUGAAAACCAACCUUCUCCACCAAAGAAAGUCCUAAUAUAACAGAAGUGAUGGGAUCAACUUUAAAAUUGUAAAAUCUCAACUAUCUAUCAGGUUUUAAAUUAUAUAUGCUUAAGUAAAUGCCGCAAAUAUAUGUCAUAUGAUGUAAUUAAUUAAAUUGGGGCCAUGUCAAAUGUUACCUAAUAUAUCUGAUAAGCUACAUAACUGGCUUGGAUCUCGUAAGUCCAACAGAAAAUUCGAGAUUGCAUCACGCGUGUUCUCUUUGCUUCGUCUACGUCCAAGCCCUUUGAAGUUUCCCAAAAUAGUAAAUUUGGACGUAAGCAUUGGGCGUUUUAAAGAUCCGCAUUUUGUCAUCAUUAUUAUUUCUUUCAUUUUCCUUUCGUUUCAUUUUUAUUAUUGUUUCUUAUCACGAGUCCAAAACAGGGAUACUAAUCACUUCUAAAUACUAAGCAAAGCACGUGUCUGACCAAUUAGAAGCAAGCUUCCAAUAAUGGCUUUCAAUUAUAGUCUAAUACUCCAGCGCCCAACCUGGAUGCGUUCUUUAUUUUAAUGUGUCGGUACAUGUACGUUCUAUCUUCCCAAUUUGAAAGAAAGUUUUUUCUUCCCUCGCCCCUGUGAAUACUCUCAAAUUUUACGUUCCAAAAUUCAAACGAAACAAUUUUAGGACAUACUCAAAUCUAUAAGAUCCUCGUUUAAUCAUCAUUAUUAUUUCUUUCAUUUUCAUUUAGUUUCACUUUUAUUAUUAUUUUCUUAUCAUCAAUUUUGAUGUAUUGACUGAAAUUCAAGUGUUAACAGCAAUCAUUUGCGAGGUUUCUCCAUACUUUGCAUCACAAGGUUGUGUUUGCUCACUAUAUCCAUGAAUGCUUAAUUGGGUCCUAUUUUACAUUUACACGUCUCUUCAUGUGCUUUUCUGACAAGGAUUUUCUAUUAGUGUGUCGACGCACUAUACAUAUUGAUCCUGCUCAUGCCAUUUUGAAUUGGAAGAUGAAGCAAAUAAACUUAGAUCUUGAGGAAAUAGUGUUGCGUAAUAUCAUGAAUCCCACCAAUUUAUAUGGGGGUUAAUACCCAUAAAAAAUUCCAAAAUUGUACAUUACAAAAAACUUCAUGCCAGUACAACUCUUGCCAUAUUUAUCCUAAAAUACUUUUUUUGUCACAAAAAAUAUUAAGUUGGUGCAUUAGUACCACAUUUACCUAAAUUGAUUUUCUCAUUACAAAAAUCAAAGAUUUGGAUAAUAUGGUAUAAAUGUACCAAUUUAAAGAAAUUUAUGGCACAUGUAUAUCAAUUUCAGAGAUUUUUAUAACAUGAAAAAUAAUUUGGCAGCAAACAUGGCACAGAUACAUUAGUUUGGCCUAUUUUGUAAUACAAAUAUUAAUUUGGGUUAAAUGUGGUACAAAUGCAUCGAUUUGUUUUUAGAUGGUAUUAACCUUUUUAUAUUAUUAAUGUCUUGGCAUCUUUUCUAGGUCCAAUCUCUAAAAAGCAAUGGACUUCGGUUGUUUUAUAUAAUUUGCAGCAAUAUGACUCGCAUGUGCAUUUUUUAAGAGACUUCCCAGUUUUUAUGCUAUGGUCGUGUCGAAGUUGACUUACAUGAGUAAAUAUGAUUUCACAUUUUUCUUGACAAUAAAUGAGAUUUCAAUCAUAGUCUUCCUCAGAAGAACAAGGCGUUACACCAGAGUUUGAUCUAAAGAAAACCGGGCACAAUUUGCAAAUCAUGAUAUAAACUUUUCCUUUUUUCUUUUUCUUUUUUCGUUUUAUCAACAACGUGAUGGGGAUAAUGGAUUUUCACUAGUACAUAUGAGAUCAUAUGUUCAGCGAUGCAAAGAUUAAGAAACUCUUCAACAUAUUCUCCGGCUUACUUCCUUAAAUAAUUUCUAACUUUAGAUUUAAUUUCAGUUAUGUCCCAAACAUUUUUAUCCAAAAAAGAUAAUCAACUUUCAUUACAAUCUAAAAUUUGCCCAAAUGUCCAAAAAUUACAACUAAUUUCUUGAAAAUUAUCAACUUCAAAGCCGAUUAGGGAUAUAUUAUUAGAACCUGCAUCUUUAUCGAUAUCCCCACGUAUGGUGCACAACAACCUCUUGACAUCUAGAAUUUUGAAGAAAUCGAUGGUGAUUUUUGGACACGAGCAUAUUUGGGAUUAAAUCUAAUGUUUGGGUUUUUUUAGAAGACUAACCCAAUGUGUAAUCCUGAACUUUAAACUUGUUCAAUGUAGUCCAUGAACUUUAGUUUGAUGAGCAAGUUAUUCGUAAAAUUUUGAUUUAUUUAAUAUGGUUCAUGAACUUUUAAUACAUAUUCAAUUAGUCUUUGAACUAUGUAAAUAUGUUCAAUAUGGUCUUCACACUAAUUCAAAUUCAAAAAUUGUCCAAUGGGUGUCAUUAUACAUGAGAUUAAAGUUCAAGAACUAUAUCGAACAAAUUUUAAGUUUAGAGGCUACAUAUGAAUCACGUGUCAUUAGACUCAUUUUAUGCACAGGCGGUUACGGAUUACAAUUUGUGACAAAUGCCGCGUGUAACUACAAUUUGGGAUAACUGCAAGGGUGAGAUUGAAAAAUCUGUUUUCCUUAGUCCAAAACCCAACAACGCUCAAGAGCUCCCCAGGCGGCGACGGAGGCUAGCGUCGUCUACCCCCACCAUCCCAUGCCCGAGACCAAAACCCUCGCUACCGCAGUCGCCAUAAACCCUAAGCUACUAGCUUUCACGCCUCGCCAAGUUUCUCUAGCGAAGAAAGAGACGAAGCAGCGAGCACCCACGGCGGCAUCCCCCAUGGAGACCAAGACGCUCCUCCUCCUCUCCAUAGCUCGGUAUCUGCAGAGCAAUGGAUUCUCCAAGACUCUCAAGAAGUUCCGCGCCGAAGCCCAGCUCGAGGUACGCGCCCCUCGUUCUCGCGCGCUCCUUUCGCAUUCUGGGUCUUGCUGCGGUGCCAUUCGGCGAGCUGUUCCGAGCCUCUUUUGGGGUGGUUGUGAGGGGUUGGCACAGUUUUGACUGAUUUAGGGAGAGGGAUCAUCGCCAUAGGAACGGAGUCCUGUGAGGGAAGGAAGCUCGAUUAUGUAGUUGAAAGGAUCAAUAUAAUGGUGGGAGCAAGAAAUUGUGGGCAUUCCUCCUGUACAAGUUUUAAACCAAAAAAAGAAGAGAAAAAAGGCGACAUGGGGUUUGAAUCUUUUUAGUGUCCACUUUGUAUAUCACUAGCUUUACUUUGCUAAGGUGGCAUGCAUUCUAAAGAGUGUUCGUCGGAGGUUAUUUGGUUGCUAUUUCUUUAUGCCAAGUUGGAGAUUUUAUGCAUUUUGAGGUUCCAAUUCAUUUUUGUGAGAGCUAUUUAAAUGAUGAGCUGUAGAGGAGAUUUGUAUCAAAGGUCGGACUCUUGGUUCCCAGAAGGGAUCAACAAUAAAAAAAAUUUGCCAAGAGGAUCUCGAUAUUUCCACUUAGAGGAACAAAGGUAUCUGACGACUUUGUCAGCAACCAACUUUCUAAAAUGCGACUGUUUAUGGUCUGAAUUCAAUUUAUGUCUUACUUAUUUAAAAGCGCAAGAAGAAACAGUAACACUCGGCAUAUCUUUACAAAGAAGGCCCUGUGAGUAAUAUGCAUUCCUUCUCCAUAAGUUGUCAAUGUUCAGAAGCUUCUGGAGCAAGCAACUCUCGAAGAAAAUCUUGCUUUCUGCUCUCUGACUAUCUGGAGGGCACUUCAUUGUGUGCAAUACUCUGUUUCAUCCGCUUUAUUUUUACAAUGCUUGCCACAAUUGAUCCUUGUUAUGCUUUUGAAUUACCUGAUUGAAAUACUUAUUUAAGAACGGAAAAGUUCGCGUGUUGAAUGAACCUUGCUAUCUCUAAGGUUGCCUUUCAGGUUUAAAUAUUUUGAUGGUGCAUCUUGGUCUAUUGCUACUGUGAUAACGAUGCUUUUAGGCAAUAAAGCGCUCUAAGGUUCCUUGCUGAAUUUCUUUCUUUUUUAUCUUUUGGUGCAGGAAGUUAGUUUUAAGGGUUCGACAUUGGAUUUGGAAGAAAUAUGUCUCAACUACUUGAAAACAGCGUAGGGGAUUCUUCUUUUAUUCCAUGAUAAUCCUGUUGUAUGCAGAAGUUUUUUCUCAUUGAUGAUUGUCGAAGAUAUAGUUUUCUCUAGCUGGGAAAUAAUAUGGGUGGCACAUGUUUCUGUGCCAGCUUAAAUGUGCUAAAUGCAUUCCUUUUGGUAAAGAUAUAAAUUCUUCUGUGAGAACAUUGGGUUGAUACUUUGUUAGAGCUGCUUAUUGCUACUUGAUAUUCGCAAGUUUUGGCAACAAAUUGCUUUGUAGCUUGUCUGAAUUUCAUAGGUUUGCAUCCUGUAUGUGAUGGACAGUGUGAGAGAAUGCUUAAAGCUAUGAAGAGGUCUCUUUGUUAGUAAUUUUGUUUGCUUCGUCAUCGGGUGAUAGAGCUCAUAACUCCAUAGUAAGAGUCAGCCUAGGAGUGUUCCGGCCUUACCAAAACUUCAUGGGUUCCAGCCUAUUGCCUACUUGUGCAGAUCAAAUGGAGUUCAAUUUCUUCAAUUUUUAAAUGGAAAAAUGCCAUCUCUCAUAUUUGCCCGUCAAAUUGUGGUGUUCUUUUCAAUUCCCUGCAGGGGUUCUCUUUCAUUCUUAAUGUUUUUUUGAUGUUCUGUGCAGUGGUCAUGCUGCAACAAAGAAUGGCCUAGAGAAAGGUACGCUAACUUUGAGCCACAAGUUGUCUGUGUAAUUUGUGCCAGUUUGACUCUCUCUCUCUCUCUCUCUGUGCAUAUGUGCAUGGGUGUGUUUUGUGCAGUAGCUUCUGUAUGGAUACUUAUUUGUUAAGAGCUGUGUUCUUACAUGUUAAAUAUAUUUAUUCAGGUGGUGCACACAUGAUUGGUGAAGGAGAGUCAGGUUCCUUGCCAGAAGCUCUUGAUAAGAAAAAGAAGAAGAGAAGUGGCGAGAGCAAUGUUGAUGCUGCAAAUCAUCAUUCUCAGGAGAUGAAGAAUGGUGCAGUAGAUGAAAAUUUAAAAGGCAAAGAAAAGAAGAAAGGCAAAAAGGAUUCUGAUUUUUCCAGUAAAGACAGUAAAAUUGCGAGCUUGAAAGAGCUAGAAGAGUCUGCUACUGAUGUGACUUGUGGACUGCAGUCAGAUGAGAUUACUGUGAAGGGAAAGGAUAAAAGAAGUAAGAAAAAAGAACUGGUUUCUGAAUCUGUUGUUCCUCAAGAUUUAUCCUCUUUUGAGGGAAAUGACAUUGUUUCCUCCAAAGAUGUGAAGAAGUCUAAAAAAAAGAAAGAGAAAUCUAAGCAUAAAUCAGAUGAUGAGGAGCAAACAAAAGCAGAGAAUGCCAAUGGGGUAUCCUCUAAGGACGGUGAUACUAAGACUUCAGAUGAGGGCAUCAAAGUGAAAAAAGGUUCCAAGAAACGAAAAAGGCUUGAGUCCGAAGAGAAUGAAUGUAAACCUGUUGAUCAGGAUGCACUUGAUGAAUCCAAACGGAGAAAGAGUGGUGAUGUUAAGGAUGACAAGGUUGACAGGCAACUUGCAAAAUCAAAUGCAUCAGGAAACAGUAAAGGAGCUAACGACAUGGGAAGUAAUGGACAAAAUGGUCAGUGCAAUCUUACUGAGAAGACUCCUACUAAGCACUUCGAUGAUCCAGACAAUGUCAAAGGGAAUGAUGGAGAAGAAUCUGCUAAGAGCGAAAACAUGAAAAAGCAACGUAAUGGCUCUGCAGAGGUAUGAUCUGAGAUCUAAUGUUAUUAUUGCAUCCUGAUUUCUGUCUUAAGGUCAUUUCCAACUUCAUAGUGAUAUCCAUGUUAUUUACUCAUGCUAGAAUUGCUCUUCUGGAAAGUAUAUUUGUGGCAUGGCUGCCCUCAUUAGAAGUAUAUCCAGGAUAAAGUCCCUCUUCUUCCUUUUUUGUCUAUUCGUAUUUGAAAAUGUGUUUUAGUAUACCUUAACCAGUCAUAGAUUAAGGAGUUUUCAUAACCAAUGUAGCUGCAUGAUCUACCUAUGUGUGCAUUUUUCUUAGAGUUGAACCAUGCAUAAAAGUAUGUAUAGGCAUAAAAAACAUCUCCCAUGAUCUCUCUAUGUGUCCGUGCACAUGGUUUUAUGUAGCUUAAUAGAUAAUUCCUGUUGAAGCAUAUAUUGGGAGGGUGGUUUGCAGCACAGGCAGAUGAUUGAAUAAGAAUUUAAAUUUUCUUUUGCUAAAAUGCUUCCAGAUUGAAGCUUUGUAAGGUGGAGUCCAGUUUAACUAAAUUCUCCUACAUAUCAAGAUGAAUCUGUGAUCAAAUGAUAUCUCUAUUAACAUUUUUUCCAAUGCUGGGAAAAAGGUUGACUGAUGACCGAUCAAAUUCUCUAUCCAAAUAUAAGGAGAGUACUUACACAAUCAUGUUAAUAAUUUUGUAGUGUUUGGCCGACAAGUUGUUCCUUAAAAUUAUUGUCACUCUUUGUAAUACCUUGGGCAGAAGCACAUUAUAUGUUUGAUAUUGUCUCCAUGUUGGUCUGUGAAGCCUUCCAACUCAAUUAGUCUAGCUCAAAUGAAAUUCAGAUAAUGGAUUUUCAAUGAACACCAAGGGCUACUGUUGACCAAUAUGAAAACUACCUUUCCAAUUUAUAAAAGUGUAAAUCUUGAACAUUCUCUUUUUUUAUUGCACUAUAGCAUGAUAGAUUCAUAGAGCUGAUCCCACUCAGUGGACAAUGCUUGUUGUUUGGGUCUUUGAGGUAUUUGGGUCCUAGAAACAUUUUGAUUCUCCAAAUGUAUUUGAAUGUGGUUGGCCAGGGAAGCACGACUACAACCCUUGGUGAGUAUUCAUAUCUUUAAAUAUCUGUUUGUUAAUUGUGCUUUCUUAAUUAUAGGGGCUUAUGUUUUUUCCUUCUAGGACAAUAUUUUUGGAGGCUCAAGAGACUAUUUUUCCUUUGGUUCUUAAGCAUCCCCAUUUUGAAUUUGUAUAGAUGUAAUUUCUUGACUGAAAGACUUACUUAACCCUUCUCUAUGAAUAAAAUUCACUUAAUUGGUGUAUAUUUCAGCCUACAACAGCAAAGGCGUUCCAAAGGAUAAAAGUUGAUGAAGUGUUGUAUGCUGAUGAUAGACUUAAGGAUAAUUCCUAUUGGGCUAAGGUGAUUUUCUGUUUCAUUCUAUCAACCUAUUGUUGUUGUUGUUGUUGUUUUCUUUUAUUUUUUUGGGUUGAUAUCCUCUACUGCUUGUUGGACAUGGAAACUCGAUCUCUUAAUGUGUGCUAGUAUCUCAACCAUAUAUUAUAAUUCCCCAGGAUGGUGCAGAAACUGGCUAUGGUGCAAAAGCACAAGAAGUUCUUGGACAAGUUAGAGGAAGGUACGUCGCAAGUUGACUAAAGUGGUGCUAGUUUGCUACCUUCUCAACUUAGAUUAAAUCUCUGGAAGAAUAUCUCUUUAGUUAUUUUAGAUGAAGGCUGACUGAUCUUUCUCUUUUUCUUGAAUGAGGCAAACUUUUACAAGUGGAAAUUUUUCCCCUGCAGUGAUACAACUUAGUUGGAGAAGUAAAAGACGGUAAUUAAAUCAAGGGCUAGCUGAGUAUAAUCGAAACUGGAACCAGAAUUUGAUAUUCUAUAGUUUUGAGGAAAAUGUUUACUGGAAAGAUCAAUGACUUUGACUUAAGGACCUAUAUAUACUAAGAUUAAAACAUAGUACGAUUCAAUGCUCAACCUUUGAUCAGACAUAAAUGAUUGCUAAUGUUAGCCAUCCAAUUUCAUUAAAAGGUUCGAUGCCUAUCAAAUGACCAGCCUAGCAACAGAGAGAAGACUAAUUACAGAUAAAAUGCAUUUAGUAUUGUACAUAUAUCAUUAUGCAUGCAUCAGCUAAUUUUCAAGGACUAAUUGCCCUUACCUAAAGUACAGCUAGAAAUGCGUGGGUAUCAAGUCCUCUCCUGGCAUUGCCCUUAGUCUUUGUAGGGUUGGAUUUUGCUUCUCUUGUCGAAUCAUGGGGCCUGCUUGGUUUGUGGAAAAUUUUCAGAAUCUUUUUUUAGUUUCAUUUGAGAAGAAAAAGGCCCUGUGCAACAAAUUUGGUCAGAACAUGAAAAAUGAUCCAAAUGAGGAUGCUGAAAAACUGAAAAUUAUUUUUAUUGUUUACAAAGAUUUAAUCUCGUAUGAAAAACAUACUUCAAAUUGAGAGGGUGGGAAAGGGGGGAUUGGUACAGAGAGGCAGUUAUGCCCUAUUUCACGAUUUGUCUGUCAAGCUUCACCCAAGUGGACCCUGUUCGGAUGAAAAUCCGAGAUGAGUUAUAGUUUAUGACAAAGACCUGUCUAGUAAAUACAAAUUCUUUUGUCAAGUUGGAAUUUUUCUUAUUUUUUGGGGGGGAGCUUCCCCCAAGUUGACCCUGUUUGAAUGAAAACCGAGACGAGUUAUAGUUGCUGAGAAAUUCCUGUCUAGUAAUUAUAAGUUCUUUUGUCAAGUUAGAUGGAUGGUGCUUCCUCAUUUUGGAGCACAAUCAUAGAUGAGCCAAACAUAUAACCUAAACCAACUGUAUAAGAACAGUUAAAGCUGAAUGAUUGGAUUUCCUUGUAUUAUAUCUUAGUAAGUGAGCUUAGCAAUUAUAGCAACUUACUAUAGACUUUUUCUAGCCAAAAAAAAAAAAAAAAACUUACUAUAGACUUUAGCAAUUCCUUCGUCUGAGAUUCUCUCUCUCUGGCAGGGAUUUUCGGCAUGAAAAGACAAAGAAGAAGCGCGGAAGUUACAGAGGAGGACAGAUUGAUCUGCAAUCUCACUCGGUGAAGUUUAAUUAUUCUGAUGACGAGUAAACAAAGAGUUUUCGGUUGAAUUUAUAGAGGCCUAAUUGAUUUUGAGAUCCUGCUGGGGAAAUGAAAGUUUACGAGGAUCAGCAAACCGAGGAGUUUCUCUGUGGACGGCAGGAUUCUUCUGCGUUUUGGGUUAAUAUCCGAUCAGCAGAAUAAUCAUUUUUGUUGUGUUCUAUUCUUGGCCUUAGUGGACUACUGUACUGAUUUUUCUUUUUCUUUUUUGACACAAAUGCUUCAUCAGAUGGUUGUAAUGUACCCGGACGUGUAUGCAUUCAAUAGUAUUCACCGCAGCCUGCUUCUUCGUCUUUUUUGUUCUUUUCUCUUGGGAAACGCUCUUUUUUGUUCCGUUUAAUCCUUGUAUGGUCAAAUACAUCCCUGAAGGAUCAGGAUAGGCACGAGGUCGGUCUCGGUACGAUCGUGCCCCAGGCUAGAUCGAGGCCCGGACACUGUCAAAGGCCCCCACCGUCUCGACAUUGGAUCAGAAGAACACGUCAUCCUUUGUUGUAAAGCUGACCAGGCUGUCCUUGGGAGGUUGGGGAAGGCUAGUGAAAGUCUUGGUCUUUCCUUCCUUGUGAAGCAAAGCUGCUGAAGUUUUCCCCAAGGCAAGGAGGGGACCCGCCUGGUUCUAUCGCGGACCCUGCAAAGCCUUUAAUUCUGGGCAUCGAUUUUUGCUGCCCCCACAGACCCAAUUUCCACCAAGGGAGUUUAAUCUAAAGCCCGUUUGUCAAAGAGGCUUCGUUUUGCAAACCUUAUUGUCUCGAUGACUCCCUGUUGUGGUUGGUGGGUAACUGUAAUCUGGCUUAGAGGCAGCUGGAUCUUUCCUGAAGUAGCUGCACCUCUAUGGACGGUGUUCUGCAACGACACUUGCCUCCGGCUCCGAUGUCUCUGAGUAUCUCGGCAAGGUAAGCCCUUGUUGAGAGUUCGCCAAGAGUAUGAUUCGGCCUUAAAAUCAUUUGACACCAACAUUAGGAGAAGGCAUAAAAAUCUAGUCAUAGCAAUUAAUCUUGAAAGGGUACAGUGGACUCGUAGCAGCAUAAAGCCAUUCCAAUUGCUGGUUUAAUGUUGUAAUAUUAACGCUGAAAUGACAGGAUCUUACAAAUUAAGUCUAUAUAAAAAUAUCAGAGGAAUAAACGAGGAAUAAUAGGACACUAGAGAUUUACAUAGUUCGGUUUAACUAUCAGUACUUACACUCACGAGAAGAGUUAGCAGUAAAUAAUCCAUUAUAAUUCAGAGACUCAGAGUUACAAUUGCUUACACGCUCGAAUGUUUUUCAUACUUAAAUUUAAACCCAAAUACAAAAUAUUUACAAAUAAAGAUGUAAAUUCACAGCACAAAAUUACUGAUGUUCAGCCCAAGUAAAAACUUAUCAAGAAUAUCCCGUGCUCUUGAAUUUUUUCCCCUUUUUCAUACAUAGCUCUCGUUUUGCCAAAGGCUUCACUUUGCAGUGUGUGUCAGCUAUAUGUGAAUAGACAGGGACCGACAAGGAAUCCUUUCAUUUCUUUUAUACAGCUUUUGUCGGAGAUUUUCUUGACAAAAGAUCUCCCUACUCCUUAGUGCUAGUAUCACCAUCUCAUGGUGUGACAGUCUAAAAGAUGUCCACAAAAAUUUCCUGUUCUCAAACACAUGCACUAGGAAGUUUCCAGGCAAGACACUACUCUCCUUCUCUCUCAUCCAAAAUGUGUUGCUGAGGAUUGACCGUCAUUUUUCCAAGCUAACAAUACAGUUUAAUAAGCAUUCUUCUUUUUUCUUUUAUCGAAAAACCUUUUCCAAGACAAACUUGGAUUCAUACAUGUAACAUUGCCUUCCUGGAUAAUUAUGAAAUCAAAUCUGAUUUGGAUAGGUGCAAUACUAGAUUUUGAACAAAUUAAAAUCUUCUAGCGAAUUGGAUUCCGUAAAGAGCUAAAACUCGAGACAUUAAUUUAACAAUUUUCCAUAUUGGCUUGAUGUUUGAGGCCAAGUCAUAGUGCUCAUCAUCCAUGUUGCUUUGCCAACGUCCCCACAUGUGCUCAUACUCCACAUACAUCAAUUGUGUUCAAGCAAAGCUUGAGUUUCGCCAAAGGAAUAGGCUUUUACUUGGUUCUUUGUAGGAUUAAUCUUUUUCACAAUAAUGUUAUCAUGUUAAAACAUCUUGGAUGAAUCGAUACCCAAUAUUGAUAUCUUUCGUUCGCUUAUGAUAAACUGGAUUAUACGAGUGUAUAUCAACACUUUUCUAAUCUAAUUCAAAGUCUGAGAACAAAUUUUGUAACCAUAUUGUCUCAUUUGCUACAAAGGUUACUAUAUACUAUGUCUUAGUUGAAGACAAGCAAACAUGAUUCUGUAAGGAUGCUUUCCAAUUAGUUGCAUCAUCUACUAGUGUAAACCUGUACCCUAUUAAAGACUUGCAAUUAUCCCAAGUCAUCGGCAUGAUUUGAAUUCACAGAACUAGUGGUUUCGCUGUCAUUGUUGUCCCUCCGAUACAUUAUACCUACAUUUGUUAUCCCCUUAAAAAUUUGAGGAUCUACUUCCAUCCCAAUGAACUUUAUUAAGACGCUUGAGCUUUACCAGGAUACUUUAUAUAAUGACUAACUACACUCACAACUUGUGAAAUAUCAAGUUUAGCACAUACUGUAGCAUACAUAAUAUUAUCCAUGACACUACAAUAAGGAACACAAGACAUGUUGCUCAUCCUCCACAAUCUGCGGUGAUUUAUUUGAAAAUUUAAAAUGUUUUCCUAAAGGUAUAUUUACAGAUUUCGCUAAUUGUAUAUUAAAAUGUGCCAUAAUUUUCUUAAUAUAUUUCUUUUGAGAUAGACAUGAAAGUCAUGUAAUUUUGUUAUGCAAAACCUCCAUACCCAAUAUUUUUUUUUGUAACACAUAAGUUUUUCAUCUCAAACUUAACAUUCAAUUGCCUAUUCAAUACAUCAAAUCAAACAUAUUCUUAAUUGCUCUCAACGUCAUCAACAUAUAUAAGAAUAGAUAAAUCAAAGAACCAUCCUCUAAUAUUCUAAAGUAAAUAUUGUUAUCCAUCUGACUUUUCGAAUAGUCUUGACGAGUCAUUAAAACAUCAAAACGUUUAUAUUAUUACCUAGGAGACUGUUUUAGCCCAUAUAAAGAUUUCUUUAGCAAGCAAACAUGAUCUUUCUUAUUUGGAAUAGCAAAUUUCUCUAGCUACCUCAUAUAAAUUUACUCCUCCAACUCACUAUGCAAAAACGCCGUUUUCACAUGUAGCUACUCUAGCUUGAGAUCCUAUAUAGCAAUUUAGGCAAGUAAAACAAGAAUCAAAGUAUAUCUUAUCACAAAAGUGAACAAUUCAUUGUUAUCAAUGCCCUCUUGCUAAAUAUACCCCUUCACCAUAAGUCUCGCCUUAUAUCUUGCUGUCUCAACAUUGGGAAUGCCUCCUUUUGUUUGAAGACCUAUUUAAUUCCUACAAUCUUUUGACCAUUGGGUACUCUGACCAACUCCUAUGUUUGAUCCCAAUUGAAUAACUCAAUCUCUUCACUCAUAACUUUUAACCACUGUGAUAACUCACUAUUACCCAUUGCAUUAGUGUAAAACGAAGGUUCAUCUGUCUCCACCUUGUCACAUAUAAUCAAUGCAUAAGCAAUAUCUAUAUAACCAUAAUGCACAUGUAAUUUAAUUUGUCUUCUUUAUCUUUCUGCGACUAUAGUGUGCUACAACUACGCUAGUUGUUCAUAAUCACUGACUUCAGGAAUUAUGGCCUUAUCUAUAGUCUCUACUUGUGUUACCUCCAAGGUCUUUGGAGUCUCCACUUGAAGCUCCAUUUUACUAAUGAUACUGUGAUUUAUUUUUAUGCUAGUUGUGUCUCAGAACUCAGCUACUAAAGCAUUACAAUCUCAUCGAAGAUCACAUGUUUACUAAUUACAAAACCAGGUGAUCUAGAUCAACCCACCACAACUGGUAGGCUUUCACCCCAUGUGCAUAACCGAGAAAUAAUCACUUCUUUGCCCUCGACUCAAGCUUACCAUUAUUUAUAUAAGCAUAUGUUAGACAUUCAAAUAUUCGUAAUACGGAGUAAUCAAUAAAUUUCUCCAACCAAACUUCCUCAGGAGUCUUCCACUCGAUAGUAGAUAAUGGAGAUCGAUUAAUUAGGUAACAUGCCAUUAUCAUUGUUUCGGCCCAAAAUUUCUUACUUAAUCCUGCAUAUAAAGGCAUGCAUUGAGCUCGCUCAAAUAAAGUUCCGUUCUUCCAUUCUAUUAUGUCAUUCGGCUGUGGUGUCUCAAGUAGUAUGCGGUGUCUCACAAUCCCCCUUUUUUCUCUCAUUGAACUUAGUAAAAUCUUUACCACAAAAAUUCAUGCCAUAUUGAUUCUCAAGAACUUGGUAUGUUUAUCUAACUACUUCACUAUCAAUGCCUUAAGUUUCUUGAACUGAUUGAACACAUUAUAUUUGUGUUUCAGAAAGUAUACAUAUGCUUUCCUCGAAUAGUCGUCAAUAAAUGUCAGCAUAUAUUGGAUACCUCAUUUCAAAGGAAUCGGAGACAAGCCCUAAACAUCUAAAUGAAUGUAUUCAACUGGUCGCUUGGUUGAGUAAGUGUAGUAAACUUAAUUAGGCAUUGCUUCCCAUAGAUGUAGUGCUCACAUAAGUUUAGUUUCCUCGUCUUCAGACCUUUCAACAACCCCCUCUCACUUAGUAUUGUCCUACUUGCCUCACUUAUGUUCCCUAAGAGCAUAUGUCAUAAUUGAAUCAAGUUUAAGUUUGACUUACUUGAUGAAACUGUAGCAAUUCUAGUCACGGUCUCUCCCGAUAAAUGAUAGAGAGCAUUCACUUUCUUCCAUUCAUCACUAUUAUAGCAUCUUGAGAGAUUUUAUAUACUACACCUUCAACUGUGUACCUACAACCAAUUUCAUCGAGUAUCCCCAAAGAAAAAAGGUUCUUCUUGAGCUUCAGUAUAUGCCUCAUGUCUAUCAAUGUACGCACCAACCUAGUGUGCAUCCAAAUCUGAUUUGUCCCUAUCCCAUUGUCCCUAUCCCCACAACCUUGCAAGUUAUGUUAUUUCCCAAAAGAAUUAUAUAUCUCUAUAUAUAGUCUAGUAAGUAGUAAAUCAAUUCUUACAAGGCGUCAUAUAAUAAGAACAUCUCGAAUCUAGCAUCCAUUCAUCUUUUAACAAACUAGUAGUUACACAUAAAAAAAGCUUCUGCAUUAUUAGUGCUUUACUCAAUAACAUUCGUCACUAUGCUUGUGGCAUUUUACCUAUCAUCUUUAUUCUCUACUUUGGAUAAUCCCUCCUAAUAUGCAUUUCCUCAUGCACUCGAAACACUUCACACAUCCCUUGGACUUUCUAUAGCGUGAUUUCAACCUGUUUUUACCUCUGCUGCUACUAAGUCCUCGAUAUUGAUCUCUAUCCUAAGUAGUUUGCACAACCCCUUGUACUAGACUGUCAUCUUACAAUUUUCUCUGCCACUCCUUAGAGAAUAAAGAGGACUUUAUCUCUUCUAAGAUUAUCGUAGUAUGCCCCUUUAACAAUAAAUCAGUAAAAUGCUCUCAUAACUCUAAUAAAGAAGCUAACAACAUCAUGCGUCAUUCUUCAUCAUCAAGUAUCUUAAUGACGUUUUUCAAAUCCAUCACGAGUUUAUUGAAUUCAUGUAGAUGGGAUUUGAUAGACAUACCUUCAAUACAUCUAAAUGGAAACAUCCUCUUCAACAUGGACAGGUGAUUCCUCAAAUCUUUUGUUGCAUAAAGCGCCCGAAGUUUUGCUCAUAAUGUUGUGACAUCCUUCUCCUCAGACACUUCUAUUAACACCUAAUCUAACAAAUUUAAUAGGAUUGUGCGCUUUGCUCUUUCCAUUAACUCUACCCUAUGAGAGGCUUUUAUCACAAUUGACAACUCAUCUUCACUAUCUAGUGCCUUGGCCAAAUCUUAAGUUGUCAAUAGUGCAUUAGCGCAUGCAUUUGAUGCUUCAUAACCUAAAGUUAUUCCUUCCGUUAAACUUAUCAAUUUUAGCUUUUACCUCAACUAUAAUUGCAAUAUCAGACAAGUAAAAGCCCCAAAUUACAAUCAAGAAAUUUGAUCCAAAGCUCAAAUACCAAUUGUCGUAAUAUUAACGUGGAAGCGACUUGCAAAUUAGGUUAAUGCGAAAAUUCCAAAGAAAUAAAUGAGGAAUAAUAGGACAUCAGAUAUGUACGUGGUUCAAUCAGAAUAUUGGUACAUAUAUCCAUGAGGAGAGUCAACAUUAAAUAAUUUACUAUAAUUUGAGAAUUAGAGUUAUAAUCGCUUACGUGCUCAAAUGUUUCAUCCACCUAGAUUUAAGCCCAAACCCAAAAUAUUUAUAAAUAAAUAUGUAAACUCAUAGCAUAAAAUCAUCGGUGUUUAACCCAAGUAAAAGCUUUUCUUGUAUGGUCGAAAAUCAAGAAUGUUGCGCAUUCUUGAAUAUUUUCCUUCUUUGUACGCAGCUCAUGUUUUCCGAUGGCUUCAUUAUAAGUGCUUCUCGGCUCGUGUGGGUCUUCACUAGGUUUCUCGGCUAUAUGUGAAAAGAGAAUCAUUUCCUUUCUUUUAUGCGGCUUCUACAGGAGAGAGAGUAGUAACCUCCUUUCUUGACAGAAGACCUCCUCGCCCUUUAUUUUGUCUUUUAGUACAAAACCAUUUUCCAAGUCAAACUUGGAUUUGUACAUGUAACAUUGCACUCCUUGAUAAUUACGAAAUCAAAUAUGAUUUAAAUAGGUGCAAUACUAGAUUUUGAACAAAUUAAAAUCUAAGCGAAUUGGAUUCCAUAAAUGGUUGAAACUUGAGCCAUUAAUUUAAUAGUUAGCUUGUAGCAUGCUCAUUUUGAAUUGAGGCUAUAAAACGUCCUAAAGAACCUUUGAAAUGGCAACUCUCCUCUUUUUUCCAAGUAAAUGAAGUGGAAAUUUCCUCUAAGCCAUGCACCUUCAACUCUUUAGGCUUUGUCGGUUCAAGUUUCCCUUUAAUAGUCGAUCAACUUAGUCAAACGUCAGAAGCUAAUUGAAAAUCCAAUCUAAAAUGGCUGCCUUUAUCUUUGUGUUUACCAUGCAGUGCACUAGCACAAGACUCCAUUCAUCUUAGGAAUUUGCAUGACAUAUAGGACUUUUUUUGUUUCACAAAAAGUAACUACUAGGAAAAUGUUUUCUGGAUUUUUAGGCGUUUAUUUUAUGGAAAAUGAAUUGCUGGAGGAAAACAUUUUUCAUGAAGGGAAAAAAGUCUACUAAACUAGAGGAAAAUGUUUCUAACUUUUGAAAAGUUGAAAAUUUUUCCUUAAUUGAUCUUUCUUAUCUCACAUCUCUAUAAGCCAUCAUUUCCUCCUCCCACUCCUCAUCCUCCUUCUUGUUUUUAAAUAUAUUUUUUAAAUUUGAAUUACUUUUUUUUUCUUUUCUUUUUUCCUUUUAUUUUCUUUGUUUUUCCUCUUCUUCUUUUUUGUCUGGUUGCUGGUUAUGACAGCUGUCGGUGACCGGCCACAAGCAAGCCUCAAGCUCGCUGACGAGCACAAGGUCGCUCGCUAGAUUGGCAAGCGUGAGCGUCGAGCUCGAGACUUACCAAUUUGGCAAGGCUUGAGGCUCUCCAAAUGGGUGAGCUCCGAGCUCGCUGGCCUCAAGGUCGACGCUCGCACUUGCCAAUCUAGCGAGUAGAGCUUGAGGUCGUAAGAGGUGGGCAAGCCUCAUGCUCGCCAAAGAACUCAAGGCUUGCUUGUGAUUGGCAAUCGGCCAAGAAAAAGAAGAGGGAAACAAAGAAAAGAAAAAUAUAAUUUUAUAAUUGAUUUUAUAAAUUGCACUUUAGACCAAACUUGGAAGCAAAUAAUAGGGUUUAACUUCAUUUUUGCUCCUUCAACUUUGUCAUAAACUUUACAUUUGUCCCCAAACUUCAUUUUUUGACAUUCUUACAUUUUAAUUUAAAUUAUCAUUGCUAUGUUAUUUCAAGAGUAUGAAUUCAUGAAGUACAUUACUAUCAAGGCAUUUGAUAAAAUUUAUCCAUAUGAAUUCACUUGAUUUUGUAAAUGGAAAUAAUAGGAUAGCAAGAAAGAGUACAGUUAUUAUUAUUUUCUGAAGUCAUCUUGUCACAUAAUAUUGGAUCCCAUAAAAUGUAUAGAUAGUGAUAUAUAUUAUGUAUUGUGAUGGAUUUAAUUCACCAUAACAAUAGGAAAAAUUCAAGGUAAAGGCCCAAAGCGAGGUCGCUUUUUCAAAAAAGAUUUUAUAUAAAUAUUGCUUCAAAUAAGAAAUUGAAGUGACAAAUUAGUCUCUGGGAAGACUUCAAAGCUCACUGGCAUGUACAAAUCUUUUUCUUUAUUCUUUAUUUUCUUUUUCUUUUUUCUUUUCUCUCCUUUUUUAUUUAUUUUGUUUUCUUUCUCUCUCUCUCUCUCUUUUUAUCUUCCUUCUCGUGCCUGGUCCUUCGCUCUGCAUCAGCUCCCUCUUGGGCACCAUCGUUCCAUCGUUCACCGUCGAUCGCCUUCUUCGACGAUGAAAUCCUCUUCGCACAUGACUUCAGUAUCGGCUUCUUAAUAUCGACAGGAAAGUCCCGCGAUGACGAACUUGAGAAUCAUUGUCGAUGGGUUGGAAGGAACUUCACUUUCCGACAUCACCUCAAUUCAAGGAAAUUAAGGGUCGAAAUUGCUCCGACUCCUCGCAUAAAUUGAUACUUUUAGCUCUCUUAACUUCUGAAAACCCGAGAAAUCACUGAGGCUGUCCUUUAGUCCCUAAGUCACAGCUCAGGACGCUGCUCUACCAGCAGUCCCAGGCAGCGUCCUGAGGAUUUCGUCGUCGUCGGGGGUGACCGGCGGCGCAUCUUCAACCCGGCCCCUCGUCGCUGAGAUCGGCGAGAGCCUGCGCGAGAACUCGAAUCUCAGGAGCUCGCUGGUGGGGAGGUCGAUGAUGGAAUCCAGCGGAGCACCAUACGUGAAGAAGACGAAGGAAAAAGAAGAUGAGAGAAAUAGGAAAAAAAAAAUGAAAAUCAAAGAAAAAAAAAAAAAAAAAAGGCUCUUGACCAAAAUGUGCCUGACUGCAAAUAAGAUUUCAUCGUUGACUACUUUAAUCCUUAUUUAAGACAAUAACCAUCUCAUACCAUUUAAGAAAAUGUCUUUAUCUCAUGUUCUCAUUUGAAAAUUACCUCAUAAUUCAAUAUGGUCUUUGAAUAUUAUGUAUUUAAUUUAAUAUAUUCACUUUUAGGCAUUUAUGCGUAUUUCAAAUAUGAGGUCAUGCAUCUUAAGCACUAGUGACAACUUAUAAUGGGAGAGUGAGGCCAGCACUGAGGUCCUUGACACUAGUAGUAGUGGGACUACAUCAACAACGAUUGCGAUUGUGAUGACCAACAUCGAGUGAAUUUUGAAGAGCUAGCGAUUCCAUUAACCUCCACGAAAAACCAAUAUGCAUGCGUAGUUUCCCUCGACGUCUCAGCUCUUCUUGGCUCUAUCGAGGAUUCCCUUUGAUUCUCUUGUCAUUAGACUCGCCUACCCAAAAAAAAGAAGAAAAAAAACAGAGGGCAAAAAAGCAAAAAAAGAAGGGAAAAAAAAAAAAAAGGCAAAGACUAGGAUCGUUAUUUCCAAAGUUGAAUCUUAAUUAGUCUUGCGUGUUUCGUGGGGUCAAGAUGAAGAUUUCCGGGAAGUUUCGGUAUCAUAAUGGGCCUUUCUUAAUAUAAAAACUGAUGCGUAAAGGUCGGGUGACGCAGCUGCCAGGAAAUUGCCCAGAACCUUCAGUAUUUAUGUCACCUCCGUAGCUGCCCUCUCGACUCCAUCUCAUGCUCUGCCUCAUCCCAUUCAAUCUUGAAGCCCUCCUCCGCCUUUCCUUUGCUCCGGAAGAGUCUCCUGGGAGUCAUUCACCCUGCCUUUUCUUCUGUCCCUCUCUCUACUUUUUGCGACACGUGGCGUUUGCAUGUUCCUGCUCCGGCAAAGGGACUCCAGUGCACUUAUCCUGCGGUAAGGUAAGCAGCAAUUUUUCUCUCAUUUGAUGUCGGUGGGGGAUUCAUGUUAUCGGAUCUUGAUUUGAAGUAAUGUAUUCUUAAAAGCAAUUAUGUCUCAUCAAUUUCUAUGGAUUUUGUUCUAGUUGAACUUACAAAAAAUUUCGACCAGAAUAGAAAGAACUUAUCAACAGAUGAAAAUGGCGAUGAGAUGUAAACAACCCGUAAAAUAUAACCGAAAAAUAUUUUGAUCCUGCGUUGAUUUACAACAAGUCGAAAUCAAUCAUUUCAUUUUCCAUCGUCCAAGUCAUAAUAUUCAAACAUUUUGAAACUUUUAAUGGCUAUCAAUUGUCUUUUGGGUCAACUUCAGUGUCACAUUUGCUUUUACAUCUUCUUCCUUUCACACUUUUUCUUUUCUUUUAGACUGAAAAGCCAAAGGUAUAUCUCAAACUCUAACAAUUUCACCAUGGAUCAUAAAUGACCUUAGCAAGUGAUUUUACUACGGUUCUACCAACAUCUGAUUUUAAUACGAGGUCCAAUUGUAUAGUGAUUAAGUUUAAAAUCAUAAAAUGACAUGAUUUUAUUAUGAAUUAAAAAUCAAUUUUAACAGCGUGAAGGUAAGAAUCUCACUAUUAUUAACUUAUUGAGUCUCGAUCAUGCUUAAAUCAUUAUAAUAUAUGAAUUGAUUCCUACACUAAAUUUUUUAUAAGAUACCUCUAUUCUUUCAAUGGCAUAAGGACACCGAAAGUCAUAAAACUUAUUAAAGUGUAAUAGAGUUCUAAAACUUUGAGAUAGUAUAAUCAAGUUAUAAAACUUAUCAAAUUGAUAUAAUGAUGUUUCUUUGUUAAUUUCACAUGAUAUGCCUAACGAAAAUAAUUAACGAGCCUUUUUUAUCGUCUUCUAUUUCCUAAGUGGUUGUUAAUGUUAAUUCAAGUGUGAACCAAUGCCAAAAAAAUAAAAAUAAAAUGAAAAGGACAAAACAAGGGGCCCCAUCCCUACCUUUAUUAGUAAGGGCCAACCCUCCUUACUAGGGUCCCUAGUACUAGCAAGGGUCGGUGACCCUUCCCCAGUGACUGAUAAGGACCUAUGGACCCUCUCCUAGAUCGAGGUGAGAGCUUAAAGGCCCUCCCUUGUCGCACUAUGGUGGGGAUGGUGGCGCCAACAUUGUGUGAUGUAGAUGAGGACUUCCAAUCCCUAGCCUGCAACUAGCCCUUGCCUACUUGUCGACCCUUGUAGAAACCUCAACAACCAUUGCCAGCCCUCAUCGACACCCCAUUGAAGAUUGUUUAGCCUUGCCAAUAGGUUAAAAUAGCCUAAUGAUUUUGCCUCUCUCUCUCUCUCUCUCUCUCUCUCUCUAAAUUAGCCUUGUUAUUUUUUUAAUCCUUAUCAUUUAUUUCCUUUUGCUUUUUUUCCCCUUUUUCUUUUUCAUUUUUAAAUCUUCAAUUUGUUCUGAAAUAUCUCGAUAGAGGCCAUAUCAGUACCACAUAUCUUUAAAAGGUCACAUCAAUUUUUUUUAUUAAACAUAUUGAAAAGAGAUAAUGGAGAGACUUAAUUGUAUCAAUUUGAAAGUUUAAAAUUUGAUUGCAAUAUCUGAAAAUUUUAGAACUUGAUUUGAUUUUCUCGACAAAUUGUAAGACCUGAAGUGCACUAAUCUCCUUUUGCAAUUGAUAACAAAAGGUCAUUAUGCUCAGUUUCCAUCCUUUUAUCUUCGAAUAAAUCAUAAUCAUCACUUUUAGCUUAAAGUAUGCAUCUUGUCGAUUGUUAAGCGAGAUUAAAAUACAUUAACGGAGUAUUAUACAAUUUGGUGGGUUUAAAACAUAAAUUCUGGUCAAAUUAGGUUGUGAUUAUCCCGUAAGAUAUUGAUAAAAUAAGACAAGAAAAUAAUGGGCACCGGAGUCUCUCUUUUCAAUUCUUGAGUGUAUGGAGUUAUAUAAGGUCGUACAUGACGUUAUUUUAAAAGUGGUCCAAAAUAAUUGAGGUUAAGACAUAAUUUACUCUAAUUCGUUUUUGGAUAGACACCUUUUCUUUUAUCCUCAAGAAAAGGCAAAAUAACUACUCAAGUGUUUUAACCAUAUCUUUUACCAUUCUAUGGAUUAUUUCAUGGAUACUAAAAUUUUAAAUGGACUUGAAGGUUCCUUGACUGCGCAUGAAACAUAAAUGGUUCAAUUACGACUUUAAUCAUCUAGCUUCGUUUCGUGAUCGUGAUAUUGCCCUCUCAUUUUUGUUUUUCCAACGAGCACUCCAUUUUUUCAAUGCAUAGAAUCAAAGUCCUUUCAUCAACUAGAAUUAUUAAUAUUAUCAAAGCACAGACGGGAUGUGUUGAAUCGGCUAUAUCAGAGCCAAUUAGGUGUUCCGUUAUAAUGUAGCAAAACUGAAAUACGCAUAGGGUAGUGCCCUUGCUCACCACCAAUGUUAAUGGUGGAAAGGAGAGAGCGAAAAUUCUCUUGAUCUCUUUCCCUCAAAAAAAAUAAAAAAUCAGCUACAUGAACUCUACAUAUGAAUACUCUGGCCACAUCAACAAGUGAGUGUGGUGGUUAAUAGAGUGAUUUCAUUGAACGAAUUGAGAAAUUUAGAUGACUUCAAAAGAGUUAACAGAACUAUAUCUAAAACUUUUCAAAAUAGUUGAAACAUAAAAUUCUCACUCUCAAAUUAGUAAUGGACAUAAAACUAAUCUCAUAUGAUUGGCAUAAUUGCUGGGGGCAUUAGAAAAUUCUCAGCUCGGUAAUAGGAGAUCAUCCAUUCAAACAAAUCUCUUAAUCAGGGUCACUAGCAUUGACCAAGAGUUUGGUGUUAAGCCAGUUCAGGCGCUUAUAGAGUGUUCGAAGGACUUUCAAGUGGUCACGUCUCUAUACCUUGCUGUGAACUAUAAAAUAAAUGGGCAUUAAAUCUGAAUAAAGUAGUCUCCAUGCACCUAAUUUAUGUUUUCAUGCGAAAGUUUAUGCAUAUAUUUUUCAGAUUGUUUUUCAAUACAUUACCUUGUGAGGUAAAUGAAAACAUUAUUCAAAUUAGGACCAUAAGUUUGAACUUUUCGAGACAUUGAUUCAUACGAUUGAUUUUUAUAUGAUUUACCAUUAGUUUGACUCUAUUGGAGUAGGCAUAGCAAUUUGAUUUGUCCACAUUUAGAACUGCACCACCUAAUCCUCAAAUAAAAUGAAAACUAAAUUUUAGUCACUCUAUAAAAAAAAAAAAUGUAUGGAAAUAGUAGGAAAAUCAAAUUCCAAUCAAUUUGAAGGAGAAAAGGCAAUGAGUGGGGAAGAGGUGCCGUGUUGUGAAUCUCAAUCGGUGAAGUCUUUGGGAGGAUGGACUUGUGAUGAAAACUGAGUAGUUAUGAUACAAUAUUAAAGGGAAAUUGUGUGAUUUAAGGAAUUUUUAAAUUCUAACUGGGAUUAGCUUUAUAGUCAAAGUAUAAUUUACACAUUGAAUGGUUUAAAAUGAUGGAAAAAUAAGGAAAAAUGGAUUAUAAUAUGCUGAACAUUCGAUGAGAUCCUAAAUGUAGCUCCAGAGGUUGUUUCUAAUUAAUUGUGAAUGAUUGUCUUCUAUAUAUUAUUUAUUUUCUUUGUGAGAUAUACAAUUCACCAUGUGCACUAAUGGGGUAGAGAAUUUUCUUUUCUUUAAAAGUAGGAAUCCCUCUUUACUUUGUUGUUUGAAUUUGGUAUAGAUAAGCAUUUUUCAUAAAGAUACUUGGGGAAUAUACGAGGAACAAAUACUCUGUAACUAAAGAGAAUAGUAGCCGAAAGCUUUUAUGAGAGAAAGGAUAGAGUUUGGUAGCCGAAAAUUUUUAUGAGAAAAAGGAUAAAUGUGGUGAUUUUUACUCAUACUUAUCAAACUAAUAUAUAUAUAUAUAUAUAUAUAUAUAUAUAUAUUAACUGGACAUACGAAAAAUUCACUUUAAGUUUUAUGCAUCUCUCUCACUAGAUCAAGAAUGAGGUCUUAAAAAUUCACUUAAGUUUCUCUCUUCUCUAAUCUCAGAGUUUGUGGGUAGGUAUGAUCCAUCAUUUGCCAAAUGACUGAGACCGUCCUCUUAGCGAGACCCUUUACCAGACUUCUCAUAACUAUAGCACCAAGCGGUUAUAGUACCUUUAAAUUGUUGCAAAUCUUAAGAUUUUGUUUGUUUCGCGGAAAAUAGAUGAUUUAAUUUUUUUAUAAAUAUAAUCGCUUUAAUUAAUUGAAAUUAUUAGUCAAUAGAAAAUAUUUUUAUCAUUGACAUCAAUUUAUGCUUAAUUAUUAUUGUGGAUAAUAAAAAUAUUUUACAUUCAUUCAAUUUUAUAAGCAGCACAAGCAAUCAUUUUUAGGAAAAUAUUCUCCAAAUGAUUCAUUUUACAUCAAACAUACAGAACCCAAAACAUAUAUUACCAAAUUUAUGAUACUUACAACAAAGCUGCAUUGUUAUCUCUUGCUAGGUAUGAUAAUUAAUACGAGUUCAAUCAAUAACGAAUUUGGAUAUCUUCAAGUCUUCAUUCGACUAAUGUAUAAAAGAUCAUGACUCUGUUUUUUUCGUGAUCCUAAAGUGUUAAUUUAAGUAAAAUAACUUAUUGAAUUGAGAGGAUCAAAAUCCUUUAACAUCGAAAAGAGGUUGAAAGUCAACAUUGACGAAAUGUUUAUGCCUAUGCUCGACACUUGAAUCGUGUUGGAUUGCCACAUGCCAAACAUAGUCCACAUUUGAAUGUUUUGUAAAAUUACAGAUCACCUUUAAUAAAUUAAAAGUCUCUAAUUUUCUAUAAAGGUUGCAAAUGAAAUUUGUUCUUAAAGUUCAUAAAGGAAUACAUGUAGUACUAGACAAAGAGCACACAAGCUAAGUGUGAUUAACAAAAAUGAAAAAAAAAAAGCAAAUAAAGAAUAAAAUAGUGUGGAAAAGUUUUCACCUGUUGUUUGAAUAUAAUUGUUAUUAUCAUUAAAAAAAGAAGAAGAGAUCUAUGGAUUUGGUUUUUUUUUUUUUAAUUCAAAAUUUGAAGGGUAAUGCUAAAAUACAUGUUUCUAUGCUUGUUAUGAAUCGAUGUCUAUAAAUCUAAGUUUUUCAUUGGACAAUCUAAUAUGAUAUCAUAGUUAAAUUCUACCCAGUUUACUUCAUGCGUGGAGACCACCGUUCGUCAAACAUCACGUUCAUCUCUAAUUUGGCUUUCACAUGAGAGAAGGCGUUUAAUUCCACGAGUCCUUCCCAAUUCGCCAAAUUCCAUCUCCUUACUUAUACUUUUGAAUUGGACUUUCUAACCGAUAAGAGAUUCAUUGAUUAUUUGCCAACUUGGCUUUUGUUCAUCUAUGGUCACAUAUGAUUGUAGUGGCCAUUGGAUUUGCUUAAUAUAUAGUUUACAUAAUGCAAACCGUGUUUAAUUCUCACCAAGAAAAAAAGUGCAGCUAAGUUUAAGAUCAUACACGUCACUGAAGCUGUGGGUUGUCAAUAAAUGAACCACUUAUUGGGCAAAUAUUUUAAUUGACAUUUAUGCUAAUAUGAUGACCAAGGAUAGUGUUGAAAGUUCCAAGCCAACCAGAUGCCAUGGCAAGUAUGCAUCCCAACCUCUUUUUGUUGAAUUUACAUAUUUUAUCUUAGGGCGUGUCAUAGCUUAUUUUUGCUGGAUUAUGAAUAACAAAUGCUUAAUGAAAAGAAAGACAAAAAGCACAAUUAACCUAUUAAAAGCCUUAUUCUAAUGUGAGAUUCAAGUUCAAUCACAUCAUUGAUAAGAAAAAAUUUGACAUUAUCUUUAUUUUUAUUAUCUCCUUCUUUUCUAACCAGCAUCAUUGGGACUUUUCACUUACCCUAAUUUUUAUUUAUACGUGAAAACUGUACGAUCCACAUACAUGGCGCAAAAUUUUAUUUACGGGAUGAUGGGCAUUUUCGAAAUUCACAAUUUUGGGAUGACAUCCUGCGGGAAUCAAGGAGCUUUACCUUUUCAUGUCAAGCAAUUUUCUCUGAUGUUGCUUCAAUUUGACUUCCGAGGCCCUGAAAGUGAAAACCACUUUAGGAAAAGACGCGUUUUUUGGAUAAAAAGUCUGUGAAGCACUUUCGACGUUAAAGCGACGACUUAAAUUAAAUUAAUCAGUCAAUAUAAAAGGUAAGAAAAAGCAAAAAGAUCUUGUCGCCUUGGUUCCAGUCCUUUUCAAUCUAAAAUCUGCCGCGAAUCUCUUUCAGGUAAGAUUUUUCUGUCUUUAUUGAAUUUAAAAUUAAUUUUUUUUGGUAAAAGUAAGAUGAAUUUAAAAUUAAUUUUGCUCCCUCAAAAAGUCAGUUUUUAAUUUUUGAUUUUAACUUUUCUACGCCCACCAUUUAUUUCCUCUCUCUCUCUCUUCCUCCCUUCGCUCCCGAACAAAAUACACAAGUGAAGUUCGAUGUCUUCACGCGUGUUUUUCUUUUCCUUCCCUUUUUUUUGAAUUUAUCUUAUUCACCGCUUGCUUUUUUGCCUUUUUCUUUUCGCACGAUGUCUUGAAAUUCGGGGUUAAGUUCCAUAUCUCGACACGUCCUUUCUUUUCCUUCAUUUUUUUUUUCCUUCCCUUAUUUUCGAAUUUAUCUCAUUCGCCACUUGCUUUUUUUCCUUAUCCUUUCCACUUCACUAUUUUUUUUCCUUUUCAAGAAUAAAGAGGAUCGAGACAGGCUAAAACCCGUUUAAUCAUGUUUACAGUAUAUACAUCCUCAAAUCUUAUAAGGAAGCAGAAGAUUCGACUUCGGAUUCUGAAAAGAAUGACUAGCGACCCUUCUUCCUAUCAACUACUCGUGAUAAGUUCCAUAAAUUAAAAACAUAAAAUUUUCCCAUCGAUAGUAAAUGAUUACCGGGCAAUUUAUCAUGCAAAUUCAUGAAAAAAUGAGCACGAGUAACGCAGUGUUUCGGUAUUCAUGUGGACUCUAUUGUCGAAUUAUAUAAUCGCGUAAUCCGGAAUUUAACAAAGUAAAAUCGAAAACAAAUAAAUAAAAAAAGUGGAAUUUGGUUUUUUUUUUUCCCUUUUCCAUUUUUUUCCUUCCUGAGGAGUGAGGAGUGGACCGCCACCACGCACGAACCCUAAGGGUCGUCUUCGCGAUGAAGCUGUCUGUCUCCCCCAACUUGCAUUUUCUUUUACUCAGUCGAGAUCGAGUCGAGUGAUCCCCUCGCAGUUAGUCCUUUCCUCUUCGAGUUCGAGCCUGCGACAUGCGCCUGCGUUGCUAUUGCUACGGUCGUGUGCUCGGCAACGCUGCCGGCUUCUGACGGUGCCAUCUCUCCUGCGACAAAUUUAAUGUUACAGACAAUAAAUUUAAUGGACUAUCCCACCCGGAGCUCCCCGUACCGGAGGCGGCGGGACGCGGAGGCCGGAGGCGGGGUCUUUGGCGAUUCCGGCGACGGCGUCUCCCUAGAUCCGUUCGACAUCGCCACCACCAAGAAUGCUCCGGCCGAUCGCCUCAAACGCUGGCGGGUACGCGUGUUCUCUCUCUCUCUCUCUCUAUCUCUCUGUGUGUGCAUUCUGCCCCUUGGUUGUUUGGUUGAUGAUGGGGGAAAUUCGCGUGUUAUGAAGUUUUGAUUUCGCCGAUUGUGUGGCGACGGAGCAUUUGCGUGGCAGAACCUAUGUGUGCUUCUUUGUUAGUGAGUAGUGCCUUGGGGCAGGUGGGUCCUGAUUUCAAAAGUUGGGUUGCUGCUGUAGGGUCUUUGGUGGAUUUCUUCUUUUGGGAUGUUUUCAAAUUUUUGCUUCUGAAGCUUCUUUAUAACUUUAUUGGUUUUGAGUUUAGGAUAUGCUUAGGGGACCUCAUAGCCUUGGGGAAGUUGAUUGGCUUAUAUGUCAUGAACGAAUAUUUUAUGCUAUUAAUUUACACCCUUCUGAAAAUGGCAUGGAACACAUCCUAUAGCCCCUAGCACGCUGAAGCACAGUUAGUGCCAUGGCGAAUAUGGUGCUAAGUCAUGAAGAAAAGGUCAUAUUAAACAUAACAAAAAUUGACUUUGAGCAUGAACGCCGUUGCCGUUAACCACAAGAGGUUUUAAUGUAGUCAGUGGCAACCGGGUCGACUCUAGCAUAGUACAGCAAAGGCCUUUUGAAAAGUGUUUUUCUUUUUUCUUUUUCAAAUCUCGUGACUAUUUUGAUUUUUAUUUAGUGUAAAACACUCGUGACCUUUGAAAAAUGUACUAAAUCGAUGCAUCGAAUCAUAUACACUUGUGUUUUUCAUAAUGUUUUGUAGUCUGAAUAAUAUUAUAAAGUUUUGGCUGGAAAAUCAGUAAGUUACUUUUUGCUUAAAAAUUACUUGUCUAAUUAAUCGAAUGUCUCUGAUAUGCUCAUGUCCCGUUAUCUUACGCUCAUUGGCUUGUGAUUAAUCACUUUGUUUGGGAAAGGUAAAGUUCCUUAAUACUGAUGUAUUAGCUAAAGCACACGUGCAUAUUGCAUAUGUCAUGUCGCGUAAUGAGCAUGAUAUGUGACGCCUGCUUUUUAUGUGAUCAUUUAUUUCUAUCUAACAAUGCUUUCUUAAAAUUUGUGAAUGCGAAUAUAUCUGUUUGUUUUGACUGAUUCUUCUUCAAGAGCUUAUUUCUAUUCCUGAGGCCGAUUCUUUGAUGCAUACCGUGUCAUUUUCUUGUUUCUGUUCCGCCUGUUUGGGCUAUUCUUUUGUACUACACUCCUAAUUUGCUGUCAAACAAUUACUAAAUGCAAAUUGGUUGAACGUCUAAUGCAGCAAGCAGCACUUGUUCUUAAUGCCUCUCGCCGCUUUCGAUACACCCUGGACCUGACAAAAGAGGAAGAGAAAAAGCAAAUGCUGAGAAAAAUUAGAGCCAAUGUUCAAGCCCUACGAGUACAAAUUUCUCUGUGGAUGACUUUGAUAGUUUUGUGCCAUUUCUGCGAUAUGAGUAAUAAUUUGAAGUUUGUUUUCUUGGAAUUAGGCUGCGCAUCUCUUUCAAGCUGCUGGUGAACAUGUUAAUGGUACUUUCCACCUUAACUUCUGCUUGAGUCACAGCGAUUGGGUUGGAGCUGAUGAUAGAUGUUAACCAUUUCAUAGAAGUUAAUUGAUAUCAUCUUUUCAUAAAGCAAAUCGACUUUGAUUAUUAAAUAAUCCAAGUCACUUCUCUCUCUCUCUCUCUCUCUCUCUCUCUCUGGGUGGAAACUAUAUUCUGAGACUUCUGUCAUCUUUGCUAAUAUUGAUGGUAAUGGUUGCCCAUAUUUGAUUAUUGACACAGAGAUUUUUUCUACUUAGGGUGAGUUGUAGAUUGAACUAUAAGCCAAAAAGAAAGAUUCAUGGAUAUGAGGUUCUAACGAUGGUAAAUUUUGUGUUUGUUAGAUUUUGUUUAGGGCUUAAAUUUUCUUUUGUCAAGGCAAGCCUUAUUUUUUUUUUGUGGAUAUUUUGAAGCAAAAUGCUGCAAAGAGAGUAAAUUCUUUAGAUCUUAAGCAUUGCCUUUGAGGAGCAUGCUUGAGAAUGGAAAUGCAUAAGAUGGUUUAAAUGAAGACUAUUGCUUGUAUUUCAUCAUGCUUAAUCCAUUGUGCCAAGUAUUGACUCUUCUGAGAUCCUUCUACGAAGCAAUAGCAAUCCUAGAUAACUAACGGACUUGUGUUUAGUAGCAGACUCAUAGGGAAUAAAAAAUUUCUGAAAGUCUCCUAUGUUAGUAAGGACAAGAAUCAUUGUCUUACUGUUUGUUUUUGAUAUAAACAUUAGGUCAAAAUUUAGCAGAGUCUGAAAGUACAGAGAGUUUGAGAGUAAUUUCUAUGUGCAGUGGUCCUCUGUUGGUUUUGUGAGAAAUCGACUUGAACCUAGUGAGUCUUGAGAAUCCUGUAUUGGAUGUGUUUGAAAGAUUUGUAUUUAAAAGCUUCUUACUUUAUUGAAGUCGCAUGUAUAUAGGCAUCACUUAGACAUGAAUCUGUGGAACUCUAUGGCCUUUAUCUUUGUUAGAUGUCACUAAUUGAUGUUUCAUUUGACCGAGUUAUUUUACGUAAUUAUAUACGCAACUGUGUACUAAAAUCUCCUAAAUUGUGCUGCGGUUGCAGUACAUCAUUUAAAUCUAUGUCAAUAUAUGUACAUAGUGGGAGUCAAUCAUGGUUUGUUAGGCGAUAUAUGAAAUGAUGGUAAUUAGCACUAGAUUUCUUCAGUAAGUCUACAUCUAGAUUUUGUGAGUUCCAUUGGAUCUUGGUCAAAUACAACACUGGCUCUGGGUGAAAAGUAGAUUCUGAUCAAGGAGAGCUCAAGUAGCCUAGCUGUUCAAUAAAUAAACUAAGAUUUUAGUCUUCUUGUGUGGGGUCAGAAGGAUCUUCAAAGGGUCAUAUAACACAUUAAUGAAAAGGCUAUCUCCAAACCUAGAGGAUGAACAGAAAGAUAUUGUUUGAUCUACGUAUAUUCUUAGAUGCUCUGGUAAAUUAUCCUUGACAUCUCUGUUCUCAUUAUGAUCUUGAGAAGCUCCUUACGAGAAAGCAUUCCUCUCCUCGUAUCUCAAGGUCUUAUCCCUCAUUCAAUGUGGCGUUUUGUUCUCAACUGAGCUAACUAGCUGAAUGUGUGUAGUGUAUAGCUUUGGAUUGCUUAAGUGUAAUAGCUGAGGCCUCAGUUAAUCAAACUAUAGUAGAUUUUUGCCUGUUGAUGUAAACUGCUGACCACAUAGUAACUUAAUGAGAUUAUUAUUGAACAGUGGGUCUUUGUCUGAGUAUCUAGUUGUUAUUAUUCUGCUCACUGGUUGUGUUCCGAAGCAUGGCGAUGGGAGGUGUUAUUUGCCUGAUAUGUUUCUCCUUCACAGUUUAUGCUUCUCAAUAACUCAACCAAUCUGGAAUUUGAAGCUUUUAUAAUGUUUUGUUUAGUCAAGAAAAAGAAGCUUGGAGCCUUACAAUGAAUUACUGUAGUCGACAGUCAGCCUUCCUUGCCUUGUUCUUUUACUUUGACUGUAUAAAUGUUAAGUGUCACCCCAUAAUUGAGCUCUUUGUUUUCGGUGUCUUGAGCUCCAGAUUUGCGCUCCCUCGCUACCCUGUGGUUAUUUUACUUUUACCUAAAGAAAAGGUGAAGUUGUCAUGUUAUGAGCAUCUGCAGUCGAGCUUUUCCUUUCUCAGUUUAUGCUACUAGAGAACAAGAGGUGUCAAAAUUAGCUGGGGCUAGUUAUAUAUGCAAGCUUUUUAGGUUCUCAUCCACCAGUUCCUGAAGUUGGUAUAAACCCGUGUUUGUGUGGUGGGUAUGUCAUUGGGCUUAGAGAGGGGAAUGACUGAAUGGAAUCCUCUCCACUCUCACCCCCUUCUCUUGCUAGUCACUCUGGAUUAUUGUUCUUUCUGUUAAACAGCUUCUUAAUCUACCCUUUUCUUUAUAAAUACAUUUUGUUGAUUUCUCAUUGUUGGUUUUCCUUCUACCUUACAUGGGGAGAAUCUUUGCAGUAAUUUUUUCCUCUUUGUCAGCUCAUUUUAAAAGAUAUCCUUGGUUACCUGCUUACCUUCCUUAUCAUUAUUGCACAAUUGGAGUCUUAAUGAUGUCAGCAUGUAUUUGAAUAUGAAUGAGAAGCUGAUAUGGAGUCAUAUAUCGCAUCUUUUUUCUUUUUGUUGCAUAAGAACUAAGAGAUCGAUUUUCUUUUCAUUCAGCGUUUUGACAGCUAGAAGUUUCUCAUUUCACUCUUACUCCUAUGUUGCAUGCUUUGUAAAUGAACUCAUGGUGCUAAUGGCAGGCAUUACAAAAUCCCCUACCCCAAGUGGUGAUUUUGGAAUUAGUCAAGACCAACUUCUUUUGAUGACCAAAGAUCAUAAUUAUUCUGCACUUGAGGAAUAUGGGGGGGUAAAUUUACUAAAAAAUGUCAUUUCCUUAGGUUCGUGAACAAUUAGAUAUCUUCAUCUUAAUGUUUGCCACUUUUCCUUCAGGUUAAGGAGCUGUCAAAUUUAUUAAAAACAAACUUAGAGAAGGGUAUUUGUGGUGAUGAUGCUGAUUUACACGCACGGAGAAAUGCAUUUGGGUCAAACACGUAUCCUCGUAAAAAAGGAAGAAGUUUUUGGGUGAGUAGUUUUGUAGAUGUAUGUAAAUAUCUGAAUGUACUAUGGAUCCACACGAAGUUGCUGAUGCUUCUCAUUGAAGAUGGAAAUUAUGUUUUAAUGGUUUGUUUCAUUGUUUUGUCCCCAAUUUUGGGUCUACUCAGAUGUUCCUCUGGGAAGCUUGGCAAGAUCUCACGCUGAUUAUAUUAAUCAUUGCUGCAGUGGCUUCUCUGGCACUGGGUAUAAAGACAGAGGUAAGGUGGAGAAAGCAUAUUAAAUUCAAACCAUAGAUGUCAAAUUGCCUCUUCUGCCUAAAAAAAUGAUGGUAUUACUGAAACAGUACUUGUAUUUAGGUAUUGUGGGGACAUCUCUUACGUUUUAUGAAAGAACCAUGUUAAUUAAUUAAGAAUACUUAACAGCUGGUGCAUUAAAAGUGCAAACUGUUCUGACUAAGGGUUUGUUUAUUUAAAUUUUAGAAAAUCAAAAUGUACUUUUCUGGUUUCCCACCAAAACUUAAAAUUUAUAUAUGAAUGUAAGUGUCAAUGUUUGUAUGUUGUGAAAGUUUCAAGUGUUUCGCAUUUAAGAAAAGUAAGUGUGUGGAAGAUUUGGAUUAAGCAAAGAGUAAAAAGUGAAAGAUCCAGAUAGAUUGUAAAUUUUGUUAUAGUUUCAAUGUUUGUGCUGCUGGCCUGCUAUAAUAGAGCAAGUCCUUGCCAUGUACCAUGACUUUUGAUUCUUUACCAGGCAUGACCACAAAUUAUAAGUUCACUGGGCUCAACUCUUAACAAUUGUGGGGCUAUCGGCGUUGUUGUGAUUUUUCAUUUCUCAGAGGCUGAGUCAGGAUGGGUUAUUUUAGUCUCAAAAUUUCUGUCACAUGUUGUUGGUAUUUGUCAUCAUUUGAAAAGUAAAUGACAUUGCGCAAGUUGAGUAAUCAGUCUCCCCUGAUGGCCCCACAGUGUUUUGUCAGUUUAUGCUUUUGAUCGUUGCUCUCUUUGUUCUUUUGUCCUAUUUUCCCCAUCUUUUAGAGAAGCCCCUAGAGUAUAAUAAAUUUAUAUGUGCUAUCUGUGAUGUUGAAUUAUUUGUUUUUGUGCUUACAAUUUUUAUCUAGGGUAUAAAAGAAGGAUGGUAUGAUGGUGCGAGCAUUGCUUUUGCAGUUCUCCUCGUGAUUUUUGUCACUGGUAUGAGUUUUUCUGGUGUUUUUUGUAAAACUUGUUAGUCAUGUUUCAUGACAGCUCUAUACUCUUUCAUCUUGGGAAAUAGAUAUCUCUAUCUUCAUGGGCAUUUGAAUGAUGAUCAAAUGGUAAAUUGGGUUUGUUACUAGGAUCAGUAGGGCCAAUAUUGUUUUGGAGUUUGUUUUCCCUAAUGAUGCUAAUUGCCUUGUGAAUUUUCUUUUAUGAACUACUCCAAAGAAAAGCAGGAAAAAAAAACAGUUAGCUUAAAGCUUUCUGGUUUGCUAUGAUCCUUGGUGCUUUUUCAAGCAGUGGGUCAAUUGGGCAGAAGAGAUGGAGGUGAAAAGGGGAGGGGAAGAAAAAGAGAAAGAAGGGGGGGGGGGGGGGGGGAGAGUACUGUGACAUAGUAGUCUAAUGGGAGGUUGACAACUUGCGGACUUCAGCAGAGAUUGAACAGCCUUAAUUGAUUGUGAGUACAUGCAUAGUUUGUGAAUGGACCAGUGCUGAGCCAUGGUUGGCAGUGAUAAGAUGUGGGAAUUGAGGUGUUUGAUCUUGUGAUCGGAUCUCUCUAGGUUUAUCUAGCUAGUAGUUUAGACCCAAAUCUACUUCAGGUUUAUUUGGCUUGAUUCUAGCUAUCGGAUGCUGGGGUAAGGUGCAUAUGUACUAGCCACUAAAGUGAACAUGGCUUCAAAUUGGAUAGAGCAAUCAAGUUGGACUUUGAGAAGGGCAAUUGGAAGCCAUUUCAAACUCAUCGAGAAAGUUUUGUAAUCUCUCAUUUGAUGUUUGUUGGAAAAUAUGGCUUCGAAUUGGAUAGAGCAAUCCAGUCGUACUUUGAGGCAUGAUAUAGGGAUUAUACCGAGAGAGAAAGAGGGGCAGCAGAAAAGCAUCUCACUUAUUCCUGCCAAAGACAAAAGUUGUCCACCACUUUUCUUUAUUUUAAAACAUUUAUUAGCCUCUUUAUGAUUCCCACAUUUCCUUUGCUUUUAUCAGAACAAGUAUUAAAAGGUCAAAAGCGAAAAGCUUUAGUAAAAAGAAUCUACUUUAUGGAGGCGUUGCCUCAGCAGUGAAGUGCCGCACCUUGAAGUGCGUAAUCUAGGCAGCUCCUAUGCGAUGGCACUUUUCCUAAGACCAAGCAAAGCACUGAGCCUGUGCUUUGCCGCCUGGCCUGAGUGCUUAGGCGAGUGCUUUUUGCAGUUGUUAGAUUAAAUAAUCAUUUAAUAUUUAGAUAUUCUGACAGAAGCAGUGAUGGUUAGACUAAGUUCUGGUCAACUCUACACUAGAGUUUUUUUAAUGGAAGUAUGUGGCAACUGAAUGAUAUUAAAAAAGGUAGCAGUUGAUCUAAAAGGAUAUUUAAUACCUUUGUGAAUACUUUGCAGCUAUAAGUGACUAUAGACAGUCCCUUCAAUUUCAGAACUUAAAUGAAGAAAAGAGAAACAUUCACAUGGAGGUAUGCUAUUUACACUUAGUUUGUGUUUGUGAAAGUAUACUUCUUUUCUCUUGGUUUCAAUAUGGUGGAACAUAAUUGUAGGUCAUUAGAGGUGGUCGAAGAGUUGAGGUGUCAAUAUAUGAUAUAGUUGUUGGUGACAUUGUACCCCUUAAUAUUGGCGAUCAGGUAAGCUGCUUCAUAUUCUUUGAGAUUUCUACUUGGUGUUUAGAAAUAUUUCAACCUGAUUUUCAUUUGAUCAUUCUCAGGUACCUGCUGAUGGAGUUUUGGUUUCUGGUCAUUCUCUCGCAAUCGAUGAAUCUAGCAUGACUGGAGAGAGCAAAAUUGUAUGGCUCACUUUUGGUUUUUCUGAGUGUUAUAUUAUGCAAUCUGAUUAGUAAUUCAUUAUUUUUUUUUUCUCUUUUUACAGGUUCAAAAAGAUUUGAGGCAUCCUUUUAUAAUGUCGGGAUGCAAAGUUGCUGAUGGUAGUGGUAUCAUGCUGGUAAAAUGAAUUCUUUUGCAGUUUCUUUUGUUUUAAGUUAUUCUUAGUCUUCAUAAAUCAUUUGUGACAUUUUUGGAGUCUAAUGUUAGUUGUUAAAGUGCAUAAUCAAUACUCCUCUACAAAGUGGGUUGGGUUAAGUCCAGUUGCAUGCUUCACUCGCCCCUGUGAUUGUAAAAGUCCCUCGUUAUGCUACCUCAUUGUUGCUGCCAAUUCUCGAGAUGCACAACAAUAAUAUCCAUUUUAAUGGGUGCUGUUGGCUGCAAAAAUAUUGUCAUGCCCUUCAUUCUAUUUGAUGUAGUAACUUACAAAAUCUCUAGAUACAUUGGCUUGAAAUUAAGUCCUGUUUAUAGACUGAUGAUUUGUGCCUUGUGUUUUAAGAUGUUCCCAUAAAUUUUUGCAUCUGAAUGUCCUUUCUUAUGUUGAUCAAAAGGUUUAUGACUUAUGAUAUCAAGAGUUCAAAACAAUAGAAUUUGGUAACGUGUUUAGUGCAACCCCAGUGGGAGUAAUAAAUAUGGAAAUAUAGUUGAGCUCCAUGUCUAGUAUUAGACUGUCCUUUUUGCUGUAUUCUCUUGCAUAUGCUUCCUGGGUGAUAUUUUAUUGUACAUGGGAGUGGCUUUGGUCAGGUAAUAUGCAUUAUUUUCCACAGGCAGCUUAUUUAUUUGAUGUAGCUUUAGCUGCACAUACUAGUGUUGAAGAUAUUUCUCAUAAUUGCAUAUUGUGAAGUGUUUACUGAGCUUGAGAUAGUGAUUGCUGUUUCUCACGUGCACGGACACAUGCACAUGUUGUUCCCUUGAUUUGUGUUUGGAUUGCCUACGAGAUCUUCUCUCUUCUAGGUAACGAGUGUUGGAAUUAAUACUGAAUGGGGAAUGCUUAUGGCCAGCAUUUCAGAAGACACUGGUGAAGAGACACCCUUGCAGGUCCUUCUCUAAUUUAUCUUGAGUUGUAUUUUUUUUUAUCCUGUGUACUUUAUGUGAACAUGUUGAUUGGUGAAGUACUUUCUCUAUUUCUUCUCCAAGUUUUGUGUUGGCAAGCAUUUAAAGACUUAAAAGAUAAAUUGAUACUAUUCAAUAAAUUACUUUGGUAUUCUGAAAAUUGGAAAGGUGUCUGUUUUAGUGAAUAAUGAGAUUCUGGGAUAAAUUGAUGUGCAUUGGCUAUAAAGAGGCAGAGGCCGGAUUAAGACGUGGAGGUGAAAAAUUGAAAUGAUGGAUUGCAGUCAAGAUGACAAAGAUUAGCCAAGAAAGCCAAGUUUCCUUGGAGAUAUGGAGACAAAUCUCCCAUAUUUGACGUUUGACAAUUGGAGUUAUGGAAGUGUGCUAGGCUGCUUAGAGAAGCUGUUUUUAAUUAAUUCUAACUUUUUCUUUUUAGAGAAAAGUCUGAAUGCUUCUGUUGUUGCGUUGUUUCUGAAUGUGGCAGGUACUGAGGAUUGGUAUGGUUCAUAAAUUGUUUAUCUCUAGUGUUUUGGCUCAUAAUCUAUAUUGUUACGGCAAAGGUCAUUCCCCCUAUUGCAUUAAAAAAAAAGAUCAUUUUUUCUAUCCAAAUGCUUUAUCCUUGGAAGAUAUUUUGAGGAUGCCAUUGCUUAUGAGUGCUUGGGUACUGUGUAGCUGGAUCAAGGCUAGUAUUCCUGGACUCAUUCACUUAUUUGAUUUAGAAAAGGAUUAUUUUCUAUGAGUGCUUGGGUGCUGUGUAGCAGGAUCAGGUUCUGGAAUACUUGCUGGGAUCUUUUGUAAUUUCCAGGGUUCACCUUCUCCUUUAUCAUUGUCGAGAAAGUUCUUAAUAAGAUUUGAAAGCAGUAGAAAUGAGAUUCUUUUGGCUGGUUUAAGGUUGAACUGAGUGAUAUCAGCCUUGUUCAAAUUCCUUACCUCUAAUUUGCUGGUGAUGGAAAGAGAUCAACUAAGAUAUUUAAGAUGCUGUUUGCAUUGUAAUAUUGAUUCAUUGCCGAUAAACUGAUGGGUCUUACUUUGGGUUAUCUGGCAAAACCUUUGGUUUGGAAUGGCAUUUUGGUGAUGGCGGAAAGGAAGAACAGGUCUCAAUAUCUGAAUUUUUAAUUUUUAUUUUUAUUUUUUGUGUGUGUGUGUAGGGGUGAGGAGAUGGUUGUUGGUCUGUUGAUUGAGAGUGUGUCAUCAAAUCUUCCUUUGGUUCUCUUUAUAUCCUUUUUCCAUCUUCAGUUGCAUAAAAGCUGGAGAGUUAUAGACCUUCUAUGGGAAGAUAGUGCAAUCAGUAAUUUUCAUUUGGUUAACUGGCAUGGUAUCGACGAUCUUGUGCAAAAAGAUGGAUUUAAGAAGUCUUAACAGAUAUUUCUGCAAAUUGUUAUGUGACUACCUGGUGAAUAUAAGCUUGUGGAAAGCAGCUUUUAUUUGAAAGUAGACAGUGGCUGGCUUACUGCAAAAAGUCAUUAUUCUCAUGGGAUCAGUCUCUGGAAAUAGAAAUGAAAGCUGUGGAAUGAAUUUUGUAAUGGCACUUUUCUCAAGUUGGACAUGGUAAUGGAGUUAGAUUUUAGCUUGAUAUUUGGUCCGGUGGGCUCUUUUUCAAAUUUGUUCCAUUCGAAACUGUGAUGCCAUGAGUGAAUGGUAAAUUACCUUGGUUUCUCACAUUUACUGGGGAAGCUCAUUAUCGGUAGUUGGAAUGAAUGUAAUUACUUAUCUGGACUUUUUCAGUGUCAAUGACCAAUAGACAGACCUUUUGAUUGACUCUGGAUUUCUUCUAUCAUCAAUGAGCUCUCUCUGGGCUUUCGGCUCUUCUUGUAGAAGGAUUGACACUCCCUUGGUGUCUCACAGAGAAUUUAUUUUUACUUAAGAAAAGACAACCUAAUGUUUGAUAGGGCAAUGGGUGGUACAGCUUUCACCAUGAAAUCUUAUUUACAUUGCCCUAGAAGGAGAUAUUACUUGUAAUUUCUGUGGAAAUUGGAGGAAGUGCUGGAAGCAAGGUUGAACAUCAUCUAGGGAAGGCAGUUUAUGGAAAGAGGUUAGUUCGUCAUCAUAGAUUGGUCUGUUAUAUAAGGAGGCAGGGAAAACAGGUGAAUUUAGGCAUUAUCUGACAGAUCAACGGAAAAGUUAGUAGCAGCACUCUUUGUCACGGCAUCGUGUGGAAUAUAGGGCUAGAUAGUAAUAGGAUAGGGUUUAAGUGUGAGAUCCAUCCAGUCAGAGUGAAGAGGAGAUUGAUUGUGACUAGGUCCAUAUUCGGUCUGAUAUAAUUUUUGUACUUGUCUAUGAUAAGCAUGUGCUUUUAUGUGUUUUGGCUCAAUCAUUUCCUUGUUGUAUUUACUUGACACUGAAUAAGGUUGCCUAUUCAUGAAUAGGUACGCUUAAAUGGGGUCGCUACGUUUAUUGGGAUUGUUGGGCUGACUGUAGCUGUAGUAGUUUUGAUUGUACUUUUGGCAAGGCAAGUACCAUUUCGAUGAUGACUGUCUUUUGAAAGAAUACAUAUUCUCUCUCUCUCUCUCUCUCUCUCUCUCUCUCUCAGAGCAUGCAUGCUCAAGUACAUAUAUGCGUGCAGAGAUCAAAUUUAUUUGGACUGACAACCUGUGUAUGUGCAGAUACUUUACUGGCCAUACAAAUAAUUCAGAUGGCAGUCCUCAGUUUAAGGCAGGGAAGACGAGUGUUAGUCGUGCUGUUGAUGGAGCCAUAAAAAUUUUCACGAUUGCUGUAGGUGCACUCUUCUUUUGUAUUUGUGCAACCAGAUUUUCCUUUCUCUUUCCUUGUCAUAACUGAAAAUGGAAUGCCAGGUGACAAUUGUGGUGGUUGCAGUGCCUGAAGGGCUCCCUUUAGCUGUUACGCUGACGUAAGCACUUUCAACCAAUCUUUGUUUCUUCUGGGUUCAUUUACAUAAAAAUUGUACUCAAUAUAGUUAAUGAGGACCAUACUACUACAUUAUGUAUCUUUUCAUUUUGCAUUUUAUAACUUGGAAUCGGUGCACGAGGAUCGGGUUGGUGUGUUUGCAUGCCUUGUUGUGGACUCCAUAGACUCAGUGUCAGCCGUGUCCCUUGAGCAAUAGAGUUGACUUCCUUUAUUUCCAUCUUGUGGAUUGGCCAAGUAUUUCAGAAGAAAGAAGAAGAGAAUAAGUUGUGGUAGCAAACUUGUCUCCAUUUUUUAUUUUUUAUUUUUAAAUAUUUUUUUAUUCUUUUCAGUUUUCAUUUUCAAUUUGAAGUGACUUUCCUUUGAACUUUGAACUUUGUUCUUUUCCACAUAUUGUGCUCUUAUAUUUUGACUUUUAUUUAAUAGGAAAUGUCAAACUAUUCAGAAUAUGCUAAUCUUGACAUGUCGAAUUAUAUAAUUCUUUUCGUAAUUUCCUGAAACUUAUUUUUUUAUUUUUUGUUUUCAAAGUUUUUGAGGGGGAAAUUGGAAGUAAUAUGUUGAAAGUCCAAAUAAAUGGAUCCUUAUCAUUCUUUGUAAGAAGAGCUCCUUAACCAUUCGGUUUCUUUCUAGCCCUUUGAGCUAGUUUGUUCAAGUCUAGAGAACAAGAUGCUGAACUCUCUCUUAUUUGGAACCAUAUAACAUGCGGGCUUGAAGGGAAGGACCAAAAUUGCUUAGUUAUUUUCCGAAUGUUCAACUUGGUCAUGGCAUUUGCCAGGUCAAUGAGGAAUUGAUCUAGAACAGACCAUAUUUGAUGGCUUACUUGGUACAUUUCUCUGUUCUUUUAAAUUUUGGAAAGAGGAAGAGAGAAAAGGAAGGGGGGUUACAAGAGCAGCUGACUCGGCCAUAUCUUAUUAAAUGUGCUUUACGAAUAUGCAUUCCUCUUCACUUUAUGAAGUCUUCUGUAAGUUCUAGGCGCUCCAUAAUUUCCUUAUUUUCUCGUUCAUCUUCUUUGAUCUUUUCAUGCUCCUUUUAACACAAGGUAUGUUUAAACUUGAAAUGUGCUAUGCAAUGAUAUAAACAAAUAUAUAGAUAUGUACUUCUGAACGAUUGUAGGGAAUGGAGAUUGUCCUUCUGAUAUGUUGGGAAGACAUUAACAUAAUGUCAAUAUCUGUCAUCCACAAUAUUACGUACUUUUGAAUUUAAAGACUGAUUGUGAUAUAGUUCUACCAUCGAGAGGUGCUUAAUUUCAUUAGAGAAGUGAAAAUAUUGCAAUUCUGACGAUGUGCAUUUUACUGUCUCUCCAUUUGUUUCAUAUAUUCUUUCCCCCACAUUGCAGACUUGCUUACUCAAUGAGAAAAAUGAUGGCGGACAAGGCAUUGGUACAAAUUCUUGAAAAAUUCAACCUCCCUUAUGGAAUAUCAUUUACAAAAAUGGAAUGAGGUCUAGAGGUAGUGAAUUUGCAGGUGCGAAGACUUUCAGCUUGUGAAACUAUGGGAUCGGCCACGACCAUAUGUAGUGACAAGACUGGUACCUUGACUUUGAGCCAGGUGCAUUCUUGUUCAUAUUCUUGGUGAUGCAUGAUGGGGAUGUGUUUUGAGUGAUAAUAGGAAUUUGAUUGAUAUUGAGUCUAAAGGAAUGCUACCAGCCAAAGGACUUCAGGAUAUGAGAAGUUUAUCACCAAGGCCUAAAGGAAACCCACCAAGUAAAGGACUUGGUGAUGAUCAAAGAAAUUUGGAUAAAGAACCAAAAUAAGAAAUUUGCUCACUUGAGGAAAGUCUAAAGUAUAUUUGAAUGCAAGUCAUCUCAUUACAAAUGAGAUUACACCUUUAUUUGUAGAGGGAUCUGGAAAUCCUAGAAACUGAAAUGAAUUUUGGAGUAUUCACAUAAUUUAGACUGACAUCAUAAUAAAGACUUAUAAAAACUAGAACUUAUGCAUUUAACUAAGAACAGAUGCAUGUAUCUUAUAUUAGACUCUCCAAAUUCGUCGAAGCCGAAUAGCCACCUUAGAAAUUUAACAAAUAGCCAUGGAAAUUGACCAAAACAGCCUCUAGUCAUUAGGUAGUUGAUUAGCGGCUCUGAAGUCGACACAAAACUUGUAAAUUGACAUCUUGUUAGUUGAUUGGCAACCGUGAAAUCGACAACUAGUAUUGCGAGUCGACAACUAGCAAGGAGAAUUGAUUUCUGCAAACUUGGAUCCAUUAAAUUACGCUGUGGCCGAAAUUUGUUUUUGCUUGCAUGAGUAAUGAUUGAGCAAGGCCAAUCAAUGAAUUCGGAGUUGGGCUUGAGAAUUGUUCCGUCGAAUCUGAUGCUCCUGCAUUAGUUGGUUUCAUUUGUAAUGUUAAAAUAUAAGAUUUUAAUUUGAGAUAUUUUUUCCCCUUUGUGGUGCAACUUCUUAAAACUUAGGGUUUGUUAGUUUAUACUUUUUAAAAAGAGAAAGGCGACUUUCUGCUUCCUGUCGAAACUUAAGAUAUUAUCUAGAUUGCAGAAAUUAUGAAAAAAUUAUAUGUGAAAAUUUAUGUGUCAACUUUCGCAUACUGCAGAAGUUUAUGGUGUUUUGGGCUAAUAAAUGGUCAAAAUAUGGUCGUCAAAUAUUUUGAUUAAGCAUACAAUAAAAAGUAAAAUGUCUAUCUAGACAUGACCUUUAGCUUUAUAAUUUCUGAUUGCAUGUGGUUCUUUUCCUUACCCAAAUUUCAUUGUUUUCAAGAUUGAGAUUUUAAAGCAAGUGUAAUCUUUCUCAACUAAUUUAUUAAAUUCUAGCUUUGUUGUCAAGAAGAAGGUUCUGUUUGAUGAUGGUUCUUCAUAAUCUGACAGAUGACAGUGGUUGAAGCUUAUGUUGGUGGGGUCAAAGUGGACUCUCCUUAUAGCAGUUCACAACUACCCAUGACAAUGGUUUCGUUACUCAUUGAAGGUAUUGCACAGAAUACCAAUGGCAGUGUUUUCACCCCUGAGGUAUGUCUAACAGUCUUGAGGUAUCAGAGGCAGAGUAGUUCACAUUGGACGCAUGGUUAUCAUCUGUUUUCUGACAUCUCUAGGGUGGGAAAGAUGUUGAGGUUUCUGGCUCACCGACAGAGAAGGCCAUCCUCCGUUGGGGACUUGAGGUUUUCAAUCUCAACUUAUAUAUGCUACAUCUGCAAUUCCUCCUGCCUUGACCUUCAGUUCAAUAACCAUUUGUAGGUUAGAUUCUGAAGUUUAAACUGAUUUUUAUUGUUUUCUUUUUGGUAGCUUGGGAUGAACUUUGAAGCUACCCGAUUGGAGGCCUCAAUAAUUCAUGUUUUUCCAUUUAAUUCUGAGAAGAAACGAGGGGGCGUUGCAUUAAAGUUGGUAAUGUUUUGAUUCAUAAAAAAUCUGCAUUAGCAAUGUGCAUGCUAAUUUGUUUUUCUUGACAUAUGUAAGGUAAUAAUAUUUAUGCUUCUUUAGUCACAUGAAAUAGUGUUAAAGGUUGUUUGGAAGGUAUUAGCAGAUACUAAUGAUUUCUUAAACAAAACCAUUCAUUCAAUUCGGAGUGAGAGUACUGUUCUCUUCUGGCAUGAUGGGGCUGCUGCACAACCCACCAUGACAGCUUCUUAACUCAAGUAUUAGUGAUCUCCAGCUGAACCGGAAAAGCUAUGUAAGCCACUAGAAUUCCAAAAAAUAGAUCCAAGUAUGGGCAGAACAACUAUUGGUUGACAAUUUCUCUUGAUAACUUGACUCACACCUACACCUCCAAUAUGUCUUUGUAUCGCUAGGAGGCUUUCUGGUCAAGUAUUCUCACUUAGGAUACUCUGCAGAAGAGAGGGAUGGUUCUGGUAAAUAGAUCUGCAGUCUCUAAAAGGAGGAAGCAAAGGCUAAAUAAAUUGUUUCUUCACUGUUCUCGUACAGUGAAUCUUGGAACAUGAUCAUUGUGAUGACGGGGACCUAUUAAGUCAAUGCAGCGAGUUCUAAGUAGAGUUAAAGUCUUAUGAAGCAUUAGGGAAAGGAUGAAACCCAUCCAUAUCCGCCCUUCACUGUGUUUUGGUUAAUUCAGAGGGAGAAAAACCAGAGUAUGUAGUGCAGAGGGUGAAAAACCACAUUUUACCGUUGGCUCUGUGAUAUCAAUUGCAUCAACUCGAGUAUGAACUUCUGGUCUGAUAAUUAUAGUUGAGUUGAUGCAAUUGAUAUCAUAGUGUUAGUGAUGCGUGUGUGGUUGAGUGAUUCCGGGAUGUAGGGAUUUUUUUAGUUUAAGUGUUUACGAAAUAGUGUUUAUGAGGAUGGUUUCAAUGGGUAAAUAUAAGAGCAUGAUAGAAUGGGGGGUAUGGUGGUGGACAUUGAAGGAUGAAUUGCAGAAUAAAAGAUAGAUUACGAUCCUACCAAGGUCUAAAGGUUGCGCCACCAAUCGAAGAUUAAGAUUGGGAUAAACGAAGUUCACCACCAAGGCUUAAAGGACAAACCACCUGCUAAGGAUAAAGGAUUUUGGGAUAGGAGAAGCUCACCACCAAGGCCUAAAGGAAAAUCCACCAGCCGAGGAUAAAGGGCUUCUUGGCUCAUCACCGAGGAGUAAUCCAUUCUCCAAGGAUAAAAGACUGAAAUAGGAGUUAUCCACUCUCCCAAGAUAUUUGCUUAUGCAGGGGAAAUCUCAAAUAUUUUCAUUAAUCAAAUCUAGUUUGGUUACAACUGAGAGGCUUCCUCUAUAUAAAUAGGAGGAAUACAACUUAGGAAAUAGAAAAGUAAUAAAUAGAAGUGGGAAUUAGCCUAUCAUUAAAGACCUAGGAACUUAGAACUUUGACUCUUUAAACUUACAUAACUAUAAAGACUCCUAGGAAAAAAGAGAUGCGUUUAAUGACUUGGGAACUUGCAUUCUUGAUUCUUCAGCCUCGCAAAAUUCGUGCUCCCACCUUGACUAGAAGAUAAAUAUCCCAAGACUUCAUCAAAUAACCAAGGAAGUUGUUCAAAAUGACCUCCCAUUGAUAUGUUGUUGAUAAACUUCAAGAUCCGCAACUACUAAAGCAUACCGAGAAAUUAGCGACUAAUAUAUCAUAUUGAGAAUUUGGUAACUCAUUAAUUGUCGGUAUCGAUAACUUCAGUAACUCAUUAAUUGUUGGUAUCGAUAGCUUCGGUAAGAAUGGUUCGGUACAGUCUUAGUUGGAACUUUCAGUCUCGACCUACUGAAGCACUUUAUGCCCAAAUUCUAUCUUGGCUUGAAUGAGCAAUGAUGGUGCUGAGUGGGCUGAUGAAGCUAAGUCGGAUGCUUCCGUAUCAGUUAGUGGAUGCACUUGCAUGUAAGUGAUUUUUGUGUGGGGAAGGCAUUCCCUUCCACUUAAAUGAAAUGUUAUUUUAUUGAUUGAAAAAUUGGAAUAUGAUUGUCAUGAAUCAUUUUAACAAGGUACCCAAGCAACUGUGUUGAGAUUAAAGAGAAUAUUUUGCAUUCAUUGAUCACUAGAAGACUUCCAAUAACAGUUAUCGCCGUAGCCCCAGAAAUAUCUUGUUUUACAUCCAAAGCAGCCCCUCUGAUCUUGUUGUACAUUCUGCCAGCUUAAUGAUAGUAAAUUAACGCUCUGUUUGUUUUGCGAAAGAUGAUUAAUAUGGAAAGCAUUUUUCUUAAAAACAAUAGGUUGUAUUGCUUACAAAAAUAAAUGAACGAAUAAUACUUUCAUUGUUCACGAAAAUAAUUAGACUAAAUUGUUGUCAAUAAUGAAUACAUUUUCGAUUGAUUAAUUAUUUUAAGUGCUACAAGGGAUCGUUUUUAGGAAAAUGUUUUCCAAAUCAUUCAUUUUCCGCAAAACAAACGGGAGCUAAGCUGAGUAUUUUCUGAAAAAAGUCACUUUUCUUGCCCAAUGAUGACAGCUGACUUUGUACUUCCAAUGUGCUGAAAGGCUUUCUUCCCAAUCAUGUCGCUGAUCAUAUUGUGUGCGCUGAAAGAUUUUUUUGACUAUGGUCAACACUAGUCAUUGAGAUCGGAGGUUUCCUUUUCUAAUUGUUACAUGUCCUUUUUUAAUGCUUUUGGAUGAUAAUUCUAUCUUGUCUUAUCCUUAUUUUACUUUGCUUUUGAUCCAACAGAGCUCAGGGUUCUCUUUGACCACCUGAUGCCUUAUAUCUAGAAGAAUGAUUGCAGUCUCUCUACAUAUUUCUCUUUAAGCCUUUUUCUCUUGUUCUGUUCCAAGGAUACUUUUUCUGCUGGUUCAGAAUGUUGCAUCAUGACAUAGUUGCGCAGUUUUUUUGGGAUUAAGUAAUUUUACAAUAUAUUGUAUGCACAGACAAACUCAGAGGUUCAUGUACAUUGGAAAGGAGCUGCUGAAAUAGUCUUGUCCUCAUGUACCCGAUACUUGGAUUUGAAUGGUCAGGUGGCUGCAUUGGAUGAAACAAAGGUAUGUGACAUUAAGCCUUUACGCCAUGGAUGUCUUUCAGCAUUUGUUGAAUGAUAACUGCUGUUUCCCUGUUUGCAUAUUCUAACUAGACAGUGAUGCUGACUUGUUUGUUGCAUAGGAUCCUUACUUUUGACUACUAAUAAUCCAACCUUGGUUUUUAAGGUAUAAAUAGUGAUGUUAAUAAUUAGCUGUUAAGUAGUAUUAUACAAGGCAAUUAGGGUUUUGGAUAUCUUUCAAUGCUUUAUAAAUAGAAGUUCUUAUAUAAUCUUUCCGCCAUUUUAGUAAGGAGUAGUCUUUACUCUUUUGUGUAUUCUCUCUCCUCUCCUGUGGUUGCUAAAAAGGUACACGGUAUCAGAGCAGGGAAAGUGAGAAGAAUCCAACUAGACCCUAAAUACUUUGCUAGCCACACAUAAAGGAAGAAAUAAGGGGGUGAAUGAUAACCAUUUUGGCCAGAAAUUGAUUUCUGGAAGAGAAAUAUAAAUUUAUUUAUAUUUCUAGAAGAGUUUCUAAGCAAAAAUAACCGUUUGAUAACGACACAAAAUUUAUACUCUGAAAAUAGAAAUUCGUUUAAUAACGAUACAAAAUUUUUUCCUUUCGGACGCCGGUGGACCGGCAAACAAUGACCGGCAGUGAUGAUCAGCAGUGGCCGGCGGCGGCGACUGGCGGCAGCGGCGGCGACCAGUGGCGGCCGGUGACCGACAGACGGUGGUCGACGGCAAUGGAUGAAGGACCGGUUGAUGAACGAUGAGAAGAAUUUUUAUUUCUCAUUUCUGUUUUAGAAAUAGAGAAGUAGAAAAUUUCUAUUUCUGAUUUCUAUUCCAAACCUAUUUCUGGAACAAGAAUCUAUUUCAGAAAUAGAAAAAUUGAAUAAGUUUAUCAAACGGAUUUCUUUUCCAGAAACAAGUCUGGAAUAGAAAAAUUGUUUCUAGCAUAGAAAUAGAUGGCUGUCAUGCACCCCCUAAUUACCCUAGUUUCUCUAUUGGUAAUCAAUACCACUUCAAUCCUUGUUGGUUUCUUUAUCAUAAGUCCUGCUAGAGCCUGAUCAGGUGUGUUGAGUUCAGCCUGAGUGGACAACCCCUGUGUUGUCAGUGAGCUCCUCUGUCAUCCUUUAAUCAUCGUUCAAUAGCAUCAUUUGCAGCUUCGGCCUCAAGUUUCCUAUUCCUUGGUUUCAUUCUCAAUUUCUUCCCAUCCUCCCUCGAGAUCCUUUUUGCUUGUUGUAGGUUCCUCACUCUUUGGGUGUUAUUCCUUGCCACUUUCAUAUUGAUAAUCUCCACUGACCUUUUGCUGUUGGGUUGUCUCAUCAGAUCUUGUAGCUGGCAUCUUAGCUGCUGGUGACAUCUGUCGCAGUCAUCACAAGUCAACCUCUGGUCUUGUCUUUCUGUUCGUCCCCUUGUCUGCCUUGCUGGUGUCUCUGUCAACUGCUCAAUGUUAAUGUUGUUCUGUUGCUGUCUCGGUUGGCCUCUCACCAUUUGUUGCUGUUGCCUUCUCCUUUGUUGGGAAUAAUUACAAGUUCUAGUGUGUCUUGGUGGCUGGCCACUUCAUCAAUCUCAAUUACUGUUUGUCCUGUCUUGACCAUUAGUCUCAGUUGAACUGUGUUGUGGUUAUCUUUAAUUGAGCUCAUCCAUCAUGGUCAUAUCUUUGAGCUAUCAGACGUUGCCAUUGAUCUUCUCCUCUAUUGGUGUCUUGUCUCUGUGUCCUUGGAGUCACUAGUCUGAGCAUAUUGUCUGAUGUUCAGGUUAGCUACUCUCUAACCUUGAUCUUGGCAAUCCUGCCCCAUUCCCCCCAUCCUCCAAAAGAUAAAUUGCAAUGUUUCCUCUACAAGAAUCGAUCUUCAGCAAAGUCCCCCAAUUUUGGUUAUGUGAACUCUCAACAAUGGCUAUUGUGGACCUUAUCCAAUGUGAGACUCCCCAUCUAUUGUCAGCAUUAUUGAAUGAGCAAAGUUGCUGUCAAGUUCCUACUUUGUAGGCAACUGUGAGCAUGCGAGUCAAAACACACCUCCAUGAGCAUGUGAGUCAGACAAACCAUUGUGCUGCUACAGUUGAUGCUUAUCGUUUUAUUUGCUAUAUUUCAUAGUAUCAGGUUCUCACAAUUCUAGCAGGGUUGUCAGAAAAUUAUAGGUGUCAGCUUUUGUUCAUUGGGUGCUCCCAUCGCUAAAAGUCAAUUCUGAUGUUGGUAAUAUCCAGUUGAUGGUGUAACGUCCGGUUUACACCCUUUCUUUGUUAAAUUCAGUAUGAUCAGAACACGUCUAGUGUUCUACAUAAGGUUUCCAUGACACUAUUUGUUGUCACAGUGAAACUCUACAAAAGAAGAAAGUCGCACGUACUAUUAUUAUUGUUCAUGCCAGGCACCUUUUGUCUUGUUAGUGGCAAGCUGGAUGUAUUCAGGUAGAAUGAGAGUGUUGAAUUGUAAUUAUAAUGUCAGGAAUUAGUUGCUAAUUAUUUUAAAUAAGGUGAUUAGGGUCUGUGGGUCUCUCAAUGCAUUAGAAAUAGAGCUCUCAUGUGAUUUUACAGUAAGCCAUUAGUUUAAAUAGUCCUUUGUGUAUUUCUCUUUCUUCUCUCUUGUGAUUCUUAAAAUAUUACACCUAGGAAUAAUAAGAAAUGAUGCUUUUUAGAAAAGCAAUUAAUAGAUUUAGUGCAUAAUCAUGUUGCAGUUGCAACUUGAGAUCAUUUAUUUCUCCACAGAGCAAUGACUCUAAUAAUAAAAACCAUUUAAAAUACCUAAUUUUCGAAGUACAGUACGUGUAGACAUGCUUUACUUUGUCAUGAAGAAUUGUAGUGCUUGUACAUGUUUUUAAAGAAGAAAAGUUGAUAUAAGCAAAUGACAGUGACCAACUUAGCAAAUCAUCCAAUUGUAUGUGCUUAGAAGACAUGAGACUACUUGCUAUUAAUGGAGACAGAUUUCCUUAGGCAUGUAAAACAAAUGCCUGUGCAAUGUCUUAUCAGAGAUAUCGUGAUUUUCCUUGUAUGAAUAGAGGAUUGAGAAUGUGUAGAUUCCAAUGUUAGUUAAACUGCUACUUCUAUAUGAAGUCUGCAUGGAAUCCACCAUAGAGUGGAUGAAUUGUAAGAAAAGGUAAAUGCCUCAGUGGAAGGCGUAUUUCUACUCUGCGUCCCUGUGGUAAUGUUCCAGACCACAGUGUUGCUGGGAUGCUGGUUGCUACAACACCUACUUGAAGUGCUUAGAUGCUUAAACAUUUGAUUUUUCAGCUCUAGCCUUAGGACUUGACUUAGCAUCGCAUAAUUCUUUAGCAGAUCUUGGGAUCAUUUAGAACUCCAACAUAGAAAGAACACAACAAAACAAACUGACUCAUCAAGUUAUCUGGAUUAAGAAAGCAAAUGGCAUUAGUUUACAGGUAUAUGCAUCAACCCAUGUAUUCACAUAGGUUAUUAUUCUUUAACUGUAACUGUCCUGUUCUCUAUUUACUGUAUGAGCAGUUCUGAUGUAGGGCGACGAGUCCUACAACAAAGAAUAAAUCUUUAGGCUUCACAUCCAAAGCUUCCUUAGCUCCAUACCUAGGGUUUCUUAAGCAUCACAUCUAAGAGAAGCAUUGUGGUCGCACAAUCCCAGGACAAUGUCGACUUUCUAAAAGUUGUACUCCUAAUUGAAAUAGGAAUCUCAGAUCGAGAAACAUAAUCAAACUAGGAAGCCUCUAAAUAUAGUGUGUAUAAAAUCCUAUUUAAAAUAAGAAAAGGAACUUGCCAAAUUCCUAAUUUAACUAGGGAACUCUAGUUAGUAUCUAGCUAUGAACUUCAAUAUACCUAUGAAGGUAUUCAAAUAGUCUAUCCGUCAUGCUGCAUCAUCUCUCCCUGCGUCAAGUUUGCUUGCAGCUGGGCAUGCAAGCCUGAUAUCUCUUCGAGUCAUCUGUUCACUUUUAUUUUCAGCAAGCUUUCCUCUGAAUUCAGCGCACCCCUUCACCAACAGCUGUCUGCUUGAAUGAUCCUUGCUCUUGGUAUUUGUUGACCUCAGUCAACUCAUUGGUCUUAAAAUGACAACUUUGUUUCUAAAAGAGAAACUGUGUGUUCCUUCCAUUAUGAUUCAUCUUUUGACCAUAAUGCCAAGGCUGACCAAGAAGAAUAGGUGCAACUUGCAUAAAGAUGACAUCACAAAGUUUAGAGUCACUAUAAGCUGCACGCUUACAGGAAAGAAGACACUGUUGCAUCACAGGAAUAGUAGUGUCGUCAAUCCAAGCCAUUUUGUAUGGCUGCAGAUGUGAGUAGUUGGAAGUUUGAGGCGUUCUAUCUAGAGGCUGAGACCACGUUCAUGCAACUUCCGCCUUAUACUUUUCUCUCCACCUUAUGAGCUAUAAGAAUAUAUUGAACAAUAGAGAGAAAAGAAUAAUCCACAACUUCAUGAUCUUUUAAAUCAUCAGCCUCAUAAGUACAGUAAUUGAAUGAGUUUUCCUCUUUGUUGCCUCCAUGUUCAUCUUCUUCGUCUUCAACUUUCCCAAGAUGCAAAUAAUUGUCUUUGGACAUUACUUGAAACAAGUCUUGCUGCUCUUCCCACUUGAUUAUUGAAAUUUCUGUGCAUGCCUGAAGAAGCAAGUUUUGGAAUGGUUUGCAGGAUAAAGAGUGGGGAAAAACUGACUCUGUCUCCUGAAAAUCACUGUUAACUGGCUUUGAGGCGGGCUUCUGAACUUGGGAUUUUUUUUUCUCUGGAGUAGAAUAAUUGCAGUGUUCCUCCACAUCAAGUGCAGCUUGGAAUGCAUGGUCCACACUAUAAGAGGCGGUCUAAGCCAUCACCAUUGAAUAUCAGGCCUUAGACCAGCCUCAAAUCAGCACAUUGAUUGACUUGCAUGCUACUUGGCUCUGAAUCCUCACUUCAUCCAACUUUUGCACAUACUCAGCCACCACCGAACAAUUUUGCUUCAAAGAUUUUGACUCUUUUGCACAUCCGCUAUAAAUAAUUGCAUGGCACGUACUUCUCUUUCAUCUUUGCUUUCGUCUCUUGCCAAGUGCUGGGAGGUGGUUACCACAAUUUACUUAUAUCAACCUCAAUGUCCUGCCACCAUAUUUUUAGCCAAGCCAACAAAAGUUCUAGCUCUGCGAAUUGGACCUUGUGAGCAUCUAUCCUGUCAUACCGUUGAAGUAGUCAUCCAUAGAUUUUAUCCAAUCAGAAAACACCAUAAGAUCUGCUUUUUCUUCAACAUCAGAAACUUUGAUCUCGAUUUUUCUUGGUAAUAUCUCCAGUGAUAUCAUACAGCUUUGAUCCUCCCUUCUCAAAUUGGAGUGGUGCUGCUGCCACUUGAAGAUAUGUGAAUAUUGUUAUACCACCGACAAGGAAGAAAAUAAAGAUCAGUCGCAUGCAUACAAUUUUAAUUGUGCUUCUCACUGAUGUUGUUGUUAAUGAUUGUCAUCAUAUGUCAUUCUCUCAUAAUUGUUCUCUAUAUGAUAUAACAUUUCCUGAUCAUAAACCAUGGUUGUAGGUGGUGGUUUUUGAGAAGGCUAUUGAAGAUAUGGCUGCCAGUAGUCUACGCUGUGUUGCCAUUGCAUAUAGGACCUAUGACUUUGAAGACAUUCCAACUGACGAAGAACAAUUAACUAAGUGGGCACUGCCUGAGGAUGAGCUUAUUUUACUGGCUAUUGUUGGCUUGAAGGCACGUAUACAUCGGUUGAGUUUACUUAUUUUUUCAUUCCGAUAUUUUCUAUGAGACAUUUGCAUGAAAUGCUAUAAUGAGAAUGUUCUCUUUUAGACAAAUAUGAUGGAAAAUGAUUUUGAUAGCUAUCACAGCGUGCAAAUGGUUAUCAACAAUGAGAGCGUUCUCUGCUCUAAACAUAUAUCAUGAGAAAUGAUUUUUGUAGCAAUUAUAUUGUGCAAUGAAUUAGUGGUUAUCGUUGUUGUUGUCACUAUUGUCAUCAUCAUUUUCAUAGUACUUUUCCCUUGCAUCUUUGAGUAUGUGCUUUCACCUGAACAAAUUUUGCAUUGCAACAUGUAACACUUUCACCAUGCUUUGAUGGCCAAUGUUAAAAGCCUCUGCUAUUUCAUCAUUUAAUUGAUGAUUAUAGCUUCAGUUCAUAAAAUAGGUGGAGAUUCUGGUUUCCAAGGGCACUCAUGAUGAAUGAUAGUGAUUUGGCAUUGUAACUGAUGCUAAAUGGGGAACUCUAAUAAGAAUAAUGUUCCCAAGGGCACUAUUUUUUAUUUAGUGAUUCUUCUUAUAAAACAGACUCGUGACAAGAAGUCUUGCAUCUAAAUGAUUUGUGUUUCUUCCAACUUUUUGGUAGUUUCAACAACAGAUUGAUAACUUAUGUUUUUUGUUUAUUUUUCACUGCAUUGCAGGAUCCAUGUCGGCCUGGUGUAAAGGAUGCUGUACGAUUAUGCCAAAAAGCUGGUGUUAAAGUAUGUUCUUUUCUCAUUGAGAAUCUUAGAUUUGUGUCAUGUUUAAGAUUUUCAUGGAUGAACAUUCAUAGUUUUGUUAGAUCUAGACCUCUAUGAAGACUGGGAUAUGGUGUUAUGGAUAAAUGUGAUAUAUAUAUGUUAUAUAACUCAAAGUAUAGCACAUGGAUUUCCUCUAAGAUUAUGCAACUUGCAUCUGUGAAAACAAAAAAUCCCCACACGCCCUCCUUCCAAAUGCGUUGUAAUAUUUUCUCGUUCACAUAUGUUUCCAAUGUAUUAUCUUGGUACUUCCACCUUGAUAGCCGCAGAUAACUGAGUCCUUACAUUGUCUGAUGGAUAAGAGGUACAGAAUAUUCCUUUUGGACUUCAAUCAGAGAGUUAAGUCUGUGUCCAGGUCCAAAUACUGGGAAUUGCCAAGUUAACCAUGUGAACCAUUUUGGUCUGCUUGACUGAUAUGUGGGAUGUGAUGGUUGCUCAUACUAAUCUAAUAAGGCAGUUUGCUUCGUCAUUUUCAUUGGUGAAAACCAGGAAGGUGAUUGUCAAGGCCCUGCUACUAAAACCAAGCUUGGCUCAUUGCCACUGCUAUGUUUGGGCAUUCUCCUGCAGUCUUAAAAAAGUUACUUACAUGCGACUCAUUGGGAUACUUUGUGUUGUCUCUUAUAUUAGAGGAAACGGGUGGAGUAUUGCUAUUCACUAGGAAUAAUUUUCUUUUUUUCCUUAUAAUGAGAUCACUCCAUCUACCCUGUUAAGCUUUUAAACACUUCUUAUUCAUCUUCAUGCAAAUUAUAUACACAAAUAUCCACAAAGCAUCCUUCCUAAGUUUAGAAGAUGACUGGAAAAAUUAGGUCAUCUAAUUUGUCUUUUGUGUGAAAUGUAUCCUUUUUCUCGAUACAUAGGUACGCAUGGUUACGGGCGACAAUCUUCAAACUGCUAAAGCAAUUGCUUUGGAAUGUGGGAUAUUAGGUUCUGAUGCAGAUGCUACUGAGCCUAACCUCAUUGAAGGAAAAGCCUUUCGUGCCUUAUCUGAUUUUGAAAGGGAAGAAACUGCAGAAGAGAUAUCUGUAUGUUCUGACUAAUUAGUUGUUUCAGCUCUUCUGGUGUAGAAUGAAAUUUGAUAAUGCCUUUGCAUAUGUAGGUGAUGGGACGAUCCUCGCCUAAUGACAAGCUUCUGCUUGUGCAAGCUCUGAAGAAACGAGGACAUGUAGUUGCUGUCACUGGAGAUGGCACAAAUGAUGCUCCUGCUCUACAUGAGGUUCGUUUUUACUCUUUUUUAUGGGAAGGUUUGGAUCUAUGCAUGAAAAUGAUUAUGCUGGCUGCCACAUUUGCAUUACUGGCCACCUCAGUGGGAUUCAAUGACAUGACCCUGCUCACACAUCCCUAGGCUCCUAAACCUAUAGUUGACAGGUGGACAGUCAGAGUAACUGUGGUGCAAUAAAUGUUAUCAAAUUGGUUUGUACACCUUGUUGUGAUCUUGAUAUCUUAUGGUAUCGUUAUCAUUAAAACAUUACAUAUAUAUUUUACGUUUACUGUCUGUGGUGUAAUAUCCGUAGACUGGAUACGUUUUCUCUCUGAUAUUGUUGUUGGGACGUAAACUUUUUAUGGUGUUUAGGCAGAUAUUGGCCUUGCAAUGGGUAUUCAAGGGACAGAAGUUGCUAAGGAGAGCUCUGAUAUCAUUAUCUUGGAUGAUGAUUUUGCCUCUGUUGUGAAGGUUAGUACUUGCCACCUUGAUUGGCUUAUGAUCUUGUAUCUCACCAUCAGAGAGUGAUGUUCCUGGAAAUUUUCAUUCUUAUAUCCUCUCAGUAGGGAAAAGUAGUUUCUAGAUAAUUUCUGGUCAAAUAUGGAGAUGAACGUUGUUGUCCUUGUUCCACCAACUAAGGUUCUACCACAAGUAUGAUAUGUGCUGAACUGCAUGAGCUAUGAUGUAAGAUUGCUUCUUUUUGGUCAUGAUUUUGUGUGUUUCUUCUGCUUUGCUUUAUUGUUUGAGUGCUUUGUAUUUGUUUUUUUUGGCUGGAUGCAUUUAAAUAGAUGACUGCAAAAUGCAGCAUGCAGUUGCAUAUGAUGGUUUAUGGGGUGGAAGGAGGAUGAAAAAAAUGAGAUAGUUGUUAUUAUGCUAUUAGUUUUUCUCUUGUUUGUAAUUUUGAUAUCUAUCUUGUCGACGACCCUGUUGAUGCAAAAGAAGUUUAAAGGAAGUCACUUAUAUGUUUUAAGUUCUAAGAACUUGAAGUUCUUGAAAUAAUCUUCAGUUAUUAUGUACACCAUGCAGGUUGUCAGGUGGGGACGAUCUGUAUAUGCAAAUAUCCAGAAAUUCAUCCAGUUCCAGCUUACAGUUAAUGUUGCAGCUCUAGUGAUAAACGUCGUUGCUGCUGUUUCCUCCGGCAAUGUUCCACUAAAUGCAGUCCAGGUUUGAUUCCCCCACUCAUCUGUCAGAGAUUGUUUAAUUUAUUCCUACGCCCCAUAUGUUUCCGUAUGACUCCCAUGCUUGGCUGGCUUUCUCUUUGGGCAGCUUCUCUGGGUCAAUCUCAUUAUGGACACUCUUGGAGCACUGGCUUUGGCUACAGAGCCCCCUACAGAUCAUCUGAUGCAGAGGCCACCUGUUGGCCGGAGGUAAGGAUUUAUUGGUGAUUUAUCAGCAGUUGAGCUUUGAGUUUGUGUGUGUGUGUGUGAGAGAGAGAGAGAGAGAGAGAGAGAGAAAAGGGAGGGGGGGGGGGGGGGGGGGGGGUCAUGCAAAUAGUCUUUGUUUUUCUACAGUAAAUUUUUUCCACUUUUGUGCCCCCAGUGGGGAGAGGGAGGAAAAAAGAGGGGGGGGGGGGGCAUGGGGUCAUGCAAAUAUUUUUGUUCUUCAACAGUAAAGCUUUUCCACUCUUGUGCCCAUAGUUCUUGAUAUCUUGAUUUUCCUUUUCUGAAUGUUGCAAGUGGCUCACCCAUUUGUACAUUUCUUGGGAAGAUGUAUGAAUGCAUUUAGUUGUAUCUUUUAUGACCAGAGAACCUCUCAUAACCAAUAUUAUGUGGCGGAACUUACUGACACAGGUAAAAGAUCAAUGUAAUUUCCUCUGUACUAGGCUCAUCUAUUGUUUGCCAAAAGUUACAAAUGUAAAUUUUGUAUUGCAGGCUGUUUAUCAAGUUUGUGUCCUGCUUGUCCUUAAUUUUCGAGGAAGGAGCCUGCUAAAUUUAAAGAAUGAUGGCAGUGAUCAUGCGAACAAAGUGAAAAAUACUUUGAUCUUCAAUGCAUUUGUCCUUUGCCAAGUAAGCAUCAUUCUUUGAGUCAAUAUAAUGGUGGGAUGAAAUGUAUGCAUGAGUCGUUAUAUAUGUUGUUGGACAGGGAGGCUUUUAGUGACCUGCUCUUUUUGCUUGAAAAAGAGGGUAAUAAAUUUUUUACCUUGAAACAACUGUCAAAUAGCACAUCAUUUGAACUGCAGAUUUUCAACGAAUUCAAUGCUCGGAAACCAGAUGAAUUAAAUGUGUUCAAAGGAAUCACCAGAAACCACCUCUUCAUGGGAAUAGUGGGUCUAACACUUAUUCUGCAGGUCAGUCAUGCUUUGUCUUAUUAGAUUUGUUUCGUUUUUCUCUGUAAACCAUUAUGAUCCAAUUUUUCUCUCUGGAUUCCUCCAGGUCAUUAUAGUCGAGUUUCUUGGAACAUUUACUUCAACAGUAAAGCUUAAUUGGAAGCAGUGGCUCAUAUCGAUCAUUAUUGCUCUCAUCAGGUUAACUGACAUAGAUUUCAACAAAUAUGGUGAAAAAGUUUGUUGAUUUCCUCCUCUUUUUAUUCUGUUCAAGGUUGGGUGUUUCUCAUGCUUUGUUCUGGUUAACUGACAUAGAUUUCAACUUAUAUGGUGAAAAGAUUUGUUGGUUUCCUCCUCUUUCUAUCCUGUCCAUGGUUGGGUGUAUCUCUCUCAUGCUUUGUCCAAAAUUCUUGUCGUUCAUUUUGAUCAACUGAUUCUGUGUUUGAUUCCUGAAGAGUGACAGCUUUUUCUUUUGCCUUUCUUUUCCUGGCUGGCUUAGUGCCAAGCUGGCAGUUUUGUGAAUUUCCCGAGUCAAUAUCCUCAGGGCUGGUCAUGACUGAUUUUGUUUGCCUAAUGAUGGAAUUUCUUCUUCCUUUUAAUUUUUUAUGUUGUGUUUUUGAAGCAUUGAACAUUGCUUAAUUGAUGAACAUAGGUGCGAGAGUAAACAAUCUUUGGUUAUGUCCCAUCUAUACUAGCGCUAAUGUGUUGUCUAUGUCUCUUGUUUUUGUUCUUGUUUGUGAUCAGUUGGCCUCUUGCCAUUGUUGGGAAACUGAUACCUGUUCCAACGACUCCCCUGAGCGACUAUUUUGCCAGGAUAAUAUGCUGCCGUAGAGGAACCUGAGGUAUGAUGGUAGAAUUUGUCGUGGAGUCUUGUGCUUACUUUUUAUUUUGAGCCUGUCUAAGAUUGUGACAUUUUGCUCUUCAGGUUACCUCAUCGAUGGCGAGAAACAUAUAUAGCUACUAGGCUCCAUGUCAAUUCUCUUUCAGCCCAUACUUCCUUAUGAAUAGGGGUGAGCGGGUCUAAGGUGGGUAUGGUCUGGACCUGGACUCUGUACCCGACCCUGUUAUAACCGGUUCUCUUUUUUUGGACCCUGUACCCGACCCUGUUUGCAUUGGACACUGUUCCCGAACCACCCUGUUUUUUCAGUCCGGGAAUAGGGUUAACCCUGUUUAUAUUGGAACCGGUUUUGCAUAAAAAUUGCUGUAUAACACUCAUAUGUAAGAUAAAGCGUUGGUGGUGAUGAUGAUGAUAAGAACCAAACGUCACUAUAUAAGCAUUCUCAAGGGAAAACAUAAGAGAGUUCAUCUUUCAACAUGAAAUUUUUUUGGGCACGUAGAGGACCAUUCUAGACCAAUGUUACAAAUCCAGGAGCAACUUGGCACUUAAAAAACCCAGCAAUGAAUCAUCAUAGGUCUCUCAUUAUACAAUCGAGAUACUAAGCCAAAGAUAAAUCAAUCUUACACUCGAAAAAGUAAAAGAAGCAAGAAAAUCGCCCUUCCUUGGAACUUGGUCGCCUCUGGAUUUAAUUACCUCAAAGUAGGAGACACCACAGAAGGCCACCAAGACAGUUGCAAGUUUGAGAGGACAAAAGCAAUAAUUAAGUUUAGAGCAUCCCUAUAACUUGAGUGACCUUUCUAUAUGAUCUCACUUUUAGCAUUAAUGUAUCACACAUGCUAGUAAGUCAAAAAUCCUAACAAACAAGCCUUUACAUACUUCCUAAAAUAAGUUUAGAUUAUUUCCAAUUAUGAAGCCUGAAUCAGAUAACUGUUGUAGAAUUACAUAUUAAAAAUAACAGCACCUUGUGCAUAACAAUGAUACAUACAUGGCAAACAAUAGAGACCAAUACAUUACUAUGAAAGUUUCUUGUUAUAUGUAAUACCUUGAACUAUACAUUCAUUUCCGUGAAAGAGAGGUGAACUAUCAUUUCUAGCUUGCAAAUAUUGACUGUGUAGAAGUCAAACACGAAGAUGAAUGUUGUAGUACCAAGUGCAUACCUCAGAAAUGAAAGCAGCAACCCAACGCAAGUAUUGAGGAGCCAGGCAAUAAAACCAUACUGGGGAAAAACCAAUGUCCAUGAGAAAAAAACCAUCAAUUAUUGUAAAGUAUUGAAGAGAUACAUGUAGAAAAUUCAUAGACCAACAAUCGACAUUAACAUAAAAAUAGCGCAAAACACUGUAAGUAUGCCAGUCAACGGAAUCAAUCUUAGUUUAGCACUCAAUAACGAGCUAAAGUACAUGGAUAUAGAAAAUUCUAGAGACAAUAUGCAGUAGAUAAAAAGCACUAUAGCAAUAAUCAAGUUCAAGAAAAACCCAUCUAGCUUGAAACUCAAUAUAACUAGUCACCUCUGUUCUUACUUUUAUUUUUUUCCCUUUCCUCUGCCGAGUUCUGGACAACAACUGGCUCACCCCCAACGUCUCGCCGGUGGUUCCUUCUUAGAAUUCCAAGGAAAACCAAGAACUCAAGAUCUAAACUUGGGUCAAGUUCAAGAAAAACUCAGAACUCAAAAUCCAAACCUGGUUCGAGUUUAAGAAACACCCAGAAGUUUAGAACCCAAAAGAGUGGAAGGUAACCAACAAUUUUUAAAAACUCUAGGAUAUCAUAGGACGCGACGAGCGAGCCAUGAUCAAGGGGGCAAGUCAACACGAGGCAGCUGGGAUGCAGCUCACCAACCCAGGAGCUGACUUUUAGCUCAGAGAGAGAGAGAGAGAGAGAGAGAGAGAGUGAGUGAGUGUCACGCCCCGAUCCUUAGGCACCUACACAUUCCUUACUUGUAAAACAAUGGAAUAGAAAAGUAUGGCCAUAUUUUUCAUAUUUAAAUUCACAACCAAAAUUUUAUACAACUACACCUCAAAGUAUUUUACCAUACUAUUCACAAAAGGUAUAGUUUCACACUCAACCAUAUACAAACAGGGUUCACAAAGAGGAUUGGAUCAUAGUCCUCAUCCGGGUCGUACUCGGAUCAUCAUUGGAAUUCUCAGCCAAGAUUAUUCUCAAUUCAGUCUCACGAUUUCCUCUACUUUACAACUCAUUAAAGCAUUGUCAAUGCUAAAUAACCACACUCGGCCAUCUACCAAUUAAUCAUUCAAUUUCAUUCAAUUUCAGUCAAUUAAGGAAUAAUUCCUCAAAUUGCACAAUUAAUUCGAUUAAGCACAACGUAGAGCUCAAAUAAAUAAAUGGAUUGCACCACGACAAUUAGCACGAAAUUUCGGUCGUCGACUAUCCUUACCUAAUUUCCGAAAAAUUAAUAAUUAAAUAAUUAAUUUCGAAAAUUAAUAAAUAAAUACUAAAAAUCCAAUUUAGGCCCAUAAUGCCUAAUUGAAGCCCGAUAAGGGCCGAGAAAAAUCCCGAGAUGCAUUUAAUAAAUAGUAUAGGCAGUUCUCUAGCUGAGUACACUAACCACCUAACUAAUAUGCAAUGCAAUUAACUAAUAAUCGCUAAUCCAUUGUAAUCUAAUCACCUAAUUGCACUUAAUUAAAUCUAAUCAACCUUUAAGCAACAUUAGUCUACUAAGCAAUGAUUAAUGAGAUUAUUCAUUUGAUUAAAAGUGGGGAUCAGGACAUCGUGACGGCGGUCGAAAUCGGGCUUUCAACGACAUCGGCGGGUUUGGACCGGGCCUUAAACUUGGGCCUAACAAAUCUCAGCCCAACUGAGAUUUGUUCUUGCACUAGACUGGGCUCAUUCUUAGGCUUGGGCUUGGCUGCGAUUGGGCCUUCUUCGUGGGCUGGACUUGGGCCGAACUUGCUGAAUUGGGCUCAAUGGAGCUGCUGGAUUUUUGGGCCAAAGACUUGGGCUGUUGGACUUAUUUAAUGGGCUAAGAUGGGCUGUUGAUUCCACUGGGCUUUGAUGGGCUUCAACUAGCGGGCUUAAGAGCCCAACUGAUAGAGACUUCGCUGGGUUGCUGCUGGGAGAGUUGGGCCGACCGAAAUGCAAGCUGGAUUGAAAUUUGCUGGAGAAGGCCAUGCUGGGGACGUCUGGUAGCAGAAAUGUGGGCUGGCGCGGCCCGCGAAGGAAGCGGUAGCUACGUUGCUUCGGUCAACAAACCGAAUGAGGGAGCAGCUGGUGUUCGCUGGCAGGGGAGAAACACAUGUGUUGCAGGGGCGUGAAGGUUGAAGGAGAUGGCUGCUUCGGUGGAGUCUUCAAAUUACUGAAGCUUGUUGUGAUUUGGGCCAAAAUUGUGGGGUCGUGGAGGUGAGCUGGCUUCGUGGAGAUGGGCGGCUUCGUGUGGGGCCACGAGGUCAACAAACCGAUGGAGGGGGAUGGCGUGGUUGACUGGAUGCGUGGCCUGGACGUGUGUGAGUGGAGGAUUGGUUUUGGUGGAAGAUGGUGACCGACCGAUUGGGGUGUUGGCGCUAGGAGUUGCAGCAGAGGAAUCGGUGGAAUUCGUGGACUGGCCAAGUGAAAGAGAGAGAGAGAUAGUGGAGAGGGCUUUGGUGGUGUUGAAGAUGACUCGGACGUGGCGGCAAGCUGAAGCUCGUGAGGCGAGAGAAGGCAGUAAUUUUUUUCAAUGGAUGUAGCUUGGAACAAAACGAAAGAGAAACUGUGAAGAUGGAUAGGAACGGAGGAGGUGGACGUUCGGUGGACUGGAAUUUUCGCUGAUUCUACUCUCCCUUGCUGGUCACACACGGGUUGGAGAAAAAGAGAGAAUGGAGGGUCCCCCUUAGCUUGAUCUUUCCAAAAAAAUAUCUUCACAAACCAUCUUAAGCCAAGUGUUUUUGCUUGGCCUCCAUUAGGUCACACAUACACUUCUUCUAGAAGCCAAAAAGGUCCAAAGGUUGUGGCUUAGGGGGUACACGAAUUUGGGGGAGGGAUGGACUCAAUUGCACAUCAACUCUCUCUUAAUUCGAUAUCAAAUAGCCUCUAAAAAUCAAUUGAUCCACCAUUGAUUACCUUGGCAUUCUUCCUCACGUAUAGCCAUCUUGCUUUUCAAUUUUGCCAUCAAAACAUUCCCCGGCCUUUUCUGCACAAAAUGGUUAUGUACAAACUUUUUUCCAAAAAGUCUCGACUGUCAGAAAAAUCUUCUAAGAUUGAGUCAACACUUCUAUAAUUUAUUGCGACAUGGCAGGAAUUUCAAUUUCUGAAAUCAAACUUGAAUUCUUAGUUAAUUUCAACUUGGCGCGUUUUUAGCGUGAUUUAGGCUACUAGGUAACUUUAAGAUAUUUUAAGUGCAAAUGACCCGUGGUCGAUUUUCUUCGAGUCACUAUGAACCCACUUGACUCAUUGGCGACUCUCGAUUGUCGUGAAAAUCUCGAGUAUCCAAAUACGUACACAUGGUACCAAAACGAUAGAGAAAUCAAAUUAGUGCCGGCCAACGAGAAUUUUUCAAUUUAGUGGUGUCACCCACGAUUAGACACACAUCUCAAUCAACCAACCUAUAUUUGAUCUCAAAUCGAUUUAUAUUUGUGCCGUAAUAAUCUCGAUAGAUGAGCACGGUCGAGAAGCCGAUUCCUGGUUGAAUUCUCAAGUCUAUUUGCCUUAAAAUUCUUAAUGGCUUUCCCUGAUAAUCUAGUUAUCUCAAGAGUGAUUAGUUCUGAAAAUAGCCCUAUAGGCAUGUCAAUGAAAUGGCCGGUUUAUUCAGUAGAAAACGGAGUUGAAAUUCAGGGUUUUCAUAGAGAGAGAGAGAGAGAGAGAGAGAGAGAGAGAGAGAGCCUUGACACAAGCCUGUCGCGACCCGAUCUCGCCGCCCUCGAAAUGUCCAAGGUGGGAAAGGUCAGGUUUAGGGGUACUUGAUCUCAAGAUCGCGAGCUCUCCCAAGCUCGUACCCCGCGUGACAGUAGGUUUAUUUAUGCGAUCUAGUUGUUUAUAACAACCUAAAAAUAUACAAGAGUAGCCACUAGCCUCGUUUUUGGGGGUCGGCUAGAAACCCAAUCGAGGGUCGGGAGUGUUCCCUCAAUUCCUACACAACCAAAUAUUUAGGUUCGGGGACUUGGGUUACACUAAUAUUGCUAUUAGCGCCCUUUCGGUACCUAAACAGUAUGUUGUGUUUUUUCCUAACAUGUCCAUGUGUUUCGUUUUAUAUUUUCAGGAUCAUCAAUUCUAUACUAAAUGAUCAUGCGUGGUGGAUUACUUUCAUUCUAUUCUAUUCCUAAAAAAUGAAAGGAAAACAAACAAUGAAAAUGAAAUUGCAAGACAUGAAGUAAACAAUCAAGAAAAACAGUUAAACCUAAUCAUGCAAUUCUAAAAAUAUAAAAGAGAAAACAAUUGGGAAAGAAAGGAAACCCGCAACUCGUUGGGUUUUAUACAAUGCAUGGAACCCGAGACAUAUGUCGGGAAAACAAAUAGUACAUGACAACGGUCGGAGUGGACAUCGACCUCCACCAUCUUCACGCAAAGGUCCACCUUUGGGGCCCUAAUCUAAACCUACUCUAAGAAAUCUAGAUGACUAGAUGCAUACAAAUGAAAGAAACAAUCAAAAGCAAGACAUUUUUUAUGUUCAUAAAUGGUGACUAAAGUCACGAAGUUCCUAAGUCAAGUUCUAUGCGACAUCCCAAAGGCACUUACAUUAUCCUGCAUCGCGCCUAAGUCAUUUAUCUAACAAUCACAUGCGAGGCAUAUUAAUUGACAUGCACUUUGGCCAUACGAUCUUGACUCUUAAUCAAUCCAAACCAAUGAGUGAACCAACUAAGGAUCACUUAUUCAAACACAUGCACCAUUGAAUUCGCUCAACACAUGUAUUCAAGGGGAAUGAAGCAUUCAAUAUGUAACCCACAUGAUACUUAAAACCGUUUUAUAGACAAUUGACAAAGGACAUCAUUUUAAAAGAUUUGAUGAAAAGGGAGAUAUCAGUUCAUCAAGUCAGGGAAUGUAUCUAGUCAUCAAGGCAAGCUUAGGUGCAUCAUGGGCACAACUGAUCAAGCUUCAAAGACGUUCUAAACAUGUUUCAAACCUCAGAUAGCAUUGAUGUCAAGCCAAAAGCAUGAUUAAGAAAUUUGGAAAUACAACAUGAAAGCUUGGAAAUUGUAUGCAUCGCGAACCAAAUCAUUUAGUAAGUGACACAAUUGGGAUGUAAGAAAACGACAUUUCAUAGACACUGAAGCAUAAGAGAACAUAAACUUUUGAAAGCAAAGGGAAACAAUACAUGGCAGCAAAAUCUUGCGAACAGAUAAAAUCCCACCCAGGUUAUAUGGUAGCAAAGGAAAUUUGCUUCUUUGUACUGCAAAAAGCUUUGCUAUCUAACGUCAGUUAACACAGCAAAUGCAUACAUGAACAACAAACAUCAAAUGCACGAUCGAACAACUCCACAUAUUAGGGCAUAUGAACGGCAAGCAUGCACGGAAUAGACAUAAUCUGUAACAUAACACAUUGGUACGAACACAACAAUUUUCCAGAAUUACUCCCUAACUUUUAAAGAAGGUUUCAUGUGGCUAAUGAUAUCGGAUCAGGGUGUGUUAUAGCUUGUUGGAAAGCUGGUCGAACCAUCUUCAACUCUCAUGAAGGCAUCAAACAUAGAAAACCACAGCAACCAGCUCAUAUCAGGUCAUUUGCACAAAAGGCCAUUCGAAACAAAGAACAUAUCAGAACUGCAAAAUUUCAAACAAGGUUAGGGAUAUUCUAGGCAUACUCGACCUAGGUAAAUGAUCUUCAAUUAUCACGAAAUUUUUAUUUGAUAUAGAUUGGAACCUAAUGAACAACUUUCAUUUAGACAUCAACUUUAGAAUCUAAUCACAAAAAAUCAUGUGAAAAUGGCAAACAACAUAGGUCAUGAAAACAGAACACUUAAUCAUUUAUCAAUUGUAGCUCCGCUUGUAACAAUUGUUGAAUCUAGUAAAUGAUGAUCAAAUCCAAAAGUUCACGGCAUCCAUUAGAAAAUAUCAAGAAAGAAACAAGCCUCGAGCAUAGUACAAAAGGACAGCAAGCCUCGAGCACAGUAAAGACUAUGAACGUGCGUUUAGCUUAGGCAUUUCAUCAAAUGCUAAAUAGGCGCAAGAAAAACAGGGAGCACCGAGACUGAGCUUGAGUAGGGAUUCAAAAACAAUAAACACCCAAGACCUCGCAAUCGCAGCAGUACCAACCAGCAAUGAAAGGGUUGAAGCUUACCUUGAAUGAAUAGGCGAAGGAUCACAAGCCGUCGGCUGUUGCCGUUGACGAUGCUGUUUGAGCCCUAAACGUCAAGCUCCUCGACCGACCGUUCCAGCGAGUUAGAUAGGGUGCGCGAGAGAGCGAUCGAGAGGGAGAAAGCGUUUAAGUCAAAGGAAGUGAACAGGAGAGAGAAACCAUAUGCCAAAAACUCAGUGGAUUGAGAGAGAGAAAAAUAGCUCAUCGUCGAGCAAACGACAGAGCUGAGAGAGAAACAGUUAAACGUCCUAUCGUCACCGUUGUUGCCGUCACCGCUGAUGUCGUCGAUCGGUCUCGGAGCUCAAUCCUUGGAGCUGAACCGGAACCCCAAAUCUAGAGAGAGAAUGAAUGAUCGAGAGAGAGUUCGAUCCGGCGAGCUCCCGCACCUCCGAUCGCGCCAAUAAAGGAAAACCCCAACUAAUCGAGCUCCAACCAAGAGAAAGCACUGAUCUCCGACCGCCGAUGUCACCGCCUUCAGAUCCUUACCCUCGGAACCGAACUGAUAUCUCCAACAACUUGGCGCGAUUCCGAGUCACGCACCACAAGUUCCUCGAUCAACAGUUGUUCCGUCUUCUAGAGUUGAUCGGGAGAGAGAGAGUCUCUGAUCGUGAGGAUGCCGGAUCUGGCGCGCUACUUCUCAAGAGGAGCUCUGCGAGACUUGGAGGCGAUUGUCGAGGGAGGGAGCGGAGCCAUGGCCGGCGUCGGAGGGUUCUUCGUCAGCCUCUGAGAUCGGGAAGAAAUCGAGAGAGAGAGAGGAGGUUGUUACGGCGAAAGAGAGGGAGUGUGCGAGUCCGUUCGGUUGUUUAGUCGAGAGAGCGGGAACUAGCGAGAGAGAGAGCGUCUCUGAGAGAGAGAAUCCGCGCCAGAGAGAGAGUACCCCCCUUUGAACGCCCCCCUCCUUCCUUUUCUAUUAUUUUUUCCUUUUCUCUCCCUUUUUCUUUAUUUCUCUCCUUUUUUUCAUUUCAAUGAAUUUUUUUUCAUUUUUUUUUAUUUUUGCAAAAUAUUUCCGUAUCAGCCGAAAGCAAACUCCGAAAACUCGACACAAGCCGAAAGCACCCGAGAGAGAGAGAGAGAGAGAGAGAGAGACCUUGGAAUCGGGUGCGGACGACGUCGAGGGGGUGCGCGACUACGACGAUGGCGAACCCGGCGAUAGCUCCGGCGGUGGCGUUCUCCCACUAACGGAUCUGGCGAUGGCGCGACGAAGGAAAAGCAAGUCUGCAGGUGAGAGGUAAAGAUAGAAACGAAUUAGGGUUUUGGAUUUUGGCCCGCCUUAAAAACCAGUUCCCGAACCGGUCCGGUCGAUCCGAUUCUCGGGUGAGUAAUCCAUCGAAAUCUAUUCCCAGAUCGAUUCAAAUAGGGUAUGGAAUUUGGGAACCGAUUCCCGGACCGGUUUCAACUGGAACUGGUUCCCAAUCUUGUUUUCCGGGUGGGCUGGACCGGGAACCGGGUAAACCUGAUCCGGUUGCACACCCCUAGUGAGCAUGGUUCGAAGGUGAAGCUUAGAACUUGAUAACCAGACCAGUUGAAAUAUGUAGGUUCCCAAGUUCAAAGAUAUACAUGAUAGGUUUUAAGUUCUAAAAAAUGAAAAGUUUGUUUUGAUGGAUAGAUUUUAGAUUUUUAGUUGGAGAAACUUGGAACUUGGAACUUAAAACUCAGAAUAAGUUUUAAGGCUUUUCUUAGUCCAUGUCUCUGUGUGAUGCUCCAAUAUUUUAUAUUGUUCGAUGAUAAGUGUAUAAUUUGGAAGUACUAGUCUAAAUUUUCAUUUUAUAACUAAGAUUUUUACUUUAUUAAUGUUUAUAUUUUUCGUAUGUCUAAAUAUAAGUUAUGGUUAUUGAACUGUAAUCGUUUAAAUAAUUAUAUAGGUGAAACCUAGAUAUACUCUUAUAUCGAUUUUUGAACUUGUGACAGGAUAUGUUUUAAGUUAUAGGAUCACAGGUUUCAAGGUAUUUAGGGUAGGUUCCAGUUUCCAGAAAAAGAAAAACUUGUUCCAAUGGAUAGGUUCUAGAUUCCAGGUGGAAGAUGGAUAAAACUUAGAACCAUUUACCCUUACUUUAGAUGAACUUCAAAUCUAAGAAAGUUAAUGUUGUGAGGUUUAGGGCUUUUGAAUCAUAUAUUUCACUUGUAAUAGUGUUUAGGACCUCACAAAUUUUGAAGCCCGAGUUGAGGCAAUAGUUCAUUUUAAAGAACGAAUCUUAUAUUUGGAGAAAGUUUGGUUUCUUUCAGACAAAUCCUUGAUAAUGUAAGGUUUGGAUCAUUCAAAUCAUCUAAUUUGCAAAUAAUGGUGUUUAUUUUAAUUCAAAUAGAUUUUCACAAUCAUUGCAACACUAGCUAGGGGGAUGUUGGCCUUAUGCUCAGCAAGAAAGAAAAGUCUUGAUUUUGGUUGAAGAUUUUUCUAUAUGAGGGUGGGGUUACCAUUGUUUUGAGGUCCAUUUCUCAUGACGUGUGAGAUUGUGAUUGUGAUUAUGAUUUUCUAUUGGUUUUGUGGACUAAAUUUGCAUAUCAUAGGGAUCUCUCCCGAGAGAGUUGUAGAAUCUUUUCGGCCUCACGGUUUGCUUAGGUCUUGUUUGGUUAAACUUUUUCAAGGGGCUUUGAGUCCCAGAGUCCAUUAGGGAAAAUAUAAAGUGUUUAGUGAGUGCUUUUGAGAUUCCAGUGGCCAAGUGCUUGUAUUGGGAAGGCCCAAAGCCAAUGCUUUGGGCUUUCAACAUUUUGGGAAUGCAAGUCCCAUGGACACCGGUCAUCUCUUCACUAUUACUAUUCAUCUUCCCCAAUUUGAAUCGAAGAGCUAUAAGAGGCUGACGAUCAUCGCUAAGGGGUUACACGUCCCCUGCAAUUGUUGCCUAGGUCGCGUGACCUAGGGCAUCACGUUGGUCCCAAUGGCGAUUGAGGUCAAGCAACCUAGGUGAGGUUGUUGCUUGGGUUGUGUGUUCCAAGGUGUUGUCGGAGGUUAUGCGACCUAGGGCAUUGCCUAAGGUCAACAACCUAGGCAGCGGGCGAUGUUGAGCAACCUAGGUGAUGGUUGCCUGAGGUCGCAUACCGUCGAGCAUUAAUUACUCUACGAUUCUUUCAUUUCCAUGUAAAGAUCAUUUUCUUCAUGAGUACGUUCAUCUAAGUGACCGUUGCUUGGGUUGCUCGAUCUAGGUGGUGCUUGAGGUCAUGCAACCUCAGGCCGCCUCGCCUAAGGUUGGCAACCUUAGGUGAGGAUGCCUAGUAAUUGAGCUUUGCCAGAUUAGUUUCGAUUUUUCAAAAUGAAUAAAUAAAUAAAUAAAUUUCUUUUGUGAAUGUAAAAUGGCAUUUAAGUCACAGCUCUCUUUUAAUGUACUUUAGAGUUAUAAUUUGCCAAACAAGAUAGCAUUUUGAUGUUAUACUCAAAAUAUUCUUGUUAUUGCUUAGACUUGAAAACAGUUUUAGUCCAAAAAUAUUUGCAUUUUCUCAAAGUCAUUUUCCACCUUAAUAAGUUCACAGUUUUAAAUAAUUGGACUGUCGUGACAGGCUUCCCCUCCUAACUAUUUACCUGACAAUCCCUUUUUUACGCAUGAUUUUGUCUUUUCGGCUUUGCUUUAGAUAUACCAAUUGCAAAUUUGAUGCCGUUUCUAGUACAAACCUAGGGAAAUGGUAUUUGUUAACAAAAUAAUCCAAGGCGUUUUGUGAUUGUUGCGAAUUAAAAUGAAUUUUUAUUUGUCUAAAAAAUAUGUAUUCUUUUAUAAUUGUCGCAUAUUUUAUUCAGUGAGUUUCCAUUUAUUCACGUUACUUGAACUUGAAGAUUCAUGUUUAUGAAGGUGAUGGGAUUAAUUGUUAUGUGAUUAAGCUCUUAAUUAGUCAUCCUAUCGUGGAUCCAAGUUUAUGAAGCCUAAUAGGGGAGAAGUGUUAAAAAGUCUUAAACCUUUUGUAUUUAUGUCAAUUUAGUCUUAAUUUUUUUUUUUGUGUCAAUUUAGUUCUAAAUCUUGUUAUUUUUUGCCAAUUUAGUCAUUUUCAACCAAUUUUGGCCGAAUUUUGUUGACUAGGCGCCGGCUAGCUGACGUAGCUUGAUCAGUGCUAAAUAGAUAACUUUUAAUAAUAUUUUAAUAUUUUAGAAUUUUUCUUUUUCUUUUUUCCUUCUCCUCCUCCUUUCGGUCAACGAGGUCGAGGUCAAUCUCGCUGAUUGAAGGAAGGAGGAGAGAAGAAAAAAAGAAAAAAAAUUCAAAAAUAUUAAAAUAUUAAUAACCGGUUGGUGCCCAGUUAGCUCACCAACCACCAAAAUCUAACUAACCUUAACUUCACCGGAGAAAGGAGGAGGAUAAGGAAAAAAAGAAAAAGAAAAAGAAAAUUUCUAAAAUAUUAAAAUAUUAUUAAAAGUUAUUGGUGAUCAGAUUACUUCAGCCAACCGGCGGUCAAUUAGCAAAAUCUGGCCUAAAAUUGGCCAGAAAAGACUAAAUCGAAACAAAAUAAAAAGAUUUAGAACUAAAUUGGGACAAAAAAAGGAUUUUGACUAAAUUGACACAAAUACAAUAGGUUUAGGACUUUUUUAACACUUCUCCUAGCCUAAUAGCCUUAUGUGUUUGGAGAUACAAAGGCAAUCUCUCUUGAAAUAGUGAAAAGGGUCGAGCUAUCAGACAACAUAUUUUAUGAACUUGAAAUACAUUAGGGCUAUAGGGGGAAAAUUGUUUAAAAAGUUCUUAAUCAACUAUACUUUUGUUAAUUCAAUCCAAAACAUUUUAAUUUUGUUAAUUGAGUUUUAAUUCUAUUCAAAUUGGCCAAUUGAAUCCUAAACUCUUUCAACUUUGUUAUGUCAGUUUCUUCAAUCAAUUUUGAUGGGAUGUUGAUCAUUCUUUUAUUAUGUGGCUGGCAAUGACGUAGAUAAUUUUUCAUUAUAAUUUAAUAUUUUUAUUUUUAUUUUUCUCUUUUCUUCUAAUCAUGGAAGAUUUUUAUGCUCUUGAAGUAUAACUAUUCAAAAUAAUGAACAACUUGGUUCUAAUACCAAUUCUUGUGAUUAACUAUACAAUCUAGAAGGGGUGAAUAAGUUGACUUAUGAAAACUUAACAAAUUUUGUGGAAUGAGAUAAGUAAAGUUUAAAAUAUGUGGAACGUGCUUGAAAUUGACAAUAUCAAGGGCAUUAUGUUUCCAUCAAAUGUAAAAGAGAUAAAUUAAUGUGUACAGAGUUUAUAGUGGUUGGAUUUGCGAUUAAUGCCUACGUAAAUAGGCUUAAAUUCACAAGUAAUUUCUUGAGUAGUUGCAGUGUAGUAGGUAUUACUUCUUCUCGAAGUUGUUACAUCACAUAAUCAAAAUUCAAGCACCACUACAACGCUUGAGCACCCCUCAAAUUAAAUUAAAAUCUUUGACGAGUAGUCUCAAUGGCAAAAUGAACUUCUUGCUCAUAAUAGUUAGAAUAUCAAUGCAUCAAUAUUUUAAGCUUUUUUUGUUUUGUAUUUGUAUCUUUUUCAGAAUGUCUUGAACUUGUCGUGUAGUCUUCAAUCUCCCAAAUAGCCAUUGGAUAAUGUCUAAAUGUGUUUUGUUCAACUUGUUCAAAGGCUUUUCAGUCUCCAAAGUCCUUUGGAGAAAUAUUAGAGUGUUUGGUAAGUCAAAUAAGCCUUUUUAAAUAGUUUUGAUCAAAUGUUCAUCUUGAAAACGUUGAAAGUCCAACUAAGUAGGGAUUGGCCUUUCAAGGUAGAAUUUGCAAAAUAUUGAAACUGAUGUUAAUUUUUUUUAUUUUCAAAUUUUUUUUAUUUUGCCCCUUAUUGCUACUAUUCAUUUUCUUUGCGAGGGCAGCUAACGAUGGUCGACGAGGUUAAAUUUGAUCGAUGAAGGACUGAUAGGAGAUUGAUGAAGGGUCAACGAGGUCAUGCGACCCAUGUAAUGGCCACUUGAGGUCACAUGACCCUCGCUAGGCUCUCAAGGUUGUGCAACCUUGGCUGACAGCUUGAACCCUUUGUUGGAGCCUACAAAGGGUUUGAUUUCUUUUUAUAAAAAAAAAAUACAAUAAUUACAAGCAAAGCCCUUUGCAAUUUUUUAUUUAUUUAACCAAACACUAGUUCAAUCAUAGUUGCUUUACAAAGAAUUUUUAACCAAAAGCCAUUUGCAUUUGCCCAAACCCCAUUAGGCUAAAAAGUCUUUGUAUUUCCCCAAUGAGGCUUCAAAAUAGUGAACCAAACACACAAUAAGAGCAUUGACAUAGCUAUUGAAGAUAAUCAAUACAAUCAUUGAAGAUCCUGUUUGCCAUUCAAUCAAAUCUUCCUAGUAAUGGCAUAUUUUCCACAAAUAGAGUUGGCCAUGCCGAAGAAGAAAUAAAAAUCCAUUUCUCCCAAUGAAUGACAAUUGAUUUGAUCUUCUCAAGCACAUUAGCAAUCAAGAUUCCUAAUUUGCUCACCUCAUACCUCCUAGUAUCCAUGAACUUCUCAUUAUUUUUAAUUUUUCACUCUUCAUCAAUGUGUAUGCAGUCCGUACUGGUAUUCUUGCUUUGCCCCUUGAAUCUCAUUAAUGACGAUAGAAUAUCCUUUAUAUCACUUGAAAUAGAUCGAAUCUAAAUUUUUUGAGUGAUAAUGAAAAGUAAAAGGUUUUGUCAACUUCAAAGUAUGACAUAAUUUUUCUCCGCGUAUGAACUAAAAUUAUUUAGACACUUCAAGCUUUAAAAAUCACACUUUAAUUUCUUGACACCUCUCAUUUGGAUAUUUGAUUUGUGAGAGUAUACUAUUCUUGUUCAUGACGCAAAAUCAGCAAAAUUAUAAUUAUAAUUAUAUUAAACUAUGAAGUCAUAAAUAUAAGGGACAAUUCCAAAUAAAAGUGUAAAGUGCCACCAUAUUUUUAGAUAAAGGCUUUAAGUGAACUUUAUUUUAGAUUAGGGCUUGAAGUGGAUUUUAUUUCCAAUAAGGAUUUGAAAUAGUUAUGUCAGUUUCAAUAAAUGACAUGACCUCAUAAGCUAAUCGAUGGCCUUUGCAUGUAUUUUUUUCUUUCUAAUAUUUGUAUUUUUCUAAGUUUUUUUUUUAUUUUUAUUUUUUGAGUUUUUUGUGGAAAUAAAAAAAUAGAAAAAGGAAAAAAAGUAAAUUAAAAAGUAAAUGAGAGAAAUACCUUCGAUGAGCUAGUGAGGUUAAGUCUUUUGUUGAGAUCAACCUAGUAACUGAGGCUCCUAAUUGAAAUAAGAAUAUCAUUUCAAAUUUUUAUUCGAGAAAAUGAGAGUAGUUCGCAUCCUUAUUUUAAAUUUUUUCCAAUUAUAAUAGUGUAUUUAUAUAAAAUAAAGAAGAAUACCUAGUACUUUUUUUUUAAGCCACGACAUUUUUUUUUCCAUUUCCAAAACUGACCCUAGGGUUUUUUCCUUCCCUCGCUCUUGCGCUCUCUACUAAAUUCCUCUUCCCUCAGGCGCAUUCCAGCUUCCUCCGACGCGACCUGGUCCUCCGCCGCUCCCCCGUCGUCGAUCGCUUCCGCCUCCGCCUCCGCCUCCGCCGCCGCGCUCGGACGAUGGACGGCGCCCAGAAAGGCCCGUCGUCGCUGAUCAAGCAGCUCGCGUCCUGCAAGCAGUCGACCCGCGACCGCUCGCUCCGCGUCCUCCUCAAGACGUGGCUGCCCGCGCAGCCGGGCCUCUCCGAGGAGGCCAUGCGGAAGCUCUGGAAGGGCCUCUUCUACUGCGUCUGGCACGCCGACAAGGCCCCCUACCAGACCCACCUGGCGGACCGCCUCUCCUCCCUCCUCCUCUCCCUCGACUUGCCCCUCUCCGUCCACUACUUCUCCGCCUUCGUCCUCACCAUGCGCCGCGAGUGGGUCGGCAUCGACGCGCUCCGCCUCGACAAGUUCUACGUCCUGAUCCGCAGGUUCUUGAGCUCCUCCUUCGCCCUCAUGAGGAAGUACUCGUGGGAUUCGGGGCUCGUGGGGAGGUUGGUGGGGGUCUUGGAAGAGAGGGCUUUUCUUGCCGACGAUAAGCUCCAGGGCAAUGGCGUUAAUUACCAUAUUGCCACCGUGUAUCUCGAAGAGCUCAGGCCUUUUCUGCCUGCCAAAGCGGAGACCCUGGAGGUUUUGCUCAAUCCCUUCUUGAAUGUGAUGGGCAGGUCGUCGGAUAAAGUGUUGCUCGGUAAGAUCAAGGCUAAUGUGUUUGAUGUGUUGCUCAGGAUGGGGAAGGGUCUGUUGGAUGCGAAGAAGUCGGGGGUUGAGAUUGAUUUGGGUGAUGAUUUAGUUGUUUAUGGGACCAUAGCCUUGAAUAUGAGAUUUGCGAGUAAAUUCUUCGAAUUGGGAUCUUCAGCUGAGUGCAAUCAGGGGAACAGGAAGCUGCUGUUUGGCUUGCACGAGGAGUUCUUGAAGUUGGAGAAGGAUUUGGCUUCUUCGGAGUUCGAGAUUCCCAUUCCUUAUAUUUGUGCCAAUGACGACCAUGAGGAAGUGCCUGACUUGAUUCCCAUUGGUAGCGAGACUAAAAUGGAUGAUGCUGAUUCAGGUUUUCAAGAGAACGUUACGAAUGGAGUUAAGAUUACCAAGAAGCAAAAGAAAGCUAAGAAGGCUCUUGGUGGCAUGGAGGCAGAAGCAAAGAAGAAGAAGAAGAAGAAUAAAAAGAAUAAGAAGGAUGUGAAUCUUGAUAAUAGCACUUUUGAUGUGGAGAAUGCUAAUCCUGGCUAUUUGAUGUCGGAGUUCACGACGGAUGAACUUAACAGUAAUGGAAACAUGAUCUUCGAUGAAUCUAUGAUGUCUAACCUCCAAAUGGAAUUUGAGAGGGUCGCCGCUGCAGAGGGUCUAAGAAUAGAUGUUCCUACUGACUGGGAUGCAGAAAAGGCCGCAGUAAAUGGUGAUAGCUCCAAAAAGAGAAAGAGAGAGAAGACUAGAGAUAGGCAGCGAUCUCUCAAAUGUGAAAUGACUGAGAGAGGAGAUGAUGGAGAUGCACCCUCUGCAAAGAGCGGGGACACGAGUGUUAAGCGAGUCAGAUUUGCGAUGAAGAACAACUUGGUGUGGAAGCCUCACACUCCCUUACCUCCGCAAGAUCUAAGGUUGCCACCUUCUGCUACUCCUAGAGGAAGUGCACUCAAGAAGGGGCUGUCUCCUGGGCCCAUCAUGGAGAUGCCCCCCUUGGGGAAAAAAGCAAGACAGCGAGCGAGAACUGUAAAGAAGGUCCGAAAGACGAUAAAGAGCAUUUCACCUGCUGUCAAACGUCUGAAGAAGUUGAAGGCGCUAUCUCCCUAGUGGGUUUAACUUUGUAAGAUCAAGUUUUAGGAAACACAGAUUCAGUUUUAAUUGUUGAUGUUGGAUUGUUGUCCUUGGACUCUCGGGGAUAUCUACCUGGUUGGUUUAAUUUUGUAUGAUCAGGUUUUAGGGAAACACAGAUUCAGUUUUAAUGCUUGAUGUUUGAAUGUUGGCCUUGGACUUGACUUUCCCAACCAUCUCUUACUUCAUUGCCUUAUUUGUGCUGGAAUUCUUGAAUACAAGAUUGAUAGGGAAAUAUUGUGAAAAAUGGACAAUGAAAUUGAACCAGAAACAAAUUUAAAGAAUGAAAUCAAAUAGCAUUGACAUUGUUGUUAAUGUAGUUGCUCGUUGAUUGCCCAUGCUUAUGAACCUGUAGCUUUUUGGGUGUUGGCCUCAUGGAUGGUUGCUUUCCUUUUGUUGAGGAUUUGUCUUGGGGAUUUUGCACAUCUCUUAAUGUUGUUGAAGCUUUUGUUAGAAAAAAAAUGCCUCGUAGUUGAAGCUCUGCUAUGUCAGGUAUUGUUGUUGGUUUAUAGAUAGUUAUAGGUGCUUUCAUGGAGCCUAGUACCUCAACAACAUGACCAUUGUCUGCAGUGUGCUUAUUAUUACUGUAAUAAUAUGCACUUCCUUCUGGACCGAGUGCAGUCUGUUGGGAACUCUGACAGUAGCUGAACAUGAUAAUGGUUUGACAAGAAAAUUGAAUGCUAUUAUCUUUUUUAUUGUCCUUUCUUGAUAAGUUUGGACUUAUAUCUUACAUCAUCCUGGUUCUGGUCGGUUAUUUCUAGUAACUAUAUAAUUUUGUGCUGAUUUGUCGAUACCAUAUGAUAAGAUGAAGAGUCUACAUGGUGCCUCUCAUUAGAACCAAAUUCUAGGCGCGAGGUUUGUUGAUUGAAAAAUGUCACCACUGUGGAGAGGUGAUGAAUUUUGUUGUAACCAAAGGGUAGAACAUGCUACUAUUCAGCAGAUGAAAGAGCUACGAUUGUGCUUGGAGAUUGUGUGUACGCUCAUCAUGCAGUGCUGAAACGCAUUUGUUUUAGAACCAGUCUUUUUAGUGUUGAAAAACAUUAAAGUUUCAUAUUCUGGUUCUUGAUGCUCUGGGGGAAAUAAAUGGCGUGCAUCAAGAAAUCACAAGUUAAUUGCAUAAGUACUUGGUGAUUUGUGCUUUUUAAAGAUUUGUAUUCAAUUAUGCCAUUCUGUGCUUCCACUCCAACUUUUGAUAUCAGGCUUGGUUUAGACUCCACAUGUCUAUUGCUUCCUAUGAUGUGUUCAGUCUGGCAGUUCAUUUCACUAGAAGUCUAGCUAAUUGAGUUUUGACCAGUCAUUGAAGGAUGAAAAAUGUGGUGAUUUGCCCAAUACUCGAUUUCAGUUUUGAGCAAUAGGAAGUGAGUACUUUUAUGGCUGCUUUAGCAAAAGCAUGAGCAUUACUCAGGAAGACAUUGGUGACAAUGUUUGUGCUUAGAUGCAAAACCGUCUGUGGCUUACAAUUCUGGCAUCUCCUUGUUAUGUUCAUCCCUUCAUCUUGUUGCUCUGUCCAUUGUUUAAGGAGCUUGUUGAACAUGGCGUCUCUUCUCUUCGAGACAUUAUGUAGAAUUUGGAGGGUAACUUUACGAUUUCCUUGUUAGAGGUGGUAUGGUUGUUGAUCUGAUAGUGAUUCCAUAGAUCAGUUCACCUUUAUAUGCAAAUACAGUUAAAGUUGCAGCUCCUGUGAUAAAUGUCGUUGCCACUGUUUCCUCUUUGAUGUUCCGCUAAAAGUGGUGCAGGUUUUGCCUCUCUCUCUCUCGGUGACAUUCUGUUAUUUAUUCUGUUAUUUAUUCUGUUACCUAUUUGUCUCGGUAUGCAUGCAAUGUUUUGUCUGCUUUUUCUUUGACCAGUUUCUCAUGGUCAAUCUCAUCAGAGACAUUCUUGGAGCACUCAUUCUGGCCUCAGAAUCCCCUACAGAUCACCUGACGCAUAGGCCACGUGUCAGUUGGAGGUUAAAAUUUGUUGGUGGCUGUGAAUAUAUCAAUUAAGGCAGCUUUGUGGUCGUGUGUGUGUGUGGAUGACACAAUUCAUGCAAAUGAACUUUUUAUGCUUUUCUUCGGCAAAGCUUUUGCCUUAGUGAUGUCCACUUUUGCGCCCAUAAUCCUCGAUAUCUUUAUUUUGCUUUUCUAAUUACUGUAGUCGGCUUACCCAUGUAGAUAUUUUAUGGUAAGAUGUGUGUGCCUUUGGUUGAAUCUUUUAUGACCAGAGAACCUUUUCAUUGCUAAUAUUAUAUGGCGGACCUUGCUGUUACAGGUAAAUCUCAGUUUGAUUGCCUUUCUGUCUGGGUUCAUCUCUCGUUUGCAAAAGACACUAAUGUAAAUUUUGUAUUGCAGUCUGUUUGUCAAGGUUGUGUCCUGCUUGUUCUCGACUUUUGAGGAAGGAGCCUGCUAAAUCUAGAGGACAGUGAACGAACAAAGCGAAGAAUACUUUGAUCUUCAAUGCAUUGGUCCUUGCCAAGAAAGUGUCCUUACUCCUUUGAGUCAAUAUUUGGGACGAGAUGUGUGAGUAUUCAUUCCCACUUGGGCCCUUGUCUGUUACUUUCUGUCAGUAAGUGGACAGUUUAGACAGUUAUGGAACUAGGAAGAUUUGAAAGCAUCAGCAUAAGAGCAACGGUUAGAGGCCCUUUGGUGGAGACAGAUAUAUUGUGUGCUGUGAGCAUCUAUUUGGGCCCUGCCAGUGAGAUUCGUGGGUGCAAUUUCUCAUAAUUCAUUUCAUUGUGAUAAGAGAUAAUCGUAUUCUAUAAUUCAAUCAGGAUAGGGUUACAGAUUUAUAUGCUUGACCCUACUAAAACAUGCAUUACUAUUCUACCCUUAUUGCUAACAAUACUUUCUAACGUUUAGCCAAAAAAAAAACUUUUAACACCUCACCUCAAUUUGGGAUGUAGAUAUCAAAUAAUCCUAAUUUGGUACAUAAGAAAUUCACUCUAUUCCCCCCAUAGUGAUUUAGUAAAAAUGUCUACGAGUUGAUACUUCAUCUAUGUUGAAGUAUAAUCUCUCUUUUUUGAACUUUUUUUCCGUACAAAAUGACAAUUAAUCUUAAUGUGCCUAGUUCACUCGUGAAAAUAGGAUUAGAUGUAAUAUGAAUAGUUGAUUGAUUAUCACAAUAUAAAAUUGAUGAAUUUUGAUGGUGACAUUUCAAUGUCAAAUAGUAACAUCCUCAAUCAUAGUAAUUUACCCUUCACAUGUGCCAUAUAUCGAUAUUCAACUUCAAUGCUUGAUUGGAAAACUACAUGUUGUUUCUUAUUCUUCCACACAACUAAAUUAUCUCCAAGAAACAUCUAAAUUAUCUCCAAGAAACAUAUAGUAACUUGAAGUAGAUCUCCUAUCCAUAGGACAUCUAACCCAAUCGGCAUCAAAGAAGCUUUUAGUAUUUAGAUAACCAUAAUUCUUAAAUAAUAAUUCUUUGCCUGGUGCUCUCUUCAAAUAUUUGAUGAUUUGCAGCACAAAGUAUCCAAAUGAGUAAUACAGGGAGAACUUUUGAAUUGUGGUUUAUUUCGCUAAUGGCAAAAGAUAUAACAAGUCUUAUAAUGGUAAGAUAGUUUAACUUACCGGUAUCAAAGGCAAAAAAUAUAUCAAGUUUUAUAAUGUUAAGUAUCUUUGAUACUUCACUAUAUCAUGGAGUAAUUAUCCAUGUUCUUCAUCAUGUUUUACGCUGGGGUUUAUAGGGGUAUCGAUUGCUUUUGUUCCAAAAAUCUAACCUCACAAAAAAUGUUAAGUAUAUAUUUCCAUUGCGAUUAGUUGAUGCCGACAUGUGAGUAGGCUACUUUAAUACUAAUAAAAUAUUGAAAAUGUCUUAGAUUUUUAGUAUUUAAUUAUGUAUACAUAAAUUGCUUAAGUUUUCUAAUAUCAUUUGAAUCACUAUUAAUAAUAAUGAUAUCAUCCACACAAUUAAAGGAUACAACCAACUAAAGAGAGCUGAAAAUUGAAUGAUUAAUUUUACAUUAAUUUAAUCCAAAUUUGAGAAUUGCAUCACUAAAUCUACUAAACAAGUAUGAGGAGAUUAUUUAAGUCCAUAUAAAGUCUUGUGUAAAUGACAUACUGCAUUCACCCCCUGAGCAAUGAACCCAAGUGAUUGCUCCAUGCAGACCUAUUCAGCCAAAAGGCUUUUUUCACAUUUAGCUAAUGAAAUAAAUACAUGAACAUAUGGAAUUUUGGCCAUCGGAGAGAAAGUGUCAUCAUAGUCGACACCAUAAGUUCAUGUACACCCUUUUGUUACCAAUCGUGCUUUCAAUCAAUCAAGAGUGCCAUUCCGAUGGACCUUAACUACUAAACCCCAAGGAAGUAAGCUGCCAAGUUAAGCUCUUAAUUAGUGCCUACAUUUCAUCUUUCGUGGUAUGACGCCAUCUCGAAUGAGCAAGAGCUUCAACAAUACUACUAGGCAUAGUAUAGAGGACAACGACAAGACAGAUAAUAUAGGAGAUAAAUGAUCAUAGAUAGAAAAUUAGAAACAAUAUGACGCUUGUGAACACAGGCAUAAAAACCAAAAUAAGGAGCAUAACGAUCAACAGGAUGACCAACACAAGAGUAUACACCUUUUCGAAAAGCAAUUGACAAAUCAAAAUCGAAUAGAGUUUGGUAUUGUAAUUAGUGGGGGAACAUAUGAAUUAGUUGCUAAUAAAGACUAUUGUUCUAGUAUGGAUUGUACUACAUCGAUGAUAGGUGCGAUUAGCAAAAUAAAAUCCUAUGGAUGUAGUUGGAGAAAGCAAAGGAAGUUGAAUUGUUGGUAUGACACAACCAUCACCAUCACGAGACACCAUUGGAACCACCAGAGAAGUAAAAUAUGGAUGGUCUUUAAAGAAUGUCACAUACGUAGACGCGAACAUGCAGCGAUGAGUAGGACCGUAACAUUUGUAUCCAUUCUAAGUCCGAGAGUAUCCCACAAAGACAUUUUUUAGCACGAGUAUCUAGUUCAUCAAGAUAUAGGGUAAUACAAGACAAUGUACAAAUCAAAUACACCCACAAACCUGAAGAGUGAAAAGAGAGGAUAAUUUGGAUAUAAAAUAGAGAAUGAGGUCUCCUCUUGGAAAAUAGAAGUUGGGAGUCUAUCAAUUAAAUAUCACGCUAUAAGAAUAACAUGGCCCCAAAAAAAUUUAGGUAGGUGCAUGUGAAGCAUGAGACAACGGGUAACAUCAACAAGAUUUUGAUUUUUACGUUCGAUGACUGCAUUUUGUUGUGAAGUGUAUGAGCUGGAAGUUUGAUAAAUAAUACCACGAGAAUCCAUAAAUGAUUGGAAACCAGAAGUUGCGGCAAGAUAUUCUCUAGCAUUAUUUGACCAUAAAUAUUUGACAGAUAUAUUAUAUUGAUUCAACACUUCACAACAUAAUAAUUGAGAGUUAUGAAAAAUCUCUGUAUGAUAUUUAUUAAGAAUAACCAAGUCAUUUGGGCAAAAUCAUCCAUGAUGUAACAAAAUAUCUUAAUCCAGAGAAAGUGUAUCAUCUCAAAUGGACUAGACACACAACUUUGAAUGCAUGAAGGACAAGAGACUAUGAUGUUUACCAAACUGACAAGCUUCACAGUGAAAGAUAGAGAACAAGGUCUCCCUCUGGAGAAUAGAAGUUGAGAGUCUAUUAAUUAAAUAACACACGGUAAGAACAACAUAGCCCCAAAAAAAUUUCGGUAGAUGCAUGUGAAGUAUGAGGCAAUGGGCAAUUUGGAUGUAAAGUAGAGAACGAGGUCUCUCCUCAGAGAAUUAAAGUUGGAAGCCUAUUAAUUAAAUAAUUUGGAUGUAAAAUAGAGGACGAGAUCUCCCCUUAGAGAAUAGGAGUUGGAAGCUUAUUAAUUAAAUAACAUGCUGUAAGAAAAGCAUGACCCCAAUUUUUUUUAGGUAAGAUGCACGUGAAGCAUGAGGCAACAAGCAACAUCAAGAAGAUUUCGAUUUUGACGUUCAACGACUCCAUUUUUGUGUGAAGUGUGUGAGUAGAAAGUUUGGUAAAUAAUACCAUGAGGAUCAAGAAACAGCUAGAAUCUAGAACUUGCGGCAAGCUAUUCUCUAGCAUUAUCCGACUGUAAAUAUUUGAUAGAGAUAUUAUAUUGAUUCUGAUAAUGUUAGUAUAAACACAUAGAGAGGGGUGAAUAGGUGUUAAAGAAAUUUUUGUAAGACUUAACAACUUAAUUUGACUUUUAUGAGAACAGUAGACUGAAAAUGUAAAAGAUUAUAAACAGUUAUAUAAGACUGCGAAUUAAUGUAAAGAGUUUAGGGAAAGAGAAUUGAAACACAAUGUUUAUAGUGGUUCGGCUUAGAUCAAGCGUAUGUCGACUCUUCCAUACUGACAGCCCAUUGGCUAGAUUCCACUAAUAACCAAAAGAGAUUUUACAAUCUCACGUCCUUGAUUCCACAGUGUAGAGAUUCUAUUACACUUCCUCAAGGCCUCACAAGUAUUUGAUCUCUCUUUUGAGUACAGUUUAAGCUCAACAAAUUGAAAUAGCAAAUAACUAAGAGUUUUUCAUACUUUUGAAUUUUUCUUUCACACAUACACCCGAAUAACUUAAGCGUCCUCCUUAUAUACUCCUCCAUGCCAUGAUAACCAUUGGCAUCUUCCAAAGGAGUUCUUCUAAUCUACUCGUUGGACAUAAUCAAUUAGGAAGAUCUCGAGUUAUUAAAUGAAUAUGAUGAUAGUCCACCAAUCCUGCUCGCCCAUACAAUCAGGAUUUAGGUUUCCAUAAGUAGAACUUUCCAAGUAUACUUCGCUAAUCAACGGAUCUAAUUAUUCAAAUUGAUUUCAAUAAAAAUAAUUGAUCACGAGAUGCUAUCUCCAACCAUGAGAUAUUCUUCAGCCGUACGAACCAAAUCCUUAAAGAUAUACUUGCAUCUGGAUAAGUCUUUUUCAUCGGAUAAAUCUUUUCUUUGUCAGUCUGGAAACUAUCAGUGAUAAUAGACUUUGAAUCUUCAGACUUUGUCAAUAGAGUUUACAAGUCUUCAGACUAGACUGAUGGAAAUGUUUUGUUAACUUCAAAACAGAUAAUGAAGUUUUCUCCAACAUAUUCAACACUUCAAAAUAUAAUAACUAAAAGCAAUGAAAAAUCUUUGUAUGGUCUUUUAUUAAGAAUAACAAGUCAUUUGGGUAAAAUCAUCCAUGAAAGUAACAAAGUAUCUAAAUUUAGAGAGCAUCUUAGUGAACCACCUUAAAUGGAAUAGACACAUGACUUUGAAUGCAGGAAGAAAAAGAGACUAUGAUGUCUACUAAAUUGACAAGCUUCACAUUGAAAAAAUCUCACCAACUCGGACUCAAGAAAUAGACACCAAAGUACGUUCGAUGUUGGGUGAUCAAUACGACAAUCAUCUGAUAUAUAUCAGCGGAUGUAUGAUUCAUAGCUAUGGCCGAUAGCACCUUUUUGUCAAGAUAGUACAAACUAUUUGAUUUAUGUCACAUACUGAUCAUUUGUCUAGUUCUUAGAUCUUGAAAGACAAUGAGGAGAAGAAAGAUUAUAGACGAAUUCAAUUCUUAAGUUAACGGGCUAAUAUAAUUAAAUUAUAAAGACAUUGUGAUAAGCAAAGGACAAAUGACAAAGAAAGAGAGGGUCUUAAAUGAGCUACUUCGGUACCACUAACCUGAGAUUGUGAGCCAUUUGCUAAUGUGACCGAGGAUGCGUUUGGGAGUGGCAUUUAGAAGCCACUUUGAACCUCCAAAGCUCCUUGGGCCAAUUUGUGGGUGUUUGGUAAAAUUUUUUGAAACCCCAUUUGGGGAAUGCCAGCCUUCACAAGGCUGAAAGCCCAAGGUAGGUGGGGGGAUGCCUUGGGCUUUCAGCAUUCUUGCCAUGCUAAGCUCUAAGCCUAAAAAUUUCUUCCCAAAUUGUCCUCAUUAGUUUUUCGUUUUUCUGAUUUUGCCCCGACUGUUCAUCUUCUUCUAUCUUCUUCUUUGUGAGUGGUUGCUGACGAAGGGCACACGCAGUCGCCGGCAACAGUCGCACCCGCCACGCUGUGGCCUCUGCGCGACCCUCAGGCAAGGGUUGCGCGACCCGCCAUGCCACGAUCUUCACCGCGGCCGCACCACCCUUCGACGAGGGUCGCGUGACCCCGAUCAAGAGGUCGCCGCGGAGGUCGCGACCAAAUGUGGUCGCUGGGCGUGACCUUGCGACCUUCGCGUGACCCAUCUGGUCGCAGAUCUGGUUGCGACCAGAUGUGGUUGUCGGUUGCGACCUUCAGGCGACCUCUGCAGAGGUCACGACCGUGACCCAUUUGGUCACAGAUCUGGUCGCCGGUCGCGACCUUCGCACUGUGACCAGAUGGGUUGCCGACCGCUACCUUCGCGGAGGUUGCGAUGCAGAUUUAGUCGCCAGCCGUGCUUCAGGCGACCUCCGCAGAGGUUGCGACCUUCGCGCGACCCAUCUGGUCGCAAAUCUGGUCGAGACCAGAUGUGGUCGCCGGCCGCGACAUAGAUCUGGUCUCUGGCCGUGACCUUUAGGCAACCUUCGCGCUGCAACUAGAUGGGUCGCCAGUUACAACGCAGAUCUGGUCGCUGGCCGUGACCUUCAGGCGACCUCCGCAGACGUCACGACCUUCGCACAACCCAUCUAGUCGCAGAUCUGGUCGCCCUGACCCUCGUCAGAUGGCCUGCAUCGGACCGCCUACCCUUCGCUAGACCGCUUCCUCCUCACCGGCGACUACUUGUUCUUGGCCGGCCAACUCUUCUUUUUUCCAAACACUAUUUUACUCAAAGGUAUUUCAUAAAGGACUUUUUACUAAGCACAAUUUACAUUUUGGAAAACAAUUUUCACUCAAUGGCCUUUGCAUUUCCCCAAAGACUUUCCCGAAAGUCUUUCCAGACGCACCAUGAGUUUGCAAUAAUGGAGAUGUAGAAUGAAAUGAAGAUAGUAGGUUAGAGUUACUAGUCAUGUGAUUGGUAGCUGCAGAGUCUAUAACCCAAGAGUUAGACACCGCAUGAAACAAGCAUAAUGAACUACCCUUGGAGAUUUGUGCUAAAGUGGCGGUAGGAGCUAAAGAUCAUGUCAUUCAUUGAGAGCCAACUAAUGUAUCAACUCAGCAUGUGUCAAUGUAACUAAAUUGCUUGUAUUCUACAUAGUAGUGGAACUUGGUGGAAUAGAUAAGGGAGGGACAAGAGAAUUCUUAACUUCUACAGAGGCAACAAAGUUUGGUCUAAGCUCUAGGGUGAAGAGUACAGUACUGAACUUCUGUAUGUCCGGCUCUUUAACAAUGAUUGCAAUAGCAUGAGCCACAACCAUUCCUAGAAUUAAGGAUACCAUGAGUGCCAACCCCUCAUCAUGGCCUCCACGGCCUUCACUGUGAACAAAAUUGCAUCCACAAACUCAGUAACCACAAUCGCGUCCUCCACAUCCAUUGGACCAUGGGAAAUCAUAACACUCAUCUCCAAAGUUGGUGCGUAACAAAUAUUUUUUGUGAUUGCAGAAUGAAGUGCUUGAGAGAUGAUUGCAUUUAUUAGUAAGAUGAGAGAUCUGAGAUGUGGUAUGUUGACAAAGAGAUGAACUUAGGCCCCAGUGACUUGAUUUUGUAAUAUCAAUCUCUGAUCCUUUUGGUGUUAAAAUAGCUAGAUCAACCAAUGUAGGAAGAUGAGUAUCUAAUCGCUCCUAACGGGUUGUGAACCAAGCAUAAUGAUCGGAUAAAGAUUGAUCUCCCCAUCAAAUAUCAAAUAACGCUUUCCAUGUGUCACAUACUUGCGUCAUGUUAUUCUGCCCAAAAUGGAGCAAUGCACAUUUCUCUGCCUUAGCAGGGGCACAUUGAAUAAAGUGAGGACUAACCUCAAGGCCCAUACUUUUCCAUAAAAGAGUUCUAUUUAUUGCAUCUCUCACAAUCCAAUCAAUAGCUUUUUUUUUUGCUUCUUAGAUGGUAUUGUAGAUAUAAGAUAGUCAAGUUGCAUGUGAUAGUAAGAUAGACCUCGACGGCUUUAGACUAGGACGGAUAAUUAGUUCCAUCCAACUUUAUAGAGGUUAAAUGAAAGUGAUCAAAAGGGGAUCCAGAGGUUGAUCUAAUAUUUGGCAUUGGUGAAUAAUGAAUGUGAUCGAGCCAAAAAAAAAGAAAAAAGAAAAAGAAAGAAGAUGAAAACUUCACAGCGACCAACAUGUAACUUCAGUAAUUUCUGAAAAAGAUAGGGCUUCAUCCACAGUACUUCACCGAGGCUUCAUAAAAUCUUGGAAUCGAUACACAACCCCAGAACGUAUGAUUCCAUCAAUCUACUCCAAAAUGAAGCACAUCAAUUCUUCUAAAUCCAAUUCAAUAGCAUAUCGUAAUAACCAAUACCAAAAUGCCCCCUAAAUCAACUCCCAUUGAGAAAUAACUAGAAUUAGUCUUCAUUUAAAAAUCAUAACAAAACAUUCUCCCCCUGGUAGAAUUUUGCACCUUUAUAGGAUUUCGAAAAGCACCCACUGUCCUUCCUCCACGAGGAUCCCACGCAUAAAUAUUGCCACGCUUACCGAUCCCAAUGAUGGUCCAAUAUUCAAUGUUUAAUCGGAGACUUAAGGCAUUUGUAGAAGUGAAAGUAAUAGAAGAGAAACCUUUCUGUACAUCGGACCCGCGAGUAGGGAGACGCAGCUGAGUGACGCGGGCCUGAACUCGUUGGAGCCGUGGGUGGGGCGACGCGGCUGGGUGACGCCGGAAUAGAGGCGACAGUGUUGGACAAUGCUGGAAUAGAGACGACAGAUCUGGGUGAUGCCGGAAUAGGGGCGACAGAUCUGGGUGACAUCGCAGUAGUAGAAAUCGGGCUGGGUCGCUGGAAUAGUGGCCUUUCGACUAGAUUUUUAUUUUUUUUAUUUUUUUAUUGACUUACGCCAUGGUGAAGGUAUAAUCUUAUUAUAUUCAAUCAAAAAACAUAUAUAUAUGCUUAACCCUACUAAAUCAUGAAUUACUAAUCGACCCCAUUACUAAAAUACUUUCGAACAUGAUCGAACAGGGUUUCACUUCCACGCGGCUGUCCAAUUUCUAAUCGAUUUUCCCCUGUUUCACAGACAUUGGAUUAGAUUGUCAAAAGGUAACUCAAAUCAUAAAGUUUUUCCCUAUUUCAUGUUUUGUUUUUCAUUCCUAUCAAUCACAUUUGGACCUUGCAAUCCCUAUGGAGUUGACAGUUAUAAAUGCAACAUGCCUUAGGCCCUCGCCACUAGGAUGGAGUGGCUUUGAGAAUUCAAUUCUUCUCAUUUCAGGUCAAGUAAAUUGAAUCGGGUGCAGAUGACUUUCAAUUCUUGAGCCUGUAAUUCUAUUAACUAAUUAAGGCUUAUUUGAUAAUGUUUCUAUUUCUCAAAUUUUCUAUUAUUUUAUUCUCCGAAAUAGAAAAGAAUAUAAAUUUGUUUAGUAACAGCUAAUUUUUUUAUUUCCAAGAACAAAUUAGUGGCCAAUGGAUUGAUUGGAAUAUAAAAAAAAUAUAUAUAUAAAACACAUACUUCUUUGUUCCCAUGAACAUAAAGAGAAAUAAGGCAAUUUUAGAAAAAUAAGCUCAACAUAACCUAAUGCUUGUCUUUACACAGUUGACACAAGAUUUAGUCUGUUGACCCAAUCCAAGUCCCCUUUUUUUGGGAGAAAAAUAAAAAAUAAAAAAUAAAAAAUUCAGAAAAUUUAGGGACAAAUUUAGAAAUUAGAUUUUGAGUAGUUUUACUAGAUUUUAGUGUUAAUUCUAGUUUAGUUUUAAUUUAGCAAAAAAAAAGUGAAAGUCUCUUAAUGAAAAUUGGAUUCAAAAUUAAAUAAGUUUAAGGAUUUUUAAAUGCCGUUUUCUUUUAGAGAUGAUGUUAGGUCGCGAAAAUUUGGUGACUCUAGUCUUCUUCCCUUAAGAUUCUAUUGGAGACAUCAUUUAAGAUCAUUUGCAAUUCUGUUCUAAUAGAAAAUUAGAUAGCUUUGAACAAGUCUUUUGCAUUACCGUUUGUUUUAUGUUCAUAGCAGUUGAAUAAGUUUGUGCUCCAUGAAUUUACAAUGUCAUUUGCUUGGAGUUUGAUAAGUUUGUGCAAAUAAGCGCACUAAAGAUCGCCUCCAUCCUCAGUUGUUCUGUCAUUGCUCAUUUUAUCAAGCAACCUUUGCUCUUCUCCUUGCAGCUAAUAAAGCUUAAAAGAUUUAAGCACCUGUUUAUUGUCAUGCUUAAAGUUCUCCUAUCAACGUUCUUACAUUGUGAGUUAUAGACUGGUGGAACUCUCCACUGCUAUUUCUAGCCAUCCAUUUUUUAUUAUCUAUUACAUUGGAUUUUUUUUAGGGCAUCUUACGAUAUUUUAAUCAAUUAAAUCUUUACAUAAAUUCGAUUUUAUUCAAAUAUGAAUUGUUAAGUCUCUACUAACAUUUUUAUAAUUAAAUGAAAAAAAACCUGGAAAUUUUCUUUUAGGGUUGCACCAAAUACAUUUAUGUUUUUUUUUUUCUAUUCUUAGUAGAGAAAAUUUCUACAGUUAACAAACACGCUCUUCCGCUCAAAAACUUGUCAAGAGAAUAGAAAUAGAAUAAAUUAUUUUUAAACAGAAUUCGUUUCAAGGAAUAGAAAUGAUAUCAAACACACUCUUAGUAGGCGGGUUCUUACGUUUAGAUCUCUUUCAUGAGAAUGAUGUCAUGCACGGUGGACACAAAAACUAAAGGAAAAUGAUUUCACAAGCCGAAUAUUGCAGUCCGAAGAAGAGAAACUACCAACGUGCCCUUUGUUGCUUGAAUUGAAAUUGCUCUUCUAUACAAUACCGUACGUGUCUGGAUGAGUUCAUUAAUCUUGUUCAUGUUAUGGACAAGCUGAGUAAUUAUUACAAGGAAAUAAGCUUGUCUUGUGCUAUUUGGCCCUUUGAGACCCAUUUAUAUAUGUUUGUAGACAUUAACUAAGUUGAUAUGUAAUUUGUAUCAAUGCAGCAUGCUCACACACAUUUAGACAUGUUUGGGAAAAGUGUUAAAAAAGUCAUAAAUCUUUUGAAUGGUGCCAAUUCAAUUCUUUUGGUUAAUUUUGGCUGGAUUUUGUUAACUGAGCACUAGUUGGCUGACGUGCCAUGAUUAGCGCUAAUGUAGACAACUUUUAAUAAUAAUUUAAUAUUUUUUUAAAUUUUUUUAUUUUCCUUUUCCUUUUCUUUUUAUUAUUUUUUUCUUCUUCUCCUCCUUCCUCUAGCCCAUUGUCGGACCUCAGCAACUGACCAGAAGUGACAGCCGUCAAGGUUGACCUUGACCUCGUCAACCUUUGGCAAGCCUCGUCAGCCAUUGGUGAGGCUCAAGCCCUCGCUAGUGGCCACGAAGGCGGCCUCGGGCUAGGCAAUGAGGUUCACCCUUGAUCAAGCCUUGCUGGCCAUGGCCGAGGCUCAACCUCGUCAGAUCCGAUGAGGUCGAGUCUCGCCCAACCUCUGGCGAGGCUGCUUGAGUUCUCGCCAGAGGCUAAUGAGGUUGACCUCGACCUUGCUGGUCAUCGCCUCUAGCUGGUCGCCAAGGUCUAGCGACCGACUAGAGGAAGGAGGAUGAGAAGGAAAAAAGAAAAAGAAAAUAAAAAAAAUUCAAAAAUAUUAAAAUAUUAUUAAAAGUUGUUCACGUCAACGCCGAUCGUGCCACGUUAGUUGGCUGAAGCCUAAUUAGCAAAAUCGGGCCAAAACUAGCCGGAAAGAACUAAAUUGGUACCAAGUGAAAAUGUUUAUGACUAAAUUGGACCAAUAACAAGUUUAUGAUUAAAUUGACGCAAAUGCAAAAGGUUUAGAACUUUUUUGACAGAUUUCCUGACAUGUUUUGGUACAUAUAAUAACAUCUCUACCUUAACAAACCCAAAGUACCAAUGAAUUAGGUCUACCUAACCUAUUAUACAUGGCUGUUCCAUUCUUAAAAAUAGACAAUUUCAUGUCUAGACCGCUUGAUAGCUCACUUGUCAUUGCCAGGUCCAUGAUGUUAGUGAGGUGCUUCAUAGACUUGAGAUUCAUAUAGAUACGAUAAGUUUUCUUGUCAUACUUAAAAAGUUAAUCAACAUAUCAUGUUUAUCACGUUAUUUGUGGUAUAUACUAAAAUUGUGAUGAAGCUUACAAUAUAUACAUAUUCAAGUACUAAAAUUGUGAUAAAGAUUUCUUAAUGCUUGCAGGAAGUUUCCAGUCGCACCUUUUCAUAAAUUUCUUAAUUUUAUUGAACUUACAGAUUUUUUGCACAUGUAGAAGGGAGAACGUGCAAACGUUGAAGAAUUCCAAUGAUAACUUUACAUGAAGCAUGGGGAAAAUUGCGACAUAAUUUAGCAUUUUGACUAUCACCAUCUUGCACUUUUGAUUUAAUCAUUUUCAAGAAAAUUUCAGUUCAGGUUUUAAUUGUGCUCAUAAUUGUCAAGAUGUCAUAAAUAACAGACUUAUACAUGGUUGUGCGGCUUUGGUAUCUUAUUGAGAGGUUGUUUGUAAUUCACGUCGUAAUGCAUCGAUGUUGUUUCUUUUUUUCUCAAUUUGUAUGGACUAAUCCCUAAAAAACUUUCAACUCGAGAUUCAGUCUUGAUUCCAUCUUAAGCUACUUCUUUUUUUCUUUUUUUUCUUUUUUUUUGUCUGAAAAAACCCCAACUUAUUGUCCAAUCCCAAUUUUACCUAAUUCUUUUUUCUUAAAAAACCUCCAAACUAUAAGUCCAGUCUCAAAUUUGCUCUAAUUUUUUUUUUGUCUAAAAAAAAAAUCAGCAACAUCAACUCUAGCUGGGUUGUGGCUAUCUAUUCACUAGGAGUGCUUUCUACAUUUACAAUAGAGGGCUAGCCAUCUCGUUCUUUCCUUUGGAGGGUCUAUUAGGUGCUACAGACUUGGUCUCAUCAAAGAUGGAGCUACUCGCGGCCAACAGAGAUGCAGUUGGGGAUGGAUUCGUCUCUUCGGAAGCUGUUGCCGACUGCUCCUCCUCUGUGUUGGGUCAUCGCUACCUAGUCACUGUUAGUGCGCUCUUUGAAGAUGGAGGCUUGGAUUUUUGUUAUUCCUGUCCUUGCUUUGUCUUGUUUUGCUUGGGGUAGUUCUGUGUUCUGUGUUGUUUGCUGGAUACCCCCCCCCCCCCCCCCUUUGUUUGUUGUGGCCAUUGUUUGGCUAUUUGCUUUUUGCUGGUUGUUUUCCUCUUUCCUCCUUGUCUCGACACUCUUCCACUCGGUUUGACUACUAUGUCACAUUGAGUGUAAGUUUUGGUGCUGGGUUCCCUUGUUGUACAGCUAUAUAGCUUGUUGGUUUAAAGUCAAUAUAUAUUUUACCUUCUACCAAUAAUAAUAAUAAUAAUAAUAAUAAUAAUAAUAAUAAUAAUAAUAAUAAUCAACUCUAGUCCCGAAUUUGCGUUGAACUUUUUUCAUCUAAAAAAAAUCACAAAUUUUCAAUUUAGUCUCGAAUUUGCCCUCAUUAACCAUUCAUUUAAAAAUCAUCAUUAGUUGUUUGAUGUGACAUUUCCAUGUUGGUAACAAAUCUGCAUAAACAAGGUGACGUGGAAAAUAUUUGCAAAACCAAACCCUUCUUUCAUAUGUAAAUUAGAAAAAUUAGGGACAACUAAUGAUGAUUUUGGAUAAAGGGCUAAUAGGGCCAGAUUUGAGACUAAAGUUAAAGUUUGGGGUAGAUUUAAGAAUGAAUUUGAAAUUGGGGGGGGGGGGGUUUAGUCCCAAAAAAGUUAAGGGCAAAUUUGGGGUUUAGACCCAAAAAAGUUAAGGGCAAAUUUGGAUUGGACUUAAAGUUUGAGGAUUUUUUUAGAUAAAAAGAGUUGGAAACAGAAGUGGGAUUCUACAUUUAGGAGAUUAGGGCCAAUUUUUAAUUGUAAGUUCUGCAUUUCUUUUCAUCAAUUAUAUGCUUUUGUAGAGGGUUUGUCCUAAGUCAUAUAAUACUGUCCCAAGCAUGAUGAAUACGUUGUUCUUGCAUCAGUAUGAUAGUAAGUUUCUAGAAGAAAUGUACGAACGAAGGUAAUCGUGGAAGUGUGCAGAAGAUUAUAGCGAAGACCGUUACACAAAUCGACUUAUUAAGUGGGGCGACAAAUUAUAAGUGAAAGUCUAACUAAGUGAACCCAUUAAGUAUCCAAUACAAUUUUAUGGCAUCACCUUGUAAAUCGUUUUUUAUUUUUUAUUUUAUUUUUAUGUCGGAUCAAUUCUAGCAUUCCUCAAAUACAAAUUGGAAGCCCACAAUAAAGUAGAGAAAAAAGUUUUAAUAGUAUCAACAAGCAUAUACACAUUUAGGGAAGGAAUGCUUGCAACCAUAAAUUAAAAAAUAAUUCAUCUAAUAUUUGCAUUUUAGUAUUACAAAGUACGAGUUCAGAUGUGUUCAUAAAUUUUAUGCGCCUUUAUGAAACGCCUUUUACUUUUGUUUUGCACUCAAAUCAAUUGCCACACACGAUUUACGUUUUCUUAACUAAGCAAAUCCAUUCGACCGGAUAGGAUCGUCUUGUUUCUAGACCACCUGAAAUUUCUAAUGCGGGGGGGCUACACAGCCGCACUAAUGUAAUUCACCCUGUCCACAAGAAGAACUUGCAAAUUUGGAUUGGGGUUGACUUCAUCAAUAGGGCUCAUACCUGAAGUACACGUGGUGGGUUAUCUCCGGACAUCUCUCCACUCCACUAGAUCACAUGAACCUUUCUAUAUCAUCGUCUUCUAUGUCGAAGACAUUCUACGCACGCAGACACAUCGAGCCUAUUUUGUUUGGAAGAUAGAGAAGAAAAAGAAAGAGAUCGUGUGAGGAUGAUGUACGAACGGCAACAACCCGCGAGAAUUGCGGGGGCGGAGGAUGAGCUAAAGGCGGCGGAGAGGAGGAAGAGGGCGGUGGAUGAAGAGAGGUUGGAGAUUGUGGACUUGAGCGGAUUGUCACUGGAUUCUCUUCCAAGCCCUUCUCUCGAUUUGGGGAUCAUCUGCAAGUUAGACCUCUCCAACAACAAUCUUCAGGUCAGCCACAACACAAACAUCUCUCUCUCUCUCUCUCUCUCUCUCUCUCUCUCUCUCUCUCUCUCUCUCUCAUGCCCACUACGAAAAAGGAAAAAGAAAAAAAAGGGCAUUACAUACAUGCGUGUAAAAUAUUAAAAGUUAGUAUUUUCAAAUAUUUACCAAUUUAUGUGAAUGUUUUUUAGAUUUGAGAACAUACGUGUUUAAAUUUGAAAUGGGAAUAAUUUGUAGUGAUUAUAUCAUCUUUUAAUUAUUUGAAAUUGCUAUUUUGUUUGUCGUACAAUGUUAAAUCAUUAUUAUUUGUACUUCGAUAGCAUGCUUAGACUCUAAUUGAACUUUUUAUUAGAUCUUUAGAUAAUGGGGCAUACGUUAUAGAGAACUAUCCUAGUAUACAAUGGAUAAUAUUUUUCAUUGGAUUUGGACAACCGUUUGUGGUAGACCUAAGUGAAAGAUUUUCUUUAACAAAAAACCUAAUUUCAAGUGCGUUCAUUUGAUAGAAAACUCAAGAUUUAGAGAACAUUUUUAGAAAAAUAAUAGGUUCUAUUGAUUAAAAAAAUUAGUCAACGAAAAUAUUUUUAUUAUCGACAACAAUUUAUAAAUAAUUAUUUUCGUGAGUGGUGAAAAUGCUUUUUCAUUCAUUCAUUUUUGUAAGAGAAACAAGAGCUCAUUUUUCAGAAGUUAUUAUUCAAAUCUUGAGUUUUUCAAGAAAUAAAUGUAACGGUUAUAAAAAUCUCUUAUCCUUUCAACAAGGGGAGGAUAAAGCAAUUAUCCCUCAAUAAGAUUUUGAACUAUCAAGUGUACUUCGUUCCCAAUUUCGUUUUAUCUUUCUAAGAGAGAUAUUUGAUAUUUCGACACUUUUGGAAACAAUCAUCAUAUUCUCGCUACAAUAACUCGAAUUGAUACUCACUUCUUCUCAUUCGCCUGUAGUGCCAUUUCCAUGCUAUUUCUGAUUUAUUCCAUUCCAUCAUUCAAACGUGCUGUGGUGGCACCAAGUAGAGGAAAGCAACAAAGAAAAAAGAUAAUGCAUCUUUGCAUCCUGGACCGAACCCCAUCACUUAAAUAAUUCCAAUCUCCUAAGAAUUUCCAUGGCCAUGGCCUCCACCGCAAGUGGCGUCCUCGACCCGCCAGGCAAGGCUGAGGCACGUGACCUCCAUUUUGCAGAUCGUCAUCGGCUGCGGCUUCCGGCCCCGCCAUGAGAUCUUCCAAGGCCUCAAUGGCAGCCCCCAGCCUUGGAUCAAGGUUGGCGUCACUGUGACAUGACCUCGACCAAGGUCGUAGAGAGAGAGAGAGAGAGAGAGUAAGAGGGGCACGGGGCGGGCUAGCCGGUACGGUCCUCACGGCAGUCGGCUAUGAGUUGGUGUUUGAGGGGCGGGUCUAGCAUAUUUAGGUGGAUGCAUCCAAAAGGAAUUCUUGGUGGAUGGAUGUAGUAAAGUGACUAUAAGGGCAUCAUGGGUUGGGAAAUAGUAAUUUGGCAAUAAAUGUUUGUUGUGAGAUGGAAUGAGGUGUCUAAGCCAAAAAAAAAAGCAAAAAAAAAGCAAAAAAAAAGUUUCUAAAGAUGUAGAAUGCAAUUUUUUUUGGAUGAAAAUUCAAUUUUUGGCACUCUUCCAAAUAAUAAAGAUUUUGACAUGUUUGUGUUGCCGAAAUUUCGAAAUUUUUUUGACGUUCCGUUCGUUUUGGGAAAAAUGAAUGAUUUAAUUUUCUUUUUCUAAAAAGCGUAAGUGACUUGCAUGAUUCAACUCGACUAUGGCGAUAUUGGAAAAGGCAACUUUUCUCGGUUCUCCUUGGAUGAACGAUAUUUACUUCGAAUUAGUAAGUAGAUUUAUCCACUUAUCGACCGUCAAAAGGGUCAAAAGGGUGACCACCUAAAGUUAUUUAGAAUUUAUUUAAUUCCUCUAACUAAACAUGGUUCGACCCAUGAAAGUUCAUAUUGCACUGUCUUGUGUUAUCUUUCGAAAAAGAUAAAAUUGGAUUUUGCAAGACCUGCUAGAACCUGAGGUUAGUAAACAUGGGAUUGCUCUGCAUUUGAACACGCAGAUGAUACCAGAGCCGCUGGCGGCGAGGCUGGCGAAUGUGGUGGUGUUGGAUGUGCACUCGAAUCAGCUGAAGGCCCUCCCAAGCUCAAUCGGAUGCCUCUCUAAGCUCAAGCUCUUGAACGUCGCCGGAAACCUCCUCGUAUCCCUCCCGGCCACUAUUCUGAAUUGCAGGUCCGUCAUCUCUCACCGACGAUUAUUUCAUGGUCCGCAGGUCACGAGGACCGAUCUCAUCUUAUCCUUUAACUGCGUCGCUUCCAUCAUGAGUCUCACAUGAUUAGCGGUUUAGAUGGACUCGGUCUGCAGGUCUACGGACCGUACGGUGGUUUCCCUCGUGGAGCUCACUCAAUGAGUGUUAAUGUUAGAUAGGGUAGUAAAUUAGACAAAAUAUUUACAUCAACAGAUUAAGGUCAUUAUGCAGAAUAUUUCUAUCACCUAUGCUCUCUAAUCAAUUAUGGCCAUGUCUUAGAUCCUUAGAAGAGCUGAAUGCCAACUUCAACCAGCUGACCAAGCUACCGGACGCGGUUGGCCUUGAGCUCAUCAACCUCAAGAAGCUAUCUGUCAACUCGAACAAGCUCGCGCACCUGCCUCGCUCCACCUCCCGCCUCACCUCUCUCCGCGUCCUCGAUGCCCGCCUCAACUGCCUUCGCGCGCUCCCCGACGACCUCGAGAGCUUGGUUAACCUUCAAACCCUCAACAUCAGCCAAAACUUCCACCACCUCCAAGCUUUGCCUUACUCCAUCGGACUCCUACUCUCCCUCGUGGAGCUCGACAUCAGCUACAACAGGAUAGCGGCCCUGCCCGACUCCAUGGGGUGCCUCAGGAAGCUCCAGAAGCUCUGCGUCGACGGGAACCCUCUAGUCUCGCCCCCGCCCGAGGUCAUGGAGCAAGGCUUGCACGUGGUGAAGGAGUACCUGGGUGAACGGAUGACUGCCGGCUACGAAAGCCCGCCGAAGAAGAAAUCGUGGAUCGGGAAGUUGGUGAGGUACGGCACAUUUAAUGGGAAUAACAACAGGUGGGUUAAUGGAGAAGAUAGGGAAAGGCUCGCCCCGACCGAUUUCCAGUCCAUCAAUGGCCUCGCUACGCCGAGGCACGCGGGAAUGUUCUCGCCGCGGCGCCUCUUCUCUCCUCGGAAUUAUUUCUCCAGGUAAACGAAGGAGCCACGUUGGACGGGCAGGGCAUUGAUUACGUCGUUGCGAAAACGAAUAGGAGAGUUAUUUUUUUCUUGUUAAUUUUGUAUGUAUGUAUGUAUGUAUGUAUGUAUCAUUGAAGAGAGCAACGAAUUUGUAUAGCUCUACACAGAAGAUUGAAAAUUUAAAAGAUUGCAGUAUGAAUACCAGAUGGUUGUUUAGAUUGUUUCUUUUUCCAGUCCAUUUUCAUGAAUGACGCACCUUUUGUAUCCCUAAACAAAUCUCAUGCAGGACCAAAACGUUGACGCAUAAUUUGGUCGUUUAUAUUAGUGAAAAAUAAACGCAUGAUCUACACUAUUAUUUAAAGUAAAGAGGAACUCCUACCUUAAGGGAUCUCAAUCGCAAGAUCGAUAUUGUGUCGCUCCACAGCAGAGCAACGGCGACGAGUUUCGCUGCUUUUGGUUAGUUCCUCCCCUUCUUAUCAAAGGCAUUGAAAACAAAAGUGCGUCGUCGUCGUUGAUGCUCAUAUCAAAAGGAUCAACCUUAUGGUUACAUCGCCAUUGCUGCACUCCUGAUGCUCUUAUCUGCUCAAAGACGACAACAUUGAUGUUUCGUUGCUCCAGGUUGGAGCAAAGCCGACGAAAUAUUUGUUCCGUUGCGUUUGGUAUCGAAAUGGCGACAUAUCUUCCGUCGUCGCUAUUGCUUGGCCCCCCGGCAUGGCAACUAUGUUUUCUUUUGCUGUCGGAUAUCCAUGGUGUCGAAUCUAUUUUCCGCCGCAUCCAAAUUUUCGUCGCCGUAAUCCCAUUUUCCUGUAGUGACAUGUGAGAAAGUAAACCGAGUUGGCAUCUAUGUUUACUGCUUUUCUGCUGAUAUCUUUCGUUCCCAAAUAAAACAUCAUGUGCUUAUCUGGCUUGAAUGUAUAUUCGGCUGAAGAUAAAAACAAGUCGUUCUUUUUAAAUAAGCCUUCGAUUUAGUUUUUCCAAUUGGAUUUCAGUUUCCAAAGCCCAUAGAGGAAAUCCAGCCUCUAAGGCCCCUUGGGCAAAUGCUUAGGAGUUUGGCAAGAAUUUUGAAGUAUCUUUUGGCCAAAUAUUGGCCUUAGGAAUGUUGAAAGUGCAAUGCUACUCUCAUUCAACCUUCCUAAGUAACAUUUGUCAUUGUGGUUAUCGUUUUGUCAAAAAUUGAGUAUCAAUAGAGAUGACAUUAAUCUUUCGUCGCCAUCAUCACAAUUUGUGCGGACGAAUUGUAUGCAUUCAUUGUCAUAGGCUGACACGAUGGAGCAUUUGCAGCCCAAUAUCGGCACAUAUUCCCUUGCCGUUGCUUUUGGGCGACGAGUUUUACAGCCUACGGCGAUGGCGCCGAGUUGCUCCGGCGCCGUAGACUAGAUUCCCUUUUAGGCGGAGCAUCCAAUUUGAGCUUCAUCUCAAAUUCAAAAGAAAUAAUUAUAGGGACAUCAAGAAACAUGACGAACUUCAAAAAUGAAAUUGCUCGACCAACGAAUUUGUGUCUCUUUUUAACUCAACGAACGUUAGUCCAACCCCUCGAUGACAACCACAGGAAAAAGAGAAUUAUAUGGGGAUGUGAAGAGGGCCCCGAAACUGUGGAUGAUUCUCAGCCAAAUUGGAGUUAGUUCAUCAUUUCGGGUCGCUACAGCAUGAAUCUGGCCUUCUCACAAAACGCCCCUGAAAAAAUAAUUAUUCGCAUCAUUUACAAAAAUGAACAAUACAAAAGAAUAUAUUUUUAUCAUCCCCGAAAGUGUGUAAAUAUUUUUAUCAGCCGGUAAAGCCAUUAAGAUGCUUGAUACAUGCUGAUCAAUCAAUUAACUAAGAACCAAUAAGUAGACGUACCUUGACCCUAGGCCUUUCAUAGGCGGGUGCUUUCUUGACUUGAUACUCGGUCUUUUUGGAGAAGAGGCGCGUGUGACGCUUUUCCUUAUAGCGUGACCCCGUGCCUUCCCUCUCUAUUCCAUUAUUCAGAAAUGAAUCGAAAUCUGCUAGCUCGACCUGCCCAAUAUAAAUCGAAAAAAUGAAAUAUAUUAGAUCGGCAAUUAUUUGGCAUCGCCACCUUUUUUAUCAUAGCAUCAGACACAAAGCAUAUUUAUAACAAUAUUUCUUUUGACAUGAAACUCUCAUCUUAGAAGUAACUCCAUCUGAAGUACAAUCUGCGUGGAAACUCUUUAAUAGAUGACCUAAACAUGAAAUUAUUUGAAUAUGUGAAAUUAAGUUUGUAUGGCUUGGCGCAUAGGUAAGAAUAUGAGCCAAUUUCUUUAGGGACCAAGCUAGUCUUAGGUUUCACUCUUUCAUGUUCCAAAAUUCCCAGAGGUACUACUUGAGCAUAGCAUUAAAAAAAAAAAAAAAAAAGAGAGAAGAGAGAGAGAGAUAGAAAGCUAAACACAAUAAACAAGUUUACCAGUUUAUAGGCAAAAACAAAAAAAAGUAAACAAAAUUCCGGGAAAGUUAUAGGCCGUCUAAUGGGGAGGAGCGGCAUGAUCAGGUCCAAACUAAACACGGCAAAAGCCGAAACCGGCUAUCUGCGGGUCCCACUCGAAAGCAAAAGCCAUAGAGGUGAGGCCGAAGGCCAUGACUUCUAAACUAAACUUCGGAUGUGUCAUGCUUGUAUUUAGAAAGAAAAAAUAUAUAUAUUUUCUAUUUUCUCGUCAAAAUUUAGAAUAUGUAUUGAUGAUAAAAUUUAAAUUGAAAAAUUAUAAAAAAAUAAAUGUAGGACUUAUUUUACCAAAUUUGAUAGUUAGAAAAAUGGCAUAAAACUUUAUCUAAAUAUGCAAUAUCAUUUAUGAACUUUUAAUUUAUUCAAUAUGAUUAUUGAACUUUAGGCUGAUAUGAAAUAUUAUUCUUGAAUUUUAAGUUUGUUCAAUGUAAUCCUGAAUUUUUUUUAUACUUGUUCAAUUUAGUCCAUAAAAUAUAUAGAAAUAUUCAAUGUUGUCACUUUAUUAAUUUAAAUUUACAAAAAAUAUUAAAUAUUUUUAUAUAGUUCAUGGACUAUGUUGAGCAUAAAUUAAAAGUUUAGAAAUCACACUGAACAAAUUAAAAAUUUAAGAAUGAAAUCGCAUAUUAGAAUAAAGUUGAAUAAAUUAAAAGUUUAGAUAUCACAUCAUAUAUUAAAUUAAAAUUUAAAAAUUAUUUAUAUUAUUAUCCCAAUCUGGUUCGACGACUUUUUCUCUGGCCACUUUUAAAAAUGUAAAAGCGAUUUGCAAGGUGGACUUGCAUUUUAGACUAGUAUGGGACCAUAGAUUUCACGUGCUACAGUAUGUAAUAUAAAAAGCAAAAAAAGAAAAGCAACAAAUGUCAAUAACUCUAAUUAUUGUCGUACCUAUUAAUUUCAAGCAACUUUAGAAAUCUCACUCCCCCUUUGUCGCGUGCUUUACACGCGCUACAAACUUUAGUAAAAUUUCACUGUUUCAACGAACUAAUCCAGCUAAUUUUCCACGGUUUCCCGGCGGGCGGGAGAGGAGAGAGAAACUCACCGGUACGUCGGGGACGGGCCUCUCGCCGGAAAAAGGCCGGCCGCGGCGGGACCAAGCGUCCAACACGCCGUCGUAGUUCAAUUUUAGCAUCAAACCGCCUGGUUUCGGCCGCCCCCUCGCUGCUGCGUCGGCCGCCGCCGCCGGCGCCGCCGACGACGUUUGGGUUUUGGGUUCUGACGGUGUCUUGGCGGCUUUCUUCUUGUUAUUCUUCUUCUUCUUGUUAUCGACGGAAUUCGAAUCCGAUGCUCUGUUGUUGAGCUUUGGAGAGAUUUCGACGACGUCGACGACGGUGAAGAAAUUCCACCAGCUCGCUUCGUCGACGCGCUUCAGCGGCCUGAUACCCCUCCUCGUCCCGAACCCCAGCCCGACCGGAAUCCCGUAGCUCGCCGCCGCCGCUUCGGCGGCUUCAUCGCUGGCGGCGGCGCUCGCGCUCAGCUUCCCCAGGAUACUGUCGAUUCCUUCCCCGGUCUCUUCAUCGAGGAUCGACUCCGCAUCGAGCUCGUCUUCGUCGAGCUCAUCGUCCAGUUGGGGCGACUUUGAUAUGCUUUGGUUGUUGCCGCAUUGAUUCUCAGGAAACCGUAGAGAGUACCUCGGUUCGAUUCGGGGAUCUGGUUUGGCCGGAAUCGGCUGACGGAGUAAGAAGCUGGCCGUCUCGACGUCGGGAAGAGGUAACAGCAAAUCGGAGGAUUCGUCGGAGAAAUAGUCCUCGAAAUUGGAGAAUUUCCGGGGAUUUUCCAGAUACUUAGUGGAGAAUAUGGUGGGGUAGACGGUCGAGAGCAGAGCAGCCGCCUCGUUGUAAAUCUGAUUAGGCCGUUUUCUUGGGGUGCGUGCUUUUGUGGUGGAGAUCGAGAUUGGAGAAUUGCUCGAUUCCGAAAGGGUCGAAACGGGCGAAGAAGAAGAAGAAGGAGGAGGCGACGACGAUGCUCGAGAAGCCGAUAUCCAACGGGACUUAUGGAUGAUUUCCAGAUCGAACUGAUACGUCCUUCCGCCCCCGCUCAAGCACGAAGACAUGGCGGCAGUAGGCGAGGCGAAGAGCGGACAAUUCAAGGUUAGGACAGAAUAGCCAAACUGCUGCUUGCUCUGAGUUUUAGGGAAAGCAAGAAUUCCAAAUCUGCACGUGAGAACUUUGAAUUGGGUCGGUUGGAAAAGCUGAGGCUGACUUUGAAUUGGUUUGGUCUCUGGCCUUUUUAGUUACUUGGCUUUUUGGCUUUGGCUUUGGCUUUGGCUAUGAGAAGGGCAUGUCAAGUUUGUGGGGGAGGAGAGGCCCCUAAAACCCUAAACCCAGAGAGAAUACGCCAACAAGAAGUAAAGGAUGAAAAAAAUAUAUAUUUUGAUUGACAAGAACAAGGAGGGGAGCCUAGAACCAAACGAAUUAAUGAGAAACAGAACGACAGGGCCACCGCUGCCAAUAAAGGCAAAGGCUUAUACAAAAAUGAAUGAAGGACAUGCAAUUUCACGCUGCAUAAAUUCUAUAAUUGGAGGGCACACCCAGAUGGAACUUGAGGCUCUGAUGAGCCAGUCAGUCAGAAAUUUAGAACAAAAACAAAAAUGCGUGUGCGCGUGCUCGUGCGCGAGAGAGAGUAUAUAAUACAGAAAUGGUCCCCAGGAAGAGCAGAUGAAAGGGAAAAGGAGCCGGUUGAAAGAUCAGUAGGAGCGUUACGGCCCUCCUAAGGUAAAAAUAUGUAAAAGGGUGUUUUCAUUCUGGUCACCAUCAUCAUCCCUACGCCUCCUUUUACUAAUCUGAGGAGAGGAGGAGGAGCACACAGACAAAGAUGCAAGACACACAAACUAGGAGCGAGGAAAAUCAGAGGAUUUGAAUGUUGUUUUUAGAGUCUUUGGAGAUGAGAACAGAGGAAGUGACAAAGGCUUUUGUUUCAUCGGCUCCACUGCGUGGACCAUUUCCUUUUAGUGUUGUCGCCCCCUCUCUCUCUCUAGCCGUUCAAUAAUUUUAUCUUCCUCGUUUACUAGAUUUAAGUCCCAUGCCCUGACUUUGUCGCUGGUGCGGAAGCACUAAUGCAGCUUUUCUUGAGAAUUAAAGACCCAAAAAAUUAUGCUUGUGUUUGUAAAGUAAGAGUAGAACUGUCAAAAUUUAGAACAUUUAAAUUUUUAAAAAUUUGCAUCAAUACUUAAGCAUCGUCCUGCCAAGUAUUAUUUUAUUGAUUUAUUUAUGAAGAUUGAGUGCUGGCUGCUGCUAAUUUGUACUAAAGAAAUCAUCGAAACCUACUGUCGUACCUAGGAGUUCAAGCCACCCAGGAGAAUAUCUCGUUCAACAUUAGUUUAAUCAUUUAAUGGCACUGUUGAGCACAGCCUUGUGAUCGUUGGGUAUUUUUGGUGUACUAAAUUAUAUAGAUUUUAUCCACUUGACUGCUGUAUAUUUUAUCUAAUUGACUACUAUGAUCACUUCGGCCCUAACUAUACGUUACUAUACCAUACCAUCGAAUCAAUCGACUUAGUUGUAGAUGGAUUAAAUAUCUUUUACAAAGUUACAAGUUCAAUACAUCCGAUGAUUCAAUUCACGUUGUGAUCAAACCUUGGAAUUAGGCAUAUUGGAUUGCCUAACCGCUAUAUAACUUGUGUAGAGUGACCUUCUCAUAGAUAGCACCACAGUAGGGCUAGGGGCGAAUUCGUUAAUCUUGGAACUUUAGGUGACAAAUGAUGCGGAGUAGUUAUAAUUUUCUAGCAUGCAUGAAAUACUUAUGCUAAUGCCUAAAGGUGAUCGCUAGUGCUGGUCAACCUUCCUCACCUUUUUUUACUUACUAUUUUUUUUUUUUUUUGUGGACCAUGUUGCAAAAUGAGAAAAAGGUUAGCGAGAUUUCUCUUAAUUUUUCAAACAAUAUCUCUUAUUUAAAUCUCAAUCUCAAUUAAUCUUCACAAGUGCAUGUAAACUGCUUUAUCAAUGUAAAAUGGAAAAAAUAAAUUAUUUAUUGGGUGUAAGCGUGACACUUAAGUUACUGAUUGAAGCACGAAUUUUGUUAGAAUUAUUAAAACAUUCUCCCUAUACCAAAACUUUUAAAAAAUUGUACCAAUUUUCUUUUCUUGUGAGAUAACUCCAUAGGGGCUUAUUACAAAAUUUAAAGUUGUAAAACUCAUAAAUUCGUGAUGUGAAACAUUUUAAUGUGGUAUUCAAGUCACAAAUGCAAGGCCUAUGCAUUGGAAACUCAAAGGGUGUCCCCAACGGUGGAAAGUCAUUAUGUCUUGGACCAAGUAUUCGAUGAUGGGUGCGGGACUUUAUCAUAACGUUUAAUGAGGUUGUUUAGCAAAAUAAUUUAUUUUUAUUUUUUUGAUAACGGAUGGACCUAUCCCCAAGCACGUCGCCAACGUCACAUUAAUAAGCGACUCUUCAAUAUGUUCUGGCAAAGGUAUUUUAUCUGAUGACGUGGCAAAACCUUACUGAGCAUCUUAGAUUCCCAAGGCUGACGUGGCUGCUCUUGAUUGGUUGGCGGGGGCGGUUCCAUCUCCAUCUGCUUGUUGCUUGGUGCCUUUCGGCCGUCAUUUGUGUGGUGGGUGACCAUCAUACGUUGAGCUCAUUAGGUUCAACGAUUUGUGAUUUAGGAAAUCAACCUACGCUGGCUUAUCCGCGGAAUGAUGCUCCUCGAUUUCAAACUUGUGGGCGCAUGACCCAUGAUGAACGCCCUUUCCGGUUCUUCAUCUGUGAUUGUAAACCCUCGAUGAUUACACCAAUUAUUUAGAUUGUCUCUUGUCUUUUGAGGGUUUGCCUCCAUUGUAAAAUAGAUAUUUCCAGAGGGCCAUCACUAGCUUUUCAAACAUUCAUUUACACUUAGGAUGACAUCUUAAUCGUCCUAAAUUGAUUGGACAAUUCACCUCUCAUUAGCAAAGAUCAGAACUUGCAUGGGCGACACGUGUCAUCAUGAAUGAUAAUCUACAUUGCCUAGAAAUAAUACUGCUCCUUCCUAUCGUUUUCUCGGGCAUUGAUAACCAAUGUCAAUCACCCAAAUCAAAAUUGACAUGAUUCAUUCAAUUGCGGGCUAAUUACAAGUUCUAUAAUCGAUAACGACAGAAGGAUACUUGAGAUUGCAACAAAGUGUUGCAUCCAACUGGUCUGAGGACACUUUCUGCAUCAGAGAUAUUUCAAUAAAAUCUUUAAAAAUCAGUGAUCAGAUUCCAGGCUGAAUUGUGGUCCAACUUUGCAUGAACAUGCUAUUUGGACUUUGCGGGCCAUUUUGGGACUUUGUCUUUCGGCUCCGGAGGUGCGUCGGCCAAUUUAAUUCACAUAACAUUAUUGACCCUUAUGCUUAUCCCUGUGAAGCUGAGUUGGACUUGUCACAGCCCUAGGAUUCGGAUAAAACCCUCUAGUAUUAAGACAAGAAUCGAGAAACACGUGACCCGUUAUGUUUGGUACCAGACGGAGCACGAAAUCUGCAAUAUAGGGCUCAACAAUUCGUAUUGACUUCUCGUAUUGGUGUUUGUAGAUUGUGUUAAUUCUUAUUAGUAUAAGACAUCGUAAUUUUAGAUUUUAUAUACCAAAUAAUUGAAUUACAAUGAAAUAGUGCUGUUCAAAUCUACAUAUGGGUGAUGCGUAUCAUGUCGUGUCAAAUUUAGAUUUUCUUUUUAUAAUUUGUGUUUAGCCUCAUAUUGUGUUGUUGCCAUGCAUACACCAGCGAGCCCCGUUCCUUAAAAAAACCACUUUUGCAUUUGAUACUUGCACUUCAUACUAGUUGGGUUAUCAAAAUUUAUGCUAUAACACAUUACCUCUAUACUUUCAAAAAAAUUGUUAGUUUGCCUGCAGUCCUCAUUGCCACUACACUAGUUGAAAUCCAUGAAGCUCUGAAAAGAAUACGAGAUAAGAAUUGUUGAUACCUCAAGUUUUACCUUACUUUUUCCCAAAAUCAAACAAUUGACCUAGAGUUGAACAAGAUUUGACUGAUGAGCUAUAAGGCACAAAACAAAUUUUCAAACUGAAAAAUGAGUCAUUUUCGUUGAAGUGAGACAUCUAAUAUAUACAUAUAGCAUGUUAGAUCUUAAGGGGCUAGAGGACUCCCCUAAAGGAGGGGGGAAUUGCUAGCUUGUUAUAGUUAUAUGAAGUCCUGAAUUAACAAUUGAAUAAGAGGAGCGAUGUUGCUUCAAUUGCAGCUCUAGGGGAAUUCCAGCUCUAUUAAGCCUUCCCUUACAUCGCCUUCCAUUCAUUCUACAUUUGAUUUGGCUUUCUGGAUGUAAAUGAUGAUAUCUAUACAGAUGGAUCUUAUAUAUAUCGUAUAAUGAAGUGCAUUGUUGGAACUAGGUUGGAACGCCAAGCGAUUCUAGAUUAAGGGAUUCGGCAGAUUUGGAUUCCUAUAUAUCCACUCAUGGAGUACUUCAUUAUACGAUAUAUAUAAGAUCCAUCUAUAUAGAUAUCAUCAUUUACAUCCAGAAAGCCGUAUGCUUUGGAAGAAGCUUGUACAGUUGUCGCGACCAAAUUUUUGGGUGUGAAUCACCUAAGGUUUGGCUAAUGGAUUGUUAAGUCUAAACUUAACUCGGACUCUCCCAAGCCCAUACCAAUUUGCGACUUAAGUUCAAGUUCUUAGCAUGCAAUUGAUUUUUUAAUAAGGAGUCGCCACUAAUCUAUUUUUGGUGGGUCGAUUAGAAACUCUUGGGAGUUUCACUUUACUUUUACGAACCAGAGACUAUGGGUACGGGGACUUGGUUAUACUAGAUUCCUUUAAUGCCCUUUCGAUACCAUUAUUUUAUUUUAAAAAAUGUUUGGCAAGCAGCUUGAAUUGAUUUUAAAUCUAUUAAUCUAACAUGUGAGUUUAUCAUGCGCGUGCACAAACCACCAAUUUAACACACAAAUUAACAAUAAAUAAAUUGCAAAAACUUACUCCCAAGUAACGAAAGGGUCUACGAUGUUAAAUUAAAAUCCACAUUAACAACCCUAGAUAUGGUUUCUAAUUAACACAUAAUCAAUUGUUGUUUUCACUUUAUUAAAUGAGAAUCAUGCAAUGCACGCUACUAAUUUAACAUGAAGUGAUAUGGCAUGGCAAUAUGACUAAACUAUAUGACAUGAGUAAGGUAAUGCAAUAAUUAAAUAUGCGAUUUAAAUUAACCAAAAUGACUUAAUCUUAAUGACGAGCAAUUUCUAAUUAAAUGAACCUAGAAACAAUCACUAAAUGACGUGCAUUUCAUGAACCUAAUGCUAUAUGACGUGCACAUAAUUUUUAUUUUCUUAAUAAGCAUGCGAUCUAUCCUAAUAUGCAAUGACGUGCAAAGAAUGCCAUAAUUCGAUGAAUAUUCUAAAACGAACCUAAUCUAACUCAGAUUUUUUGGAUUUUUCCUUUCUUUUAUGGGAGAAAUCAAAAUAAGACAUCAAGAACAGCACGGCAACAAAUCAGGCAAGAUAUCAUCCAUGUCCAUUUUGGAAAUAAAUUGACGAAUUGUAUCUCGCGCUUGAGAUCAGAUUUGCCAAUUUUUAAAUAAAAUCACGAAUCGAAUCUCGAGCGUGAGAUCGGAUUGGUGAUUUUUCCGUGCGAUUGCGAGUCGUAUUUCGAGCGUGAAAUCGGACUAUCAAUCGUAUUCACGUUGUGACGGCUAUUCGAGAUUAUGAUAAGAGUUCAAUCCAGAAUGCUAUAAUUCGAGCAAGGCAAUGAAAUAUAUGAAUCUUGACUAAGAUAAAAUUAUUACCUUGUCCAAACACUUGCUCGCCAAAAUUGGACAGACUCGACACGGUGAAGAGGUGAUGUCAUGACACCACGGGCUGUUAGAUAAGUGGCGCAAGCCAGCGAGGCUUGCGGAUAGCAAUUCGAGUUGAUGCUUCUUAGCACGAUGAGACAAUUCGCUUGAAUGACACGUCCCAAGAUCAGCGGUAGCGGCCACUUUCAAAUGCUCCGAAAGUCUUAGCCAGAGUUCCAACUGACGUCGAGGUCAGCUACAUCACAUCACGGUUUCGCACCGCCAGGUUCGAGCUUGGGCCGCAUCUCACCGUCAUCGCUAGGAACUCUGGAUGGCUUAACAGGCUGCACGGGAGUUGGCUCGUGUUGGGGACAGCAGCUCGGUCUCGGAGGGACGUUGUGGCUGCAGCAGGCUCACCUGGGCUCUGUGGAUGACUCGACACUGCAGGAGCUCCGGGUGGCUUUGCGAUGAGGAUGGCGCUAUCCACGGUUUAGUUUCAGACGUUGGCUUUUCACGAGCACCAGGAAACCAGGCACGUAUUGGGCAGCAGAUAUGGACAGCAGCAGCUUCGAACGGCGCACAAGGGUGUUGCAAUUGUUGAACACCCGGAUUCCUCGACGAUUACCAACGAAUUUUGGUGUUUUUGUUGGGCCAAAUAAUCUCAACUGAGAACUCCGAAGUCGCGAUCGUAUCUUGCCCUUGAACCCACUCAUAUUUCUUUCUCAAGAAUUCACGGGCAGUUCUCCAAAAUUCACCAUGCAAUACGAGACAACUUCCACCGCUUUGACCAAAAGCCAAAAUAAGUCUCGAUGUUUGAAGGUGGGCUCGUCGAUGAUGAGGUGGGAGGCGGCUAGUGGUGGCCCGUGAUUGGCACCACAGUUAGCGGGUUGUCAUGCAAUGCAGGGGUCGACACUUAGGAAAGGCUUCUCAUGUCUUUCUCCAAAAGACGAGGAGAUGACCUGCAACGCAAAAAUUACAAGGAAAGAAAGUCCUCGCUGAAAGCCUAGCAGCAAGACUUCACCAGCCUACGUGAAUGGCCCGCGAAGAAAAAGAAAGUGAUCUUUUUAUUCCUUUUUUUAUUUGUCCUUUAUGUGCCCCUCUUACGUGACCAUAGAGAAAGAAAAGGGAAUUUUUAUUGAGAAUUGAUAACUCCCUUGAUAGUUUGAUGAUCUCCUCGGUCUGGUCUUAGUGCGGCAGCAGCUUCAUCGAUAGGGAAUCCGUGGUGGUGUCACGUGCGGAACGACGAUGGGACUCUGAUUACGAGUUGCUCGGCAAAGCCUGCUGGUCCAGCAAUUCUCGGCCAGGGAAGGAACAACUCACUAUGGGGACUUCUUGAUGGAGGCUUGGUGCCCGCUGGACAAGCAUGGACUGACGGUGAGGAGGAUGCUCAGAUGUUCACCGGGAUAGUCUCACAGCGAACUGGUCUCAGCUCGACAACGGCAGUGAUGUCAUGGCUCACGGCACGGUAGAAAAAACUCAGUGCUGCUUAUUCGAGAACCUGCAAAACAGAAAGAGAUUCGGUGUAGUGAAAGGGAAGAGCUCGGCCAAGAGGGGGCCGUCGCGGUGCAGGUACAGCGUGGAUGUCUAGCAGCAACAAUUAUGGCUAGUGGAUCUCGGAGGCGGUGAUGGAGCGAUCUCGGAAUUGGGACCCCAAGAGCAGAAAGAACUUCGGUUUCUAUUCUCUAUUGGAUCCUCCACUCUAUCUAUUCUCUCAACGUGUGGCCCUAUGUUCAAUGUGUGUGGCCGUGUAUUCUCAAUUGUGUGGCCCCCUUUUUUCCCUCGAACAUUACGCUUUUUAUACUGGCCGAAUAUGAACUUCAAAAAGGGAAAUUUGAAUAUAGGAAAGAAGUCCACAUACUGACUUCCCUCUUUUGUGAGGGUUUAUAUUUCCUCUGUACGCAUUGCGGAUCCAUAUAUCCUCAUUGAAUAUAUAUUUUAAUAAUGCUAAUCCUUCUUGCCCUUUUUGAUGUUUUUGUCCGCACAUUUAUAAUCACAAGAUCAACAAAAACAAUUCUUUUCUUUCCAAAUACCAACUCACAAUUGAUUGAACAUUGCCAAAAGUUCGGGAUCGUAAUAAAAUUUUCUCGGAUUCUGAAUAUUUUAAAGAUGAGCUCGCAAUAUUUUGUCGCACUUGCCCUAUUUGAAGAUAUUGAAAAAUCCCCCAACAUAUCCCGAAAAAGUUUCAAAUCUUUAUUUUUUACGAGAUAAUUUUCGAUCAUAAAAAAAAAAAGAAGGCUUGGGCCAAUUUGCUCCCUCCGUGGGCUUAGUCCAGCCCGUCAAUUUAAAGCUCAGAACCACCAAUUCAAACUCAUCUGCCACCGGUCCAAUAAACAAAUGCAAAAAAUGAAAAUGCACCUAAAUCUAUAUGCUAUGCAAUUAAUUAUUUUUUCAGGGAUAAAAUUAACCUCUAAUUUUUAGUGCAAUAAAUGACUUAUUAGGUUGUCAAAAUUUAGUGUCAACAACAGUUUGGGAAGGGGUUUUGAUUGAUCAAAAAGAAGAAUAUACUUCAACUGACAAGGGGUCUUAUGGUUUUAUCGGUGCUUGAAACAAUUUUGUCUUCUCCAUAUUACUAUAUCUUUAGAGUCAAUAAUUUUAUAUGAGGAACUACUGAACUCAAUUACUUGCUGCCGUUACUCUUCAGUUAUCUGUUGUGGAUAACUAGAGUCAUUCUUUGAUAGAUGAUCACUAUGAGUCAAACUCAAUAGAAUUUGUCUAUGAGCUAAGAGUCAUUACUCUAUUAUGACUGAUUGCUAGCAAUAAUCGAAUCGAAAGGAAUAGAAAGAGGAGAUCCCAUGUAGUUAACUCUAAACAAGUAGUUCUCUUCUUCUUUUCUCUGAAUCCUACCCUCAAGCAUUUCAACUCAACAAAAGAUAUGUUCAACCAGAUGUUGGAUGAAAAAGUUACCACCGGUCAAAUCUUAGUUAAACUUUUCUUAUACCCAAAUAAGGUCCUGGUACCUAAAACGAUACUUAUAGGUUCCCAAGUUGAAGAAAAUCACCAAAACUCUAAGUGAUGGUAACCAAUGGUUUUUUUUAUAACCUUGAACCGUUGGAUCAAUGCUGAAUUCAUAGAUUCGAGCCUCUAACUGCACUUGAGGCCUGAAAAGAUUUUAUGGAUUUGCAACUUGUUGGAGCAUGCGCCCCAAGCUAAGGCAUAGCAUCCGAGCCUCAGGCUUUAGCGAGUUAGGCUGAGGCGCAUACUCCUCGGCCAAAGGAGCAUUCGAAAACUCAAAUGUCUAUUGGCCCUCAUUUCUCAAAAUGUAAUCUCUCCAUACCCUCUUUCAUUUUGAGAGGAGCAUUCAAAAACUCAAGUGUCUAUUGACCCUCAUUUCUCACAAUGUAAUCUCUCCAUACCCUCUUUCAUUUUGAGAGUUCUCUCUUUUGUUUUUGUUUUUUUUUUAUUAAUCUAGGGGGCCCAAACUUCCCAACCUUUCAAGGUGAACUCUCUCUCUCUCUCUCUCUCUCUCUCUCUCUCUCUCUCUCUCUCUCAUCAUAGUGAUUAAGGUAAAUGAUAUAAAUGAUCUUUAAAAUUUGGCUCAAUACGCAACGUGAUCUAUGAAAUUCAAAUUUAUUUGAUGUAGUAAUUCAAUUUUAGCCCAAUGUGCAGUGUCCUUCCUUAACUUUUAAUUUGAGGUUUCUAAACUUUUAGUACAUGUUUAAUUUAGUCUUUAGAUUGUAUGAACACAUCCAGUGUUGUACUUACAAAAAAAAAAAAAAAACAUAUCCGGUGUUGUCCUUGAAAUCGAAUUAAUGAAAAGAUAACAGUGAAUAUAUUCAUACAGUUCAUGGCCUAAGUUGAACAUGUACCAAAAGUUUAGGGAUUGAAUCGAACAAAUUAAAAAUUUAUGAAUUACGAUGAAACAAAUUAAAAGUUUAGGAAUAACAUCGUGCAUUGCGCCAAAAUUUAGGGAUUUGUAUCAUUAAAAUUUCAUGAAACCUAGGCUGUCAAAAUGACGAAGUUUCUCAAGAAUGAUCAUUAUCUUGCCUAGGCCCUUGCAAUACCAAUUUUUCUCUAGAUGCAACGUUAUUAUGGGGGACAAUUUCAAAUAAGACCCAUAAUAGGGUCAUUGUCUCAAAUAGGGAUCCGAAAUAGACUUUGUAUCAAAUAAGGUAUUGAAGUGGCUAAAAUAGUGUCAAAUAAGAGAACAAACUCAUUGGCUGGCUAAAUUUUCACCAAAUGACUUUUUUCGGACAACUAGUAUAGGGGCAAUUUUGUCCCAAAACUGUAAUUGGGUAAAAAGAAGAAGAAAAAAGCCCAAAUUGAACAGGGAUUACGCUACCGAUCAAAAUACAAAAAAAAGAAUCAGGAUUAGGGUUCAUCCUUCAUUUUUUCUCUUCUCCGCUGCUCAAGCAAAUUCACAAUCGCCUACUCCGUGCAAGUUCAUCACCGCUCCACGCCCGAUCUUCGUCGCUUCUCUCCAGAGAGAAUAAUCCCUGCAUUAUGUUCUAUUGGGAAUAACGGAUUCCUUAAAACCGAUCCAACACUCAAUCGAAUCCCUAAAACGAGUGCAAAAGACGAGCCCAUGAGUCACAUGUAUCACCGAUCAAAGAUACAUCACGGAAUCGAGCGUACCUUAUUUGCCACAGAUUAAACACCAAUGUUGAAGUUCGAGGAAGAAUUCUGAUCCCGUUCUACCGAGAAGCAUACUGUUGCUGUAAGGGGGGAGAAAAACGUUGUUUUGGGAGCAUAAUGUGUGACGCUUCUUCGAGGGAGAGAGAGACCGAAACAACGUACUUAAGUUGAAGGGGUACGUUCCCUUUUUCUUUUCUCUCUCACGUCUUUUCUAACAGACGUAACUCUUCAACGUAAAACAUUCCCCCAAAAGAGACAACUCCUCAUUCUUAAACAACAUAGCAUUUCACAUCGCAACCAUUCUUCCAUGGGCCAUUAUCUUGCGGGCCGAGCUUUUAGGCCCAACAUGGGCGGAUGGGCUCACUUAGGCCCAUCAUCACAUAUAAAAAACCAUCAUCUCCCACUUGCAUAUGGUGGGCCAAACAAGAUCCUCUUUACCUCUCUGCAACAUUCAUACUGGUGAAUAAUCCAUGCGACCAGCAUACUUUGAGAGCUCAUUGCCAUACAUCUGUUAGGAAUAUAUAAUAGCUCAUAAUGGACAUCACACUCUGAGUAGAUUUAGUAUACAGUACCUUAGAUUGAUCGAUCACAUUUAUAUCUCUCUCUUGAUCUCUUUUUAAACAAUGAUAUAUUGUAUUCACAAUUAUGAUUAUCCCAAAAAACAAUCAUAAUUGAUCGACCAGUGAAUACAAAACUAGAAUGUGAUUCUUCAAAUUCAAUCUUCCUCUUUCCUUCAAACUCUCAAUUUCAGUUCAGCUUACUUUUCUAGAAAUGUCCAAUUAGAUUGAAUCAAAUCAUGAUCAUUGGCAACAUCCUAAGAUAGCAAAUACUAAAUAGAAAUUUUGAGAAUAAGUAAGAGUCAUGAGGGCACUAAAUUGAAGAACUCCUUUCUUCAAGAGUCUCAUACAGCACAAAAGUUGAGAUCAAACUUUUGCCACUCUUAUUGGUCGUUUCAUGCAUACGUAAUAUGAAAUACAUAUUAUGAUAUUUAACUCAUUUCCCAUGGAGCGUAUGUCUACACCUUUAAUACCGUACAUAUGAUAGUUUAGACAUACCAAAUAUCUAACUUGAGUUCACAUAUCUACUCAUACACAGAAUUUAUUAGAACUCACAUCUAGCACCAUAAAUAGAUAAAGUAAAAUAUGUGGGUUAUUUUACUUUUGGACAUAGUAAAUAUUAUGUCAUCAUAUUAACACUCAGUUAAUGUGGCAUAUGCAUUUUAAGCUUGAGCUCUCACUUAUCACCCAUAUAAUAAGCUUAAAAACCGUUUCAUCUCUAUUUAUCACAUAGUAAAUAGAAACGAUUACCCGUGUGAGUGUGCUAAUCUUUUAUCUGUCCGAUAUACUUUCUCAACUAUAUAUAAUGCACUAAGCAUUAAGAUGCAUAAACAUCAAACAAAGAUUCAUAAGCAUUAAUGGUGAAAAACACAAAUUCAUUAAAUGUGAACACUUCAGGGAAAUUACAAUAUUCAAUACAUCGGCCUCCACGUAAUCCUAGAGAUUUUACAUGACCACAAAACACAUCUUUAGGUAUUGGUUUUAUCACAGGAUCUGCUACCAUUCUAUGCGUAGAUAUGUACCAUAAGUUUACAUCUUUUCGUGCAACAAUAUCCUUGACAAAAUUAUACUUGGUAUCUAUAUGUUUGGUUUUGCCACGAUAUUUUGGAUCUUUGUAUACGCUAUAGUUGCUUGGCUAUCAUAAUUAACCAAUAAUGGACUUGCAGCAUACCCAAUAACACCUAAAUGAUCCAAAAAUUUAUUAAAACAAACACUUUCUUGUACCGCUGCUGAUAAUGCCACGAACUUAGCUUCCAUCGUGGACAAGGUAAGAUAUGGCGUCAUUAUUUAGUAAGAAAGCAAAGCCAGAAGUAGAUUUCCUUUCAUCUAAAUUUCCUCCCCAAUUAGCAUCUGAAUAGCUUUCAAGUCGCAGAUCAUUUCCUUAGUAAUUCAGCUUGUAAUCAACAGUUUCCUUUAGAUAUCUCAGUAUUCUUUUAACGACCUUCCAAUGUGCUUGACCUAGAAUGGAUUGGUAUCUACUCACCAUUCCAAUUACAAAAUAUGUCAGAUCUUGUACACAUCAUGGCGUACAUUAAGCAUCCCACAACACUAGCAUAAGGAACAUAUUUCAUUUGUUCCUUUUCUCAUGGAGUCCUUAGACACAGUUUAUGACUCAAUCCUUCACCUUUUGCAAUAGGAGUAUCUAUGGGUUUAUAAUCUUGUAUACGAAAUCGUUCAAGAACCUUAUUUAUGUAUGUUUAUUGUGAAAGAGAUAAUGAUCUCUUCUAACGAUCUCUUGAAAUCCUAACUCCAAGAAUGUGUGCAGCCUCACCCAUAUAUUUCAUCACAAAGUUGGAAGAUAACCAAUUCUUCACAGUAUUUACAAACUCCAUAUUAUUUCCGACAAUUAGUAUAUCAUCAACAUAUAAUGAUAUGAUCACACAUUGAUCUUUGGAUCUUUUGAUAUAUACACAAUGAUCAUCAUCUAUCAUUAUGAAAUCAUAUGCCAUUAUGGCAUUAUGAAAACGUAUAUACCAUUGUCUCGACAACUGCUUAAGGUUAUAUAUCGAUCUCAAAAGUCGACAUACAUUUCCUUCUUGGUUUUCCAUAAUGAAACCAGCAUGUUGUUCCAUAUAUAUUUCUUCAUUUAAUUCUCUAUUGAGGAAAACAGUCUUUACAUCCAUUUGAUGUAACUUAAGAUCUAUACUAGCCACCAUUGCCAGAAUAAUGCGAAUCGAGAUAAAUCUCACUACAGGAGAAAAUGUUUUUUCAUAAUCAAUUCAUUCCUAUGAAUUAUACCCAUUCGCCACAAGACGAGCCUUAUAACAUUCUAUCAAGCCAUCAGCUUUACGCUUUAUUUGAGAACCCACUUGUUCUUAGGGUGCGUUUGGGAAGACUUUUGGGGAAAGUCCUUGAGAAAAUGCAAAGAUCUUUGAGUCAAAGAUGUUUUUCAAAAUGCAAAAUGUGUUUGGUAAAUUUAUUUGUGAAAGUCAAUUCUGAAGUAUACUUGUGCAAAAUAGUGUUUGGGUAAAUUAAAUUUGUAAAAUGCUUUUAUUAUUAAACAAAAGGAAAGUUGGCUGGUCAAGGCUUCGCCGGUGACCGCCGGCCAAGGUUUCGCCGGUUACCGCCGGCCAGGCUUCGCGCCGGCGAAGGGUAGGCGAUCCGGCGAGGGUCGCGGCGACCCUCGCCGCGCCGUCGCGCAACCCACCGCGCCGCGAAGGUCACCCCGAGGUCGCGGAGGAUCUGGGUCGCGGCGAGGUCCUGGGUCGCCUGGGUCGCCGCGACCUCUGCGACCCAGAUCUGGGUCGCCUGGGUCGCCGCGACCUAGGCGACCCAGGCGACCCCCGUCACGUUCGCCCCCCGGAUCGUCGGCGUCCCCUGCGCGGCGGCUAGGGUUGCCCGCCUCUGUCGAGGCGGUUGCCGGGCCCUCCGCAGCUCGGGCGGCGAUUCGCGGCCUCGCCGGGUGAGNNNNNNNNNNNNNNNNNNNNNNNNNNNNNNNNNNNNNNNNNNNNNNNNNNNNNNNNNNNNNNNNNNNNNNNNNNNNNNNNNNNNNNNNNNNNNNNNNNNNCCCGGAGGUCGCGGCAACCGACCUCGCCGUGACCUAGGCAACCGACGCGACCCAGAUCUGGGUCGCACGCCUGAUCGGCGACGGUCGCUGGGGUGCGGCGACGGUUGCCGGCCUCUCUCCAACCCGUUGCCGACCCAUCGCCACCUCGCCGGCCGAGUCGCCACCUCGCCUGCUGACAUCCGAGAAUUCUCGACGAAGAGGAAGAUUGAACAGUGCGAUGAACAGUAGAGAGGGAAACAAAUGCAAAGCCAAAGCUGAAAGCCCAAGGCACCCCAAGAGCUGCCUUGGGCUUUCAGCCUUCAGAAGGCUGGCUUUGGCUCAAUGGGGCUUCUAAAAUAUUUGCCAAACGCCUGAUAUUUGGCCAAAAGGCCUUUAGGUGUCUAAAGACACUUGGGAAAGCUGUUCCCAAACGCAGCCUUAAUAGCUUUGCAUCUUAUUGAAAGAUUAACUAGUUCCCAAACAUGAUUUGACUUCAUUGACUCCAUCCCCUCUUCUAUUGCAUGUAUCAAUUUUUCUUUACUAUGACAAUUUAGAGCUUCAUUAACAUUCCUUGGCUCAUCUUCAUCUCGUGGAGUAACCAUAAAAGUUUCCCCCUUAAUGUCAAAGUGUCGACAUGGAAUACUUUUGCGACUUGUUUGCCAUAUGGAAGAUUGUACACUUUGCACAUCAUUCCUCAUUAUACUCCCACUCGAAUUGAAUAAUGACGAUAUCGUCUCAUCAUGUUGUUAUAAUUGAGAAUGAGUUGAAUUAAAUCUAUCACUUCUCAUGUUACAUCUUGUGAACUUGGACGAACUUCACUAAAUUUAUUAUCUGGAUUCAAGGUUUCAAAUAGAGAGUAACUCACCUAUUUCACCAUUCUUAUAAAAUUCAUUCUCUAAGAAUGUGACACAUUGUGAUUCGAAUUCAGUUAUACUUCCAUUUUCCUGCUCACCUAUGAACACAUACCCUUUCGAGUGUUCAAAGUAUCUUAUGAAAAUACUCUUCUUUCCUCUGAGACCUAAUUUCUCAAAUUUGUGAGAGGGCUCAUGAGUAUAGGCAGCACAUCCCCAUGGUUUAAGAAAACUUAAAUUCGGUUUUCUACCUAUCCAUAACUCAUAUGGAGUGGAAGUAACUGAUUUGGAAGACACCCGGUUAAUUAUAUAGAUAGCAGUUAAUAACGCAUCACUCCAAAAAGUAAUAGGUAAGCUAGCAUGGGCCAUCAUGCACCUAAUCAUUUCCAGUGGAGUUCUGUUCCUUCUCUUCACAACACCAUUUUGUUGAGGAGUAUAUAGAAUAGACAACUAUAUUUCUCUUCCUUUUUCAUCAUAUAAAUUUAUGAACUUAUUAGAUAAAUAUUCUCGACCUUCUGAUCUUAAUACUUUUAUUUUCUUAUCUAAUUGAUCUUAUAUUAAGUUCAUAAACCUUUUUAAACAACUCAAUGCUUCAGAUUUAUGAGAAAUCAAAUAGACAUAUUCCAAUUGAGUAUAAUCAUCUAUAAAUGUGAUGAAAUAAACAACCCAAUGUCUUCCUCUCACAUUCAUUGGACUAUAGAUGUCAGAAUGGAUUAAAUGCAAAGGUAAUUCAGCUAUUUUCCCUUUUCCAAAUAGUUUCCUUGUUAAUUUUCCUACUAGGUAAUGUUCAUAUAUGAGCAAAUCGACUUUUUCAAUGUUGCCAACAAGCCCUCUUUGGCUAGUCUAUUUAUAUGUUGUUAGCCAAUAUGACCAAAUCUAGCAUAUCACACAUUCACAUCAUUAUCAUAUAAAUUAGGAAACAUGAAAAGGGGCAUUACCAUAGUUUAUAUUUAAUACAAUUAGACCAUCUAGAAAAUAACCACAACCAUAGUAAUUUGUAUCCAAAUAUAAAUCCACACCACUAUUAUGGAAGUUCAUAUUAAAACCAAGUUUAACCAACACUAAAACAAACACUAAAUUUUGACGAAUCUCUAGAGCAUAAAAUACAUCAUGUUGGAAUAAAGUGUGUCCACCACGCGUGUUCAGUUGGCAGGUGCCAAUCCCUUUUACUUCUGCCUUGGAGUUGUUUCACACAUAAAUUAAUUUAGUUCCAGUUGGUACUUGUCGGAAUUCCACGAAGGAUUCUCUAUCCUUCACUAUAUGAUCUGUUGCUCCUGAAUCUACAGUCCACAAAUGAUUGGAUUCAGUUAAGAAUACAGAACUUGACACAUUAACAAAGUUCUUAAGAGUACAAGGGGUGAGUACCUUCUUUGGCUCGCGAUAGUCGCGAGCAUAGUGACCCUUCUGGUCAUAGUUAUAACACUUCACCCUUGAGAUACUCUUCACUCGAGGACAUUUUCCUCUCUUAUAUUGGUCAGCUCUUGGUUUCUUGCAAGAAUGACUUGAUCCAUUGCAUUUCCACAUAUUGAACGAAUCAAUGCGUUUGCGCUUAGAGCUUGAAGCCUCUUCUAAGCUAGAAACAAUACAACAAAUGUUUAUUUCCCGCUCAAAUGCCUUGAGGCGGUCCUCUGCUAGCUCAAGGUGGUGCACAACAUCCUCAAAUUCUUCCAUAAUAUAGUCAAGAGCUUUUAAUGCUUCUUGUUUUUUAAACAAAAAUUGAAUUUUCUUAUUGAAUAUUUCACUAUUAUUGCAGUUCAAUUUGUCUUCUUUGUUCAAAUCAGCAAUUAUAUUCUUAGUUGCUAAAGCCAUCAAUCUGAACAUAUUAGACACAUAUGCACGAAUUAUUAAUGCCUAUCAUUUAUGCAUCCGUUUUGCACAGACCCAUCAUAUUAAUGAAUAAUUUCAAGUAAGGUUUCGGAAUCAAAAGGUCACUAUGUUUCCAAUCAUCAUCUAAAAAAUCCUAACUUAAAACUAUUAUUAAUAUAAUCUUCUAUGUAAAAAAAGUUCAGCAAAGUUACUAAAAUUUUCUUGAACUUCCCACAACAAAUUAUAAAUUAACAUACUAAUUCACAACAAUAAUAUAUCUAGAGGAAAAUAUCAACAUAAAAAGAGAUAUUUACUCCUAAAAACAUCUCAGACUAAUCUAAAAAAUAAAUAGAGAAAGUCUUUUCUAAUCUAUCGGUAAAAUUCUCUAAGAAUUUUGAAGGCACAUUUGCCAACCAUGAAAAAACUUUUGGAGAACUAUCAUGCCACCUCCAAGGUGCAUUUAUUCUGCGCCAUAUGGCACUUAUCCCAAGGGUUGAAGUUUUAGUUAACUCGAUCCUAUAGUAUUCUUUUACAAAAGCUACUAUAAGUUACUUAUAAUCCGGGACCACGUUGACCUCCCAUAGGCAAUCUAACAUUGCUUGCCAUUCAGGUGGAAAAGUGUUCAUUAAGGCCAGCACAUUCUCAAAAUCCGGUAUAGGAUAACCAUUCAAUAUGAUUUCUUGUAUCAUCUGAUUGGCCCUGACCACGUGUGAUACUACAUCACCGUCAUUCCAUCGAUAAUUAGCCAACUCUGUCAUUAGCCCUUUAAUUCUUGCAUUUUCUUCCUCCGUUCUUGGAAAUGCAGGUCUGCGUGCAUAACGCAUAAUAGUUUCCGCAACAAAUGCAAAACAAAAAUGAAUUACUUAGGCUGCACAUGGUAAAAUUUCUGUUUCUCAAUUUCUCUAUUUCUCUGUUUCCCGGAACAUGUUUGGAACAGAAAUCCGUUUGGUAACACAAAUUGAUUUCUCUAUUUCUGAAAUAGAUUUCUGUUUCAGAAAUUGUUUUGGAGGAGAAAUUAGAAGCUAAAAAUUGUAGCUUAUUUAUUUCUGAAGUAGAAAUAGAAAUUGUUUCUUAUCCAUCCACCUCCUUCCUUAAGCAGACUCGACUCUUUCUCUCCUCACUACCGUUGCUUUCCCAUUCCUUCUCCUCACCUCAACCAAAAACCCUAGCGACUCCGAAGCUGUUCAUCCUCGCCGUCGCCGCUCAUCUCGCCGUCGCCAUUGCCGCUCAUCUCGACCAGCCAAUUUGCUCCGAUCGUCCCGUCGGAGCCGCCUCAUCCGUCCGCGUCCCCAGUCACACUCCAGUCGCCAUCGCCCAGUAGCUGUCGUCGUCGCCCAACUCCAGUAGCCGUCGCCGUCACCCAUCUUCGUCACCGCGCCCAUCUCCAUUUGCCGAGCCCAUCUCCAGUCGUUGUCACCGUCGCCCAUCUUCGUCCGCGUCCCCUUCUGCUCUCAAUUUCGUGGAUCCAGUCACCCAUCUCUGUUGCCCAUCUUCGUCCACGUCCCCUUCCGCUCUCGAUUCCGCGGAUCCAGUCGCCGUCGCCCCUUUCUGCUUUCGAUUCCUCACGAGGUUCGAUCGAUCCUUCCUUUUUCGCCUCUUUCUUGGUUGUUCUGUGCUUGUUAUGUGCUUGUGCUCUGCAAACAAACGAUUGGUGUUUGUGCUGCGAGUUUGGGCUGCUCUGUUUCUCGGUGGGGUGGGAAAUGUGAGAGGGAUUGCGAAUGGUUGGUGUUUGUGCUGCGAGUUCUUAGGUAGAUUUCAUCCGGGCUGCUCUAUUUCUCAGUGGGGGUGGGGAAUAGAGAUAAUUUUUACAACGGGAAAAGAGAAAGGAACGAUGGGCACCUUUUUGUCAACGGACUGUUGAUAUCAGAAAUUUGUUUUUGCUUAAUAGGACAAUAUGUGAAACAUAGCAGUCAUGGAUAAUAUCUCAACUAAAAUUAUUUGAUAUAUAUUGUAGAUAUAAUAGAAAGAGAUGUUAUACAUAGCUAAGAUUUAUCAUAAUUUGAGAUGAAUUUUGAAACAACCCCCGAGAAAAACAAAAAUGAUAACAAUAAGAAACUGGUGGGACUCAUGCUUGAUUUGUACCCGGCUGUUAAUGUGACCUAUGGGAGUGAAGUUUCAAAGGAGCUGACCCCUUUGUGGAUCCUGGGGCCACUCCUCGUUGCCCUCUAUGUCAAGUUGUUCCAAGGAUUGUGGGCACUUUAUUUGUUCACUUUCAAGCAGACAGUCAAAGUAGUUAAGAACUUGCCUGUGUACUACCUCACUGCUUAUCAGUAUGUCGCAAAUGGGAAACUAAAAGAAGACGUAUGUUCUCGUGUUUGGCAACUUGUGGUGGAUGUAAAGAACUUGGACUACAAGGAGCUUUCUAGAAGGAAACUCAAAGAAUUGCAAUAGUGGUUGCUGGAGUGGUAUUUGGAUUUUAUUGAGUCAAUAUGGCCAUAUUACUGUAGAACAAUUAGAUUCUUAAAGAGGGCCAAUUUCAUUUGAGUUGCACAACUUGAUUCGAGAAGGCAGGGCUAAGUGUCAAGAUUGUUUAGAUGGUUUUUUGAAUUCAUGAUAUGGUUUGAGAGCCCCAUUUUGCCCUGGAGCUCUCGGUUAGAUCUUGAUCAAGUUGAGUUGACAGCAAGCAGUCAGGGAUAUAUAGAGUUUUUUGGGGGCGGCAUUUUAAUUCAUGUAUGAGAUCCUCAUAAAUCAUUUUAUGUGGUUGCAUCUGUUAUUUGAUUGAGAGAAGCAUAAAUGACUAACUAUUCUGAAUUGCCAAGCAGAGCAUUUGGUUCUAUUUUCGAUCUAUUCUUUUGUUGUUUCAUUGUUUUCUUCACGCAACAUGAUGAUGUUUUGAUGUUUGAAUCUCUGAAUGUAUCUGCACUGAUGCUUUAGAUAUUUUAGGUGGGUUGACCCUGUGCUAAGAUACUAGAAAAUUUAUAUGCAGUGCAGUGGGAAAAUGACUUUUUGAGAACCUUUUGUCCUCAAAGUUUUUUGUUUAUUUCCUACUUGAUUCUGAGAUUUUCUACAAAGCUUUUGAGUUAUGAAGGCAGUAUCUCUCGAAAUUUUGCCAGGAUCAUUCCCAGUAGUGAAUCACUUUGGUGUUGAUCCUGCAUUUGGUUUUAUAUGAGGCAUGAUUUCACCUCCAAGAAAAGGCAUGUUGGUUAUGAAGCUAUGAGGAGUAGUAAUUGGUAGUCUAAUAACUGAUUAUGUACAUGUAUUGGAGAUUUACCUGUGGGAAUAUAAGAACGAUUUGACUGGAAGUUGUUAUGCUCACUUUGUUUUGAAUGUUAAAGUGAAAGGAUUGUAGAAAUUAUGCGCGUGCUUGAGCUCGGAAAAAUGUAUAGCCAGUAAAUAAUUGUGAAUUUUUGUGCAUUAAGAUACCAAUUCUUAUAUUGAUCAGGACUAGAUUUUGAUCCAUUCAGGCUGGAAUUGAAUUGAAGUCCAUGUCACGAUAAUGUACAUCAAAUGCCUCGCUCCACUUGAAUGUUUAUAAGUUGGAUGAUGAGUGCAGAUAAACGGGAACAAGACUGUUAGGUAAGCCAAAGAAAGCUUAAUAUGGAAACUCGUUGCCUUCAGUUAACUUCACUGAUUAAAAAACCAUCUCCACAAGAUUUAUUUAAAUCAAAUUUUAUUGAAACAUCUUAUUCUAACUGUCCUUUAUCCCUCAAAUGUAAGUUCCCUAUUCCCAAAUCUUUUAUAGUUUGCAUAUUAGCAUUUUUUAUACUAAUUACUAGCUUUUAUUUACAUAAAUUGCUAAUGUUUUGAAGUUCCUAACUACUCUAUCGAAUUACCAAUAUAAAUUAAAGUGAUCUACCAACUUUUAUCAAAUUAAAUUACCAUCACAAGUACCAAGAAGAGUGAGGUAAAAGGAUGGGGACAACAUAAUUCAUAGAAAUAGAAUUUUUUUUUUGUUAUCAAACGGAUUUCUAUUUCAGAAAUAGAAAUUUUGAAUCGUUAUCAAACAGGUUUCUUUGCUCAGAAACUUGUCCGGGGAAUAGAAAUUGAGAAAUUGAUUUCUGGCCAGAAAUCAAUUUCUGUUUCAGAAAUUUUAUCAUGACAAUGAACAAAAAGGAAAAUACAAAAUUUUUCAUGGUUCAUGCAACAAAUGCAAAAUAAAAAAAAAUGGAUUACUUAUAAUUCAUAACGAACAAAUUGGAAAAUACAAAAUUUUCCUCUUUCUUUUUUUGGCCGGUCAACCAAGUUAACGAUGGUCAAUGAUGGUCAAUGAUGGUCAACAGUCAACUGUCAAAUGGAUAAACAAUCAACGGGUCGAGUCAACAGGUCAAUCGGGUCAACGAGCCGUCGGGUCAGGUCGGACCGAUUGGGUCGAGUAAGACCGGUCGGACCGGUGAGCCCUGUCGCAACCCGAUCUCGCCACCCCUAAAAAAGUCCAAGAGGGGAAAGGUCGGGUUUAGGGGUACUUGAUCUCAAGAGUCUCCUCCACAAGAUCGUGAGCUCUCCCAAGCUCAUACCCCGCACGACAGCGAAUUUAUUUAUACAAUCUAAGUAUUUAACAACCUAAAAAAUAUACAGGAGUCGCCACUAGCCUCAUUCUGGGGGUCGGCUAGAAACCCAAUCGAGGGUCGGGAGUGUUCCCUCGAUUCCUACGUAACCAGAUAUCUAGGUUCGAGGACUUGGGUUACGCUAAUAUUGCUAUUAGCGCCCUUUCGGUACCUAAACAAUAUGUUGUGUUUUUCCUAACAUGUUAAUGCAUUUCUUUUUAUAUUUUUAGGAUCAUCAAUUCUAUACUAAAUGAUCAUGCGUGGUGGAUUACUUUCAUUCUAUUCUAUUCCUAAGAAAUGAAAGGAAAACAAAUAAUGAAAAUGAAAUUUGCAAGACAUGAAGUAAACAAUCAAGAAAAGCAGUUAAACCUAAUCAUGCAAGUCUAAAAAUAUAAAAGAGAAAAUAAUUGGGAAAGAAAGGAAACCCGCAACUCGUUGAGUUUUAUACAAUGCAUGGAAUCCGAGAUAUAUAUCGGGAAAAAACGAAUAUUACAUAACAACGGUCGGAAUAGACAUCGACUCCACCAUCUUCACGUCUUCUCUAUCUUCAAGGCCCUUAUUUAAACCUAAUCUAAGAAAUUUGGAUGACUAGAUGCAUACAAAUGAAAGAAACAAAUUUCUAAAUCAAAUGAUAUGUAAACGAUGCAAAACUAACAUCAUCUGAAAGAUUAAGAUGAAUCUUAAGACUUCUUAAUAGGGUUCAAGUCCAAUCAAGAUCUAAUUGAUGGUCAAAAAUUGAUAUUUGUGAAAUUGCGCAUGUCAGCCACAAACAAGACAAAAUACAAUGCAUGUUUAAUGGUUCGUAAGACCACCUAGACAAUGCACAAAAAUGUGAAACUUGCACAUGACAUAAGGUUGAAUGCGAAAAAAAAGUUUGGGUAAACAUUUAACCUUAAAUCAGAAUGCAAAGAAAUCGCCCAAGUCAUUAAUAUUGCAAAGUGACUUAGAACUAAGAAUGUCAUGCAUGACAAAUUUUAAUUACAAUUAGCCAAAUGAAUGCAUGAUAUUCACAUCAAAUGAGAUUCAAAUAUGAUAUGCCAUGCAUUGAUGCGAAACUUGUAACACAUGUUUCAAAUGUCAAGAAGACAAUGACGCAUGAUUUGGCCCUUAAAACAAAGAACCAGCAAAAUCAAUACACAAAGAAAUAGCAAAAAUAGCACAUCAAUGACACAACUAAACAAUUUCAUACACCAGAACAUAUGAACGGAAAGCAAAGAAAUAUCGAUACUAAAGAACAACAUAACUCUAGACAUCUUUACAAACAAAAAAAACACAGAGUUUGGAUCGGUAGAACACAAAUAAGCUACUGGGCAAAGUGAUUAGUGUUGGAAAUUGGUUUGAUGGUGGAUAUCUAAUAUCAAUUAUCAAACAAUAGAACUUUGCUAAAAUAGAGAACAAUAGAGCAAGACCAUCCCACAUGUGAUUUACUUUUUUCAUAUCAUUAACCUCAAAAUCUAUGCUCAAAAGAUCGUAGGAAAGUGGCAAACAAUCAGGCCCACCCAAAAACAGAAUAUGCAUUUCUGACCAAGGCAAAUUCCAGAUUUUAGAAUGGAUUAGAAAAAAAAUGUUAAACAUGGCAAAUGAUGGUCGAUUCAGGCAUUCAAUAUGUCAUUUUAAAGCUUGAGAUGCUUAUUACAAUUAUCUAGAAGACAUUAAGUCCUAAUAACAUCAUCUACCAGUUCAUAUCAAGUGAUUUACACAUAAGGUCAUCCGAAACAGAGAGACAAACAUUUGGUAGAUUCUGGACCAGACUUUGGACAGACAAAAAUCAUAUUAAAUGAAGUCCGAUUAUGGCAUUCUAUAGCUCAUUGGAAAGAUAAUCGAACCAUCUUCAACCUAUAUGAAGACUUCGAACACAGACAACCACAGCAACCGGCUCGUAUCAAUGUGAGAAGUAAAGCAAUCAAAAUAAACCUCAUGUAUUUAAAGCGAGUGUCUAUAUAGAUGAGAAAAAUUCAGGACUUCUCUGGACUAAGAUGCUAAAAGCUUAGGUAACAUCAAGAUAUGGCACCAGCAUCAACAUAUAAAAAGAGGUAAAAACAGCAAUCUACCUUUCUUAUAUCUACAAAAGUGGGAGUUAAGCUAGCCACCUUUCUUACAUUUCUGAACAAGGCCAAACAAGAAAAUCAAAUGCAGGGAUACAUCUAUCAGUCCUAUGGAGCCUAAAAAUGACCAUUGAAUGAAGUGAACAAGCAAGAUGACAUGCUUCCUGUUUCAAGACAUUUAAAUUUCUUUAUUGUUAUGGCUAACGAUAUAUCUCUACCCAUCUAAAUUCUAAUAUCCAAUCAUGCCGAAUGUAACAACUAGAAAACAAAAUUUUGAUUCAAUGCAUCAUUAAAUUUGACAGAAAUAUGCUGGAGAUAAUACUUAUAAUCCCAACAAUGUCCCUCCACAGGUCAGCAUCUGAUAUAGGUAAGCUCGUAACUAUUACAAUUACAAAAAUGCUAAGAACAAAGAUUCAUAUUUUCUAUUUAUCUGCAUAUAUCACACAGAGAACUAUAUAUUCCAACCAAAAAAAGAUGCAUCUGUGGAGUUCAUCAUUAUGACCAUCAUGUCAUUACUCGAUAUUAGCAGCGUGCUAUACCAUGGUUGAUGGAAGACUGGUGAUAACAAAAUUCUCCACUCCCGUGUAUCAGAACUGAACAGUCGCCAUUAUUUCAAACAGAGACAUCAAUCCGACUUUCAAACCAUGGAGAAAUGCAAAUUACUCACUUUCUGCCCAUGGAAAGAACAUUCAAGCUGCUCAGAAAAAUAAACCGCAUGACAAAAUUACAGACAAAAUGAGAUCAUUAUCUUCAAGAGAGCUGAUCAGAGUCUACCCUCAACAGAGCCGAACGAAAUCUAAAAGAAGCGAAAUAAACACCUCACCUAACUUCACUAGUCACCGGGAACCACGACCUAUAGAGAGAGCGUUCCUUUUGACGCCGUAGAACAAACUCGUGCUCCACUGGCAAGCGCGACAAUUUCAAUGGUUUUCAGUCUCAUUUUAGGAAGAUGCCGGGUUUGGUCGGUUCAAUGAUUGAGUCGGCGUGAAGAAGCACUUGUUCAAAGGGAGCAAAGGAAAACUUUAGGGGAUGGAGGUACAGAGAUGACUUCUAAAAAAAAAAACUUUAUCAAAAGAAACAAAUAUGUAAUCUGAAUGAGACUUACCGAGAUUUGUGAGGGAAAACCCUCGGAAAUGACUUGAUUCAGAGAGAAAUCAUCGCCGAGCCUUCUUGCGCGUGAAAUCACUAGAAAAGCAGAAUAAGGAAACGAUCUAAAGCCGCUGCCAACGCCGCCGAUUGGUCUCGGAGCUCUACCCUUGGAGCUGAGUCGAGACCCCCAAACUUGGCGCGGAUCCGAAACUUUGCACCUCGAGCUCCGGAAGACGCGGUCUGCGACGAGAAUAUCAGAUCCAGCCGAGAGUGAGAUCACGAUCGAGCGAGCGAGCGUCCAAACCAAAGAACCGAGAGCAAUCGAAAGCCUCCCUUACGAUCCCCGACCUCCGGUCCCUGAUCUCCAAGAGCGAUCCGCCGAAUCAGAGAACCGAGAGAGAAAAUCCCCGAUCGAGCGAGCGAGCAUAUGAUCUCCGAGAAAGAACUAGAUCCGUUGCCGUUGUCAUCGUCCCUAUCGUCGCUGCUGAUCGGAUUCGGAUAUGAGCCCCUCACCCCCCCUGCUCCUACGCCAGCGGUUACUCUAUUUUCUAGGGUUCUGUUUGGGAAGUGCCGAGGAGGAAGUCCCGAUUCAGAGAACGAGAGUUAGCCCCCCCGUGAGCCCGAGAGCUCGUCCGAGAGAGAGAGUUCCCCGAGAGUAGAGAGAGCCUUCCUAGAGUAGCCGAGCGUGAACCCUUUUUUUUUUUUAGAGAGAGAGAGACCUCCAAGCGAGAGCUCAUCAGAGAGAGAAUCCGCUCACGAGAACACCCGAGAGUUUUUCUUUUUUCUUCGAGUGAGCGCGGGAGAGAGCCCUAGAAUUAGGCUGUGCAUGGUAACCUUCCCUAGCCCAAAAAUUUAUAUUCUUCUCUUCCCCGGAACAAAACAAGAAUAGAAACCUGUUUGAUAACGGCAAGUUAGUUUUUUGUUCCCGGGAACAAAAAGUUAGCCCGGGAAUGGUUUUGGAAUAGAAAUGAGAAGUAAAAAAAAGUUGCUUCUUGUUCCCGGGAACAAGUUUAAGAAAUAAGUUAAUUUUUUUUUUCUUUUAUUCUUCUCUUGCUGACCACCAUUGACCGCUGUUGACCGCUGCCCCUCGCCGCCCGCCGCCUGCCGCCGCCGCCGCCGGUCGCCGGAGGCCGACCGACCGUUGCCGCCGCCGGUCGCCGCCGGUCGCCGGAGGCCGACCGACCUUCGUCGCCGCCGGUCGCCGCCGCCGGUCGCCGCCAGCCAACCGUUGCUACCGCCGCCGCCGCCGCCAGUCGUCGCCGGUCGCCGCCGGCGGGGACGUGCAGACGCCGCCGAACGCUGCCGCCACCGCACGUCCCCGCCGGCCGACCGCCGCCCGCCGACAAUUGCCGCCGCACAGCCCAUCAACCGCCACCUCCCGCGACCGCCUGGCCUCCGGCGGUCGACGGCGGCUGAUGGGCUGUGCGGCGGCAAUCGGCGGCGGCAGUCGGCGGUCGGUGGGGACGUGCGGCGGCAGCAGCGUCCGGCGGUAGCGGCGGUCUACCGACAAUAAUAAAAAAUAAAUAAAUAUAAAAAAGAAACUGUUUUUUACCAAACGCAUUUCUAUUCUUUUUCUAUUUCUAGAGUAAAAAUUUUGUGUAGUUACCAAACGGGUUUUUUUACAUAGAAAUUGUUCCCCAGCCAAGAAAUGUUCUCAUGCGCAUUAAUCACCCGAGAGAGAGCCUAAGUGCCAAAAUUUCAGAGAAAGAGAGAGAGCGUAAUGAUCAUGAAUGCCCCCCCCCCCUUUUUUUCUUUUUUUUCUUUUCUCUUUUUUUUUCUUUUAUUGUUUCCUUUACUUUUUUUCUUGUUUUCUUUUCAUUUUCAUUUUUUUUCAUUCAUCAUUUUUUUUAAAAAAAAUUUAAAUCUUUUUGGCUCUUUAUUUUUUAUAUUUUUGCAAAAUUGAUGAUUAAAAUGUCGACAAAAAAAUUUCAGGUGUCAACAAGCCCGAGUCGGGCCGGUCGGAUGAGCCACCCGGCACGUGCCACUCGCGUGCAUGGCUGACGUCACUAUGAUGUCAACUGGCACGUGAACAGCAUGCAUCAGGCUUCUGCGCAUGCGUCGCAUGCGCCUAAGACCGAAACGGCGCGUGCGUUGCACGCACCGACGACCCCAGUCCGUUCCGGCCGGACGUGGCAGCACAUUCAGCCGCCCCUGGUGGCGAUCUACAAUUUGUUUUCUCGUAUCGAUGAAAGCUUUGACCCUACGCUAUCAAAAACGAAUUUCAACUUACAGAAAAUCACAAAACGGGGUGAACAGUAUGCGGGUAUCGGGAUUUUUCAUCCCCGAUCGACUGACGGCGGUGUCUCACGAAAAUACAAUAAAAAACAAAUCACAAACAUGAAAAGGGAUCAAGAAACAUGAACAAUGGCUUUGAUACCAAUGUUAGGAAUAACGGAUUCCCUAAAACCGAUCCAACACUCAAUCGAAUCUCUAAAAUGAGUGUGGAAGACAAGCCCAGGAGUCACAUGUAUCACCGAUAAAAGAUACAUCACGGAAUCGAGCGUACCUUAUUUGCCACUAAUUAAACACCAAUGUUGAAGUUUGAGGAAGAAUCUUGAUCACAUUCUACCGAGGAGCGUACUGUUGCUGUAAGGGGGGAGAAAAACGUUGUUUUGGGAGCGUAGCGUCUUACGCUUCUUGGAGGGAGAGAGAGACUGAAACAACGUACGUAAGUUGAAGGGGUACGUACGUUCCCUUUUUCUUUUCUCUCUUACGUUUUCUCUAACAGACGUAACUCUUCAACGUAAGACAUUCCCCUAAAAGACACAACUCCUCAUUCUUAAACAACAUAGCCUUUCACAUCGCAACCGUUCCUCCAUGGGCCAUUAUCUUACGGGCCGGGCUUUUAGGCCCAACAUGGGCGGACAAGCCCACUUAGGCCCAUCAUCACAUAUAAAAAAACCAUCACGUUCGUUGAUGAAAUUAAUGCCAUGGGCCGGCAGAGAGGAACUAAAAUUGGAGGAAAUGCAAAAAGAGAGUAGACCCGCCAUCAGCUGUUAAAAUAGAUGGAUGGUUUUGAAGAAUAUGUGGGUGUCAUUGUUGUUGUGGCGAGUAAUUGUGAUACAUUCUAGACUCUGCCUUGCUUAGGGCCUAGAAGAUUUGACAAAUAAGAAUGUAUGUCUAUUCUUAGCUGGUGAGUCCCGUAGCAUAUGCUUGUGCAAACUAGUAUUGGUGCAACAGUUAGUCUCAUGGUGCAUGCGCUUACUUAUAGUGUCAAUGCGAGUAAUUGUUGACUUUCCUAAUAUUUGAUGUAGAACAGAAAUUUUGAAAGUGAACGCCAUCAAUACGAAGUUUGAUUUGGUUUAUUCAAUUCUAAACAUUUUGCAUUUUUGUCAAUUUAGUCCAUUCGGCUAAAUUUGGCCAGCUAGCGCUAACGUGGACGCGGAUUGGUGUCGACCUCCUAGCUGAUGCUAACGUGGCAAUAUUUAUAAUAAUAUUUUAUUUUUCAUAUUUUUUAUUAAUUUUUUCUUUUGCUUUUUUUUUUCAUUUUUUCUUUUCUUUCUGUUGCUCUUCUUCUUCCCCCCUCGUCUUGCCGACAACUAGGCGAGGGCCGUGAAGCCCUCGCCCGACCUCACCCUGAUCUAGGGAGGCUUGGGGGCUAUGGGCGAGGUGGCCUCACCUAAAUAUGGGUGAGGCGGCCUCCCUAUGGCCUCGCUGAUUGUGAGUGAAUAUGGCCUUGUUCGUGGCUGUGAGGCCAUGGCCGCCUUCAACCGCAGCCUCUAGGCCUUCAUGAGGCUUGGUCGCCUCAGAUCGAGGUUAAAACGUGGCAUUGAGGCUCAAUCGGGCUUGACAACCAUUGGUAGAGAGAAAGAAAGACUACACCUGGGAUAGAAGGGGAGGACCAUGAGGCACCUCGUGAAGGCUUGAGGUUCGCAAGGGCCUCACUAGCCGUGGGUGAAGGCAGCCAUGGCCUUUCCAGCCUUGGGCAAGACUGCCUUCGUCACAGUCGAUGAGGCCAUGGUGAGGUUGUCCUUGCCCAAAUCUGGGUGAGGUUGCCCUCGCCUAGAUUUGGGUGAGGCCGCCUCUCUUGCAACCCUUACUAGUGGUCGGUGAGGGCUUCGCGACCCUCACCCAGUGGCUAGCAAGACUCGUCGGAGCCUUGCCGUCCACUAAAGGGGUUGGGGGUGGGGUAAAGAAGAAGAGCAAUAGGAAGAAAAGUAAAAAAGGAAAUAAAAAGAAAAAGAAUAAAAGAAUAAAAAUAAACAAAUCCAAAAAAAUAAAAUAUUAUAAAAAAAUAUUGUCAUGUUAGUGUUGGUCGGAUGGUCGGCGCUAGCUAGUGUCUGAAUCAAUCCUAACAAGCCAAAUUUAGUCGAAUGGACUGAAACGACAUAAAUACAAAAUGUUUAGAACCAAAUUGGCUAAAAAAAAUUUAUGACUAAAUUAACACAAUUAUAAUAUGUUUAUGACUUUUUUAUGUAAUUUUUUUCCCUAUGAGAACUUUUGGAUUUAGUGGAGCGGAUCUUCCCAACCUCUUAGAUGAGGCUGCUAUAUUUGACAUAAAUAGAAGAAUACUAAAGGAAUUGUAUUGUAUUGCUUUGAUUUGUGUGCAUGUACGUAAGUCUAUUUAUUGUGCAAGGUAGAAAGAAGGAAUUAGGAAAAUGAAUAUACAAGAUUACAUUUUCCUAUUUUACUGGACCAAUUAUUGAAGGCUCCAAGAUCUUACCAAUUUAGAUUGAUCAUUGUUCGCCAUCAACAUGGACACCUCAAAGGUAAGCAUUCUAUACUUGGUUCUAAGAAAAACAGAGGCCGUGAAUCUUAACUUUAAUGGCCAUGUUCAUUUUGCAUCUUUGUCAAGAAUCACACUAACAAUUUCUUUUUGUGAAUGUUUGAUGCUUGAACAUAAAUACCAACAUACAUCUUACCAUUUAAAAAAAAAAAAACAAAACAUGGCUUCUAACCAGGGUCCUCAUGAGUUUUGGAAUGCAAAUAGGAGCCACCGCCUUUCCUAGGGAUAGCAGAGCUUAUUAGUGGGCAAGGAGCUAAUCGAACCCGAAGUUAGAUGGAUGGUUGGUGAUGUGUGCGUGGGCGAGUGAUUACAAGUUCUUGAGAUUUUUGUGGUUAAGUGUAUGAAAGUGUUGUGUAGGAAUGGUUGUCGAAUGAUGAAAUGCAAAUGCAGGGAUAGAAAUGAUCAUCACCAAGGUAUAAAUGACGCACCACCAACCAAUGAUGAGGAUUAAGAUCAACGAAGUUUACCAUCAAGGCUUAAAGGAUGAACCAUCUGCUAAGGGUAAGGGACUUCAAGAUAGGAGAAACUCACUAUCAAGGCUUAAAGGAAGAACCGCCCGCCAAGGAUAAAUGACUUUUGGAUAGGAGAAGCGCAACAUCAACACAUAAAGGAAAAUCCACCAACCAAGGAUAAAGGGCUUCUUAGCUCACCACUGAAGAGUAAUCCACUCUUCAAGGAUAAGGAGGCCGGAAUGGAAUUUAUCCACUCUCCAAAGAUAUUCCAUCACCCGGAGGAAAUGUCAAGUAUUUUCAUUCAUCAAAUUUAGUCUAGUUAUAAUUGAGAGGUUUCCUCUAUUUAUGGGACGAAUACAACUUAGAAAAUAAAAGAGUAAUAAAUAGACAUGGGAACUAUCCUACCAUUAAAGAUCUCGGAGUUUAAAACUUUGACUAUUAAAACUUACAUAACAAUAAAGACUCCUAGGAAAAUAGAGAUGCAUUUAAUGACUUUGGAACUUGCAUUCUUGAUUCGUCAACCUUGCAAAAUCCGUGCUCCCACCUUGACUAGAAAAUAAAUACCCAAAGACUUCAUCAAAUAAUCAAGGAAGUUGUUCAGAAUAGUCUCCCAUUGAAAUGCUAUUGAUAAACUUCGAGAUCAGCAACUAACAAAGUGUACCAAGAAAUCAGCGACUAAUAUAUCAUAUCGAGAAUUCGGUAACUUAUUAAUCAUCAAUAUCAAUAAUUUCAAUAAGAAUGGUUCAAUACCACUUUAGUUGGAAAUUUUAGUCUCGACUCAUUGAAGCACAUUAUGCUCAAAUUCUAUUUUAGUUUGAAUGAGCAACAAUGGUGCUAAGUGGGCUAAUGGAGCUAAGUUGAUUGCUCGUGCUUCAGUUGGAGACAAAAAAAAAACAAUUAAAGUCAAAGAAGAAAGGUGAUUACCCUCGAGCAGAAUUAGUGGUCCAUCGAACCAUAAUGAUCCUCAAGUUGUUGAUGAACUUAUCGACCAAGAGACUAAAGAGUGGACCAUUCGGAAAUUAACCAAAACAAUUGAUGAGAAAGUGAUUUAUGAGAUUUUAUCAAUUCCACUCAACCAUAACCCUAUAGAAGAUAAGCUAAUAUGGAUAUGGAAUAGAGCUAGCUCCUACACGGUCAAGUGUAGUUACAAUAGUUUAUGCUCAAAGGAAAAGGAACAUAAUGUGAAUUUUGUGUUAUCAUCGUACUGGCCUCCCCGGAAUUUAUGGACCACAAUAUGGCAUAUUCAAUGAGUGUGUGUAAGAACACCCUACCAACCAAGGAAAAUCUUUAUUGGAGGAAAUUGGUACCUAAGCCACUAUGCCCAUUGUGCAAUCAAGCUCCAGAAUCCCUCGAGCAUCUCCUCCUUCUGUGCAAGUGGACAAAACAAAUCUAGUCAAACACCUUGUCUUAAAUUCAACACUUCUCCAAAUAAACUCAAUAGAAUCGAGAAGUGGCUCAAGGAGAACCCGGCAUCCAAAGUUGACCCAUUUUCCCAAGCCCUCUUGGCUUGCAUGCUAUGGCUACUAUGGAAAGCGAUAAAUGCGUUUGUGUUCAAGAAACACAAACCAAGCCCAACCACCCAAUGGAGGAAGUGGUAUGCACACAAUUAUUAUGCACAGGUUGCUAGGAGCUUAAUGUGGACACCUCUUGUUGCAACGACUCAAGGAAGGGUUCCAUCACCGUGGUAUGCCGAGACUACGAAGGACUUCUCGUGAUAGGCUUUGCCAAGAAUGUUCGAGCUCCAUCUACCCUGGUUGCUGAAACCCUAACUUUGAGGGUGGGAUUGUCGGGCUUGAAGGAGACAAACGAAACUGAACUAUGCUCGAAAGUGUUCUGUGCAAAAGAGUGAAGAAUUGAUAAGUACAAGUUGAGUCGAUAACUUAUCUCUUGUGCAGUUCGUAAUGGGCCAAGAGCCCACGGAGUAUUUGGUCUGUGGUGAUAGAUUGCCUAUUUCUAUUGGCCCAAACUCAAGAAGUUUCCUCAGCUUAUUGUUCUAAGAAUGCAAAUCAGGCCGUGGGUUUCGUAGCGAGGGCCCAUCGUCACUAAUUCCCUCAGCCCAAAUUGGCUCUCUAACCCCCUCCCCCCCCCCCUCUCGGGACACCUAAUAAACUUUGGUUGUGUUUUAUGUUGUGAUUUCGAACUUUUAUCUGGUUCUUGUUUGGUCAAUUAAUAUAAGAUGCGAAUGUUUGUCCAAAAAAAAAAAAAUCUAGGGUCCCAUCAAAAUAUGUAAUACCAUAAUCUCUUUUUUAUACUUGAACGAAGUCAAUAAAUUUGUGGAUUUAACCAUGUGGAAUUAUGAGAUCUUGAUUUAACUCACACAAAUGAUAUAAAUAAUGAGAUGUUCUAACAAUUUCAAUUUCACUAAUAGUAAUUUUAAUUUAAAACUAUUGUUAAAUAUUAACUACGUUUAUUGUUUGUUUUUUUUUUUUUGUAAAAGAUAAUAAAUAUAUAGAGGAAAUACCAAAUGUACAAAAGAUUUCGUCACUAGAAACUUAUACGUUAAAUGAAGGAACAUAAGGAGUGGAAGGGUGUCGAAAUGUAAAAGCCGCAAACCGUGGCAAACAGACUACGGUAGCACCAAAAGAGAAGCACGUCAUGAACAAUCGGCUACCAAACACACCUCAAGCGAGGAGGAAGGCACCGACGUAAAGUAAGCAACCUACGGGUCCCUUGUGAAAAUAAUCGGGUCUAAGCCCCAACUUUUGUUUGUUUUGUUUUAGUGUUAAUAAUUUGAAGUAAUUCAUGGUUUAUCUUAUGCACUUUGAACUUUUUAUUGUUGAAUUUCAAUUCACAUGUUCGCCUUCUAUGGUUUGUUGGUUUUGGCAAGUGGGGAUCUUUAUUGAUGUCUAAUCUUAGAUUUCUAUCUGAUUUAUAUCAUGUUCAUUGUUUGGCUGUUUAAUAUCGCAUUGUUGAUGAAUAUGUAAUUUCGAAGAAUAUGUUUAUUCUUUCAAGGAUUUCAAAAAUGAAACGAAAAAGAGAAUUUGUUUGUUCUAGAUUGAACUUGAAACUAGACCGGACUCAUAGGUUAGUACAAUUCUCGAUCCUAGGCUCAACAAAGUCGAUCAUCGAUUUCAAAAAUUGGGACCAACAUUAUACAAGCCAAUCCCUAGGUUAGGUGAUUAGAAAAAACUUAAAUUUUGAGAUUGGAAUUGGCAUUUAAAUGAUAAAAAAAAAAAAUUUAUACCAAAAUGAGUGUUAUAUAUAAUUUUUGACACUUUUGGUGCACUUCCUCCCUUUUGACUUAUGAUCAAGUCUUAAAACUAUCUACCAUUUUAUUUUUCAGCUUUUUGCAUUUUUCUCAUCAAUAUCUUCACUGUUGUAAUUUGUUUUAUGUGUCUUGGUCAUUUGGCCCCCAAUGAUAUACUGUCCGUCCGUAGAGUAAUCUCUUUAUUUGUACUUUCACAUUAAAGAGUUACUGAUUAGCGUGAUCUACUCACAUGGAACACACAAUUCAUAGUGUUUUUUCAAUAUUUAGAUGGCAAAGAGCAAGUUUUUUCUCAACAAUAUACAUAUUUUGAAAAGCGUGAUAUAAAAUUUAAGCUAAGAGUGAUAUGGAUGACAAAGAGCAAGUUCGUGAGUCUUAUUUCAUUUUUUUUUUUUUUUGUGCAAUGCAGUUUGAAAGUCUAAUUAUAACUACACAUGUUUUAAGUAUAUUUGUGUAUGUGAAUGAUAUUUUUAUGAUAAUAAAAUCGAUAGGCAUAUAUAUCAUUUAUAUAAGAAUAUUUGACUUUAAAUUCAAAGAUUACUCUCACAAAAAAAAAAAAAGUUUACAAUUUACCAACUAGUGGAUAGGAAAAUUUAUGAAUUUCCUUUCUUAUCCUAUUAAGCUUAAUUUUCAUAUAUAUAUAUAUAUAUAUUGACAGCAAAAUUAAUGGACCGACCGAACAAACAGGACAUCACCACAUCAAAACCUGAUUUUGGAGAGCCGUUCUUGCCCGAUCCCCCCCCCCCAAAUCAAAGUGCAAGCCCUAAUCUCAUUCCCAUUUUUCAAUCGGGAAUCGUCUUGAAACGACUGAGUUGCGGGCAAAUCAGACGCCCAAACCUCACAAAUCCGGCGAUAUUCCUUCCUCUAUCUUGAUACAGGUUGAAGAGACCGAAGGAUUCAGAGACUUUCGCCUCCGCUUUGCAAUUCUUUAGGUAAGCCUCUCUUUGAAUUGUAACUAGGAUGCGCGGUUUGAGAGAUGCGUUUGCGUUUUUAAUUUGUUGUAAAGUUUGAUUUCCAGGGUGGAUGGGGCUUUGUAUUAGGAAUCCGGAUGAGAAUUGUUCCGAAAUUGCGCCUGAAUUGAUCGUUUCGGUGAAAGCGUUCUCAUUGGCGUCGGUAAUGGCAAAUGGGUAUGACGGCAAGCUAGGUAAUGACGGCGCCGUGUGCUUUCUAAGCAUGUAGCAUCCGUGGUGGCGUAACGGGCGCCGCCAUUACUCUCAAAUGGCGGCUGCUACGUGCCUUCAUUUUUAUUUCCAUGGGUGCUAUCGAUUUUUAAACGUUCAUUGCAAGAUGACAACUGGUUCUCCCAUUUUAAGGCAUUGAAAUAAAUUUUAGAGUUCUGUAUGGAAACCUCUUGUCUGUUUGUCUCUUUAUCCUGGUUCAUUGUUGUCGCAUUAGAGUUUCAUUUGCUAACGGGUUUGUGUAAUAUGCAUCUAUACUUACCAUAAUGACAACUUAUAUGUAUAGCAAUUUAAGUGUAAUAAAUACAAUUGCGAUUCUCAAGUUGGGUUAUUCAUGCUGAAUAGGUAUCCUUUCUCAUGCAAGCAUGCAAGAAGCUUCGUGCUGCAAGUUUUGAUAUGGAGAAUUCCUCAUUCUUAUGUCUUGCUUCUUGUUAAACAACUAUAAAGGCGUUUAGUAUGAUCUUUGGUUUGAGGAUUGAAGAACAACGUACACCAAUUUUCUCAUGGGUUAUUCAAGUGUGAAGUAUUGAGUUGGAUUGCCUUUCUUCAGUGAUUGGGUUGUAUGCUUUAUUCUUAGCCUGUCAUAUGUGCGGCGCAAACGUGGUGCCAGAAACUCAAGAGAUGUGCCCCAAAUGUGAAGAAGAUUCCGGUAGUGGCUGUUGCAAAACCAUUCCAGCUGUGGAAAAUAGAAGGCAUGCUGAUGGUUACUCUUCGAGUAUUUUGAGAGAUAAUUUUUUGUCAAAUCUAAGUACAUUUUCUAGAAAUUCCUUUGAUCAUGUAUACAAGAGAAGAAAGCUACGACAGGAUUCUGACAGCAUUGUCAAUGAACAGAUGGACAUGAAAAGAAGAGGGAAUAUUCCUUCUGCCAAUUGUUCUAUUGGUCCUUCGAUCACAGAAAAGGAGCCUUCAUUAGGUUGCUUGUCCAAACAUGAAAUUGUUGCUGCUGGAGAAUCAGUCCCAUCUCUGGUGGUUGAUAGCCAUACCCAUAUAUCAGAUUCUGAACCUUUCCAUAAAUACAAAGCCCUGGAAGAACGUGGUCCCGAUGGAGCAUCAAUAGGUAGAAUGCGCAAAGUAAUUGAUGUUGGUAGUGCAAAUGACAGUUGUUCAUCAAAAUCGAACACAGAACUUACGUCAACUUCCUUGAGAGCAGGAGUUGACGAGACUUUUGAAUGUUCCUCUUCUAGUGUAACCCGUAUGGAGGGAAGAAGUGAUGUCCCCUUAAGGGAAAAUGAUAUCUGCAUCUCCAUCCUUAGAAGCCAGGGAUUGCUCGAAAGAACUUGUUCAACACCAACUCUUGCCUCUGAAGAUACUAUGUCUCACAGCAGUGACUGUAGUGAUGCUUGCUCAUGCAAAUCUUGUGGCCACAAUGGUACAGCACUGAAAAUGCUAAUAUGUGAUCAUUGUGAUGGAGCAUUUCACUUAUCUUGUUGCUAUCCUCGUAUAAAAAAAGUUCCGGAGAAUGACUGGUUUUGUCCCUCUUGCUUGAGAAAGAAGCACAUUGUUAAAAAGCAGAAAGCUACCAAGAAACCAACAAAAACUAUUAUUGCAACUGCUAAAGGCAAAAGCGCAUCUGCUGUGGACAAUUCAAAUCCAAUAGCAUCAAUGUUAGAAGAUGAUGAGCCAUAUACAACUAGUGUUCGUGUUGGCAAAGGUUUCCAAGCUGAUGUUCCUGAAUGGAGAGGUCCUCAAAAAGAGUAAGUUUCUUUAUUGUCAUUUAAACCCAGUAUUAGAUUUAAAGUAUUUACAAGUAAAGCAGUGUAAGUUUAAGAUUGCAGAUGUAUGAUGGAGAUUGUAUUUUUUAGAACUUUGUCCUCCCUUGGAGGAAUCUUAAGUUAUGAGCUACAGCCUGCCUCGUUCCCACUUGAACUGUACCUAGGAGUACCCUAAAUGCGGGAAACUUUUUUCACAUUGCCUAUGAUUAAAUUAUUCUUUUGUUUCCUAGUCUGAGAGCUUUGCUUGUACUUGUGAGACAUGCAUGUUCCAUCCAUGGAGGCAGUUAUCUCUAUGAUCUGUGUAGCUAGAGUCUAAUCUUACGGUAUUCUCAAUAGGUUUCAAAAUUACUCAGCAGUAGUGAACAUAGUCUAUCUGAUUUUCCUGCUUGGUUGUCAUACAUAACCAAUAUGGAAAGCCAAAUAGUUGGUCCCCUUUUUUACUAGGGGUUGAAGUAUAUUUGCUCAUUCUGAGGAUCCAAAUCGAAGCAUGUGAAACAGAUUAUUUGAACGAAGUGUCUAUAUGGCAUGUUUGAUUUUGACUUGAUUAGACACUACAGUCACAUGUACAGACAUGUUAUCUUCACAGUAAGUUUUGGAGCAACUCAAGUGUCAAGAGCCAUAUAGUGAAAAUGCAUAUUGCGUAAGAGCUGACAUUUAUCAAUUGCAUCCUUUUCCCACAUCUUAAUUACCUUUUAAACUUCCAUAAAUGAAGGGUUGUUCACGGUCACGUUGAAAAAACUGUUUUUUUCCUCGUUGCCUCUCAUUGGAAAUUACAGGCCGUGGUGGCAAAUGUGAUUGGAUUGGCAAUUGAUGUUUUUUAUUUAGGCUACUAACUAAAUGGCUAGCCAGCUAAAAAGGAAAAACAGAUUGGAACCACCUCUUGUCAUGUACAUUUAAACUACUUUGACUGGAGCAACUUUGUUUAAUCACUUCUGCAGUUUUUUGUCUGCCUGACUGCUUGUAAAAGUUCAUGGGUCAGUUAAUAUUUUUCCAUAAAGCAUAUGAAAAUUAUGUGCCCUUGUCGUAAUUCUGGAUACUUUACAGUGGGUCUCAAAUACUGUUCUCUUAGCAAUGAGCAGAUCUGAGCACCAACAUUCACCUGUACGCCACACCUGCACCCUAAUCUAUGACUAGUUAACAUGAUUGUAAUAUGGCAAGCUUAGUUUGAAAAAGCAGAUUGUGUUAAAAGAUAAUACACUGAAGCUACUACCAGUUCCUGAUUGACUUUCAGUCUAACUUGCAGUAGAUAUGUAUUUGUCAUCGCCUGUUGAUGUCCAUGGUUUGGAUAAUUUGCUGUUUGAUGCUGAUGGUAAUGUUGGUGAAGAUAAUGUUACUGUUUUUGUCACCUUAUCAGUAUUUUAAGUUAAGUAGCACGUGUUCUAGACUUCUGUAUGCUUUGCUAGAGAGGAGUCUCUCUAUUUCUCUUCAGUUUGCUUUUUCACGUUUAUAUAGCUGCUAAAAGCAUGGAUAUUUGGAUAUUAUGCAGUGACACCAACAUGGUUGAGGAGCCAGCAGCAAUAGAUCCUUCAGAAUAUGCCCAUCUGCAAGUAAGGCCCCACUUCUCUUUAUUCUUGCUGCAUGGUGUUCUGUUGGCAAUAUGAGUUGAUAAGUUCUUUAUUUCUUCUUGAAGUAUUUGAAAUCAAGCAAGCCUUCGAGGCUCAGCUCCAUUGGCAAUUGGCUUCAAUGUCGGAAGGCAGUUGAUAAUGCAGGUGUUAAUGGAAAUAUAUGUGGAAAAUGGCGCAGGUGAGCCUCAUCUUUCUUCAAGAUUAUGAUGCGAUACUCUUCUGCAAUUUCCCAUACAGGUUCUUAUAUUUCACCUGAAACACCCCAAUGUUCAUCUUAAAAGAAAAGGGAGAAAUAAAGUUGGGUGGCAGAGAGUUUGAAAAGUGUCAAGAUCCUAAGAUUGUGCCAAGGAACCUUGAUGAGGCUUAUUGGGCUCGGAGUCUGACUUGGGCAUUGGUAGGCCAAGCUAGUGUGUCAAUGACAAUAAUCAGUUGUAGGGAAUCUAGAUUGUUAGAAUUAAUCAUCUAUUAUAGCAGUAUUUAACUUUAUUACUUGUUGUAGCUGUGUAGCUGUUGAGUCUUAUUCUGAGGGCUAUAUAUAUAGUGCCCACAUGUUAUUUUCAUACUGAGAGCCGAAGUCAAUCAAGUACCUCUCCUACCACUCUCUCUCUCUCUCUCUCUCUCUCACACACACACACACACACACACAAUUCCUCUUCUCCUUCCAUUCUUUAUCUCUACCCUUCUCUUCUCCUUAAUCUGCAUCGCAAAUUCAUCUCUAUCUCUUGUCGCAUUUGGAUCAUUACAAAUUUGUUUGGAGCUGCUCCAAACCUGUGAUGACCAUGGAAGCCAUUGACCAGUUGAGAGACUUGGAGAAUCGAAUUGAAAAUGUGGGUCUGCAGUUUAUGUCUUUCAUGGGCGAAACAGAGCAGAGGCUGGAGAAGUUCCAUAACAACACCAUGGCGAAGCUUGACCUAAUAUUGGAGUUGUUAAGGGCUCGAAUGGUAGUUGGCCAAGAGGACAAUCAUCUAAUUGAACCCAAGCCUUCAAUGGAAGAAGGAAAAGGAUUGGUACCUGAAUUGAAGGCGGUUCUCAACUGCGAAAGCUCAAUGAUUAUCAAUUUAACUGUACCUGAAGGAGCAGCUGCUGUGAAGCGUGAUUUCCCAAUUAUCAAGGCAAAUAAUUUCGUGGAUGGGGUAAAAGUGAGUGAAGAGCAUCUAAAUGCCCAUUAGAUGUAUGACAAAAUGAAAAGGGGAAUUCCAUUGAGACAGUUGAUAGGGGAGGCCCUGAAAUGGAUAGUGUAACUGGAUGCUCAGAGGGAUUCAUCAAUCUGGAGUUGCUGGAUGCCAUCAAGGCAUGCCACGCUUCAAUAGAUAUGUGGAUUAAAGGACAUGCCAGGCAGCUUCAUGAUUUUAAUGCCUUCUGGUUACUCAAGUUUUACAAACCCAUUUCUAUGCCUCAUUCUUGUGGAGUAAACCAAUCAGUAGCUUUUUCUGACUAUCAAGGAACUCUUCUUGAUUGUGCAUUGGUUUUGAUGGAAUAAUGCUUUUCUGGAAAAAGGCUGAGAAGUGGAUGCGAGCUUGAGGUGCACGCAUGAAUGUCUUCGAGUGGUAUGUGCAUAAAAUGUGGUGGGUUUGGAAAUUGACCUAAGUAGUUUGAAUUCCACAACCUCAAUCUAGGAAUGCUAUGUUAAUUGGGUUUAAAUAAAUGGGAAACUAUGAGGAGAGUCGUGUUAGGGAAAUGGGAAUGUUGAUAUUUGAUCCAGGUGGUAAUAAUCUUGACAAUAUGAUCUGUGAACCUCUCUCGUGCAUGAGUUAGAAAACACCUAUGAGCCAUUUGAUCUGAGGCCUGAGAUCCCAGCAUAAGAGUGCACUUGAGUGACCUAGUGGAGAGAGAGAAUGAUAAGCUCAUUGAUGAGUUCUUUGCUUAUUUUCGGUCGACUAAAGCUCACUCAAUGACCUCGAAUUAUGUAUGAAAAUUGCUAUUAACAGCACCCUGGUCUAACUAUUAAUGGAUACACAAAGCCAACUAGUGAACUUGUCACACACAACGAUGUUGAAUACACAGAAUGUGGCUGUCAGAUUUUCGUAUAAGCUGGUGUAUACAAAGUAGAAGGUGUGCCCAUCUUCUGGAGGAUUCUUCUGGCAUAUAUAAAGACACGGAAUUUGUCAAUGUGGUUGAUUUUUUUGAUACACCUAUGGAAGUUAUAUGGAAAUACGAUGGAGCAAUAUGCGUUUGUGCAUUGUGAGUCUAAGCUAUGGAAAGAAGGAUUGAAUGGUCUUGGAUGGUAUAAGAAAUACUUGAAAGGAGAUACAUGAAGUGUUUUCAAAACAAGGAAGCUCAGGUGGUGCUAUAUCACCUCUUGCUCUUCCUUAAAGACAAGGAAGAUUUUGUCAUGGGGGUAUUGGCCUGAUCCUAAGAGUGGGCUAAGGAACCUUGACGUGGCUCGUUGGGCUUAGAGUCGGGCUUAGGCAUUCAUGGGCCAAGCUAUUGUGUCAAUAACAAGUGUCUGUAGUAGGGAAACUAGUUUGUUAGAAUUAAUCAUCUAUUAUCAUGGUAUUUAGCUUUAUUACUUGUUUAGUUGUUGACUCCAGUUUUGAGGGACAUCUUUAUAUUUUAAUAAAUAGAUUACAUAAUUAAUUAAUAAAUAUAUGAAUAUGUAUGAUCAGUGUCUACACACGAUUUCAUAGUGAGAAAUGAGUUAAGAAUCAAAAUCCGCUCUCCAUAACCAUCUCUGCUCCUUCUAUUCUCUAUCUCUACCCUUCUCAUCUGCUUAAUCUGGUAAUACAAAUUCGUCUCUCAUCUUGUCACAUUUGGAUCAAUACAGAAGCUAUAUUUCUAAUGAAGGGUUGGUUAACUCUAUAACCCUAGUAUAACAACAGCUUAUUGUUUUAAAUAAUGAGUUUUAUCUCUAUACUUUUAGAAUAUCAAUUUUCUCUUGAAGCUACAAAAAUUCUCAGUUUUAGCCUUUGUUUUGUCUUGGUUUCUUUUAAAUAACAAUUGUUGUGCUUGUGAUACCAUUUGACAAAGAUGGAGAUGUACAAGAUAGCAUAAGAUGUUCGCCCAAAAGAAGCCAAAAAGAACCCAAGAAAAGGUCUAUGCUUUCAACAACCUAGAAUAAGAUUACAUUACGAACUGUUCUACAGAAUAGUUGUACUAGGGUUACUGAUCUGAUCUCAUCCCUUGACUGGACAUUAAAUUCAUUUUAGAUUUGCCAUUGAAUUCAUUGGGAGUGGCAUGCCUUGUGUUACCACUUAUUGAAACUAAUAUUAUCACACAGACUACCUAAAUAGAUUACAAAAUUCAUGACUCUGUCAUGGGAAAACCUCCUGCAUCAAUUUGUAUUCCAUUAGCAACUGAGCCCAAUGGUGGUAGUAGCAACUCACUUGAUGUCUGGUGACUGCACUCAUUUGUAGUGAUAUCUAGCUUGUACUUAAAAUCUUACAAAAUGACAUGUUUCACAAUAAUCACUUAGCUGGUGUUUCUACUUACUGCACGAUUUACCUGAGAAUGUUUUUAUUUUGACUAAGUUAAAUAUAAUUUGACGGAUGAGUUAAUUAUAUUGCAGAGCACCUCUUUUUGAAGUCCAAACUGAUAAGUGGGAGUGCUUCUGUUCUGUUUUCUGGGAUCCGAGCCAUUCUGAUUGCGCUGUCCAUCAGGUAACAUUAGUCAUUUUUUAUUCUUUUUUCACACUAGUAUUAUUUCUGUCCUUAAAUCUGCAUCCAGCAUGAGAUAUCUUUGCAAAUGCUUUAGUUAGAAUGCAUUAUGCUGUGAUGCCUGGCUUAUCACUAGAGAUGUGUGUUCUUCCAUGGUUAUCUGCAACAGGCAUUCGGUCCAGAGACUGGGGCAGGUUCUAGGGGCAUUUGCUUUGUUCAAAAUUCAGUAUAAGCUAAAGAUACAUUAAUAAGUAAAUAAAUUAAGUGUUUACUUUCUGUCCAGUCUUUCACUUUAGUAGAAAUCAGCUAUCAGAAUAUUCUGCCAGAAAACAAUGGGAGUGAAUGCCCAAAACAAUUAGGAGAAUACUCCAAGACAAAGCGAGACCUUCCGAGAAAAAAAUUUCUAAGAUAAAAGUGUGAGAUACAUUUUAAAUCUGAAAAUAAGUAGAAGGAGAAAUUGGAAUCAUGCACUAGUUUUAACUGUUGUAAGUAUGGGUUCCAAAAAUGUUUGGACCAUCUUGAGAUUGGAGGCUUCAUUUCAGUUGAAAGCUAAACUCUAGAAUCUACGUUGUUUCUCUUUUUCCCCAAUAAUAGAAGAACAUGCUCAUUUUUCUUGAUGUGGAUACAUGUUUAAUCCCAAGGUCAGUUAAGCAGUUGUACUUUUGAGUCUUCAACUAAUUUAUCAGCUUCUGUAUGCAGUCAUUUAAUGUAGGACAAGUAUGACAUGCAACACUCUCACUCCACAUUUAUGAAGCUCUUAAGCAUUCACUGAGUGACUCUUCCAGAGGAAACUUAGAAUCCACCAAGAACAUAAUUUUAUGUUAGAACAUAAUUUUGGUCCUAAUGGAUGGAAGGAUGGAUCAACAAUUACAACCUUAAGCAUAAUCCAGGAUACUUCUCCACGGUUUUUGUGGUUACUGAAUCCUGUUCUGUAAGCCUUCAUACUUGUCGGGAAUAAUCGUAGAAUGUUUUAACAAAGUUUUAGGGGUGGAUCACUCGAGAUCCCCUUAUUGAACCCAUUAGCCAGGGGAAAGCUUUUCUCUGUCUUACCAUCCUAUUCUCCUCUUUAGAUUGUCACCAUUGGGAAUUUGUUAACUACUAUUUGAAGAACUAACUGUGAGUUUUAUAGAUCAGUCCCUAAUACACGGGUCCUUUUCUCAUGCUUUUACUUCAGGAGCUGGAGACAGAUCAAGUUCUAAAGCAACUGAAGUAUAUUGAGAUGGUAUUAUCAGUUUCUGUCUCUUGGUGUUGGUUUGGUAUUUUUUUUCACAUAUACAUGUGUUAUGUGAUGUAAAAUAAUACCAAUGCAACCAGUUUGGCUGUCCAAACAAUAAAAGUAACUAAACCCUUUCAAUUGGGAUUAGAUGUGCCUUAGUAAUUUUUUUUUUCUUUUCUUUAUGUCUUGGUGUGUGUGCAUUGUGGGGUUGGGGGGAGUGGGGUGCUGUAAAAUGAGAAACAUAUGGAUUUUUUUUUUUUUUUUUGGCUAAACAUUCACAAGCAGACUACAAGAAAGGGUGAUAAGAGGACAAUGUACUGUUGCUUGGUCAAUAAUUGAGAAAGAAGCAACAGCUCAGCUGAUAAAUGAGAAAAUGGUCGUGACUGAUUUAAUGCUUAAACUGGUCCAAUGGAAGAGAGAGAUGGUGAAUAGUGUUAUAUGGAACAUUGUACACAAAAUACGCAUUCAUUGUCUAUUUUUGUCUUUUACUUGUAGCUGAGGCCACAACUUGCAGCUAGCAGACGAAAGCUUGUCCUAUCCAAGAGUGAAGUCUCUCAGGAACCCUUGGGGAAUGCAACCAACAUAUAAGCCCCAAAAGAGUGUCAAUGUACAUGCUUGAUGAUUCUGUGAGGUGUCUGUAAUGCCAGCCUUGGCUAAUAAAUCUCUUUACACAAAAGCUGAUUCCAAUUUUGAGUUUCAUGUUGUUGGUCCCUUCUUCCUAUCCUCAUUCAGCUAUUGAUUUUUUCUUAUUUUUGUUAGCUGUAGAAAGAGCAUACAAUUUGUCUACUCUUAGUGAAAUAGGUUUUAGUUGAUCGUGUUUUUCUAGAAAUUUCUGUAUAAACCAGAGUGACCUGUAGCCUUUACCCAUUGGGGGAUGUAGGAAUGUAUUGUGUAAAUUACAGUGUGCGAUUUAGUAAAGCUUAGCACAAUGGUUCUAGUUCUAGUCAGCGACUGUUUUCCUUAUUUCUGGUGGUCUUUAACUUGAUUUUGCACGGAUGCACCAUCAAGACUGAAUAUUCGGAAGAACUUAGAAGAUGCCGAUUCCAAAUAUCAUGGCAUCUUCCUGAAUAGUCAGGACAGGAGCAUUAGCAGCGGUUCAUUAUUUGUUGUGAACUUUUGUCAACGAUAAGAACUUAAUGAGAUUUUAGCUAAGCUUUCGUUAUUCUUAUUUUGGAUGGAUUUGCAACUACUUCCAAUAGUAGGUGCAGACAUUUUCCAUACGCUGUCGUUACUACGAGUACGAGGAUUAAACGGGAGACACCAAACCAUUAGCCUGGUCUUGUCUCGUCUAUAGCAUUCAGGCAAGCAAUUCUUUGGAAGAAUUAUGUAUGUCGUCCAACAUGGUGCUCCAGGAGUGAAUUUAUCCCAUUUGCGGGCUGUUUAGUUGAUGUAAAGCCUGUGAGGAAUAUUCCUUUUAUUGGGUGAUGUUUCCAUUGGGAAGCACCUAAACUCAAAAUCUGUCUUUGGGUUUUGGCACGCUUGCAUCUCUGACUUUACAGCUUAUUCAUUUGGGGUAGAAAGUACUUUUGGGGGUAACGGAAAAAUAGAGUAUCUUAAGAGCACUAAAUGUUACCCAUCAGUGGUGGUGGUGGCUGGUGGCUGGUGGCUCAGCCGCUUCCGUGUUGGCUGGUGGUGCUGGUGCCAACUUUGCUUGGUAGUUCAAUGGCGGCAGCAUCAUGGUGGUGAAUCCACCAGCCUCUUGAGGUUGACAAUGGUGGUGGCUGCCGUUUUCAGAAUGGUCAGUCAACGGCAGUGUUGGUGUCAUUCUGCUGGAUUUGCAUGGGCGCUUUAUUGGCCGGCGGCGGCGGCUUCUGUUUAUGGGUGGUGAGUCUGGUGACUGGUGGGUGAAUUAUCUACUUGUAAUGUUAAAUUUGUAAGCUACAAAUACCAAAGACGGAAGCAAGAGUUUACUGGAAUUCAUGCAUGUAUUUUCCUUUGCCCAGAGAAUUCUUCUGUAUUGAUAAGUUUUCUUGGAUUCUGCCUGGCAUCAGAGACAAGUGGAUACGGAAGAUCAACGUAAAUAAUAUUGUCUUUGAGGAAUGAGAAAGUGAUGUGUUAGCUUCGGAGCAGAUGGCUUCGUAAAUGACAAACCUGGCAAGAAUCGUGUGAAGUUAGAUAUCUUUUUAUACAUAUUAGAAUUGAUUGGAAAAAGGGGUAAGUUGGCUGGUGUCGAGAUAACUUCAUCUUAACCCUACCACUUUCCUUGAUGAUUAAAUUUGUCGUUAUUAAUCUCUUUAGAAGUUACAUUCUACAUCUUCAGCUUGAAGGUCGCAUGUGUAUUAUUUCGGUCUGCACUUGCUAAAAUAUGUAUCCUGGGUCCUCGAAUUGUAAACUUUUUCGAAUCUUGGAUAAAGAGUACUGAAUAUUUUGAUCUUCUGUUAGGAGAAUUGUACAUGGUGAGGGUCUAUCGCCAACCGUUGUUAACACCUUUGACCUCCUUUAAAUCUUUACAUCUUGUGAAAACGCAUUUCAAUCCAACCUAAUUGAACUAUAAUAUUUUUUCCCUAGUUUUUCACCUAACCUUUAAGAGCACGGAUGAUAAUCAUUCUCUUCCCAAGAACAAUUUUUGGCCCAUAAUAUAUUUUUCUAUUGCGGCCGGCAACGGGUGGCCAACGGCAAGGGUGAGUGAUAAAAAGAAUUUUUAUUUUUAUUUCUAUUUCAGAAAUAGAAAAGUAAAAAAGAUAUACUUAAUAUUUUUAUUUCAAACUUAGUUCUAAGCUAAAAAUUCGCCUUGAAAAUAGAAAAAAUGAAAUUGUGUUACCAAAUGGAUUUUUAUUCUAAACCUAUUCCUAAAAAUAGAAUAAAAAAAACAUAAAAAUAGAAUGAUUAUCGUUCGUGCCCUAAAAUAUUGAAUAAUCCAUAUAUAUCCUGAUAUUAAAACUACGAGUUAGAAAUUGGGCCCAUGACCCAUUUUGUUGCCUCUAAUGGACUGGCUUAUAAUUAGGGGUGAGUAUUGGUCCAAGGUCAACCUUGGAAUGAUCUUGGACCGGCUCAACCUAGCCGGUCCCGGUCUGCUUCCCAGAUGGAUUGGGUCGGUCCUUAGUCCAAGACUUUGCAUUGUGCAAGUUGGUCCUAGUCCUAGGAGUUUAGAAUUGGUCUACCCGAACUAACCCUAUAUUAAUAUAUUAUAUAUUAUAUCUAAUAUACUAUAAAUGAUAUUUUAUUGUCUAUUCGAAAUUCUAGCAUUGCCUCAUCUGUUCUCUUUGUAAUUCAAUUUAUCGUGUAAAUUAGAAAAUAGAAAGAAACCUAAUCCUAAUUCGACCAAAAAAAAAAAAAAAAAGGAACCCUCUUCGCUCGCUUGCUAGUUUUGUUGCUCGCCUCUAUUUCCUCACUUCACAUGUUCGUUUUUGUAGUUUGUUACUUUUAACAAGUCUAAAUUUUUGUUAUUAUCUUAUCUUAUAUUAAUGUUUGACAUGCAUUGGUGUUCAUAAUUUGGUUGCUCAAUAUCGCAUUAUUAAUUAAUAUAUAAUUUGAAUUAGUAUGUUUAUUCUUUUGAGGAAUAUAAAAAAUGAAACAAAAAAAUAAUCGGUUGGUUCUAGGUCGACCCUAAAGACUCAAUAGGGUUGAUCUUCGAUCUUAAAAAUUGAAAAUCAACACUAUGUGGAUUGAUCAUUGGAUUAAGUGUUGAACCGGCAAAAUCUAGAUCAUGCUCACCCCUACUUAUAAUCAUUGGAGAGAACUGCUUAGUUCCACUAGCAACUUGGAGCAAAAUGUCAAGCCCUCAUCGAAUGAACGGACGAACGAAUAUUAAGAUAAUUUCUCUGUUAUAAUUUUGAGGAACAAGCAUAGAGGACCAUCUAUUUGGACACCAAUGAAACGCUCUACAUGUCCCGCAAGCUACGGAAGGAGUUCAAAGUGAUGUAGUAGGGAUCGACAUACUGUAUAAGAGUGAUAUUCUCUUUGGAAAAAAAAGGGUCAAUACCCUGAAAAACAACAAGCUAAUACACAUGUGAUAAAUUUACCAUAAACUAAUUUUUUUUAUUAUGAAAAACCCUAAACUGGUAUAUACGUGACAAAUUUACCUCAAAUGACCAUAAAAAAAAAAAAUCCUAAACCAAUUCACUUGUGAUAAAUUUACCAUAAACUAAUUUAUUCAAUUGCCAAGAACUCAAAACUAGUAUAUUUGUGAUAGAUAUACCUUCCGUUAAGGUAAAUUAAUACAAAAAAAAAAAAAAAAAAAAAAACCCACAAGAUGGUAUAAUUGUGACAAAUAAGGAGUAAAAUCCCUAAUUGGUACAUCAAUCGAUUGUCACGUAUCAUCCAAUUCAGUAAUUUGAUAGUAAAAUUUAACGGAAACUAACAUAAGAUAAAUUUGUCAUAAGUGUAUCAGUUUGGGAUAAAUUUGUCAAAAGUGUACCAAUUUUGGGUUUUUGAUAGUAAAAAUAUUAGUUUUGGGUUAAUUUGUUAUAGAUAUACUAAUUUGGAGUUUUUCAGGAUAUUAAUCCUUACAAAAAAACAACAAAUAAAAGGACAAUUUCAUUGAAGAGGUAGGAUACAAAUGCUGGUGUCAUUGUAUUUUAAGAAUAGGGCCAUGAGUAGGGAUGCAGUGGGUGGAGUCAAAUAGCAUUUUCUACCUAUCUAAACCCUAUAACCAGUCUAAUUAGAUUUUAGACUUGCAUAAUGAGCUUAGAUCCCAUUUAAAUUACUUUAUAGGGUUUGAUGACUUGUUCAUAGAUAUCCCAAAACUCAAAUCCAACUGAUCCUAUUAAAAAAAUGAAUCCUAAGUUUUUGGGAAAAUUACACUAGGAGUGUCAAAAGUUAUGUACAACACUUAUUUUAGUAUCAAAAGAUUUCACCUUCUCAUUUAAAUGUCAAAUCAGAAAAAAAAAAAUCACUUAAGUAUCCUUAAGUGUCAUAAAAUUGAUUACAGGGCUUUUAUGAUUAAAAAAAAUUGACGUGACAAUUUUUUUUAAUGCAAUCCACAUGUACAUCAUAAAUGGUGUCGUUUUUUCAUCCUACGUGACUUAAACAAAAAAACGAAAAUGACAUUACAUAGCCUCUGGCCAAAACGACAUCACUCAAGAUGGAUCAAAAUUGGGGCUUCCCUGUUACUGCAUAUGAACUACUCUCCUUAGUGACUGAUCGUUGCUCACUUGCCAUCACAAUUUCUUCGUCGCUCAUCGACCAUCUCCAUAACUCUCACUCAUUUAGAGAUUUGUCAUCUUUUGAUCCUUGCUCAAUUAGGUGGAAAAUUUAGGGCUCCGAUGGCAAAACUAGGGUGUGAAGAGCAAAAGUAGGGCUCAGCUCGGAGGGAAAAGGAGUUCUUGGUACUAGAGAAAGAAUCCCGAGAUAGUGGUAGGGAUGUCACUUUGUUUAAUCAAUUUGGUGCUAUUGUGGGGACCAAAUUGAAUAAAUCAACUUCGUUUCGUUUCUUUCUACAAAACUACAAUCAUGAAGUGAAUUCUUCAAUCAAUUACUUGUGGGGAUCUCUAUAAGAAGUUGUUGUCCAAUUUUUUUUGUAAUUCCAAAAGUUAAUGAUUGAUUUCUCCUUGCGUAUAGUGUCGUACACAACCUUUGGCACUUCUAAGAUCUUUCUGCCUAAGUUUUUUUAAUCUUUUAAAUUAACAUUAUUCAUUGGGAUUUUGUUAACGAGUGCUUGGAACACUUGUCAUGUGGAAAAAUGACCAAAAAUGUGAUUAAUCUAUUGUAUUUAUAUCAAUUUAGUUAUAAAUAUUUUGAUAAUUUGCCAGUGUAGUCUUUCCGUUCAAUUUUAAUUGAAAAAUGUUAACGUGUUCAUCCAAUCAGUGAUGCCCAUCCUAUGUGGGUACCGACGUUAACGUGGACAAUUUUUUAAAAUGUUUUUGAUUUUUUGAUUUUUUAAUUUCUUUUUGGUUGGUGGCCAGUCUUAGGCGAUAGCCAGAGAGGGCUAGGCAAGGGUUGCUUUCAUUGGCUAAAGGUGAGGGAAGGCCAUGCUUGGGUGAGAGUCACACUCGCUCUAUCUAGGUGAGGCAUGCCCUUGUCCACAACUGACGAGGGCCUAGGUGAGCGCCGCAACCCUCGCCAAUAGUUGGUAAGGACCUGUAGGCCCUCACACAGUGGCUGGCAAGGGUUAGUGGGUCCCCGCCGGUUGUAAUAAAGAAAAAUAAUAAUAAAAUUAAAAAAAUUAAAAAAGUUGCAAAAAUUAUCCAUGUUGGCAUCGAUGGUAUUAGGUACGAUCAUCAGUGUCUACGUUUGUGAUUUUCAACCAAAAUUGGCUUAAUAGACUAUGUUGAUAAUUUGUUAAAAGGUUUAAAUCUAAAUUAACCAACUUACAAAGUUUAAGAUUGAAUUAACACAAUGCAAUAAGUCUAGGACUUUUUAAUAAUUUUCUCCUUAUUAUGUGGUAACUAACUAGAGGAUAUUUGAAUUUUCAAAAGUAAGGAUUGAAGAUUUAUUUAUUCGAAGUAUUUAAAGUAUAUACAUUUGAGCGAAUUCAUGUCACAUCGUAUGUCUGCUUAAGGAAGAAAGGGAUGACACGGCCAUCCAUCAAAAGAAAGACGAAGCUUAAGAAAAGCCCUUCACGAAAAAAAGCCAGCUAUCUCCAAAAAUACGGAAUCCACACAAAAGUAUAUCUUCAAUCCAGCUAUAUCCAAAAUACGGAACUAUAGCAAAAACUUAUACAACUUGGCUAAAAGCUAAUACCAAAGUAUUAUAGCCUAAAAAAUCCCCACAUCGAAGUGCUUCUCUAAGCGUCGCCAGAGCAUCGCGGGGUAAAAAGCCUAAAAUGUUAUAAAAAAAAAAAGAGUGAAUGGGCUUUAGUUUAGUGAGUGAUACUCAUGUUAGUACAAGAUGGAACACUAACUAUUUUGAUAUCACAAAGAACUUCAAACUGAUAUAUUUAUGAUAAAUUUAUAAAAAAAAUUAAUUUUUUUACCACUAAAAACCACAAAUUGGUACGCUUGUGACUAAUUUAUCCUCUACUAGUUUUCGUUAAAUUUUAUGGUCAAAUUGCUGAGUUGAAGACGCACGACAGUUAACAGGUGUAUCAAUCGGUUUGUGGUUUUAUCUUUCGUUUAUUACAGCAGGUAAAUGAAUUUGGGGUUUUUUUUAAUAUAAAUCCAAUUUAACGAAAAUUAACGAAAGGUAAAUUUGUCACUAAUGCACUAAUAUAAGAUUUUUGAUGAUAAAAAAAUUAGUUUGGGAUCAAUUUAUCACGAGUAUACCAAUGAUUAAAAAAAAUACUAACUUUUAGUAAAUUUCUCACAUAUUUAGGGUUUUUCAUUGUACUAACCCUUUUAUAAAUAGACACUUUUGUUGAAAACAAUUAUGGAUAAGUGCAUUGGAACAAAAGUGUAUUUAAGUCUUAAAAAUUAGUCGAAAGUAUAAUCGUGUCUUAACUUUCAAAAAAGUGCAAUCAAGUCAUAAAAUUUGCAAAUUGAUUUGGUCAAGUCCUUUGGUUGAAUACACUUUUUGAAAGUUUUAGGUUUUGAUUGUACUUUUGCGACAAAAUUUUAAGACUUGAUUGUUUUUUUGAAAGUUUUAAAACUCCAUUGCACUUUUGUGAUAAGUUUUAAGAUUACUAGUGCACUUAGCCAAAACAUUUAAUAAAACUUGUAAAGUAAAGCAAAACAUUUGUAGUGGUAAAUUAAAAUAUAUGCUCUUAACAUAACAUAACUUGAAAAACCAAAAACGUCAAUGGCUGGCUCUAUUGACUAAUCUCUUAUCUAAUGUCAUGCACUACAGUGACGUUUAUCCUCGUGGCAAAGCUCACAACCAAACUUUCCCCCAGGUUAUAGGUCUUCAUCUUUUAUUAGCCAGUAGAUCAGCCUACACAUGACAUCCUAAAAACUAGUAAGCACAACAAACACUAACUUGCCCAACUGACAGUUCAAAACGUAUUAACAAGGGCAUGAAGUCCAAACAAUACCACUUUUAAUCAAGUAUUUGAACAAUCACAACUUACUUGGUAAACAGGUUCGUAAAUCAAAUGAUAAUACUUGGACGAAGCAUUUCACAGUUAUAAGCCAUUCAGAAAAAGUUAAUUCUCAAACAAUGUUCACGCAACUUAAAUAGAUAAGGCAAACUAAAUCACAAUGCAACUCAUAGUAAUGAGAAGGUAGUCCAUAUCGUACUCGAGUUUCAUAAAACAAAUUCUCCAAAGUACCUUCACGCUAUGAUGUCCCAAUGUUCGUUUAAAACCAUAGAAUGGAAAAUACAGGGUUUUGUUGCUUGUUGGAAGAGUCAUAAGCCGCAUAUUCUUAGGCCUUCGCAAUGACGAAAUGAAAUCUCUAAUCUGAAAAGUACCUCGUUAUGCAGCCGAUGUACUUUCAGAAAUUGUACACGUUUCUGGGUGUAAUGACUAUUUUAAUUCUGAAUUAGGUUGUUAAGAUGCUGGUUGUGAUUAAAUUGCAGAAAACUACAUGAAAAGUAUCAUUCAAAAUAUCUAAUUUUCAAAACUUGACUCCACACAAAAAAUUGCAUUCACAAAUUUAAUUCAAACUUCUAGGUCAUUCAAUCAUUUGUUAUUCAACGUUUGUUUCUAUGUCACACGUCAUGCAAAGCAUAGUUUCAAAGUACACACACGUGAACUUUCCACUUGAUUUCAGCCAAGACUCAAUGUCCAGACUCUUGUAAAGAAAAUGCACGAUAGAUGCAAAUUAGGGCCCAAUCGGAAAGUUUUGGUACUGAAAGGGUGUUGUGGGAUGCUAAUCUAUCAACCUAGGUAGUUUACUUUCCCUCGACCUCAGCCUCUGGUUAGCGCACUUAGAUUAGUCACCAUGCACAUGUCCCCUAGGUAGUUUACUUUCCCUAAAACUUUUUAGGCAUUCUAAGUGUCCAAUCAACCUAGGUUAAGUAAAUCGAUCGGCAGUGACUCUUCUCAUCUUUUCAAUUUAUGAAUUUGGUGACUCUACUCAAACCAAGAAUUUGGAAAGAUCUCAAGAACUGGGGCGCUACAAACUAGUGAUCCCCGGUUUGCAAGAUUAAAGGUGUCACACUCUCCUUGGUGGAGGUUUGAGGCAAUGCGGCUGAACUCCCUUUGCAAUCCAUGGAAUUUGCAAGCUUAGUUCUGGCAAUAUUUUCUGCUACUCCGCCCAUUUAUCUAAUAACCUUGCUUUUGCUCGCCGCUGGCAUGAAAUGUUGUAUGUGUUCCGUGACUGGCCUUUUUUUUGUUGUUGUUGUCGAGUUAAGGUUUUCAUGUUUGAAUAUGAGGAAAGAUAAGUUUCAUGGCCUUCAGCGGAGCAUCCUUUUCCUUAAGGAGUCAUACUAAAUGAAAGCAAGCUUUUGGGAAAUUGCCAUCAUAUUAAGGAGCAUUGUACUCCCUGCUACGCUACAUAUGCAUAGCGACUUAGCGGCAAAAACUGAAGAGAAGCGCUUUUGAACGCUUGAAUAGCCAUAGGUCGUGUUUCCCCAUGUUAAUCGGGCUCUCCCGGUUACAAAGACGGAUAUAUCCAGGAGUAACUUAUAACGGGGAGGCUAGCCACCUUGCCACCGAACGUUCGCACUACUGCUAACGGGGAGCUUAUUGGCACCAGGUGCAUGGCUUGCUUGCAGAAGAUUUGUUGGGCUGGGUUGUUAUUGCUUGGAGCAAUCACUUGGGGAGAUAGUGCAGAGUUGUUCAGGGCUUGAGAACUCACUAAAGUGGGAAGGAGCCGAUGCAUCCUAGUCGGCCUCGCUUGAACUAACUGCCUUAGAAGCCGACUCAGAGGGCGGCUGCCAUCGGGUUCAUGUUUCCAUGUGUAUACUCUAUUUGGUUGUCAAAUUGUUAUCGACGUGAACUUGAGGGCUUUCCUGCAUGUUGUCGCUCUUCCUCUUCUUUGGUGACAUCAGCUUUGUGCGUCCUCCCUUCACAGUAGACUCGCCAAUAUGCUGAGGAUGUUUUCUCAAGUAGAUUUUCUUAUUUUAGAUCGAGGAAACCACUAGACCCACAUCUAGUUGGGCUUUGAGAUUUUGAAUCCACUUUAACCUGUUUUUAGGGUGCAUUUGGUUGGACUUUUGGGGAAAACCUUUGAAAAAAUGCAAAUGACUUUAAGUUAAAGAGAUUUUCCAAAAUGCAAUUGUGUCUGUUAAAUUGUAGUUUGAAAGUCCAUUGUGAUGUAUUUUUGAAUAAAAUGGUGUUUUGAAAGAUUAUAUUUACAAAGGACUUUUGUAAUUAAAAAAAUUUUUAAAAAAUUGUCAAAAGAAAAAUAAAAAGAGUUGGCUAGCGAGGUAAGCAGCCUCAGGCAACCCUCAGAGAUGAGCAGCAAGGGCCGCCUAGGGUCAACCUCCAGCGAGGGCCGCCUGGGGUCGAGUGACCUCUGGCAGCCCUUCGCGGAGGUCACCCGACCCAAAUCUGUGUCUGCCAGAGGUCGUGUGACCUCAGGCAACCCAGAUUUGGUUUGCGCAACCUCAUGGCGACCAGAUCUGUCACGGAGGUUGCGCAACCUCCAACGACAGAUCUGGUCGUCGCAUGACCUCCGCGACAAAUCUGGCCGCCGUUAGGUCGCGCGACCUUCGGCGACCCAUAUCUUGGUUGCGCAUGAGGUCGCGAGACCCAGAGCUAGGUUGUGGUGACGCGACUCGCGGGUGGAUGCCGCAACUUGCCAAGGUCUCGCGAUUGGCCAGUGACGGUUGCCGCGACCUUGUCGGCCUCUCUUGAGCUCGUCGCUAACCAGCCACACCCCACUGGAGAGGGAGAUGAACAGUAGACAUUGGGCUUUCAGCAUUUGCAAGGCAAACUUUGCCUCAAGGUGGGUUUCAAAAAUGAAACCAAACACCCAAUAUUUGGCCUAAAGAUCCCUGGAAACCCAAAGUCCCUUCCCAAAGCCAAUUCCAAACGCAGCCUUACGAUUUUCAAACAAUAUAUAUUUGACCUGACUCGUUAAACUUGAGUUAAACCGGCUCUGUAAGAUACUGACGUGAAUAUCAUCAAUAUUUAUAUUUAAUGAAGUUUCCGUGUAAGUUAUGUCUACGACUUGUAAACCCCCAAAUCAAUAACAUUUCUCCAACCACAAAUGAUGGAGUUGGAAGUAAGAAUGCGAAAGAGAAAGUUGAGAGAUAUUAGUAUAUUUUGAUAUAUUAAAAAGAGUACAUUGAAAGCCUAUUUAUAAGCUUAGAUAGAUAAAUCACUAAUAAUAUAUACGUAAUCAAAAUAGACAUAGAAAAUGACAGAAAAUAUCUUAAAUAUCUUUAAAAAAAAUUAAUAGUGCUAACUUCCCUAAUAUCUCUAACAAAUGAAAAAUUAGGUUAGUUACAUCACCAUGACUUGACUUGUAUUUGUCAGUGGUAUGUAUGAAUAUGCAUAAAGCGUGUUGUGACUUUGCUUCAAUCAUCUGAAAGGAAAAAACUUUCUACUCUGCUUCAAUCGUGCUGGUUUACCAAACAACAAAACCAUGUCUUGGUACAAUGGGAUGAAACCAUAACCGCUCAUGCACUUAAGCUUCAGAGAACCUGCUUGGCCAAGAGAGGACAAGCCAAAAUGGUUGGUCUCUUCAGUACCCACGUCAAGAAACAUAACCCCACCGCACAUCGCUCUCUUUUCUUCGGCGCCCGAUCCAUGCGCAGAAACCUGCCUCUUAACUGGGAAACCACUAAGCCUCGCUAUCAGGUUCACGCACUGAACAUCGAAUCUUGACGAGAUCUUCAGAUUUAGCAGCUGGCUGUACUCAUUCAAAGGUGGAGAUUCAUCCUACUUGUAAAUCCGGACGUCCAUCACGAAAGAUUAGAUAAUAGGAGGCCUAGAGCACGAAUGUCAACCAUUUUAGCCGGAAAGUGAUUUUUGUGAAAUUUUCUAUUUUUAUUAUUGGAUGAAUUUCUGAGGAAGAAUAUGCAUUUAAUAAUAAUAAAAAUUUUGUAUUAUUAUAAUAAGGACACAAAAUUUCUCCAUGCCGGGCGGUGGCCGCGAUCAGCGACAAUAGAUGGCAAUGUUGACCGGUGACCAGUGGUGGGGACGUCGACCGGCGACAAGUGGUGGUGGACGCUUCUCGUCAAAUUUUAAGCUUGGGACGUCAAUGAUGGGCUUGAUUCAAGCCCAACCCGUCAUGUUCGGAUGCUUCCACUGGGAGUCUUUUCUUCUCUCUUCCUAAAUGCAUGGCCACAUGCACAAAACAAGGGUUACCCAUCUGAAGAUAAGAUAACAAGAGAAAGUGCUCGACAUGGAGAAUUUUUGGCCAGGGUCGGCGCGAGUUGUUACUGCUAAAAAAGUGGCCACUUCACUUCGCUUUCUUUCACUAGUCCUUGCAACUUUAGUAGGUGGUUUGAUUGGGCACUAAGGAGACAAAUUUUCAUCAGUCCACCGGCCACCUGCCUUGUCUCAAUUUACUAAUAUAUCACUGUAUGACUUCACCAUAGCCAAUCUGAUGAAGCUAAGGUUGCGUUGGAUAGGACAAAUUAUUUGGCAAGAUAGGAUAGAUUUACAAUGGCUAAUAUCGAUAGGAUAGAUUUACAAUGCUAAUAUCUCUCUCUCUCUCUCUCUCUCUCUCUGUUGACAUUUAGUAGAUACCAAGCACCGGAUAGAACUAGAGUUGUUCAAUUGCGUUAAUAUCUCACCAGUCAAGUAUUGCCCAAUUACUUUUCGCAAUUAAUCAAUGAAGUAAGUAUUGCAUAAACUAUGACGUCUAGAUUAAUUCGAUCACAAUUCAAUAAUUUGCUAGAAAACAUUAUUUGGCUUUUACUAAAAAGUAUAACUUAUCAUAUAACUCUUGUGUUAUGAUUGGUGCUAUUUACCACAUCAUUUAUAGACUAGUUUACAUGGUAUAUUUCUCAUCGAUGUUUCAAACCGCUGUAUAGCAAUAAGUCUGGUACGCACUACAUAGUCUUUCUUGGAGUUAAGGGACCCAGAUGGUCGCAAACAUCCAUGCAACGCGUAAUUCAAAAGUGCGAUCAUUGGAAUGAUUUGCCGAAUCUCAAAAGGAGGUAGAAAGGGAAGACAGGAGAUCAUCACUAUUCACUAAGGUUGAUUUGGCCUCUGUUCAGCCACAAAAGUCUCACUCGCUUUUUGUCACAUUCGAUUGCUAUUUUGUCCCCUUUUAGCAAAAAUGGGUGAGUGCGCGAGUCCUUUUCCCGCCCCUACCCACGAAUGGUGUCCCCCCAUGGUGCUAGGAUUAAUGUCUUGACCGAUCCAAAAGAUAACCUAAAUUAAUAAUGGUUCGUUGAAUUUAAAGUUACUGGACCUAAUCACCUUUUACUUAAGAUGGGUAAUACGACUCUUGGUUUGCCACCGCUGAUUGAGCAUUAAGAAAUUCUAAUUAUGGUACUGGAAAUCAUAUGUCCAAAUCCUACAAAGGUGAUCGGGCUUCUAUGAUCAUAUAGAGGAACUGGCACCAGGCGCAACUAAACCAAAGAUCACAUUCCUCAUCCCCAUCCUGCGAGGUGGAGCUUUGCCCCGCCACCAUGCCCUUGCCCCAUGCAAGGUGGGGGAAAACAUCCUCACGAGGCACCCUACCGAGCAUUGUGCCGGGUGUGGGAAAAUAGCUCAUUAGUUUUCUCUUAAUUAUAUAUUAAAAAUAUAUGACAAGUUAAACUUACACGACAAUUAUAUUAUGUGCUACUUUUAGUUAUUAGUUAACUUUAAUUUAUUUGUAUCCUAUAACUAAUAACUAAAAGUAUCACAAUCAAAUGAGCAUGGCUUUAAUGUAUAAGUCAGACGACCCAAGUCCAACGAUGUGCCCUCUUCCAUGGUGGCAACUUUUACUUAUCAACGAAGGAAAAAAAAAACUCUGAUGUUUGACGAGAUUGAAUAAUUCACGGAAGGAAAAAAGAAAUAGCACACCUGAUCAUAAUGUUUGACAGGAUCCCGACAGUUGACUAAUUACUGGCCCAAUUUCCCUUAUUUUAUUUUAUAUUGCAUCAUGGGUCAGUAAUGACACAAUGUAGUCGCCCAAUCAUCAUUAUGUGUACACUAAGAAUCUAAUCCUACUUGACACCGUAUGAAUAUAUACACAUCACUUUUGAUUGGCUGGUUACUUCAUGUAUCAUUAUCGCAUGAUGUAUUCAUCACACAAAUUAGCUUUACGUUGCGGAGGCGACAUUUGACUAGUUUCCUUUCCCCAGCAAAAAUGAAGCUGGUAUUUACUUCUUCAGCCAAAAAAGAGAGUGCAUAUUAAUUAUUCCACACGAUGAAGCUCAAGAAUGGAGAAUCAAAGAAUAAGCCAACUACGGGAAAACAUGAGUACAAUGGAGAUUAUUGGAGUCAUCCUACAUUGGCUUUGAAAACAAGCCAAUGUUUGAGAGAAAAUUUUACUCUUUGAGCUAUUUUUUGAGAUAAGAGGGACUCAAGACCACCUAAUACUAAUAACAAAACUCAAGUUACCAACAAGUUUAGACCCAACAGUCACAGAAUAGAUCGGGUUAUUCCUUCUCCAACCUAAGGCUUGAUGUAUAAGAGAGGCCCACAACAAUGUGGAGGGAUCACCGUCUCUACUAUCAAUUGGCAAUACUUAAACUUCUAGCUUGGUAGAGUUUUCGUCAUCACAUCAAAACCAUUGUGGUCCUUAUGGAUUUUCUCAAGUCAAUAACUUCUCAUUUAGAAUAUCCGUUUCUAAUGAUAUCUAAAAUCAAUGUGUUUCGAUUUAGAAUCAAACAAUGAGUUUCUUACCAAGAUGAAUUGCACUUUGAUUGUCACAAAAAUAAAACAUACAUUUUUUGCUUGAACCCAAAUUCUUGUAAUAACUUAUUCAGCCAUAACUCUUUACUAGCUUUGAUUGCCACGAUAUAUUCAACUUCAGUUGUAGAAAGUACAACAUAGUUUUGAUACCUUGACUUCUAUGACACAACCCCAUAGGCAAAAAAAAAAAAAAAUCUAGAAGUAAAUUUACGAGAAUCGGUAUAUCUCUGGUCAAGUUGGAAUCUAUGUAUCCAACUAACUCAAGUUUCUCGAUUCCAAAAUUGAGUUCCAAAUUGGAAAUUCCUCAAAUAUAUCUUAUGAUCCACUUUUUUGCAUUUUAAUGCUCUCUACUUGGAUUUGACAAAUAGUGACUAACAACACCAACUACAUGCGCCAAGUCUAGUCGUUUACUUACCAUUACAUAUAUCAAGCUUACCACGGCUAAGGAAUAUGGAGCACUUUCCAUGUUUUUUAUUAUUAUUAUUAUUAGUCGUAAAUAUUUACUUCAUACUCAAGUUAAAGUGAGUAGUUAGAGGAGUGCUAAUCAUUUUACUUGUCCAUAUAAAAUUUAUGAAGAAUCUUCUAUUGGAGAAAACUCCUUGGAUGUUUUGAAGUUGACAAAAUUUAUCCAAAGUCUAUUCUAAAGAUAUUUAGACUUCUAUGUCAAAGUCUGAAAAUGACUAGAUUUUGUGUCAAAGUCUACCCACACUAACAAAUUCCAGACUGAAUGCUAUUGAAAAAUGAAGAUUUAUUCAGAUGUGAGAUUUUGUUUAUUUCUUCAAGAGUUCAAUUCAUAUGGCUUCUGGAUGGCUUUCUAGAUGGAUAUAUCACCUACGAGAUUGAUUAUCUUUAUUGAAAAUGAUUGAUUAUCUUUAUUGAAAUUAAUUUAGAUAAAUCAAAUUUUUUCGGAUUACAAGUAAAUAUGGAAAGAAUCUAUUUAUGGAAACCAAAAUCCCGAUUGUAUGGGCAAACAUAAUUGAUGGGCUUUCAUCACAAUCUUCAAACGACUUAAAAUCUCUUUGAUUGAUUCUAUCCAACGGGUAGAUUAAAGUGCCAACAGUCGAGAAGGCAUGAAGGAGUAUUUAAGGUAGACUCUCCAAUUGUUUGAGAGCGUGCAUGAAAGAGAAAUUUCAAAGUCUGAAACUUUCCAUUUUCCUUGUUAAUUGAAAUACUGAGCUCAAAGUUGUAUACAAAAGAGAGAAACUCAUAGUGAGACUUUGUGAGAGACUAGUAAAGACUCUUCACUGUGAGUCAAGAUGGCAAAGCUGUAAAAUCUCUUUUGAUUCUUGGUGGAAUCCAACCAGUAAGCUAUCAGUGUAGAGAGUGGACGUAGGCUUAAUCUAAGCCGAACCACUAUAAUUUCUGUGUUCUUAUUCUCUUCCUUGAACUCUUUAUUUUGUUUGUAUUUUUAUUUAACUGCUAAAGUCUGAAUUAGCUCAAAGUCUGCUGUUCUUUAGACUCUGUUUUAAAAGCAAAAUAUUUCUACUGUUUCUUUUGAAAAAUUGUCUUCACACCUAUUUUGGCUCCAAGAUUGGUCGAAGGUCAGAGUAAUACCAAACCUCCUUACUUCAAUGGGAAGAAGUACAAUGUGUGGAAAAACAAGAUGAAUGCAUUUCUAAGAUCGAAAGAUCCCCUGGAGUGAGAUGUAGUAGAAAAAUGGAUCAAUCCCAAAGCUACAUCAACCUCAGAAAGAGGAAAAGAAAUUGUAGAAGCUGGCAAAAUAAUAUAAGUAGAAUUAACCAAGAGACAAAUUCUUGAUGCUAAAACUAUCUACUCCUUAUACUGUACUUUAUUUCUUAUUGAAUAUAACUGAAUUUCUUCUUGUGAAACAGCAAAAGAAGUUUAGGACAUAUUACAUGUUACCUAUGAAGGAACUGAUUGAGUAAAGGAAAUGAAAAUCAAUAUUCUACUUGGACAGUAUGAAGCCUUCAAGAUGAAGCCUGGAGAAUCCAUUACUGAUAUGUUCAGUCGUUUCAUAGAGAUCGUAAACGGCUUGGCUUAUUAAGGACAACCAAUCUCAAGACCAAUGAAAGUCAAUAAACUGCUGCGUGGACUUUCUAAAGAGUGGAAUCAUGUGAAGACUUCAACUAGAGAAACUCAUAAGAUCAUGCCUCUUUCAGUAGAUGAACUAGUAGGCACACUUCAAUCAUAUGAAGUGGAGUAGAUCAAUGAAGAAGAAGAUCCAAGAGGUAAGAAGUCAAUUGCUUUAAAAUCCAAUGAUGAUUCUAAUGAUACAAAUUCAGAUGACGAUAUGGAUGAUGAGAAGCUAGCGCUUAUGAUAAAAAAUUCAGAAAGUUAAAUAGAAAGGGAAGAAGAUUCAACAGGAAGAAACAUAGCAUGGAAAAUUUCCAAAAGAGACCAAUUGAGGAUAAUGAAACCAUCAAAGAUGUAAUAUGCUUUGAGUGCAAGAAAAAAUAGAUAUAUUAGACCUAACUGUCCUUUGUUGAAGAAAAAGAAAGAAAGAAUUGAGAAGUACAAGAAGGCUCUCAAAGCUGAAACCUAGAGUGACACUAAGUGCGAGGAAAGUGAAUAAGAAUGCGCCAACAUUUGUUUGAUGGCUCAUUCUGACUCAAACUCAAAAUCAUAAACAGACUCUGAUUCAGACUCAGACAAAGAACUUAAGGUUAGUAAUUUAAAAAUUCAUGUUAAAGUCUCAAAGUACAUAGAAAAAAUUUGUCUUAGUCUCAAAACCUCUCUUAAAAAGAUCUCCGAGCUAAAAAGGGAAAAUUCUAAACUCAAGCAACAGGAAAUUUAUUCGAAAGAAAAUUUUGAAAGUCUGGAUAAAAUUUUUAUUAAUUUGAAAGAAAAUUCUGAUUCUUUUGUUAAGCAAAAUGCUAUUCUAAAAAAUUGGAGAAAAUUCUUUCAGUACAAAGGCCCUAUUUUAACAAGUUUGGUUUAGGUAUGACUUCAUAAAUAAUUCCAUUGAUUGAUUUUCCCAAAGUAAAAAAGGCAUUUUACAAAAAUCAUUUUCAAAGAGUUUUUGUAAAACCUGUUGGCCAAAGUGCACUCAAAUGUUCAAAGUGUAAUAGCUCAUAACAUUUUGAGAAAAAAUAUCCAAAAGUUUGGAGACCUGUUAAGAAGGACUGGGCAAAGACUGUUUUUAAUGUUAACUCUCCUGGACCCAAGAAAAUCUGUAUACUAAAGAAAACUUGAGUUCUUUUUAUGAUUGCAGGUUACUAUCAAGAGAAAAAUAAAAUGGUAUUUGGAUAGUGGCUACGGGACUCAAGCUGCUUUAUAAAGCUUGUUAGAUUGAAUGAAGGAAAAGUUUCAUUUGGGGAAAACAACAAGGGAAGAAUUGUAAGUUAUGGAAUUGUGAAGAUUGGAAGCCUGACUAUUAAUAAUGUUUCUUUGGUGGAAGGUUUGAACUACAAUCUACUCAACAUAAGCCAACUUCGUGACACUGGAUUCUAAAUCAACUUCCAAGAAGGUAUUUGUUUUGGAACGAGUCAAGACUUCUCCCAAUCUUUCACUGAGCGAAGGCAUGGGAAUAUUUAUCUUCUGGAUAUAAACCCAAAAAGUUCUUGGUGCCUUAUAUCUAUUCAAGACGAAGCAAGUCUCUAGCAUCGAAAGUUUGGUCAUGUUAACAUGAAGCAAAUUGCCAAUAUUUUUUCUAAGAAACUUGUUCGUGGUCUUCCCAACCUACCUUAUCAAAAGUCAGAACUAUGUACUCCAUGUGUUCUGGGAAAACAGGUUAAAAAUACCUUUAAACCUGUAGAUCAAGUUUCUACCAAUCGAGCUUUGCAACUUUUGCAUAUGGACCUUUUUGGACCAACCAGAACUCAGAGUAUUGGUGGAAAAAAAUAUUGCCUAGUAAUCAUGAAUGAUUACUCUUGCUUCACUUGGGUUUACUUUCUGACAAGUAAGUUUGAAGCUUUUUCUUAUUUCUCAAAGUUUGCAAAGAAGGUUCAGAAUGAAAAAUGUUAUAUUAUUCCAAUCAUAUGAACUGACCAUGGAGGUGAGUUUGAGAAUCAAGGCUUUACGAAGUUCUGUGAUGAAUCUGGUUUUCAGCAUGUCUUCUUUUCUCCAUGUACUCCAGAACAAAAUGAGGUUGUGAAAAGAAAGAACAGAUCCUUACAAAAGAUAGUCAAAAUCCUCUUAAUUGAGAGCAACAUAUCCUCCUAAUUUUGGGCAGAAGCAAUUUCUAUAGCUUGCUACAUCAUCAACAGAGUGUUCUUAAGGCCUAUCUUGGAGAAAACUUCAUAUGAAGUGUAUAAAGGAAAGAAUCCAAAUAUUUCUUACUUCUAUGUCUUUGGCUAUAAAUGUUUUAUUCUGAAAAAUCCUAUUGAUCGAUCUGGAAAGUUCGAGGAGAAAUCAGACGAAGAAAUUUUCCUUGAUUAUUCGAUCACAAGCAAAGCUUAAAAGGUCUUUAACAAGAAAACUCAGUCUGUAGAAGAAUCCAUGAACAUCAAAUUUGAGGAGACUCAACCAGAUCAGACUCAACUUGAAGAGUCUAAACCUGUUUCAGACUUUACAAAGUCUAUUUCCUUCGAAGAGGUUCAAACUUCUGAAGAAUAGCAACAAAUAGAUCGAGAAGUUUCAACUGAAGCAGAGGAUCUUCAGACUUUCAAAUCAAGCAACAACUGGAAGCACAAGUCAAGUCAUCCCAAAGAACUCAUCAUUGGCAACAUUGAUGAAGGAAUUCGAACAGAUCCAAAAGGCGAGAAGAGUCGAGUGCUCUAACACUUGUUUCUGAGAUAGAACCAAAAAGUGUAGAUGAAGCCUUGUCUGAUGAAAGCUGGAUCGAAGCCAUGCAAGAAGAGCUCAAACAGUUCAAUAUCAACGAUGUUUGGAAAUUGAUUCCAAAACCUAAAGGUAAAUCUAUAAUCGGGACAAAAUGGGGUCUUCAGGAACAAGAUGAACGAAAAAGGAAAAGUCGUCAGGAACAAAGCAAGACUCCUGGCCAAAGGAUAUACUCAAGAAGAAGGGAUAGACUAUGAUGAGACCUAUGUACCAGUAGCGAAGUUAGAAGCAAUUAAAUUAUUACUUGCUUUUGCUUGCUAUAAAAAUUUCAGGUUAUUCUAGAUGGACGUCAAAAGUGCCUUCCUUAAUGGAUUCAUUCAAGAAGAAGUCUAUGUGGAAUAACCACUAGGAUUUAAAGAUCCAAGAAAGCCAGACUCAGUCUAUAGACUGAAAAAGGCCUUGUAUAGACUGAAGCAAGCACCUCAAGUAUGGUAUGAAAGGUUGAGUAAGUUUCUAAUUCAAAAUAGUUUUAAAAAAAGGGAAAGUAGAUAUUAUUUUGUUCAUUAAGAGAGAAGGAAAAGAUUUUUUACUGGUAGAUUUAUGUAUAUGAUAUUAUCUUUGGUUCUCCUAAUAAAAAUCUAUGCAAUAAAUUUUCAAAGUCUAUGUAGGAUGAAUUCGAGAUGAGCAUGAUAGGUGAGUUAACUUUCUUUCUGGGAUUGCAAGUUAAACAGUCGAAGAAAGGUAUAUUCAUUCACUGGGAGAUAUGCCAAAUAUCUGAUCAAGAAAUUUGGAUUAGAGAAUUGCAAAAACACAGAGACACCUAUGUCAAGUUCCUCGAAGCUGGACAAGGAUGAAAGAGGGAAGAAAACAUAACAUAAGCUUUACAAAAUCAUGAUCGGUUCUCUUCUUUACCUUACUGCAUCUAGACCUAACAUUUUGUUUAGUAUUUGCAUCUAUGCUAGAUUUCGAUAUGAUCCCAGAGAAUCUCAUUUAAGUGCUGCAAAACACAUCAUUAAAUAUAUGGCAACUUCUCAAAAGUUAGGUCUGUGGUAUCCAAAAGAAUGAGACUUGACUCUUCUUGGAUAUUUAGAUGCUGAUUUAGCUAGAUGUAAAGUGGAUAAAAAGAGCACUUCUGGAACCUAUCAACUGCUGAGAAAUAUGCUGGUAUCUUGGUUCUCAAGAAAGCAGAGUACUGUAACUCUAUCAACAGCAGAAGCUGAAUAUGUGACUUUUUGGAGCUGUUGUUCUCAAAUUCUAUGGAUAAGACAACAGCUAAUAGACUUUGGAAUUGAAGAAUCAUGUACCGAAAUCAAAUGUGACAAUAUCAAUGCAAUAAACCUCACCAAGAAUCCAAUUCUUUAUUCAAGGGUGAAGCACAUAGAAAUUCGACAUCACUUUAUAAGAGAUCAUGUCCAAAAUGGGGAGAUUAUGAUUCAGUUCAUUGAUUCGAAGAAUUAGCUGGCAGACAUCUUCACAAAGCCUCUGAAGAAAAAUCUAUUUGAGUUUAUUCGCACCAAGCUGAAUAUUAUUUAUCCUCUGGAGUAAAGUCUGGAGCUGUCCAGACUUAGAAUUUCCAGACUCUACCUUAGUAUGAAAAUAUCUUGAAUCCGGGUAUUUUAAUUUUAGUAUGAAAAUUGUGAAAGUAUAUGACUUUAUUCGAAUCGUUGCUUACCUAUUUUAUUUUUAGAAGUUAUCUUUUUUGAAUUUUUGGCAGUUUUUAAUUUCAGUUUAUUUCAAAAAUGCAGUUUUCUUUUUCCUUUAUUACGUUUUGAUUAUCCCUUUUCUUCAUGACCUUUCAUCUUCUUUAUAUACCUUUUUGUAUUUGAGUAGUUCUUUUUUAAACCCUAAAGAACAGACUCUCGACUCUCUUGUCUCUACUCUCUUGACCCUACUCUCAAGUGUGUUCAGCAAGUUUUCAUCUUUUCCACUCAAACAAGUCUGAGAAAUCCUCCUAGCCUGCAAGGAUGUCGUUCCAAAGGAAAUCAUCCCGAAUUGCGAGCAAAGGGCCACGAAAUGUGCCUGAAGGGCAGACGCAUUUCGAUCUUACAGAAGAAGACUCUCCUCAGACUUCUCCACAGCGCAACCCGAAGGACACUUCACAGAAUCCUCCUCAUGAAUCGUUGGAAGAGGAAGUUGAACAAGAUGAUGUUCCUCUUCGUACCAUGACUCCCCAGGUUCUGUUCAAAUUUUAUGGUUGUUUGAAAACGGGUGGUUUGCCGAUGUCCUUGAUUAUUGAUUAUCUAAGAGAGCACAAUUAUAAGAAUGAAACGUUGUUUCUGAGAACAAUAGAGCGUUUAGGAAUAGCAAAGAAAUGAGUAGCAUAAGAGGCUUUUCGUAACUUUCCUAUCGAUCCUCGUUUUAGUACUUUCAAUCAACCUCAAAGCAAAGACAAUGAUGAAAGGAUGUCUUCGAAUUUUCAGCCAAUGAUGGGUAUUGCUGCUGAAAUGCUUAGUGUAGGAAUGAAGCUUUUUUGUUCCAAGGAUCAUAAAAAGGUUUAUUUCCAAAUGCUGAAAAGAGGGGUGAUGAACCCUCAGUCGGUUGACUUUGACUGUUUAGAUUUGAUCAACGUGAAUUUGAGGGAAAAACCUUCAACUUGAAAACUUUUGCUUCGAGACAACUAUUGCUUAUCUGGAGUUGAUUGCCUUUUUCUAUUCAAACCUUUCUUUUCUUAACCAGAAUUGCUUCAAAUUCAUUGUAAGUGACAAAGAAUAUCUGGUGGAUGUUAACACUUUGGCUGACGUUAUUGGGGGUGGAAAUGAGUGGUUUCCAACCAAUAAAUAUCUCGAUUGGUCAUGCAAUAAGAUUCCUUGUUAGGGACAGACUCCCUGAAGGAAGCAUCACUUAUUCCAAAAUGAUAGCCUCUAAUGUCUUUCUGCACAAAAUUGUCAUAAACUACAUCAAACUAAAGGCUGCUUCAGAAACUAAUGUUUCCCGAUUUGAAGCACAGCUUAUGUUUGCUAUCUCCAAUGGCAUGAAGUUUUCACUCCCUCAUACUGUUCUAAUGCAUAUGUAUAGGACUGUUAUGAAAGAUAAGGGACAAUUGCCUUACUCUACACUGGUUACAAAGCUCUUCAAACAUUUUCAAAUCGAGUUUUCAGUCUCUCUCUACUCUAGAACUGUUGCUCAUAUGGUUAUAGGACUAAAAAUGGUUUCAAAGAUGAGGCUAAAAGAUCUGAACACGGCUUUAGAGCGCUUGAAGAAGGCAUCUCCUAGCAAAACCAAGGAAGAAUCUGUUUCAAGGAAGAGAAAAGGCAAGGAAAUUGUGAAAGAACCUAUCAAGAAGAGAAGAUCCCUCAUCCUGUAGGAUGAAGAUGAUGACGAUGAUCUUACCAUUUCUGCCUUGGCCUUGAAAAAUCUUCAAAGAUUUGUUGGUUUUGAGCAAUCCAAAGGGAUAGGAGAAGGACAGAGAGUAGAUACAAAGCAAAGAGAAGAAGGAAGAGAAGACAGAGAAGAAGUAGAGCCAAAAGAAGAAGAAGCAGGAAGAGAAGCUGCGGAAGAAGAGGGUCAGGAUGACUCCUAUGAGACAACAAUUGACGUAUCCUUAUCUGAGGAUUCUUAAGCAACAAGGAUUGUCCAAGUAGGAGAAAGAACAGAAAAAGAACAUCACUUUCAUGCUGGAAUUGAGAAAGAACAAGAAGAAAUUUUCUUUUCUCCACAUGUAGGCAAGGAAACAGGGGGAGUUUGUGAGAAAAUAGGUACUUCUUCUCCUUUUUUUUGCAAGUGAUGGUGUCAGUCAAUCUCCUGUUGAUCCAGAAGAAGUCCAUGCUUCUCAUUUUCCUGAAGCUGAUAUUGUAGAAUCUACUUCAAGCCUUGGAAGUAGAGGAGGUGAUGUUCCAUCUUCUCUCAACACUCCACGAACGAAACGUGUUGAAGCUAAUGCACAAAUAGAACCUAAUGCAGACUUUCAAAGGCUUCAAUCUGCUUUGUAUGGAGUGUGAGAUUUAGAAGCUUCAAUCUGCUUUGUAAUCUACUUCAGAUUCUCUCAAUGAGAAGGUACAGUCUUUAAACUUUCAAGUUCAAGGUUUACAACAGCACGUUUCACAGACUGCCAAGAUCGAAGAUGUUGAGAAGUUGAAGGAUACAGUGAAAAAAGCUGGAGGAGACAGUUUAGUCAAUGGGGGAUUUCCAGCUCGUUCGAAUUCCCAAACAAAAUUGAUUUCAUCCUAUCUCUUUUUAAUCUUGAUUUUCUCCACUUUUUGCUGCUGACAAAAAGGGGGAGAAUGUGCAAAUUUACUUUUGAUCAUUUGUUUUUGACUUUGUUUGACUGGUAACUCUUAUAAUCUACAACAACUUUUGUGAUGAUCAUGGAUGUGGAUGGAUGUAGAUGUUUUAAUCUUGGUGUUUGAUUAUUUUUCAAGAUUAACAUGCUUUAUGUGGUUGCAGUAUCGAUGCCAUCCAUAGAUCAUUAUCUAUUCUCUUUGGAUAUCAUAUACUGCUAAAGUGUUGUUUUGCAAGUUAUAAGUUCUUAAAUCUGUAGGGAAGUUUUGUCACCAUAAAAAAUGGGGAGAUUGUUGGAGAAAGCUCAUUGGAUGUUUUGAAGUUGACAAAACUUAUCAAAAGUCUAUUCUAAAGAUUUUUAGACUUUUAUGUCAAAAUUUGAAGAUGACCAGAUUUUGUGUCAAAGUCUGAAGACUCCCAGACUUUCUGUGAAAGUCUACUUGUACUAACAAAUUCCAGACUGAAUGCUACUGAAGAAUAAAGAUUUAUCCAGAUGUGAGAUUUUGUUUAUUUCUUUAGGAGUUCAAUUCGUAUGGCUUAUGGAUGGCUUUCUGGAUGGAUAUAUCACCUAUGAGAUUGAUUAUCUUUAUUGAAAUCAAUUUAGAUAAAUCAAAUAUUUUCAGAUUACAAGUAAAUAUGGAAAGAAUCUACUUAUGGAAACCAAAAUCUUGAUUGUAUGGGCGAACAUGAUUAACGGGCAUUCAUCACAAUCUUCAAACGACUCAAGAUCUCCUUGAUUGAUUCUGUUUAAUGGAUAGAUUGGAAGAAUUCAUUUGGAAAGUGCCAACGGUCGAGAAGGCAUGAAGGAGUAUUUAAUGUGGACUUUCCAGUUGUUCGAGUGCGUGCGUGAAAUAGAAAUUUCAAAGUCUGAAACUUUCCAUUUUCCUUGUUAAUCGAAAUACUGAGCUCAAAGUUGUAUACAGAAGAGAGGAACUCAUAGUGAGACUUCGUGAGAGACCAAUAGAGACUCUUCACUGUGAAGUCGAGAUCGCAAAGCUAUAAUAUCCCUUUUUUAUUCUUAGUAGAAUCCAGCUAGUAGGCUAUUAGCGUGGAGAGUAGAUGUAGAUUUGAUCUAAGCCAAACUACUAUAAUUUAAGUAUUCUUAUUCUUUUCCCCGAACUCUUUAUUUUGUUUGCCUUUCUAUUAAACUGCUAAAGUCUGAACUAGCUCAAAGUCUACUUUUCUUCAGACUCUAUUUUAGAAGCAAAAUAUUUCUACUGUUUCUUUUGAAAAAUUAUCUUCAUACCUAUUCUCCCCGCUCUAGGUAUUCAUACUAGCACUUACAUCUUCUCCAUGUACUUCUCUUGUGAUAAUAACAACUUCUUAGCAAUUCUGUCUCAGGUAAUUCUAAUACAAAGAAUCUGCUUUGCCAGGCCUAAGUUUUUCAUGGUAAAAGACUUACUUAACUAUUUCAUUGACAACUUAAUUCAUGAAGUAUUAUUUCCAACAAGCCACAUAUCAUUAACAUAAAGCAAUAUAAUUAUAAAGUCAUCAUCAGAGAAUAUUUGGACAAACACAUAGUUAUUCGAGGAAGUAUGCUUAUGGCCCUGCUUUGUUAUAAAUAACAUAUAUAUAUAUAUAUAUAUAUAUAUAUAUAUAUAUUGUAUUAGGCCCUAGAGACUCUUCUUGGGUUAGCACACAUAGUCCUCAUUUCCUUUCACUUUGAAACCCUCUAGUUUGUCUAUGUAUAUCUCUUCAUUCAAUUUAUUAUGUAGAAAGGCUAUUUUAACGUAUGUGUGCUCAAUUUUCAAGUCUAAGCUAACUGCCAAGCUUAGCACCACACUCAUAGAAGACAUUUCCACAACCGGAGAAAAUAUAUCAUCAAAGUUAAUACCUGUUCUCUGGCCAAAUCCCUUAAUGAGUAAUCUAACUUUGUAUUAUAACUGUAAAGUAUGUUUAUCUUGUUUCAAUCUAUUUACUCACUUAUUCUUCAAAACUUCUUUGCCUUUAGGCAAUUUCACUGGCUCAAAAGUACGAUUCUCAUAAAGCCAUUGCAUUUUAUCCUACAUGGCAUCAAACUAUUUGCUUUUGCACUCAUCUUCUGUUACUUCUACAAAUCACUCUAAUUUACCUGCAUUAGUCAAUAACACAUACUCAUCUGCAAAAGAUCUAGUGGACGAUUGUUGGUCUAUGAUGGAUCUUCGGACUGGAGCAUUGCAUCUAAUGGAGUUUUGCAAGAGACCAAGGAUAAAUCUUAUAAAAAAAAUGCACAUUUGGUUUAACCCAUAAAAAACCUGAUGUAGAGAGAUUCAAGUGAAAAUCCAACCGAUCAAAUUCGGCAAAAGUGUUACGAGCAUGUUGACAAAAUUUUAGCUCAACUGAAUCGCGAAUUUAUCUUUGACUUCAACUUAAUGAAUUGUCAUUUUCUUAGAUUUCAUGCUUUUUCUUUCUCUCUUACUACUAUGUCUCAACGAACUAUAAAAUAGUAAGAAACAUUAUUUCUCCAUGUAAAUUAUCAGAUGGGUCAAGCCUUUGAGCUUGUAAUUUAUUGGACUUUCUCUACAUGGGAAUGGACCUAACCUAACAAGUGAAAAAAAUCAAAUGCCAAAAAAAUAAUUUGUGGAGAACCAAAUUGUGGUGCCAAGCCCAAUCAGCUAAAAGAUCAAAAACAAAAUAAUAUCGUCAAACAUCCCAAGAUAACGAAUAAAAACCAUGGUAUUGAAUCGUAAUUAAAGAGAUGAGGAACUAAAUCUCAAUUGCAAUCCUGUGACAACAUCAAUCCAUCACCAUUUAUCAAACCAGAGCUAUUAAAUUGGAACCUAUGAUUCGAUCACCGUUCACUAAAAUACUCAACUAGCCAUCCGACACAAGAAGAAAGAUCCAUCUAAUUUUGCUUGCCAAUAUAGUAUUAUCAGCAUGCCAAUUUGUCGAAAUUUAUAAAGUUGAUUUGUUGAGCUAAUUGAGCGAGCCCAUUGGACUAGCCAUUGAAAUGCUUAAUUUUUAUGUUUAUACUAUCCGAAUGAAAGCCAUAUUAUAUGGGGAUAAACUUGUUCAUUACGGUCCUUACACAAUCAAUCUUAAACAUAUACUAUGAAUGACAACUUAGUCAUAAACUUUAUAAUUUUGUCAAUGUAGUUUAGGACCUUCACGGGAAAUUUCAAAUCCACAUUAGUAUUCCUCUCAAUUGUUGCAUGAAAUGGCUGACGCUGCGGUAUAAAAACCAUCCACCAUAUUAGUAUACUACAUAAGAUGGCCAACAAUCGACACAUUAGCGGUUUCUAAUGGCAAUUUACAUGAAUGAUUAUAUUAAAAUUCUACAUAAAUAUUUAGAAAUUAAAUCAACAAAAUCAGAAAAGAUAGAAGUGAAUUGGCAUCUAUAUAUAUUAAAAGACUGAAGUGGUAAUUUUCCUUCCAUUCAUUGUUCCAAUUUGAGCAUUGGAGUGCCCAAUAAUUUCGGGGGAUCUCUAUCGGUAUUGUAGAACAUUCGAAUUCCUGUGGGGUCACAGGUUCUUCCAAUCAGAAUGAUCUCCUCCGACGCGUCACGGGCUUUUUAUCUAUUUAUUUAUUUAGGGACACGUUUUCUUUUUCCUUUUUUUUUCAUUUUCUUUUUUCUGUUUUUAUAUGAUAAGCAUAUACGUGUGAGGGGAAUCUAUCCUGGACUUCAUUUUCGGACAGUCAAUUAGCGUUUUCCUCGAGUCACAUGCGGUGUUCGAGCGCGGCGACAAGCAUGGUGGGGGCCAGCACUCACAUGUGGUCUCCGAAAGCAGCCGUCGCAAUACACGACAAGCGAGUUAGGAUACUGAACAUGGGGUUCAGACCCCCCAAAAAUAAAACAAAACAUGGGAUUUUUCUUUUUUCUUUUUUCUUUUAAUUUCCUAAUAAUAAAAUAAGGAGAAAAAAAAGGUUUUCUGUUUUGGAUGUAUGAGAAGGAGAGUGAUGGGACUGUAGAAUUGAUGUGAGGGGAUUUCCUUUUUCUAUAUCCAAUACUCAUAUUUCAUUUUUUUAUUAUUUUAACAAUAUUGAAUUAUUAUUCGAUGCAUCCAAUUUUAGCUUUUUCGUUUUAAUUUUUCGUCUCAGUUUUUUCUAAUUUCCUUUUUUUUUUUAAAUUAAUUUGAAUUUUUAAUGCAUAAGUAAGUCUUGACAUAUGAAAACAUGAUUCAACAUAGAUCCAAUCUAUUUUCUGUAAUGUUGUUAGCAAUUUUUAUUAUCACUAUGAAUUUAAUUUCUUUAAAUUCAUAAAUGGAAGUGAAAGUUAACAAAACAAGUAGUCAUAAAGAUUAUUGUAGUAAACUAAAAUUCCACGAGGAGCAAUGGUGUUUAUAGUGUGGGAGGCAAGUUGACUAUAAGAUCAUCCCAAUUAUGCCACAUUAAAUUAGAAUGAAAGAAUGAAUUCUUGCCAUAAAUUUGUUCAUCCAAUAAAGAAUACUAACCAAAAUGAUAUCAUAUUCUUUUUUGCUUUGUUCUUUUAAUUUAUUGUUUUCUAUGCGCAGUUCAUUUUAUAAUUUACAAGCAUAAUUGAGCGAAUAGAAAUGGUCAUUGAGUGUCUCUUUUAUUCAAAAAUACAUAUAUGUUCUAAUGUGGGACCCCUCAUAAAUGACUUGGUUCGUUAUCUUGAUAUAUUAAUCCACUUCGAAUAAGUAUUUAAACAAAAUGAUUUUAUUUUAUAAAGAGUGCUACAGAUUUUGAAAAACUACAAAACGAUUAAGCAAGCUACAAUAUCAAAUUUUUAGUAUAAUGAAAAGAUUGAUGGUAUUGUGAUUAUUAAAUCCUUUGGGUUCCGCAGCAACUCACGGGUUAAUGUUCUAGUACACACUAUAAUAAAAGAUUAGUGUCGGAGUUAGUUUAAUUAUAAUAAACAAGCCUGUCUUGAAUAGAUUUGAUCAUGGUUCGCGAAUUUCCCCACUUCUUUCAUACGUCGAAUAAGGCACUGAGUUAAAUUUUACAGUAAGCGAUUUAAGCAUGAAAUUAUCCACAUUAAAUAAUGUAAAAUAAACUGUUAUAAUGUUGUCUAUAUACUUCGCACUCGCACAAGUUUGUUUUUGACUAUUUUUUUCCUCUCAUGAAAAUUUUAUAACCUUCCGAAAGAAAAAUCGAUAUACAUGGCUACAUAGAAUUUUGAUAUGAAUGAUAUUUUCUAUAAUUUGGUAAGGAAAUCAAUGCCAAUGAAUUAUUAAUAUUAGAAUAAUGUUGAAAAGUGAAAGCAAACCGAUGUGCCUCUUCUAUCCUUAGCUUCAAGGAGUGGGGGAUAAGAAGGCUGGACCUAAUCAAGUCCUUGAAAGGUUUUUUCCUAGUUCAAUUUGGAUCUAGAGACUUUAUGGAUGUUAAGCAAUGAGAGGGUAUUCCUUCAUUCUAGGGAAGACAAAUAUAUAGAGGGAAACAUUGAGGUGUUGGGAUUGCUAGCACCGAUACGUUAAAAUAAGGAACGCAAUCUUAUUAACCCAUCUGGACUAUUAAGCAAGCGAGGCGGCCCUAACACGAGAACAAAUGUUCCUUAUUGAUUGGUGAAGUUAUGAUAAAAUCAGACAUCAAGGAUCCAAGUAGUGCCUUGUAACCAAGGGUUUAUAGCAUUUUGAUAUCAAUUAAAUUUUCUAUAAUUUGGUGAGGAAAUCAAUAAGUCAAUGAAUUAUUAUUAAUAUGAUAAUAACGUUGGAAAGUGAAGGCAGACUGAUGUGCCUUUUCUAUCCUCAGCUUCAAUGUAUGGGGGGAUAAGGUCUUUUUCGGGUCAAUUUCGGCGGAGCCAUCUGGACCUUCAUAAUUGGAUUCGGCUUCGAUACCUGCGUACACGACAUAAAUGUAUGUCCGAGCUUGACAUUUUUUGUUUCUACUGCUCCUUCAAGCGACACUUUUUUCUUAUCGGUUGAUCAAAUUCAAAUGUGGAUCCCAUUAGGAAUAGAAGAUCGACAUGAUUUUAUCUUGACGAGUGUCGAUUCAAUUAUCGAAAGCUUUUUAUAUGCGUGAUACUUACAAUGAUUACUUGCUUUCACAAUCACUUUGUUUUGGACAGCAAAGUAAUUUACAUUAUGCUUAUUCCACACAAUGUUUACGACACGGUGUAACCAAUGAGCCACCACCAACUAAGACAGGAUCUAUAGCGUAAGGGCAACAGUGAUUAAUCAACAGUGUCACAUGGUGUAACCAUUAUAUAUGAUUUUUUUAUUUUAAUUUUACCUUUUCAUUUGGCCCUUAUGCUACAUAAGCCAUACCUAGGAGCGAACUUUUCAUUCGUGUAAAAUUGGAGUAUGUAAUACCCUUUUGUUAAAAAUGCCAACAAAACGCUAGCAUAGACUAUUACGUUAGUGUCAUGUCCAUAUUGACUAGACAAAUAAGCGAUGACAUGGAUUUUUUGUUAUGUCGAAUGGAGCAAAGUAAAAGAAAAUCCCGUGAGAGAGAGACAGAGAGUUGUAGGGGCAAUGGUGGUGACAGUAACGACGGCGGUGACAAAGGUGAGAUCGGCAGGGCUAGUGAGGGUUUGCCAACCUUUGAUGACCGCACGCAUCCGUUGCUGCCUUCAAUCUGCGGUUGUGUGACCCUGGUGUUUCGAUUGAAGUUGCCCGACCUCAAGCCACCACCAGUCGGAGUCGGGAUCGUGCGACCCCAGUCCAUCUAGGUUCGCGAGAUCCAUGGCUUGCUGUCGCAAGGGUCGAGCAACCCCACGACCCAUCGUUUGGACCUCGCCACGCUGUGGCCGCCGCCAUAGCGGUCACGAGUGGCAUGAGGCCCGCGAGUCCACUUCUUCUUUUUUUUUCAUCUUUUUAAAAUUUUUCUUUUCUCUAUAUUUUAAUAAAUUUAUUUAUUUAUUGUUGUUUUCUUUAUUUUAAAUAUAAGGAUUUAGUUGUUUUAAUAUUUUAUUUUUUUCCCACUAAAAGACACGUCGACCGUGAAAAUAACCACCGGUUUAUGGGCGUGUCAGCAAUUCCUUUCACGGAAAUGACCAACUUGAACAAUAAGAAGGAAAAAAGAUUCAACGACCGCAUUGGCAAAAAACAGCAUAGUAACUUCAUUCAAUAAAUUGAGAAAUCUUAGAGACUUGUUGUAUCAUUAUCCCUAAAAAGUUUAAAAUCAUUCACUCUUAUGAAAGAGAAAAAUGACUUAUGAAUAUUGUGGUCGACCUAGAGUGUAUUUCAUUUUCUGAUAUAAUCCUCAUCUGCGCUCAAAGUAAUGCUCUAUCUACUAUAGAAUAAACAUGUGGACUUUCUAGACAUUUUUAAUCUUACUUAAUGAAAUAUUUAGAACUAUCUUUCAUAAUUUGAAUAACAGGAAUUCAUGAAAUACCGCUGUUGUCUAAAAAGUGCAUUUGAUAAGGAAGAAUUUCAUCAAUUGUAAACCUAGUUCUUUCAAGUUAAAAUGACUUAAACAAAAUAGAUAGGUUUACAAGGUCCAAGCAAGUCCACCUUGAAUCGCUUGAUUGUGCAAAUCAUUUGAGAGUGAUAUAACAUUGAAUAAAAUAACUAAAUUAGAGCCUAACAGGAAAUGUUGCCUAUUUUCAUGUGUCUUUUACAUCCAAGCUCUAUUCGUUUUGUGUAAACCAAAUUUCAAGAAAACGUUUUAUAAAUUUUUCGGCGUUCAUUUUACAGAAAAUGAACUGAUUAAGGAAAACGUUUGCCAUCAACGGAAAAUAGUCUUCUAAACUAUGGGAAAAUAUUUUUCACUUUUCAAGAUGAGGAAAACAUUUUCCUCACUCACUUUCUCUUAUCUCACACUCAUGUUAACCUUUCCAUCCUUCUUUAUUUUCUUUUUCUAUUUAAAAAAAAAUCAAUUUUUUUAAGUAUUUUUCUUUUUCUUUCCUUUUUACUUCUGUCUUGGCCGAUUGCCACCAUGACAACAACCGGCAAUUGGCCACGAGUGAGCAUCAAGCUUGCGGGCCUCAAGUGAUCUUGUUGCUCACUAGAUUGUUGAGCUUGAGCUUGUCGGAUGUGAGCCUUGACCUCAUUGGCAUUGGGAAAGCUUGAGCUCACCUUCGGCUAGCCAAAGAAGAAGAAGAUGAAAAUAAAGAAAAAGAAAAAUAAAAAUAAAUUAAAAAUCGAUUUUUUAAAAAUAAAAAUAAUUUUAAAAAACCUUACAAAAAAAUUAAAAAUCAAAUAAAAUAAUAAAAUAAUAAAAUAAUAAAAUAAUUAUUGAAAAAGAAUCCUUAGAAGAAAAGAUUUUCCUUACCAAAUAGUGAAAAAUAUUUUCCUCUUCAUUUUUAGGUUUCAGCUAUAUAUUAAAAAAUAAUUACAUUUUCCUACAAAAUGGCUUUAUGGAAAAUGUUUUCCAAAAACAUCUCAUAUUCAACUAAACAAAUAGAGCAUAACUCAUCAUUUAAGCUAAAACUCGAUUCUAUUUGUUUUUAUUAAUUAUCAAAGAUUAUUUAAAUAUUGAGACAAGUUGUUAAUAAUAAACCACUGAAGGUAUGUUUGUUUCAAUGAAAAAGUUUUUUUUUUUUUUUGCAAAUUAGUUUUCAAAACUUUGACGUGUUUGAUUCGCUCAAAAUGACUAGUCAACAUAAAAAAAUAUUUAGGGUUAAAAGAUAUCCACAUUUAGAAUUAAAAACGAAUUUCCAUUUCUAAAUAAAGGGAAUCAUUUUCCCAAGUAUAACAAGUCUCUUAAACGCUCACUUCUUCACCUUCUUCCACAUUCAUUAUUCCAUAGGAGAUCCAAAUAACCGAAAAAAGUUUUCAGUCACACUUUUUUAGCAUACCACCAAACAAAUUAAAAGUAAUCAUUUUCCUUGAAAAGGAUUUUUUAUGGAAAAUAUUUUCUUUAUCAUGAAGUUUACAGUGAAUGAAAAUCAUUUUUCAGAAAAAUGUUUAUUUUUCAUUUGUUUGAUAAUUUAGGAAAAGUGAUUUUUUUUUUUUGCCAUAAUGAGAAUUUGUUUCCCCAAUAUAAACUUAUUGUUUUUAGUCCAUAGAAAACGUUUUUUGUAAAUCAUUAAGUUUUCCGUUAUUCAAAUACCAUAAAGUUGAAAAAUGUUUUUUUGAAAACAGUAUUCAUUCAAACAAAUAGACUCUUAAGUUUUAACCUCGAUGAAUCUUCAACUUUAAAGAUUGGAAUAAUUUUCCUAUUUUAGGGUUUUUGAGCUCAAAACAUUAAUAGCCAAUCUUAAGAUUCGUUUGCUAUGUCCAAGCAUGCAACUUUUUAAACAACUCCGAGGAUACUUUCUCAAGUUUCAUGCAAACCACUCCGUAGUCCCCUUCACUAAACUUUAUAUUCCUAUGAUGAGCAUGAGCAACAAAAUGGUAAAGACUAUUAUCGGUUGCACACUUCUGAUAAAUCUCAAGAUGAAGUUUAGGAAUGCAUGAUGCAAAACACCCAAUAGAUUCGAAGGGCUUGCAAAAGACGGAAUGGAAUCAUGACGUGAGCUUUUUGCAUUAUAUAAUGCUUUUAUUGGUGCUUCAAUAAAUCUCAAUUAUCCAUUUAUUUGAAUGAGAUUUCAAUAAGUGAGAUUUGCAAAGAUAUUGACAAGACAGGAGCACAGUAAAAGGAUAGAGGAUACCCCACCUUGGCAUUGACAUAUGUAUUGGGAUUGCAUGCUAGAAUAAUUCUUAAAAUUGACAUGUCUUUAAGACAAGGUGAAAAUGUUCCAAAUGGGAAUCCCUUAGGUUUUGUCCUGGUUGGUAAAUGGGCUUCUUGGAGGCGCCUAUUGAGGACUACUCGAUUUAGUCUCUUUGAUCUAGUGUAUGUAGGGUUAAGUGAAGUAGUUGGAGGUGUUCCACAUGUCUAAAGUGUAUAAAUAAUUGUAAGAUGAUGUAACUUACCAUUCUCACUCCAUAACUGCUCCCCAACCUACAAAGAAAGACCCUAGAUCCCAAAUUACAAUUCUCCCUUGGAUUUCUCAAAUUAAAAGAGACAUUUAUGCCAUUGGAAAUAGAAUACCCUUUCACUGCGCAUUAACAACCGAGAGUGAAUUUUGUGGACAAAAUCGUGUUGUUGGGUAAACACAAGGUCAAUGGUGAUUGAAUUGAGGAACAACGAAAAUGUGUAUUUCAUCCAUUUCACAUUACUAUUCAUGCAACGUAUGUGGGUUGAACUUAUCAUAUGCUUCCAACUAGCUAUAAAUCAAGAUAUCAUCCAACUGGACAAACCAUAAAUAUCUCAACGAAAGGAUGUAAAAUCUAAGUCGUGAAUAGAGUUCCUCUCGAAUCUUGAUAAAGCUAAUGUCCUAUUUUCACUUGAUUCUUGAUGAUUUUGUGGACCUAUUUACUUGCAUGAGCAUGAUGAGCAUGCACAACUGUAACUCGAAUAGACAACAAGCUUUCAUGAUUAAAGCUCAAUAUCUUUAUAAUGUUUUCCAAGAACUGUAUCCCCUAAAAAGAAAUGAAGAAAUAUUAGUUAAAACUUUUAGUUAACCUUUUAACGACAAAAUAGACAGGGGGGUGGAGGAUAUGGACCGCAAUCGCUUCUUUAUAAAAGGGCAAUUUCAAUUUUACCACGAUGAGGAGCCAUUUUGGAAAAAGGUGGAGUGCUGAAAUCUCGCGACCUAAUCAUUGCACAAUAAAAAGAGCAUAAAUUGGUAGAACAAUGAGACUUCCCACGUAGCUUCCCUUGAAAUUGAAUGGGAUAAAAAAAAAAAAAAACGAAACGAUUUUUUUAGUACGCUGCCGACUUGUACCCGAAAAGUCCAUUGGAAGUCAUUAACAAAUUAAAUUAAGUGCUACGGUCCAUUCCUAGAUUUUCAUGGAAAUGGUUAAGUCCUAAAUUUUUUUCUUUGAGCAAAACUAUUCAAUUGAUGUAGUAAAUUCUACAUUUUUACACAAAGGUGCAAUCAAGUGUUUAAUGGAUUUUCAAAGUACAAAUUAAAGUUAGCACAUAGGCAUGUCUAGAUUGCCACGUAGAAAUCUCGCAAGUAAUUGCCUCAUGUAUGUGGAAUUUAGAGAAACAAUUGCAACUCUAAUUCCAAACUUUAUGUAGGAAUGCAAAUGUGCCACACACCUUUAUGCAGUUUAUUGAAAAGUGCAAUUAAAUUAUAAAUCUUUCAAAUGAUUCAAUGAAAUUUUAUCCAUUUGCUAAAAAGUGUGAUGGGAUCCUAAGUGCAAUGUAAGGAUGAUGCAUAUUCAAUUUUUAAGUGAUACAUAAACAAUAUUAAGGCCAUUCAUCGAAAUGAAUUGAAUGUAUGUUUCAUAAAACGUUUAAAAAAUUAAUUGAACCAAUUGAAAUCUUUGUUGAUUUGAUUGCAUUUUGCGCAUGAGGAUUAAAAUUUCUAGGGCACUUUGUCCCGAGAUUUAGGACCUUCACUAAAAUUUCAGGGGCUACUUAACCUCUGAAUUUGAUAAAAACGAUUUUAUAUGUAAAUUAUUUUAUUUUAUUUUAUUUUAUUUUACACAUGUCUUUUAUUAGAUAAACUUCGGAAAAGUACCAUAAAAUGAAAGGUUAAUACAACAAAAAAUCUCAAACUAAUACACUCGUAUUAUAUUUACUCAAAAUAAAUUUUCAUAUUACAGAAAAUCUCACAUUGGUAUACCUAUACCACGUUUAUCACAAACUAUUUUUUAUGCUAAAAAAAUAAUCUUAAAUUGGUACCUUCGUGUCACAUUUACUUUGGAUAAAUUUUCAUGUCAGCAAAAAUUCUAAAUUGUUAACUUGCGCCGCAUUUACCCACAAACUAAUUUUUAUGCGAUAAAAAAAUCUUGAAUUUGAACACUUGGUAUCACAUUUAUCCCAAGCGAUUACAAAAAAAUCCAGAUCACCAAAAAUAUGGAUUUGCCAAUCUAAAACUUUGAUGAAUUAUCCCAAACUAAUUUUUGUGCUAAAAAGAUCUUAAAUUGCAAUGCUUUGUGUCAAAUUUAUCCUAGGCAAUUACUAAAAAGUACCACCAGAAUUAGGGAUUUCCCAAUCUAAGACUUUGUGACUUAUCCUAAACUAAUUUUUGUGUUACAAAAAAAUCUUUAACUUGAAGACCUGGGAUCACACUUACCCAAAACUAUUACAAAAAAAUUCCACGCAAAAUUAGGGAUUUCCCAAUCUUAAAUACUUUGGUGACUUGGGGAAUUUUAUUAUGUGAAAAUCACUUUGAGCUAAAUAUGGCAUGCACAUGUUAAUGUGGAAAUUUAUCACAAAAUAAUUUGAUGUAACCCACCCAUGGGCAGCGCAGCGCAGUUGAUUGAGAUCUCUCUUUCGGUGAAUGAAGUCAAUGGUUCGAAACCUUGCGUUGUUAGCGAUUAAAGCAGGGCUUCGACGGUGGAGUGCUGGGCCAGUUUCCCUCGAUGUAUAAUCGUUGUUGAGCCUCUACGGCGGAGGCCCGUGAGACCCUAGAUUAGUAGGCUCCGGCGGGUCCUCAAUCACAAAAUAAUAAUAAUAAUAAUAAUAAUAAUAAUAAUAAUAAUAAUAAUUUGAUGUAAAUAUGAUACAAGCACACUAACUUGAAAAUUUUCGUGACAUAAAAAAAAUUAGUUUGAAGUAGAUCUGUUCUUAGUAUACUAGUUUUUUUUUUUUUUUGGGUGGUAUGAACCUCUGAAAUUAAAUGUAGGCCCGUCCGUGAUCCGCUCCAAGUCCAAAAGAAGCUCCCCUCAAGCAAUAUGCUCACUUCCAUUCUCUCGUCUCAAUUUGGGUUCCCUCCCUCGACAGCACCCCGCGGGAACUUUACCGUUGCGCAUAUCUUUUAUUUUAAUUUCGCUUUAAUCGAAGAACCAUCAAUUUAUCAUUUCAGCAAGCAAAGCGAAAGACGCGUUUUUUUUUUUUCUUUUUUCUUUUUCCUUAUUUUAUUCAUACCGUACGCGAUUUCCGCCAUCAUUCUUCUUUUCUCUUUUUUUCCUUGCUGGGGAAAAGAAAAAUCCCGAGAGAUUUGAAAAAAAUGGUUCACAUGGUGGACUCCCUCUUCCGGAAAGAGAGAGAGAGAGAGAAAAAGCGGGGGCGGAGGAGGAGAGAGAAAAUCAAUGGCGUCCUUUUCCGAUCCGCAGUACGACAACGAAAACCCUAACCACCCUCCUCGGCGCUGCCUCUUCCCUCCCCCCCUCCCUUUCACCAGUUCACUCCCACUCGCACUCAAGCUCGCAGAUGCUCUCCUCUCGCUUUCACAACUCUCUCCUCCUCUAGGCUCUAACCACCGCCACCAGCUCGGUGGAGGAAGGUAAUGCCGGGGUCGCCAUCGCUCGAUCCGCUCGCCGCGCAGCCGUGCUGAACCUCCGGCCGACUGGUGUCGCCGUGAAUGAGCAGCGAUCGGGAGUCGGUUCGGAGCGUUGGAUCAAUGUGAGUCGAGUGCUCGUGGCGUCUGAUCGUGUCCCGCGCGAACGCGAAUGCGAAUGCGCGGUUUCGUCGCGUCGCGUCGUUCUUUGCUUGGAUCGUUCCUGCAAGCGCCUGCUGCUUUUGCUUUUGCUUUAUUUCUGCUUGAUUUUGCUGCGUUCGGCUUCUCCGUUUUCCUUCUUAUUUUGGUCCGUGGUGCGGAAAACAGUGCGAUUCAGUGAUGGCGGAAGCACUUUUGUUAGUGCUUUCGUACUCGGAAUCGAAGUUCGGUUGUGACCGCGUCGCGAUCGGCGCGGAGCAGUAGUCUCUGUGUUUCGUCGAGUUCUUGACAUUUGAUCUCUUUUCUAAGUGAGAUUUUCUCAUCGUCCAGUUAUAGAAGCUGUACGUUCCUCCUCUCUCUCUCUCUUUUUAAGUUGCUGUUAGCAUCUACACUGUUAAGAAAUGUCGGCUUCUGGAAUGAGUUUCGAUUCGACUUGAGUGGUCUCCUGGUUCGCCCUCUUGGUGCUGAGAAUAUUUGAUCGGAUUGUUUUUGCUUUCGCAUUUUUUAUUCGAGUUCCUUUCUGCGUCACUUGUGCUAGAUUUGUGCUAGAUUUACCUCGUUUUUCACAUGUGCUGAAGCUCCUUCUGUCGAGAUUCUUUGCCCUGGGUGUGAUUCCUCUUUCUGGUUGAUUCUUGCUUCUCCAAGAAUUAGCAGAACCUCUUAAACUCGAAGGAACCGGUGGUGGCUUCUUGGCACAGACUGUUUUUGUUGUUGGCUGUGUUUCUCAUGCUGUCAUUUGAUCACUUGAUAUCUUUGCUGCAUUUAUUAAUUUGCUACUCUUUAAAGCAGAUUUCAAGGUGCUGAAGUUGGCAAUAAGCAAUAACUACGAUAAUGGGAGCUUUGGAGUUUGCAUGUAGGACUAUCUUGUUGUCUGCUCUACUAAUUAUUGCAAAGGCAGAAGUUUAUAUUGUGACUAUUGAAGGAGAGCCUGUCAUAAGUUACAAAGGUGGUGUCAAUGGUUUUGAAGCAACUGCGGUUGAGUCUGAUGAGAAGAUUGAUCCUACAAGGUACUCUUUAUUAUGCCAGCACUUGCCAUUCGACAUAUUCUUGGCACUUAUGGUGUUUCUUGGAAUGUGCAUUCCACAUUUGACGACAAUAUCCUCUCUAAUUCGUGUUCUUAACUUAAAGAUCAUCAUUGUCAUAGCAUGGAUUAGAAGCUCAUGAUGUGCAUAGUUAACUAAUUUUUCCCCUGAAUUUGGUCGAUAUAGAUGUCAUUGAGUAUUAGGCAAAUAACUUGUCAACUUUGUCCCCGUCAUUGUGGUUGACUCUAGAUAGAAAUCAGCAUUUAACAAAUGCAAACUCACUAGAAGGCAGAGAAACCGAAUAUUUAUCUUGAAACUCUAACUUGAAUAUAUUUCUUGACCCUGUUUACAUCUCACGUGCAUCUAUCAGAUUGUGAACCAGUAUGGAGAGAGGAUGGGAGGAAAUAAAACUUUAUGAGUAGUUUGUUGUUAUGUCAUUUAUGGUCUUUUGAAGAGGUGUGUAACCUUGCUUAGGAUUGUUACGAAGGUUUCUUGUACAGUCUCAGUCAUUUUCUUGGCAUUGCAUUUCUCCAUCAAGCAUAGUUGAAAUGGUGCUUUAUGGAAUUAGCAGCGACUUUAGAAACAAUCUUUUCAGGUGUAAAUUGUUACAUUGUGAUGAACCAAUAUAUUAAAUCCAUAAUCAUUAAGUUGUUACUGUAUGGUCGGCAAAUAUUUUGUAACGCAUAGCCAUUAGGUCAUGCACUGACACAGAUAUUGUCAAUCAAACAAAAGAGGAGAAAGAUAAACUCAAUUACUAUUUGGUUAUCCUUGCAAGAAGUACCUCAAUUCAUUCCUUCAUCAGCGAAAUAUCAUUCACCCUCCUACUACAUGCCUAGUCCCCUGCUCAGAUGAACAUGUUGGUUGCUAUUGCUGUAUUGUCUUUUAUUACUCCUUGGCUCAUUGAAUUGGGUUGUCAUCCAGUGAAUUGGUAACGUCUUAUGCUGAACACCUUGAGAAGAAACAUGAUAUGCUUCUUGGGAUGCUGUUUGAUCGAGGAACCUACCAGAAACUAUACAGCUAUCGCCAUCUGAUAAAUGGUUUUGCUGUUCACAUUUCUCCUGAACAGGUGAAACCAAGUAUCCAAUCUCCCUCAUUUUUCUCUGCAUCUGACUUUUAGGAUGGUAGUCCCUUUCUUUUGUGUAUCAUGGACUUAUGCCCUUCCAAUAUAUUAGUAGGCGGAAAUCCUACGACGUGCCCCUGGUGUGAAAUCUGUGGAGAGAGAUUGGAAGGUGAAGAGACUUACAACUCACACUCCACAGUUUCUGGGACUUCCUACUGGAGUAUGGCCCACAGGAGGAGGGCAUGCCAAGGCGGGAGAGGACAUUGUGAUUGGCUUUGUGGACUCGGGCAUUUAUCCUCACCAUCCCAGCUUCUCUUCACACACAGAACCUUAUGGUCCACUACCAAAGUACAGAGGGAAGUGUGAAGUUGAUCCUGACACUAAGAGGGCUUUUUGCAAUGGGAAGAUUAUAGGAGCUCAACAUUUUGCCAAGGCGGCCAUAGCAGCUGGGUCAUUUAAUCCUUCCGUUGAUUUUGCUUCUCCCUUGGAUGGCGAUGGACAUGGAAGGUUAGGUCUUGUAACAUUUGCAGAUUGAGUUUUAGCAAGCUCUAAUUCUGUAUAAUCUAGAUCUUUUGCCUUCUCAUCUUAGCAACCUGUGAUAAGCAGAUUUUAUUUUUUGAGAUGUGGGAGAUAAAACUAGGCUUUUGUAUGUUAUAUAUCCUGUGCAUCUGUACUUUCUUAAUUUUUCUUUGAUGCAUUAAAGUUCAUAUUUUUGACAUGCUUGAUGAGCUGUUCCUUUCUCUACUAUGUGUAUAUUCCAAGAUGAGGUUGAAAGAUUCUGUCCCACUGCUGCAGACAAACAAAUGCUACAAAGGUCUUAUCAGUUGCAGUACUAGCCCUUAAAAAUAAUGAGAGUUUAUGAGUUGACUGGUAGAUUUUCACAGUGACGAGAACAACAUGCUGAGUAGAUUGAUUUGAUGAUAGUUGUAUGAUCCAUACUGAUCUGAAGAGGGCACUGUAUGGUGAAACCUAGGCACUGUAAUUAAUGAGGUGAUUUAUAGAAUCGCUUCUCCUUCUCAAUGUUAUGUUUGGGUUAGUAAUUUGAUUUAGUAGUUAUUGAAAAAUGAAAAGCCUGCCGUGUGAUUUUAAAAUAGGAAGGAAAAUGUUAUCCUUCGCAGAACAAGCUCGGCCUUGUUAAUCAGUACCUAAAUACUCAAUAAAAACAGCUCCAAAUGCCCCUCCCAAGUUAGUAGUUAUUAAGAAGAAAACAGUUGCAAAAAACUCAUGCUGUUCAUGAUAUCUUUGAUGAGUUUCGCAAUAUAAUCUGCUGACAAUCUCCUUUAAAAAUCAUGAAUAAGUCAAAACACUCUGUAAACCUUGCAUGAUAAAAGAUGGCUAAUGGAGUGACUGUGCAACCAAGCUGCAAUCUCAUCAACCAUGUUGUUUUGACACUUGGAAAUGAGAGUUGUUUGUAUUGGUUCCUGCUGCUUAAUUUAAUUAUGGAAAAUUUGGCUUUGGCAAUGUUGGUGAUGUCUAAAUCACUAGUUAUUUAAUUUGUCAUUUCUUUUGGAUGCAUCUGAAUCAGUUGGGCUUCAUCUAUAAGAUAUUAAGAUGAAGGGAGUUGCCCUUUCUUUUUUGUGACUUUUGUCUCCUUGUAGUGUGCUAAUACUGACAGGCAAUGAAUUAUCCUAUAGUUCAACAUCAGAGCAGUUCUAUUUCCUUCAUCUAAAAUUGAAUACUUUUGCUGCUUUAUACACUAGUUGCUUAGUAGACAUCCAUGUUAUUUUAUGUGAUGAAUGCCGCCAUAAGUGGGGCUAAAGGAUUUAUGUGUCUUUUGAUGGAAUAUAUUCCUUUGUCCAAGCUCUUUUUUGUUAAGUAAAAUGACAAUAGUUAUUCUAUCUCCAUUCACUCCCUCUUUUUUUUUUUUCUCUCAUGAAUUUUUAUUUCUCUGGCUUUUUCAAUCAUUUGAAUACCAGUCACACAGCUGCCAUUGCUGCCGGUAACAAUGGAAUACCCGUGAGAGUGCGUGGACAUGAAUUUGGGAAAGCAAGUGGGAUGGCUCCUCGAGCUAGGUAGGCUUCAUCAACUUCAGCAAUCUUAAUCAGCUCUUCUGACAGUAAUUAAUCUCUGAAGUCUGUUGUGUACAGGAUUGCUGUUUACAAGGCACUUUACCGACUUUUUGGAGGUUUCGUGGCUGAUGUGGUUGCAGCAAUUGAUCAGGUAUCAAAAUAUAUGACCCACUCAGAAGUGCUACGAAUUCUUAUAGUUUUGGUUGCAUUUCUUGACUCUCCCACCAUGUAGAUAUAGGACUCUUAUAAUUUAAAUCUCUACAAUUUGAUGCCAACUAGAGUCAGACAUCUUUUUUUUUACCUCAUUUCUGGUUUAAACACACUCUCUCAGGCACACACACAGACUUUGGUUCAGACUUAAAGAUUUUGGAAUUUACCUUGCAAAAAAUAAUGUACUUAAAAGUUUUGAUUUCUAAACUUACUUUCUACCACAGAAGAUGAGAUAUGCUUUUGUGUUGACCACAAGGAUGCCAUCUUUUGCGUUCUGAAAACAUCCAGAGAAUCUCGGUGCAUACUGGGAUGGGUGAUUCUCCACAUAGUGUUGCAUAUAUCUACAAAGCUCAUCUAUCCCUUCAAUUCUGUCAUGCUUGUCAACAAAUUUUGAUAGUAAUCUGAAGGAAGGUUAUACUCAACUGACAACUUCUCCUACAGGCUGUUUAUGAUGGUGUGGAUAUACUCAGUCUGUCAGUCGGACCAAAUAGCCCGCCAACAAGCACUAGAACUACAUUUUUGAACCCUUUUGAUGCCACACUUCUGUCAGCUGUCAAAGCAGGUGUCUUCGUCGCUCAGGCAGCAGGAAAUGGAGGGCCUUUUUCUAAAACUUUGGUAUCCUAUAGCCCAUGGAUAACAUCUGUUGCAGCUGCAAUUGAUGACCGAAGAUACAAGAACCAUCUCACGUUGGGAAAUGGGAAAAUGUUGCCAGGCAUUGGAUUAUCACGUGAGUUUUUUAAGCUCGACUAUUUAACUUUAUUACAUUUCUCAUUGGUAGAUCAUAGUAGUUUGACAGUGAGAUCAUUUUAUUGGUGCUUAGCAAUAGUAAUGUGCCAUUUUGAUCUUUUCUGAUUUCGACGGUAUUUCAAUGGAAUGAAUUUUCUUUUCCUUUCUUCUUUUUGUCGUUUUGGAGAUUUGUAUGUUAUCUGUAAUGAAUUUGCAUUACAAAGAUGUGACAACCAGCAAACCAGGCCGUUGGAUGAAAAAUGUAUACUUGCUUGUUAAAGUGUUUCUGGACAACACUAUGCUCCUGGAAGAAUGUGAGUGAGCAUCUAUGAAGAACUAUUAUUUAUUCUAUAAGCCCGUUGGAACCUUUUUAAGAUGCCCUGUUCAUCUGCGGUUGUGCUUCCUGUAGGGUUGUACAGUGUUUAUUCUGCUUGAACUUCAGUGGUUGCUUCACUUUGUGCCCUUCAUUUGACAAUUUUCUGAGGCUCCCUGGGGAUUUAUGUGCUGUUUCCAACCGAACAUGAGUCUGCUAGUGGUUUUGGUAGGAAUUAUAAUAUUAAUUGCACUGGUUGAUGUAGGUGAUUGUAUUUAACACUUAUUGAAUGAUAGAGGAUGUUGAGUGUGCAGAACUUCUUUUCUUUUUCAAGGAGUUUUUUUCCCCAUUUUAUUGACAUUUAAUUUCGUUUCAUGAGAGCAGCCUCUACACAGCCGAAUCGGACAUUCACCAUGGUUGCAGCAAAUGAUGUACUGCUGGAUUCUUCCGUCAUGAAGUACAGCCCCUCUGACUGCCAGAGACCAGAAGUUUUGAACAAAAACUUAGUCCAGGGAAACAUUCUUCUCUGUGGCUAUUCCUUCAACUUUGUGACAGGGACAGCAUCAAUCAAGAAAGUUUCAGAAACGGCCAAGAGCCUUGGUGCAAUUGGCUUUGUUCUUGCUGUUGAGAAUGUUUCUCCAGGAACCAAGUUUGAUCCGGUCCCUGUUGGUGUCCCAGGGAUUCUCAUCACUGAUGUCAGCAGAUCAAUGGUAAUAACUGUUUCUCGUCCAUCCUGUUUUUGACUUAUAUUGCUGUAGUAGUUGUUUCUAUGCUAACCCUUGUCAUCUUUGUUAGGGCUUGCUUAUCCACAUCUUCGCUUUUGUCAGAUUUUUUCUGCAUCACUUUGCUAAUGCAUAUUGCUGUUACUUAGGACCUUAUAGAUUAUUACAACGUCUCUACCACUAGAGACUGGACCGGACGAGUGAAGAGCUUUAAAGCUGUAGGCAGCAUAGGGGAUGGCUUGAUGCCUAUACUCCACAAAUCUGCACCACAGGUGGCACUAUUUUCUGCUAGAGGACCCAACAUAAAAGAUUUCGGCUUCCAAGAUGCGGAUCUUCUUAAACCAGAUAUUUUAGCCCCUGGUUCUCUCAUUUGGGCUGCAUGGUCACCUAAUGGGACAGACGAGCCUAAUUACGUUGGUAAUGACAAACAAGUCUCAUUAGUUUUUUUAUUAGCUUUCAGAACCAUGGAAUUGUGCAUUACUCUUUUUGUCAGUUUAAUGUCCAAAACAAGAAUGGUAAUAGUUAUCUGCUUUUCUUUUACCUGGUCUUCAGAGCCACCUUCUAAUAUAGCUCUGAGAAUCAAACCAAACUCUGAUGAUUUUGUGGAAGAUAGUUCACUAGUUGCUAGUUAGAAAUCAAAUCAUGUGCUGUCAUAUAUAUAUAUAUAUAUAUAUAUAUAUAUAUAUUGUUGUGCAAUAGCUCUGUUUAUCAUAGGGAAAAAAAUUGAAUACUCAUAGUUAACGCUUGCUUUGAGCAGGUGAAGGCUUUGCCAUGAUCUCAGGAACAAGUAUGGCUGCUCCGCACAUAGCAGGAAUCGCUGCCCUUGUAAAGCAGAAGCAUCCUCACUGGAGCCCAGCUUCCAUAAAAUCUGCUCUGAUGACAACAUCAGCAAAGCUGGACAGAGCAGGAAGACCUCUUCAGGCACAACAAUACUCUGAGACUGAAGCCAUGAAGCUGGUGACUGCAACGCCUUUUGAUUAUGGGAGUGGUCAUGUUAAUCCUAGAGCUGCUUUAGACCCAGGACUUGUCUUCGAUGCAGGUUUUCCACUCUUACCUUAUUCUAUCCUUGUUCAUAACUAUUACGAAUGGUUUUCAUAAAAAAUGGUUUAAGUGCUUCCAGGUUGCUUUUGCUUUGAUUAGGACACAUUUGCUUCUAAUGUGGAAUGUCUAUAGUCUAAAAAUCUUUUUUUUUUUUGGGAUACAUACCAUAAGUCAUAAAUUGUCUGGUCUCUCAGCAAGCAGAUGGCUCUCCUCCAAAUGGUUGAAUUGGAGCUUAUCUGAGUUGCAUAAGUGUGAAAUAUUUAGAAAUUCUCUAUAACUUCAUAUCAUUCGCCAAGCGAGUCCUUACACAUUUUAUCUGUCAACAGAAAUUUUUGUUCAUCUUGUGUCGGUAAAAGCAGCCUUUGUCCAAAAUCUAUUGGAGUUUCUGAGCAAUGUGGCAUCCUUUGCGAUAUGAAACUUAAAAUUUUAACAUGUGGCACUUUUAAAUUUACCCUUUACAUUUAGAAAACGUUAGGAAAAGUGACAAUUGAGCGAAGUAAAAUAAACCUGACAGAGUAUGGAGAAGGGUCUACAGUCCAUUUAGACAUAAGACUGUAACAAGUUAUAUUGAAGAGUUCAGGAGGUCUAUAACUUCAUAUCAUUCGCCAAGCGAGUGCUUAUACUUUUUAUCUGUCAACAGAAAUUUUUGUACGUCUUAUGUCGGUAAAAGCAGCCUUUGUCCAAAAUCUAUUGGAGUUUCUGAGUAAUGUGGCAUCCUUUGCGAUAUGAAACUUAAAAUUUUAACAUGUACUUUGACGGCACUUUUAAAUUUACCCUUUACAUUUAGAAAACGUUAGGAAAGUGACAAUUGAGCGAAGUAAAAUAAACCUGACAGAGUAUGGAGAAGGGUCUACAGUCCAUUUAGACAUAAGACUGUAACAAGUUCUACUGAAGAGUUCAGGAGGUCUAUAACUUCAUAUCAUUCGCCAAGCGAGUCCUUAUACUUUUUCUCUGUCAACAGAAAUUUUUGUACGUCUUGUGUCAGUAAAAGCAGCCUUUGUCCAAAAUCUAUUGGAGUUUCUGAGUAAUGUGGCAUCCUUUGCGAUAUGAAACUUAAAAUUUUAACAUGUACUUUGACGGCAAUUUUAAAUUUACCCUUUACAUUUAGAAAACGUUAGGAAAGUGACAAUUGAGCGAAGUAAAAUAAACCUGACAAGAGUAUGGAGAAGGGUCUACAGUCCAUUUAGACAUAAGACUGUAACAAGUUCUACUGAAGAGUUCAGGAGUCUAGAAACAAAUGACUCGAAGUACAUGGUGUGUAUGUAUGGAUAGUUCACCGUUGUAAUUGUUCACACUAAUUGGUGGGUGAUUUCCGUGCUUCUCAUUACAAGAUCUCUGAUUUCUAGUACUUGAUCCUUGGCAGGCUACAAUGAUUAUUUGGGAUUCUUGUGCACAACUCCUGGUAUCGAUGUUCAUGAGAUCAAGAACUACACGAACUCGCCAUGUAACUUUUCCAUGGGCCACCCGUCAAAUCUCAACUCCCCUUCCAUCACUAUUGCCCACCUAGUUCGAACUCAAACCAUCACUCGCACGGUCACGAACGUUGCUCAGGAAGAGACGUACGUCAUUACAACCAGAAUGGAUCCGUCUAUCGCUCUUGCAGCCAGCCCUCCAGCAAUGACGAUAAGACCAGGUGCGUCACGGAAAUUUACAGUUACUCUCACUGUCAGGUC